CUCGCCGGCGAGCUUCUCGAAGAUGUCGUUGAUGAAACUGUUCAUGAUCCCCAUGGCUUUGCUCGAGAUCCCGACGUCGGGAUGAACCUGCUUCAGCACCUUGAAGAUGUAGAUCUUGUAGGUCUCGACGCUCUUCUUGGUCCGCUUCUUCUUCUUGUCUCAGAGGGAUCCUUCGGAAGCUUCUUUCCAGCCUUUGGCUUCUUCUCCGCUGCUGCUGCAGCGGUGGUGGUUUCUGCCGCCGGUUUCUUCUCUGCUGGUUUCUUGUCUGCCUUGGCCAUUGCUACGAUUAUUAAGAUGAGAUUAUUGAUGUGAUGGUUUGUUGACUGUUUGAGAGACUAGUCUUCUUUGUUUAUAUAAGAAUAGAGAAAGAGAUUUUAUUGGUCGAGAUACUGAGAUGCGGAUGAGUGACGUGGCAACAUAUGUGCUGUCCAAUGUGAAAGGCUAUUAUGAAUGGAUGGAUCAGAUUGUUUUAUUUUAGCGCGCGUGCGUUUUAAAAAAAAUUGUUAUCAAGAAAUCGAGAUUUGGAAAAAAAUUUGUUACCCGCCAUCAUAGCCGAUGAGCGCCAAUUUUGUUUAUUCUUUAAGAUUUGGUACGGAUAGCUGACGUGGCUGUCUUUGAUCUAUUAUCCAAGGUUGUACGGCUACGAUUACAUGGCUUUAUGUGGCGAUACAAUUUUUUUUGGGCCUUUUGGUUUCUAGAACACAUGGUUUUUCAAAGAAUUUUGGUUUUAGAUAAACUUUAAUUAUCAUUGGUCGAUUAUGUUUCUUCAUUAUCUUUUAAUCUGUAGCAUAUGAACAGGCCGUUGGAAAUAUAUUUUCGAAUAUAAAAUAUAUAAGAGUAAAAUCACAAUGGAUGAAAAUUGCUGCGUAUGUGCAUUUAUAGAGAAGAGAAGAGGGGUGAUCUAGUCUAGCUCAACUUGGUCCGUGAUCAUAAAAGGCAUCUGCGGCGGCAGCCCGUGGGCCAGUGAGUGACCCAAGAACAAAAAUAUAUAUAUAACCUAGUUUAACCUUAUGGAUAUUUAGGUUGAAAAAUAUAUAAAGGUGUAGUGUUGGACAAAAGUCACUGUGAUGAUCCUAUGGUGUAGUGUGUAAUGAAUCAUGAACUUUUUAUUCAAAACGAAUUGAGAAAAAAAAAAAUGAAUUGGUAUAUGUCAUUUAUUAUCUACAAUGUGGGUAUCCCAGCAUGUACUCAUUCAUGUUGUUGCUGCUGUUUAACAACUAAAACAGAAACCCUAGUUUCUAGCUCUUUAGAUGCAAGCAAGUCACCGAUGACUCCUAACUCCGGAAGCUCCAUCCACUCCACCAAACCCGAGUAAUCCAAUGAAUCCUCGUCGUGAUCUCUCCCUACAAUCAUCAAGUCGUUCUCUUCCGCCGCCAUUCUAACGGCUGUGGUCACCGCGGGACCACCUUUGAUUAUCGUCUCCGUAUAUGAGAAAUUUUCAGCGGAAGCAUAUGUUGAUUUCAAAUCGUUCAAGACCUCAUUAUCAACAAGGUACUCCCAAUUCUUGGACUUGUCUGGUUCUUGACCAGACAAGAAUCUGAUCACCGUGAGACGCACGCUAGGGUUCUGUCUCAUCCAUUUCGCAAUAGAGACAGCCUCCCAGUCAUCUUUACCACCAAUGAAGAUCACACCCACUUUAACCGUACCUUUACUCCUUUUAUUGAUCUUCAAUUUACGGUGCCCUCGGCUAUUGAGCACGCCGAUAGAACAUGGAGCACGGUCGAGGAGAGACAUAUUCACACGUCUGAUCAUAACAUCAUCCGAUUCAUAUGAUCCAUCGGGUGACCAUUUUCGUCCAGAAGGUGUAAUGAUCAUCGACGUGAGGUGGUCGAAAGCGAGAUUACAAAUGUCUUGAUCCAUUAGAUUAUCAAUAGAGAAAGCUGUGAAGGAAUUAACAGUCGUAGUUCCUAGAUUCUCUUGUUGGAACUCGUUGAACGCGAGCAUCAUUGUUUGGAUGUAAGAGUUUUGAAGCAGCCUCGGCUUAGAUCGCUUGUCGUGCGGUACUAAGAUGGGGAACGCACGUCCCGCGAGUUUCACGAGGUGUAACACUGUAACCGCGAUAACUCCUUUGUCUUUGUUCUCGUUGUUAAGCGGAGAAGAAAGCAGUUGAAGCAGCGAGAUCAUGCCUGAGAUGUUGUCUGGUCUGUGCAAACACGUUAGUAUCUUGAGGUCUGAAUUUGAUUUUAGAUGCAUAACGUCUCUCUUUACGUAACCAAUAUACUUCCUCUUUGGAUCGUAUAGUGCUUUCACAAUAGUAGGUAAAAUCCCCGCGUUCAUUAACACGUACAUCAUCAAGAACGUGUACGUUGCAUGCGACAGAUUCUGUGUAAAUAAAAAACAUUAGCCCAUUAGUUCGAAAUCAUGCAUGUAAAGCGAGUUAGCGUUUUGUAAUAAAUAAUUAUUACCCAUUUAUUGAGGGCGCCUUCAAUGAAGCAUAGGUCAACAAAACCCUUAUAGUUCAUAAUCAUGGCGAUGAUAAUGGACUCUCUAGUAGGUAAUUUGAAGAUCAAGCAAGGUACAAAAGAGGCGGUCCAUUUCAGGACCAAUGUAAACCCCACCAGAAAUAUGUUAAACGAUAUGUCAUCGAACGCAUAUAAUACCCCUAUAAUGUCACCUUUCAUGGUCAAGACCGCGAUUGAAAUCGGGAAAAAUACGUUUGUAGCCAAGCUCUCGAACUUGGCCUCUAACGCUGACCCCAGAGGUGGACCGUCUGGGAUUGCCAUCCCAACCAUAAAGGCUCCUAGAACGUGUAUUUGGUUGAAAAACGUUGUGUAACUGCUCGCGGCUACUGCCGUCAUGAUUGUUCCGUACAAGUAGAGUUUCCGUACGGACUUGCCUUCUGGGGUAAUGUUGACUAUUCGUUGAGCCGCAGGCCUGAUGAUGAAUAUGAUCACGAGCACUAAGAUGAUCAUUGCCGCUGCAUCGCGGUUGGCUGUUCUCGGCGAUACGUACCUGCACGACCGUUUCAAACUAUAUAUUAUAACGAAUGUUCAAAAAUUGUUAGAUAAGUUAAUGUGGCACUCGAAUGUUGUCUGCAUCUACGUGAAAUAUGAAUAUCAUUUUUAUAUUGAAAAAAAUAUAAUUUUUAUAAAAACGUUGUUUUUUGUAAAUGAAACAUGAUUAGUUUUAUUUUUGGUUGUUGACCAAUCCUUAAACCAGUUUAACCAAAAGUAGAGCACUUACAUUGUUUUGGAUAGCCUAACUUAUUUUAGACUUUUUGAGAUUUUUUCAUAGUUUGCGUAGGUAAAACAAAUUAUUAUCAUCACUUGCAAACCAUCCCCAAUUCAAAUCACAUAUAAUGUUUAUUUUAUUGUUAGUAUUAAUUAGCAAGGGAAUAAACUGUGUAAAUCUCAAACCCGCAUAUUGCAUAAUGUCAUGUUAUGAACAAAAAGAAAACUCUCUUAUAUAAACAAUCUUGAUAUAAAAAAAUGUAUGCAAAUGCACGAUUUAAACCUUUUAUAUCUAUUUGCAUACCUGUAUGUUCCAAUGUAGGAGACGCACAUCAGAUUGAUAAAAGCGAGGAGAUCGUUGAAGGCGGAGAUAGAUAUUGCGAGGCGUCCGAGUUCCGAGUUUGGAAUCUUAAGCUCAUGUAUGAGGUGGGUUACCACCGGUAACAGCGUUAUAGCCUGUAUCGAUACAAUCACGGUGCGUUCUGUUGGGGCCAGCCUCAAAGACAUAUAGAGAGGAUCAACCUUGUCGAUACGGAAGUUUCUGAAAGCCAUCCCUGUGACCAUUGUCAGGACAAAGGACGAAACCGCGAUCACAAUUGGUCGUUUGCCGGUUUGAAACGCUGCUCUUUUGUUGGUCUUGACGCCCAUCAAGAACGUGAACAUUAUCAUCCCGAACUUGGCCACACCUUCCAACGCUGCGUUACCGUCCAAAUCCAACGAUAACCGGUCCGAAGAAAAGUCCACUAAAUCAAUCAGUUGAGGUCCAAGAAGAAAACCAGCCUAAUUUUUAAAACAUAAAUUCAUUAAUUGUGACACAAGAAAUCAUUACCUAUUUACGUACAACACAAGAAACAUAAUUUUUUUGAAGGUUUUAACUUACGAGCAUGUAAGAUACGAACUGUGGUAUGCCAAUAAACCUAAGGAACAUGUGAGAAGAGACGAUAAGGACGAAGAUGAGACUGAUUUGCAUCUCAAGUAGAGGCAAUGCGUAUCCGAAGAUGACACUCGGAGUUUUAUAGGUUUCCAAGAUACCGAAAGAGGAGAUGUUGAAAUUAGCGGCUCCAUAACAAACUUUUUCGUUGCUGAGCGUCGGCCAAAGCGGAGGAGCUAGUGCUGCAGAAUCGGCCAUGGUGAUGAUUGAUCCAAGUAAAAAAGACAGAGAUAUGUAUUGGUCAAAAAAAAUUGUUUUAGAUCGAUUAUGUUUUGAUUUAUCGUUGAAGAUUUUGUUUCUGUGUCUUUGGUCUUUUCUUAACAAACAAAUAUUCAACAGCGUAAUUUGUUUGAAAAUUUGCUGUUGUCUCUCAGUAUUUGGCGGUUCUCUUUUUGACCAGCUUUUUUUUUUUUUUAACAUUUGAGCUGUAAAUUUUAUUUUACGUAUUAACAAAUACUAAAUUUUGACCCGUGCAACCGCACGGGUGCUUGUUUUCACUUUUCUAUACAUAAAUUAUUGUUUUAAAACAUAAGUGGUAUAUAUUUUUAAAGUUAAUCAUGUACUUAAAUAUUUAUAUAACUAUUUCAAAUACAAUAAUUUUAUAAUUUACAUGUUAUAAGUAAUUAAUUGUUUAAACCUUAUGUAUUUGCCGCUUCUUAUUAUAUAUUUAUCUUAUUGUAUUUGCAUUUAGUUAUUAAGCAAAUUAAUAUAUUCAUGAGAAAAUAUAUUUAAAAAAUAUUUUGUAUUUAAUUUAUGCUAAAUUCUGACCCGUAUUUUAAAACUGGAUUUCUUUUUACCAAUAUUUUUAUGCUUAUUCAUUUUAGGUAAUUUAUUAUUGUAUAUAUAAAAGUGUAAGAUAUGUUAAUUUUUAGACAUGUAUUAUAUAGUUUGUUAAUUUUAAGUCGUUCUAUCAUCAUAUUAUAUUUUAAAUAAAUAGUUUAAUAUUUAUGAAAAUAAAAUUUAUAAAUUUAUCAAUUGAAUAUAAUUUUAUCAUAUUUAUUUUAGUAUAAUAAUUAUAUUUUAACAUGAUCAUGACUAUAAAAGUAGAUAAAAUAGGAUAUAAUUUAUUUAUUUUCAUUUCUAAACGAUAACUUAAAAUACAUUAAGUUAUUGUUUAAAUAUUACACAGAUUUAUUAGAAUUUUUAAAAUAUAAUAUAUAAAUAUAUAUUAUAUUUAAAAUGAAAAUAUAUUAUGAUUAAAGUAGUUACAAAGAUUUUAUAUUAUUAACUUUAAAGAAAUACAUGUUAAUUUUUAUACAUGUAUUAUAUAGUUUGAUAAUGUUAACCCAUCUUACCAACAUAUUAGAUUUUAUUUUUGAACAUAAAUAUUUUAUAAUUACGAAAAUAAAAUAUAUAAAUAUAUAAAUUUAAUACAAUUUUAUUAUAUUUAUCUCAAUAUAAUAAUUUUAAUUUAAUAUGAUUGAUUAUGAUUAUAUAAUAACUAAAAUAUUAUAGAUUUUUUUAUUUUUCAUUUUAUAUAACUGAAUAUAUUAAUGUAUAAUAAUAUUUUAAACUAAUUUCGAAAUUAGUGAAAAUAUUUAAAUAUAAUUUCAAAAAUGAAGAUCUUGCAAAAAUCUUCUUAAACAGAUUUGUUAGAAUUUUAAAAUAAAUAUAUUUAUAUUUAAAAUGAAAAGAUAUCAAAAGAUACUAUGAUUAAAAUAUUUUUAAAAUUAUAUUUAUUAUUAGUCUGAAUUAAAAUAUAGUAUGAAUUUCUAUGAAUAGGUCCAUUAGGUCCAUUUCUAAAAAAAUCACACAUGAAUCAAGGUUGUGACUUCUGUUUUAAUAUAUAAGAUGCAAACAGGUAUGUAUGCAUAUACAGGUACACUAUACGAAACAAACAAACACAUGGUACGUGAAAAUACCGAACCAGAAAAUCCGAAUAUAACAUUGACAUAUACCAAAAAAAAAUGUUGAUAGAUCCAACGGUGCAUAGAGAUACGAUUUGAGAAAUCGUGGCUGAAGAUCAAUUAUGUAAAAACCUUAUUUUCUGUGUUUAAUGGAUUCUGUAUAGUCGAUAGUUGCGUGAAACGCAUAUCAACUAUAGAGUUUGAGUGGUGAGGAUAUAAAAAGGAGUGGACCCAUAUAGAGAAGUCAGCAAGAUGGAGGAUCCUAUCCAAUCCUAUCUUGUUCUGCUUUUUUAAAAACAUGACAUUGACAUUGAUGUGGACACACCACCAGGUUCUUGAAAUGGCGAGCCAACUGAACCAAAUCAUUGAUUAUACAAACUCUGGUUUUUCCUUUAUUGAUAACAUAAUUUUUUGUAAUAUGGCAGCAAACUUUUGUUAUUAUUCCUUCAUGCAGUUUCUGAAAUAUAAAUGACUUUCUGGAAAACUAAACACAUAUAUUUUAACAAAAAUGAAACUACGAAUAUCUGAGAUUUCAAUCAAUCGGUUUAGUUCAUAAACAUUAGGCUAAUCUCUCUUUUUAAAAUUCAUUUUCAUUAUGUUUUCUUUGGUUUUCAGAAAACCAUGUCGAUACAAAGUUUUUAUUGUUUUCUCUAAUUUUCGCUUUAGUUUACAGUAAAUGAUUUUUACACGGUUAAAUAUUCCACUUUUCAACCCAAAAAAAUAAUAUUGAAUUGAAAUUUCUUCUUUUUAAUAUAUAAAAAUAAAAAUAUAUAUAUUUAUCUUAAAUUAUUAAGCUAACAAAAUUGGUGAUAUAUAUAAAUAACUGGAUUCAGAAUUUUUUACUUUCAAAUUCUACCCAUGGCAGAUAUUUUUUCCUAAUUACACAGUAUAUAUAUAUAUAUUUUUUUUUUUGACAGCCAGUAUAUUUUAUUUAUUAACGUAGGAUUUUAUAUUAUUACAUAGUUAAUCAACAUAUAUGUGAAAGAAAAUUUACCCAAAAAGUCAAAUCGAGUAUUGCAUAAAAGCGAUAUUUUACCACUAAAUUUAAUUUACCACAGCUUUCAAAUGUGCAUCUAGUUUCAACAUCAAUAAAUAAACAAAACAAAGUUGAGUAUAGAUAAGUAAUGAUUAGGGGAAGAUAAAAAAAAUCUGGCGUGUAGCCGAGUCACCUCUCUCAUCAUCAUCACCUCAUAUAAACAAAUAUCCACCUGCUUCCCUUCUCUUCUCUGCAACUAAACAAACGUCAAAGCAUUUACGUUUUUUCAAUCUUUCGUUACUCCCGAAGAAUCUGAAGCAUCAAAGAUCAAAACUUUACAAGUAAAUAUGGAGAUGGGUUUCCAGGAAAAUCAGCAAAACCAAGAACUUACCAAUCUUAGGGAGAUUGGAUCUGGGCAUUAUGGGUAAACUACAUUCAUAUCCAUCUUUGUUGAAGCUAAAGUUUCAAUCUUUUUUUGUUGAAUUUGAUCUUUAUUGUUGUGUGUGUGUUUAGGUGCUCACAUUAUAGAAGACGAUGCAAGAUCAGAGCACCUUGUUGCGAUGAAGUUUUCGAUUGCAGACAUUGCCACAACGAAGCUAAGGUAUCUAAAACUAAUACUUAAAUGAAUCAUCUUUUUUUUUACUCUGUUCCCAACCAUAUUGUAUCUAAUCUCACUAAGGUAAAACAAAUGAAGACGAUGCAAGAUUAGAUAUCAACAUUCAUUUGUUUAUAGCUCCCUGGCUUUGUAUAGAUGUGUAAGAAAGAACAAGUUUUUGUUAGAGAUGUGAAGCUUAUGUAUGGAACUAAUGUGUUUUAUGUUUUGUUUCGACAGGACUCUCUUCAGACUGAACAGCUUCUUCGACAUGAUCUUCCUCGGCAUGAUGUUUCAAAGGUUAUUUGAAAUCAGAUUUAAUAUUCUGAACAUUUUUUAUUUCUUCACUGUGAUAAAUUUUUGAUUCUGUUUUUUUUUGUGUCAGGUUAUUUGCUCGCUGUGUGAGACAGAACAAGAUGUGAGUAUCUGUUUUUUUUUUUGAAAUAAAUCGAAUGUUAUUUGUGUAAAGAUGUGUCUUGAUGCUGACCUGUGAUUUGUUUUCUUACAGGUUCUGCAGAACUGCUCCAGUUGUGGCGUAUGUAUGGGGAAGUACUUUUGCUCAAAAUGCAAGUUCUUCGAUGAUGAUGUAAGUUUUCUUCAAACCCUUUUCUUAUAAACUGGAAUGUGUAUCAAUGAGAUUCAACUUUGGUUGUUGUUUCAGCUUUCCAAGAAGCAAUACCACUGCGAUGAAUGUGGGAUCUGCAGGUACCAAUUAAAAAAAAAAACAAAACUCUUGUAGGUUUGUGGUAACUGAUUGUUGAUAAGUAAUCAAUCUCAAUGAUGUUGGUUUUGAUAGGACCGGAGGAGAAGAAAACUUCUUCCAUUGCAAAAGAUGUCGUAAGAGACAACAAAAACUUUAUGUGCUACCAUCUCUCUUUGUUUCCAGCUCUUAUUUUGCUUCCUGCUUCAGGAUGUUGCUACUCCAAAGUCAUGGAGGACAAGCACCGAUGUGUUGAAGGUGCAAUGCAUCACAAUUGUCCCGUUUGUUUUGAGGUAAAAAGAAUCAUAUCCGCUAAUUUUUCUUUCACUAAUGCAACAUAACAUAACAGUGUUUUGAUUUUUGGGUUUAUUUGUUUUCAGUAUCUGUUUGAUUCCACAAGAGAUAUCACGGUUUUGAGAUGUGGUCACACAAUGCAUUUACAAUGCACCAAAGAUAUGGGGUUGCAUAACCGGUAAAAGAAGUCUCUCAAGUCUUUUGAUGCAAGUCACUGGGUAAACAAAGAUUAAUACCUUUUUUUUGAUGUUUUGUUGUGUAAGAUACACAUGCCCUGUAUGUUCUAAAUCCAUAUGUGACAUGUCCAACAUGUGGAAGAAACUUGAUGAAGAGGUAAGUAAGGCUUCAUAGUAUAAUGGUAUAUCUUUUUGUAUAGUCUCUUAUGUUCAUUAAGUUUUAACCUUUGCAGGUUGCUGCAUACCCAAUGCCAAAAGUGUACGAAGACAAGAUGGUAAGCUAGAUUGAAUUACAUAUGGUAUUCAUGAGGUUGUGUUAUGUAUGGUUUGGAUUCUAAUGUGAUUUUUUUUUUUUUUGAAUUAGGUAUGGAUUCUUUGCAAUGACUGUGGUUCAAACACGAAUGUUCGGUUUCAUUUGAUUGCGCAUAAGUGCACUAGCUGCGGUUCAUACAACACUAGACAGACGCAGAGAGGGCCUGAUACUACUCACUCUUGCUCUUCAGGAGUUCCUCAGGUUGUUGGCUCAACCGGUUAAUCAAGACCUGAACCGGGACUGGUUUGGUGUUUGAAUUUCCCAAGGGAGAUUAUUUAUGUACCUUCUUAACUAUAACAUCAGUCAAUACUGGUCUAUAUCAGCACAAAUUCAAAUGCUAUUUCACUGUUUUCGAUCCUGGGCAUUGUCUCAUAUAUUCAAUAUGAUAUAUAUAAUAAACGAACUUUGAAUUUAAAAUGUCGUUUAUUAGUAUAGAAUUUGAUUUUUUUCAUAUUUAGUCACAUGAUUCUACAAGGAAAAAAAAUGUAUUGAAAGAUGUCUUCUAGAACUUAAAUUUGUGUAAAUAGUAUAAAUGCAUGUAGUUAACAAGAAAUAUAUAAAAUUUCCAACGAAUAAAUCAAGCCCACCGACAAAAAAUAGAAGUUCUUGCAGAUAUUGAAAUAUUCAAGCUUGAGAUUUUUUCGUUUGCUACCUAACAAGUAACAACAAUAGUUAAGGCGGUUUGUCGUUACUUAAACUUUGUUACAACAAGUAUGAAUCGAGGAGUAGGUUAGCUAUCAGCUACGUUAGAAAUUAUGAAACAAACAAAACCCGUAAUCAAUUAUAAUUACAUUAUAAGAUUUGAGCUUAUAUGAUGACUGGUGACCCUAUAAACCCUAGUGGGCAGUUCUUUCAAACUCGUGAAUCCAUUAUCAUCCACAAACUCAAUUUUAUAAAUUUAGUUUGAAAGUAGUAAUUCUAACCUCUACAAAUAAUAUACUGACCAUCACCAAGGUCAAACAAUCUAUGAACUAACCUAUGUUGACACAAAACACUACUUACAUUACAGGACAAGAAGAUCCGACUCUAGAUCUUCAGGACCUACCCGACCCGACAAAGUUGCUUUGGGCUCUUAGGACUUUUGGUUGUUGGUCGUUAUCUCCCACCCAUCUCUCCGUAAAUCAAAAUAUUAAAAUAAAAUAUCUCAAAAGUUAAAAAUCAUUCAAGCACACCCCCACAAAGGCGACAAGUAAAACCUCUAUAAUUAAUUAAUUACUAAAUUUCAGUUAUUACUAGAGAAAACUGAUUACAUUAUGAAGCCAGAAACAUAACAUCACAUUUAGAAGAGAAAAAAAAUCAGUGAAGCUAAUGUCUUGAGCUUUAGAUACAACAUAAUAUCCAUCUCCACCAACCGGUGGUAGAUGGAAAAACCUUAAGCAUAAAAAGAAGAAAACAUAGAAACCUUAGUUCAACACAUCAUGGAGCCAACACAUGAGUGUGAAAAUGCAUUUGAGAUACAACACUCAAAAAAACAAAACCACAGCCAGCAUCCCUAUAGAAAUAAAUAAAAAUAGCAAACUCUCACAUAGUAUUAAAUAAAACCAAGGGAGUUUUUUUUGUGGUCUUUCUUUCUCAUCACUCUAAAUCUAAACCCUAAAUGGAUCAGACUCUGUCUCCCACAAUGGAGCAUAACCAAAAACCCUAAUGUACAAAGACCACUCUCACUUGACCCACUAAGGCACUAAGUGAGAUUAAAACCCUGAAAUUGACCUAUGUGAUGGAAUAUUAGAUGACUAAUAGUACUACUUGAGUAAGAAUCAAGAUCAGCAGCAGCCAGAAGUGUGUCGGUUAGUGGAGAAGAACUUUCUGAUACUUAGUUUUUGAAUACGACCCAUCUGAGAAUAAUACUCUCUUUCUGUUGAAUUUUCCACAGCCAUUGCUGACAUUUGGGCACUGGAUGGUGACUAGAGGGAUCUCGAAAGUCUUGAGAAGCGGUGGUGGGUGUUGCCAUUGAGGUAAUGGACCGGCUAAGAGCAGUGUCUGAAGCAAUGGCCCUGCCUUCAUAACAGCUUGUAAGAGCUUGCCCUUUUCAGGCAAUGGCUUGUCUGGAAACAAUGGAUCCAUAAUCUCAUUUCCUGAUACUUCUUCAAGCUGAGAUGAGUGUGGGUUCAUGACAUGAUCAUUUGGUGACAUAAAGCUCUCCUCACAAUCUGAGGAUGUGAAACACUUGUUGGAUGUAAGUUGUUGAGGAUGCAAUGUUUCAUCUUCAAUGCUUGAAGCUCCUGAUAAAGGAGGAGUCAUAUGAUUUUGCUGCUGGUGUUGUGGACGCGUGAGGUUAUCGGACAUGAGACGCUCGCAUUUCUGGAGAGCUUCGUCUCUUUCUUUAAUGGUUUUGGUUAAGAUGUCUUUGAGCUGGAUCAGUUGUUCAUCUCUUUUCCUUAUUUCCUCAUGAGCAAACAUCUUUGUUUGUUCGAGAUCUAGUGUUGUGCACAGAAGAGAGUGUCUUAAUUCUUCUGUAGUCUGUAAAUUUCACAGAAGUAGAAAAUAAAUUAGAUACACAAAAGAAAAAAAAAACAGAGGAAAAAAAUAUGUUUAAAUAAGCUAGAUGGGACAGAACAGAGGGAUCCCUAAGUUUGGUGUCACCUAGUUGCAUGUUGAGACAACCAUUAUAAAAAAUUCUAAAGAGAUCAAGGAUUGAGUGACCUGGUUGCAGAUUAAGGCCACCAUUAUGUAAAAUCCAGUUGAGUCUUAGCAACUAGGUCUAGAUUCAGGUAUUUAUUUAUUUAUUAGAACAACCAGGAAUAGUAAAAAGAAAUUCCACAUUAAAGUUCUUGUUUUGGACAGACAGCAUGCACCCAUUUGAGCAAAAACAUCAUUGAAAGAAAGAUAAAGCAAAAGCAGAAGAAGAGCAUUGCUUUGGUGAAGGGAAGAGAAGAAACUCGACUUUAGAAAGAGAGGGAAUAAAUUUUACCUUUCCAUGAGAAUAGUAAGGCCAGCCAAGAAGAGCAUUGCUCUGGUUAUCCAUAAAUUCUACUAAACUGAGCUUUUGAUUCUCUUUUAAAAUUGUGUUAGAGAGAGAUAGAAAGAGAAUGGAGUCUAACUUAGGGAGGGAAGGACAUAUAAAUAAAUAAAAACUUGUUGGACUGUUUAAAGCAGAUCAAGCUUUUUCAGGUAUGUAGCUUUCUUUCAAGAUUUCAAUAAUUAGUUAAAUAACUAAAAAGAUAAAGAUAAAAUGAUAGCACAUGAUUGUAUCAUUUCGUGUAACAUUAUCUCAACUAACUCCACUUUAUAUUUUACCGCGCAAACUAUAAGAAAAUUGUUUAGAGAUUUAUCAGUAGUAUAACUGUAUAUGAAAAUAAAAAAUCGCACAACUCAAAUUCAAAAUAAUAUAGUUGACUCAUAUUCAAAGAGAAACUAGUGUUUUUUUAAAUGAAUGUUAAAUUUAUUCAACUCAAAACCUUAUGUACAAUGGUGGUUGUAACUGUGUGUAAAAGUGGAUUGAAAUACAUUGAAAGAAUGAUCUUAAAUCAAAAAUUCAAGUCUUCACUCAUCUGGUAUCAAACCACAGCCCCAAAGAUGGUAUCAAACCACAACUUCAAAGAGCUGUUGUACCUGCCACUUCCCCCUAGCUCCUCUGAGAGAGUCAAUACGAUUCCUUACUUGUUUGUCAAUGAAAGAAACCAUUCGGCCUUGUUCCUUAGGUUGGUCUCCAUGUUUUCGUCCAUUACUAAUGUUUCACAUGAAAUUAACGAUCUUUUAAAUACUUGGUGAAUACUUUUCUUAGUAUGUGAACAGUAGAAUGAAACCAAAAGAAUCAUUUUAAAUUUUUAUCCCAAUACUUAAAAUUUUUAAAUAUAUAACUAUAAUUCAAUUUUUUUGCAAAUCAUUGUUAUACAUGUUUACAUGAUCGAGAUUAAAAUCAAUUUAGUGGGUGUAUCGUUUAAAUAUUAUAUAUGUAUAUAGUUUUUCCUUUUCCUUGUUUUGCUGAAAGUAGUAUUUAUACAAAAUUUUAAUAUUAUUUCUUUUGCUGUAACUAUUUGGUGGAAGACCAGUAUCGUAGUUUACUGACAUUGGUCUCACUCACUCACAAUAUAGUCUAAACUCUUUAAAUGUCUUUUGUUUUCUUCUUCGUUUUUUCUUGGAUACAAUACGGUUUCUUGUCUUUAUCCAAGAAAAAUGAAGUCCAACGAAAAGAGCGGGAAUGAAUGCUUCCUCUAAUAACAUAUUUUUCAAUUUUGUACAGAGAAAGCAUAUGAAGAUGAAAGAAUAUGUGUAUAAACAACUAAAGAUGCAUGGAGUCAAUGAGAAGUGGAUUCCAUUGUCAGCAAAAGAGGCAAGUAACCAAACUUUUUCCACCAAUACAUUGAGAAAAGUUUGAUGGAAUCCUUUUUUCAAUUAUUAAACCUAUCACUACUCGUGGAAAAAUAAGGACUCACAUCUUCGUUUCCAAAUUUCACGUGAAUAUUACAGAACUGAACAGCUCAGUUUUGAAAAAAGAAAAAAAAAACAGCUCAAUAUUUAAAAAUUUGAUAUAAACAUCGCUAUAAGCCUAUGCUAUAGCCACCGUCAAUAUUUUAAAUUUUUAAUAUAAUAGUCGUACAAAGAUCUACAAUAUAUGGUCGGAUUAUCAAUUUCUGUCUGCAGAUCUUGCCGAGUUUCUAGAAACCCUAAGCAAAUUAAAGUCUUUAAGAAAAAUAUAUAAUAACCUCAAGCAUAGCUAAGGAUUUUUUUAUCAGUUUUCUUUAUACUAAAAAGGUUACGAUGCAUGCAUUUUCAUUUCUACAAUAUUCAUAUCCUUUUUUGUGAUGGAAACAGCCAGCCAGUUUAUGUAACCAUCAAAUGUAUUCCUUCAUGAAAUUUUAAUAUUACCAGACGAAAAGAGUAUAAGGGGGUCAGUUGAGUGAAAACUCAAUUUUAAUUUCUUCGGCCAAAAUAUAUAAUGGAUACUCUGAUGAAAAUGAUUAAUUGACUUUUACUGCAAGUCUGCAAGUUGAAUUAAAGAAAGGAAAGUAAUAUCUCCAUAUUUGGUUGGGUCCCUGGGCAUGUUAAGUGAUUAUCAUGAAUAUCAUCGAUGGUCACAGUAAUAUUAUAAUAUAGAUGUAGUGCACGAUAUGUUCCUACCAAUUGUCAUAGUGGAGUGGUAUCCAUUAAAAAGAGCUAAAGGAUUCUCUCGUUCAACAAUAUACAUGCAGAUGGAUAUAUAUGUAAAGAAAAGAGAAAAGUACUUCCAAUACUAAAAGUAUGGAGACAAGAGUUAUCAUUUCAUGGUCUCUUUCACCAACAUUAAUCUAAGAGCAUGUGAAGCAAAACUUUUGAUUUUCUUUCUUUGUUCAUUGUGAUAGAAUUUUAAGGACUUCUGUCUUUUGGCUACUUAGGUUUCCCGUGUGAGUUGGUGCAAAACUUAGAUAUCUUUUGUGUAUUAGGUCUCGCGACCUUCAGCCUGUAUGCCUUUUAUACUAAAACACUAAACUGAUUAAUCUAUAACUCAAGUUAUUUUUCAACUAAGUUUUGCAACCGAAAAGGCAUAAACUCGAGAGGAAACACUCUUAACUAGGCGGAACCAAUGUGACAAUUUUACUAAAAUGUUAUUAUUAUAUUUAAAUAUCUUAUAUAUUAAUAGAGAAACAUUUAAAAAGUUAUAACAUGUAGUUUGUACUAAUUAAAAAAAUAUCAUGAUGAGUUGUCACAUAAUUGUAAUGAUAACUUUGUUUAAGUGACAACUUGAGAAUCAAUUGAGAAUUUUGUUUGUCCAAAAUUAAAUUGGUAGAAAAUGUUAUAUUAUAUAGUAUGUCCAUUAUGAACUAUUCAUUUAUCAAAUUAAAAUUAUUAUAUAUUAUUUUCUUAAAUAAAACAUACGAAAUUAUCUAAUAUGAUUAAGAUAUAUAUGACAGUUAAUAAUUUUAAAUAAUAAAGAUUUGCUAACAAUUUGUAUAUUUUCUAUCAUUUUUGUUUAAUUAUUUAUUAUUAAAAAUAAAUAACACAAUACAUUGGUCAUAUAAUAAAAGUUUAGAUUAUUUUUUUAUAUGUUGUAUUUUGAAUUUUUCAAAACGAGUAUAAAUUACCAAAACUGUUAAAAGUCUCACAUAAACUUUUGUGAUCAAAGUUUAAAUUUUUUUUCUAUAAUAAAAUACAAUGAUUGUAAAAUCAUAUGAAUAAAUAAUUUUAUUUUAAUAAGUGUUUAUGUUAAUAUAUAUAUUUCAUAUCGUUUAAAUUAAACUAUAUAUCAUAUGAAAAUACAUACUUAUAUUUUGAUAUUUGCGUUGAACAUAUAUUGAAAAGUUAAUAUUUUAAUUUUAAAAUCUUCAUUGUUAUUUUUUUAAAUAAUUAUAAAUUAUUGAAACCACUAAACAUUUCACAUUAAAAAAAAAAUCGUUGGUGUAAAAUUUUGGUACACAAAUAUACAAAUAAUCAUAAAAUCAUAGGAGUAGAAACCUCAUUUAAUAAAUAUCCAUAUUAAAAGUAUACUAUAUAUAUGUUAAUAUCAUUUAAAUUUAAUUAUAUAUCAUAUACAAUAGAUAAGAUUGAUUGUUUUGAUUUAUUUAUCCUAAAAUGAUUGCGAAUAAACAAGAGCGGUGAUUUGAUUUAUAUGUGUACAUCAAUUUAUUACAUAACAAUAACUGAUUUCUUGAUUCUUUAAUAUAUAAUUAUUAUUUUAUUAUUUCAUAAUAUGCAGAAAAAGAUAAAAUAAAUAAUUAAUAUAAAAUAUUUAUUUUGUACAAGGCGGAGAUAUUAACCUAAGUAUGUAUCUCUUUAAUAAUUUUAAAUCUUAAAUAUUUUCUAAAUCCAGACCAAAACAAAAUAACGAAAUGAGAAUAAACUCAAAAAUUAAUAUUUAUAUCGAGCAAUAAUCAAAAUGAAAAAAUGACACAAAAAUGAAAAAAAUAUUAAAGAUAUAUAGGAUUGGCACGUGAACGUAAACUUCUCAUAACCAUAAUUAACUUUUAAAUUGCUAAAUCAUGAUAUAAAACUGAAUUGACAUAGUUUUAUUGUAACCAAAUAGUAGGCCUAAGAUUCUUCUGCCUAAACGUUAGGUUCUUAUGCGAUAAGUAAUUUUUGACCUAAAAUAUUUUUUUAAAAAUGGAUAAGCUCAUCAGUAAACAAAUUAUGUAAUUAACAAAAAAAAUUUAUAAAAAUUGUUGAAGGGCAAAAAUAUUAAUUCGAUCAAAAAUAUAUAUUUUAUUUUUUUAUACGAUAUUUCUUAAAUAAUUUUCAUAUAAAUUUACUUUGCGCAAGGCGCAUGUUUAAUCCUAUUACUACUAUAAAAUGCUUUUAUCCGAGUGAGAAGCGCAAUGCCGAUGAUCUGAGGUAUAUAUUAUACUGUACAAAAUGAAUUUACGAGCUGCAUCUAUUUUAUGGGGUUUGUGAUUCUUUGUUUACACGUAUUGAAAAAGAAAUUAUAGACACAAAAAUAUUAGCUUCAAUCCAUAUAUCUAUGUUCUUACGCCUUAUGGGUCAUAUAGGCAAAAAGAAAAAAAAAAGAGAGCUCGUAUAUUACUCGUCCACAAAUUCACAAGAAUUUUCAUUGAUCACGGAAGAUAGAUUUGUUGAAUCGAAUCGACGACCAAAUCUAAUGUAUUAUAUAACUUUACAUAGAUUAUCCCCUAUAUAUUAUUUGAGAAGCAUUACAACAUUUUUUUGUAGUCACAUGUCAUCACUAGAAUGAUUCUUAAAAUCCUUAGAGAAAUAGGUUGGUCUAUCUAAAUACAUAAUAAUUUUUUUAUUAAACUAACCAUAAAUAUAUUAUUAAUGUGCUUCAUUAUUUUCAUAAAUAAAAUUACGGAAUUACCUGAUAUGACUAAAGUAUAUAUGACAAUUAAUGACUUUGAAUAAUAAAGAUUUGAUAAAAAUAUGUAUAUCUUAUAUUAUAUUUGUUUAAUUUUAAAUUAUUAAAAUAAAUUAAACAAUCAUAAUAACCAUUUAAUAAAAAUUAAAAAAAAAUUAUAUGUUGUAUUUUGAAUUUUUAAAAUGAGUUUAAAUUACUAAAACCAUUAAAACUUUCACAUUCAAAUUUUGUGAUCUAUGGUUUAAGAAAAUAUACUAUAUAUAUAUGUUACUAUCAUUUAAAUUUAAUUACAUAUCAUAUCAAAUAGAAAAAAAAUAUUCUUUUGGAUUAAUAAAAUUUAUUUAUAUGUUCGCACCAGCUUAAUUAUAUAGGUAAUAGUUACUGAUUUUUUAGUUAUUCAAUAUAUAUUUAUUAUUUCAUAAUAGGUUAGAAACAUAUAAUAUAUAAAAUAAUUUUUAUAUAUAACGUUUAUUACGCGCAAGGCGUGGAUCUUAACCUAGUAUACAUAGUAUUGUUAUCAACAACUAUAAGUAGUGUUGUUGUCAAUAACUAGUCAACAAAUAUGUAGUCUUUGAUUUAUUAUAGUAUUAGAUAUGGACUAUGAUAAGGUUCAACCAUUUAACCAUUACCGUUCCUCUUAAAUUAAUGGUAUUGUCUUCCCACUGAUACAUGUGGUAUCUGUGAAGAUUAGUAGUUAGUUUAUUACUUUAUAUAUUUUCUUGUGUAUAUGACACCAGUGUAUUUGGACUAGAUAUAAUAUUUGUUUAAGAAAAGUUUAUGUUUUUGUUGAUUUGGGAUCUUUAACAGACUAAUCUAGUCGAUGUCAAAAAACAGACUAAUCUAGUCACUGAUUGUUAUUCAUUUUGAAUUGAAAGCGAUCUGAAUAAACAUUGACAAUCAUUGAUACGAAUGUUUAUGUGACUUCGUAGAUUUCUGUAUCAUAUAUGAAUACUAUGUCCCACAAUAUUCAAAAUCUAAUUAAUGCCUUAUGAAUAUGAUCGUGUUGGCAAUUUAACAACAACGAUAUUUUACGGAUAAGAGCUGUUUAUACGAAGCCAGAAACAUGGGAGCUAUCCAUAAAUGCACUGGACAUGCUUCACUAUCAUAAUGAAUGAAACAAGUUUAUGCGCGUUUUAGUUUAAUCCAAUAUAUUCAGAUCCUUAAAUUUGAUAUUAAGGAAAACCAGAUUGCUUAUUCUGUCGGCCAAUAUAUUCAAUUACUCAUGAAUCAUGAUUGUUCUAAUGAAUGGAGGCAUGAACUACUAGCUUGAGAAAGUAAAAGAAACAAAACGAACUUACCGUUGUGGCAGUUAAAAGAUUCAUUAUUCUCCACACAUACCUUUGAAAAUUUGUCUAAGAAAAUUCUUCUCGUUUAUAUAAAUUAUAAGUUACCAUUUGUACGAACUACACUACAUCAUACUCAUACCUAAUUAUAUAUAUUCCAAAAAUGCAGAUCAUUUGCGAGAGUUUACUAGAUUUCAGAUCUACAAAGUUAUUUUACAUGACAUCGUGUUCUGUCCUAUAUCAAAGUUCAUACGUAUUUAAAUCAAACCCUGUGGAAUAUAUAUAAUUAGGUAUGAAAUAUGAUGUAGUCUACUUGUAUAUACUGACUGUAGUGCGUGUGAUAUAAGUCAAUGUAUAUAUUUUUAUAGUUAUAGUAUGCGGACUCGUCCAAGAGCCGGUUGUUUAUCCUGUAAGCAGACAAAACUAUUCGACCAAACUACUUCGGUUUAAUUUUUUUCUUUGACUAGGUAGCCCAUCUCAGAAUGUUCAACAAUUUUAGCCGUCUCGUGUUGAAAACAUGAAAAACGGGAUUUGAACAACUUUCUGUCCUAUCGAAAAGCUUAAACUAUAAACGUUUCAGUUUUCUCGAGGUCGAUCGGAUAAAUUGGUAAAGAAAAUAAAUGUUAUGAGUUUUAUUGAUCAAUUAUUUAUUUGUAACAUAAAAAUAACUAAUCAGGAUCAUGGAAAAAGGAGAAAAAUAUCUUUUGUAAAUCAACAAUCGUUUGAUGAUCUAUGCCAGGUACUAAAUAUACUUGUCGAUGAAAGGUGUUCUUAUUAGAUACCAAUUCCCAAUAGCCAACCCGUGGGCUUCGUAGAUUAGUCAGAGCCGGAUCCAACUCUAUGUUUAUUGGCUAUGUAUCAUCGUAGGAUGCAAUAGGAUAGUCUUUGUUCAAUAAUCAUAGACCACAAACUUCUCUUCUUCUUUUUGUGGUAAGAAGUAUUGGCUUCUGAAACUACAUUUUUCAGACCAAAAAUCAAAAAAAAAAAAACUUCUAAGUAAAUUUGGUAUUAAGAUCUGAUAGCAGUGAGACUUUUCUUAACUGGUUAAGUUUUUAACAUUGUCCAAUAAAUAUUAUAUUCUAUACACAUCAAUUUAAAUUACGUACAAUAUUGAGAUUUAAGAUCUUCAGUUUCUAAUGCCUGAUAAAUUCCAUGAAUAUAGUUUGCAAGAUGACAGUUCGCAUCAUUAGAAAGGUAGAAAGAAGGCAAAGUUGUAAACCAGAUGGGUUCUUGAAGUACCGCAUUUGAGUUUUAUAAAAACGGCUCCUUAUUCACGUGUAAGGCCCAUUUCUUACUUCUUAGUUCAUAAUGUUUACAAUGGGGGUGCAAAGUCCUCCAAAGCCUACUCUGAGUCUUAAAUAAUUAAGUGAUUGUCGGAUAUCUAUUUAUCGAAUUCGUUGUAGCACACCGGCCAAUUUCAACUGAUGAAAUCCGGGUUCAACCCCCGGCAGCGAAAAACUUUUGUUAUUAUUAUGCGUUUGUCAUGUUACUAAAUCAUCGCUAAACGUUUGUUAAAAUAAACUUGUGUUCAUAAAUCAAACAAUUUAACACUCUAUAUCAAGCACCUUGUGUGUGUUUUGUUUUUCAAUUGUAUAUGUAUUUCACGACGAACCAAUUUGUACUUUGUGGAACAGUGGAAGUCAAUGUUUUGUCAUCGAUAUGGGAAAACGGACAGUAGAAAAGUUCACCAUUUGAGGGAGAGCGACUAUUUACAUCCAAAGAUAAACAUAUAAAAACAAAAGUAUAAUUGCGAAUAUAUAAACAAUCUAAUUUCAAUAUAGAAUAUAGGUUUGGUUUGUGAAUCAGGCUGUAUAUAAGCACGUACAAUCCAUUUCUGUCUCCAUGUAUAUAAAUAUACACGUAGACUUUUUUGGCUAGAUGGGUAAAUGUGUGAAUUAUGUUGGUUACAAUAUUAAAUGUUACAUUUACUAUCGUACUGCCCAUUUAUGUGAUAAGAAAGUGCAACCAAUCAGUAGCUGAAAUCUACUAAAGUGAUAAAUACAUCAAAACUUUAACAAAAACUGUUGUUAAUUAAACCAUUUUUGUCACUGGUCCAGCCAUCCCACAGAUAAAAGCUGAAUUCUCAUCCAUGUGGCUGUGAAGAUAGAUUUUGUUUCCGUCAUUACAACCGCAAAAUCUAAAUGUUUGUAUCGUAAUGUCGCUUAACCAAUCACGUUAUUCACGUAUUUAUCAUACAAUGUCAACUGAUUAAGAAUGGGCUCUUUUAGGCAAAAAAUCACGUUAAGAUAUUUCACCAUUAAAAGAUCACACAAAAUAAAGGCAAGAUAUUGUAUUUCUGUUUUUUUUUCUUCUCUUUUCAUUGUUUUAUCAAGUGGGCAUCAUUUAUUUAUAUACUAAAAAAGAGAAGAAUAUGGUGAAAAUCUAUCGUCUCAGGCGUCAUCCGUGCUCGUAACCACUUCCUUAAGUCUUAACCACUUGACUACUUCGUGAUUAGUUUGAUGAUUAAUUUUGUGAUGAUUUAUUGACCAUUACUGGAAGUCUGGAACUAUGAUAAUGAAAUAAUUAUAACUGCAAAACAAUUAAUCAGCAAACCCUUCGUUUCACCAUAUGUUGGAUGUUUUAAAGUGUAACACAUUUAAAAAAUCAGAUUGGGCAGAUACUAUACUAGUAUCAUUUAGUCGUUUGUAAUUAUUGAAAUGCGAAAACGUUAUAGCUAAGCAAUCUAGUAGCAUUAUUAUACAAGGAGAACAAGAUUAAUGUAAAUACACGAACAACUAGGCAACCAAAAGUUGCAUACAAAAAGUUCAUGCAUGUAUGUAUGGGCACAAUAACACAUUGUGAUCACAAGUUAACACUUUGCAGUUCCCAUAAGCAAAAAAAAAACUACUUUAAUAACCUAAACAAGACAAGGAUUUUAAACUAUACUUUUCUGUUUGUAAAUGUAUUGCAUUCUUUCUCCCCUUCAGCCACUACUGGCCCAGUGCCCUUGUAAGCUUUUUAGAUGCUCUUUGCGCUUCUUUAAAAGCCACACGCUAUAAUGUGUAUUUGUGUGAGUACAUAUUAUAAUUAAUUUCAAAUUUUUAGAUACAAAAACGGCAUUCUCUUUAUACUACGAGUUUAGGAUAAAGUAUGAUGUAUGUUUGGCUUGAUCUGGCUAGGAAGUCCCGUACCGUACGUGACACUCACUUUCUAAUAGCCGAGAAACAAAUAGAUGAAGAAAGCUCGUAUUUUUCUUAUGUAUAUUCAUCCUUUUUAAUAACAUAUGAAGAAAAAAACAGUUUCAUUAAUUUAUCAAAGUUUGAUUUGGGUGUUGUUUGAUGAGCUAUAACUUAACAACAACAUGUGAGUUAUAUAAGUAAAUUUAUUAACAAUUUAACAGUUAAAAAAUUUCCCAGCUAGCUUCUAACACAAAGAAACAAACAAACACCUUCCAAUAAUUAGCUAAAAAUAUCCAAAACAACACUGUCAUUAGCUUAUCAAGAGACCAUUUAUGAACCACAUCACAUGCACUUCACGCCUCACGGGAUCAAAACAAGCCCCCAACUUACCAAAUACGCAAAGUAAUCAUUACAGGAGCCUCCAGGGGUGUUAUUGUAAUUUCAUUUUACAUGGUAUGAUAAAUAAGACUUGGACCAAGCGAUGAACCCGAGACCAUUGCUGCUCCAUUGCAUUCUUAUGUGACCUUCUCUCUCUAUACUCUGAAAACUUGAUUAUUUUCUUCUUUGUUUUUGUUGAAAAAAGUUAUGUUAUUUCUUAAUGUUAUCUUAUUCGAUUCCACUGGAUUCGAACCAAACCCAUGACAGGAGAGAAUGAUGAGAACCAGAUCACCAAUCUUGAUCCAAAUGUAAUAAAAAAAAAACUACUAUGACGGUGCAUUCUUGAGAAAGUCUCUUUCCUUCUUGAGAAAGUUUCUUUCCUUCUCUACAUUUCUCCCAAUCCCUAUCUGAUCUCUAAUUCUCAAUCAUUAUCAUCACCAGAAGAACAAAAAGAAAGCAAUGUCGCUUGACAUUAAAAGACCUAUCAGCAACAAGACCAAGAAGAAGACAGGGUUCAUCGUCAAUAUGCAGCAGCUGAAUCACAACAACAGAGGAGGAAACAACCUCUUCAUCGUCUUCUUCAGACAUUAUUACAGAUGGAUCCUCUGGUUUUUCCUCUCUCUCUACUUCUUCACAUCUUACUUCGCCGGAGACCAAUCCACCACCACCACAACAACUAGUCUCAUCUCUCACCACAAAACGUCGUCGUCUCUCCCGUCCCACGCCCUCAUCGAAUCUUCCGCCAUUGUCAAACCAGCUCACGCGUCUAUCUUCAGCGGGAUGAAGAUUUACGUUUACGACUUACCGGCGAGAUUCAACGCCGACUGGGUGACGUCAUCAGACCGGUGCGCUAGUCACCUCUUCGCGGCGGAGGUAGCCAUUCACCGCGCACUUCUCUCUGAUUCAAAUGUCCGUACGUUAGACCCGGAAGAAGCUGACUUCUUCUUCGUCCCCGUAUACGUCUCCUGCAACUUCUCCACCGCCAACGGCUUCCCUUCUCUUAGCCACGCUCGCUCCCUCAUCUCCUCCGCCGUUGAUUUCAUCUCAGAGAGUUACCCGUUUUGGAAUAGAGCACGAGGUUCCGACCACGUGUUUGUAGCUUCGCAUGACUUCGGUGCAUGCUUCCACGCCAUGGUAAGAUCCUCUGUUUAUUAAUUUCGCAUAAAGUUUUAAUUUUUAUAGAUUUUUGAAAAGUUAUAAUUUUAUACAAAUUUUUAUAGAAAACUGAUUUUGGAAAGUAUUAAUUUUUGUACAGAUUUUUAGAGAAAAACUGGUUUCGAAAAGUUUUAAUUUUUACACAGAUUUUAGAGAGAAACUGAUUUUUGAUUUUUUUUUUUAUAUAUAAUUUUAGAGGAAACUGAUUUUUUUAUUUUAUUUAUGUGAAGGAGGAUAUGGCGAUUGAAGAAGGCAUUCCAGAGUUUAUGAAGAAGUCGAUAAUUUUACAGACGUUUGGAGUAAACUACAAGCAUCCAUGUCAAGAAGCGGAGCAUGUGGUGAUCCCGCCGUAUAUUCCGCCGGAGAGUGUGCAUAGAGCAAUAGACAGAGCUCCGGCGAACAGACGGCGAGACAUUUGGGCGUUUUUUCGGGGGAAGAUGGAAGUCAACCCUAAGAAUAUUAGCGGACGUUAUUACAGCAAGUGCGUGCGUAGCGAAACCUUUUUUUUGUUUUCUCGUUGACUUUGACUUUUUGUGUUUGUUUUGUUCUUAAUUUCUAAAAUUGCCACUUUCCGGCGUGCAGGGGAGUAAGAACGGCGAUUCUGAAGAAAUACGGCGGAAGAAGACGGUUUCAUCUUAACCGGCACCGGUUUGCUGGAUACCGGUCUGAGAUCUUGCGGUCUGUGUUUUGCCUUUGUCCUCUCGGGUGGGCUCCAUGGAGUCCUCGGCUAGUGGAAUCAGCUGUUUUAGGUUGCGUCCCCGUAGUUAUCGCAGAUGGGAUUCAGUUACCGUUUUCGGAGACGGUACGGUGGCCGGAGAUAUCACUCACGGUGGCGGAGAAAGACGUGAAGAAUCUACGCAAGAUAUUGGAACACGUGACAGCGACCAAUUUGUCAACGAUACAGCGAAACUUACGUGAGCCGGCGUUUAAGCGGGCCCUCUUGUACAAUGUGCCGAUGAUGGAAGGUGACGCUACGUGGCAUAUUCUCGAUGCGUUGUCGAGGAAGUUAGUUCGGUCGUACAGAAGGUCAAGGGUUUUCAGCCAAUGAAGAGUUGACACGUAAGAUGCUGUCGCGAAAUGGAUGCUAGGCUGGAUAUUUUUGACUCUUUCGAUAUUGGAAACUGGAAUGUCUUGGUGUGGGGUCCAUAACGUGAGAAGCUUAACUCGGACACGUGAGAUGUUUGCUGAGCUGGCUACCACUGAGUGGAUCAGCAUGUACCUCAGGGAAGUGAAAGUGUAAAGUAUGCUGAUGUGUAAUUCUUUUGUAUGAGUAGGCAUUUAAUUCUUUGAAUAUAGAAAAUGACAUGUAAAUCGAAAUGCAUGCCGGGUAAAAUCUAUCCCAGCUCGUUUAAAAUCCAAGCAUAGUAAAUAACGGGAUCUAAUGAACACAAGUGUAGUCUACUCUAGUGUCAGGAAAUUUUAACUAUGUUUAAUAACUCGGUUAGCUUUUGAUAUCCUUUCUCCUACAAAAUAAUUUACAAUUAAACUUCAAUAGUUGUUAGUAAAAUAAAUAGGAAUUAAUAUAACAAAAGGGGUGGAGUUGCAUGGGGGAAGAUGAAAGACAGAGCAAUGUGAGCAAGGAGACAGCUAGUGUGUCAGAAGAUGCAUUAUACCCAAUAAAUGUAAUGUGCCGAACUAAUAAUAUGUACACAGUUUGUUUGUAGUCCCACCUCACGUCUAGUUGUUAUAACUAAAACAGUAGAAUUGAUCCGUUUAGAAUAUUACGGAGCUGAACGUUUAGAACCGGAGAGGCUGUGUCCAAAACUGAUACUAUUACUAUUACACAAUGUUGUGUUGUUUAUUGCAAAAAAGUGAGGUAAAUAAUUUUGUUUAGAACGAAAGUGACAUAUCUCCUUUACAAUGGUCCAAGUACCAUUCUCUUUCUCUAAGGAUUGGUGAGAGAGACAUGGGAGGAGGGGUCUGGAUCUAAGACCUAAACAAAAAUCACACAAAAGGGUCUCCAAAAAUUAGCUAAAAGGCGCUAGUUAUGUUUGAUUUAUCUUAGGAUCUAUAUUAUGUUGGGCCGAACCCAAUGAUACACAGGCCUAAAUUAAAAGUAUUUUAAUAUUCCCCUUUGCAAUAUGUUAUCCCUUUUUAGUUUAAGACAACCAAUUAUUUUAGUUUUGUUUUAAAUACUUUUGGUUCUUUGGACAGAACAUUGGGAGCAAACAGAUUAUUCUUGUAAAAUAAAAAAACAGAGCAGGGAGAAUGGAGAAAGUGAUGAACCUGAUAAAGCCGAAGCCUGAUCCGAAGCAAAUCUUACGUGAUUGGCAACGCAAGCUUCGUCAAGAGUGCCGUAACAUCGAACGCCAAAUCCGAGGUUCUUUCUUCCUCUCUGAUCAAUUUAGGGUUUUUCUAGAUUGAGCGAAAGUUCCGAACUUUGAUGAAUCUAUCUGAAAUUAGAUUGAUGGGUUUGUUCGAUCGCACCCCUAAUUGCGAAAAAUCAAUCUGAAUCGGAUCAUGAUCACGAAUCACGAGUGUCCUUAUAAGCUGAUUUUGAUUUCAAUUUGAAUCGUGUGUGUUGGGUUUAGGUUACAAUCUGAUUUUGAGAUUGUUUCGUUUUCAGAUAUACAGAAAGAAGAGAGAACCGUUCAGAAAGCUAUUAAAGAGGCUGCUAAGCGUAACGAUAUGGUCUCAGCAAAGGUAGACAGACUCUUAAAAGUUAGUUUUUUUUUAUUCUUUUGUAAUCUUUUGGCUGAUCCUCAUUCUAUGGUGUUCAUUCAAGGCGCUUGCUAAGGAGAUUGUUAGUGCGAGAAGAACAGUUAACCGUUUAUAUGAAAACAAGGCCCAGAUGAAUUCCAUAUCAAUGCACCUCGGAGAAAGUGUUGGUAAUAUACAGCUUACAGUUCUCAUCGUUUUGUCUUUACUAUGUUUGCAAUGUUAUUCUCUAACACAUAAGUAUCCUUUCUUUGAACCUUUCAGCUGUUGCUCGGACCGUUGGGCAUCUGUCCAAGAGCGCAGAGGUUAUGAAGCUAGUUAAUAACCUCAUGAAGGCUCCUCAAAUGGCUACAACUAUGCAGGAGUUCAGCAAAGAGAUGACUAAGGUAACCUUUAUUUCUUUUCCCUUUCUCUCAUCAUAUUAGUAUUCAUUUUAUAUUAAUCAAUCCAUAAUGAUUUUUAUUUUUGUUGCUUUGAUAUGUAGGCUGGAGUUAUUGAGGAGUUUGUGAACGAGGCCAUUGACAAUGCGCUAGAUUCAGAGGAUAUGGAGGAAGAGAUCGACGAAGAGGUUGAUAAAGUAUUGACUGCUAUCGCUGGAGAAACCGCUGCUGAGCUUCCAGAAGCUGUCAGGAAGGAAAGGAUAAAGGUGCCUGCACAGAAGGCGAGUACUUCCCGCGAGGUAAAAGCUUGUCCACCAAUAUGCUCUGCUUGAUUACGAGAUAAGGAGAUUAUGUUCUGAAAGAAGAUGUUGCGUUUUGUUUUGUUUCCCAGGAAGAGGCAAUUGCAGAAGGUGUUGAUGAUGAGGAAGAACUGGAGGAGAUUCGAGCUCGCCUCGCUAAAGUUAGAUCCUAACUUGAUUCCAGUGACUCUCUUUAUACACGAUUUUUAUUGAUCCGAGGAACUCUUGAAGGUGAUGAGAGAACAGAAGGAGAUUGAUGUGUAUUGUAAAAUAUAAUUGAAUUGCCUUAUACAUUGUAAUCAUAAGCUGUCUUUUGGUAACAAAAUUUUCUUUUAUUUUCAUCCGAAACUCUUAUACUAUGGUUCAGUGGUUGAGAAAACCGGGUUCUUUGAUUUUGGUUUAGUAUCCACUUUAAACAUGUAGUGGAGAGUUGGAGCAAACCGUAAUUCUGAUUACCUAAAUGUUUAGGCGAGAGUGAUAAAUGGUAAUAUAACUUUCGGUUGAUUAUUGGAUAUGUGAUAAUCCGAAUGCUAAUUCGACACCGAACCAACCUCGUGUUUUUUUAAGAACCAUCUAACGAGCUUGGUUUAUGAUCAUGAUCAUCAGCUGCACGAUCUACACAUGGCUGAGUGCAUAAUAUUUACUGAGAUAGUCAUAGCCAUAUUAGCACAUUAAUAUAUGUACAAUUGAUUGCUAGAGCAUUAGCAAUAUGCUCUACAUUAUACAAUUAACAAUCGCUACAAAAGUAUUUAGAAAAAUAUUUAUUAAAUGCUAAUGCUCUCUAAAUGUUCUCUGGUUAAUGUUCUCAAAUGAAGCUUUUAGAAAAACAUUUGCAUUUAUCAUUUAUAAAAUUAAAAAAAUAUAUAUUUAAUUCAUUUAUUUUAUUUAAUAAUAUCAUAAAAUUAUUUUUAUAUCCAGAAAAUAAAAUUUUGAUUUCUAAAAUUAAUUUACAACAAAAUAUUUUUUUUUAAAUAGGCAUUUCACAUUUAAAAUAUAAUAUAAUAUAUUUUAAAUGUAAAAUAUUAUUUUUAAAAAUAGAUAUUUUAAUUAUAAACUUUAUUUUUAGAUAAUAUUUUUUGAUAUAAACAUAAAUUUUAAAUUACUAAAUAAAGUAAGUAAAUUAUAUAUUUUUAAUAUUAUAUGUUAAUAUACUUAUAUAUACAUUAGAAAUAUAUUUAUUAAAAGUAAAUAUAUUGUAUAUUAUAUACUAAGUUUUAUAAUAUUUUUUAAAUUGCAUACUCAUACUGUUUUACCAAUAAUCUUAUCAAACAAUUUAGCAAAAACAUACAGCUUUUUCAGUAUACUGUUUUUAUAGCAUACGGCUACUGAUUUAUCAUCUGCUAUGUCAAUCAAGGCCGUAGAAUCAUACAUACAUAUAUUAGUUUGGACUCACACUAAGCAAGAGCACCCACUAUAUUUACCCAUUUCUCUGUCUUUGUUUAUACAAACAGUUAAUUGCAAAACGACAAAAAAAUAUUUAGAGCAUCAAAAGGAGUUUAUUCUUUUGGAAACAAUAUAUCUCUAGAUUUAUUCUCAGACUGAAUUUCAUAAUGUCGAAAGCAACUCGUAUGCAUAGGUCAACCUCAUGCAAUGUUUGACAUAGGAAUUUACCAGAUCGUCCACACCCAAAAUAGAAUUAAGAUCCUAAUGAACAAACUGGCAACAUGUUUGGUUGUAACAAAAAAUUUUUUGGCAUCAUAUACAAAAAAAUGAUUUUAAAAAAAAAGUAUCUAACAAGAAAGAAAGAGAAGGACAAGUAAAAUAAAUUCACGAAAAACAUUAAAUAAUCGAAGUAUAAUUAAUAAUAAUAAUCAGUCAUAACCAGUUCACACAUAAUUCAUCAACUUCAACCAAUUGAAUUGGCCCCUAAAUUACUUUAAAAGCCUUUUGCCAUAAGCUAAUGCUUGAUUGGUUUGUAGCCAAAACCGACUAUUUUGUUGAGUAUGUCUUCUUCAUAGGAUAUUAAUACUCAACAUCUUAAGAAGGAUACAUAUAUCGUAGUAUUCCGAAUAAUCUAGCUUUCUAAAUUCUAAUGUCUUCGUUAUCAUAUGAAAAUAUGUAUUCUUUUUUUUUUUAAACAAAAAAUAUGUAUUCUUUUUAUUUGCUGCGAGUGAGAAAAAGCUUAUGUUUUUUUUUUUUGUGACAAAAGCUUCCUUACAAAUGCUCCAGACAUGGUCCCGAUGGAUCAGCCAAAAGCUUCCUUACAAAUGCUCCAGACUUGGAUGCAAGGAAGGCUUUCUACUCCGACGGUUCCUCAGUGAUUAUUAUGUUUCUAAUGUCUAAGCAAAAAUAAUCCUAAGAAAAUAAUAACUGUCUGCUUAGUCUCUUGACGUUCUUAGUAGUUGUCCAAGCAUAUGACUGUUGAGUUGGAAUAAUAAUGAAUGAUAUAUUUAAGAUUAAGAAAAAACAAUGCUCUCGUUAUAUUUAAACCAUAAAGUAAAUUUCAGUAACCACAAAAUUUCAUUUCCAAGAUAAUGUUUACGUUAAUGGGUUAAUUUAUCAAAUGUUAACAAUAUGUGUAGUAUACGAAAAUAUAACAUUUGAAAUUGAAACGUAAAUUUGGAGCAAUUAGAUGAAAAUGAUCAUAGGACACUUGUGCCAAUAAUUCUUGUCAUUGUUCCAACAGUAAAACCCAUCAUCUUUUGCAACAACGAAACGCACCGCAGAAUCAGUGUCCGAAUCGUACAAACGGUACAUCCUCAAAGAGGGCACGAAUUGUGCUUCACCCCAAAACGUUCCUUCGCAAGACGUCCGCUGCGACACUCUAGGUCUCGCCGGUUUAUCGUUUUUUUCAGCGGUGGGUGGGAUAUCAUCAGUCGCAUUUUUUCCGCUAGUGGUUGGGAUCUUUAUCAACGAGACUUGACCCAAAGGUAUGGGUUUAGACAUCCUAGGAAUUGAGCCCUGGCACGUCACGAAGACGGGAACAUUAGCACGUCUCUGCAUCUGGUUGGAUACGAUAAGAGUGGCGGCACGUGCGGAUCCAGAGCUAACAAAGAGCACUAGGGUCAUGAUCGAUACCAUUAUAAGAGUGUCCAUGAGUUUUUAUUAUGUGGAAAAGAUGUGUUAUAGAAUGUAAAUAUAUAUCUUCUUUGGAAGUUUAUGUGUCUCUAUUUAUAUUAUCUGGCUUCAGUUUCUCAAAUUUUGAGCAUUAACAACAAUCACUACGUACGUUUAAGAAUUGAAAGGUGAUUAAUAAGUGAUUACGGUUACCAUUAGAAUUAAGAGACUCUAACAUUUAUUAGAGACAAUCUCGGUUUGGUACCUGUUCUGUGAUUGUUGCAAUUAGAGAGAGAUAAAAAAGAUUUCAGUGAUGUCAUCAUUAGUUUAUUUUUAUUUUUUGGAAAGAUGUGCUGCGACAUUUGGUGUGUAAUAUGUAUAAUGACAAAUCAAACCCAUUUUUUUAUUAUCAAAUACAAAUCAAACCUUUAUUCUUAAUAAGAAUGACCAACUGCAUAGUGUUAAGUGUGAAUAAAACGGUGUUUCACACAGCAUGUUCAAUAUAUACGAUUAAUCAACAGAAAAGCGAAGAGUAUUAUAGAGAAUAUGAUACUCUGUGACUUGACUGAAGGAAAAGGGGACUAUGGUGAGUGGUGAGGCAUGUCACGUCACCGUUGUCUAAUCCAUUUUCAGUUAACCAAUGGACCGUAAACAAAUAUUGGCCUUUUAUUAUGAAAUAUGGACCGUUUCACAUAUCUUCAGAAACCACCAUUGGCCCCUAUUGUUUUCUAUCGCCUCCCAAUUCACUCGGAGUUACUCUCCCCUUUCACCUCCUCCCUAAUAUAGGCGUCCCACUUUCAUGAUUCAUAAAGCUCCAUCAUUUCAUGAUUCAGUGGAGAGUAUGAGUGCUUGCAAGAUAUUUGAUCAAAAUGGUGCAUGGCUACGGAGAAGUAAGGGUUUUUGGUGUCGAGACAUUGAUCUAAAAAUUAUGUGAACCGAAAAGGGUACUUUCCACCUUCAAAACUGUAUUUGUUGUGUGUUACUUCGAAGUUUAGGAGAAACAAAGGCGAUUGGAAGCCAAUGAAGCAUGGAAUUCGGGCUUUCAUAUAUUAAAUAUAAUAUCGGCCAAAAAUUUGACAAAAGUGACUUUAGUCUAGUAGUCAAAUUUCUCUAAAUUCUGUAAGACAUGAAUGGUUCAAACCUAACCAGACACAUUAUUGUUUUUGGCUUGUGGUCUCAACAAAAUAUGGACCAGCUCUACUAUUGAGAUGGAAUAAUAAUGUGAUAUAUUUAAGAUUAAGAAAAAAAUGCUCUCGUUAUAUUUAAACCAUAAAGUUAAUCGGGCAAUUUUCCGAAAUAGACAAUUUUCAAGUUUUUGUUCACAAAAAUAGAUCACAAGAAGGAAAAUGACCAAAACGUUUCAUUUAAUAGGUAAAAUGACAUUAAUAACCUAGAUAUAAAAAAAAUUAAAAAAUUAAAAAAUAAUUUUUAUAGUUUUAGAUUAUAUAUUUUCAAAUUUGAACUUUAAAAAAAAAUCGAAUUUUUUUUUUGAAAAUUUUCUUUUUGUAAUUCGUAAAUACUUUUUGAAACUAUUUUUAAAAUUUUUAUUUUAAAAUUUUUAAUAUUUAUUUUUUAUUUUAUAAAAUUUUAAACCUCAAUCCCAAAUUUCCACUCCUUAAAUCUAAACCCUAAGAUUUGGAUUAGUUAACUCUAUGAGUGUAAAUGUAUAUUUACCUCUUCAAUAAAAUAUUUUGGUCAUUUUCUUUCUUGUGGUCUAUUUUUGUGAACAAAAUUUUUUUAUUGCUAUUUUAGAGUGUUUCUCAAGUAAAUUUCAGUAACCACAAAAUUUCAUUUCCAAGAUAAUGUUUACGUUAAUGGGUUAAUUUAUCAAAUGUUAACAAUAUGUGUAGUAUACGAAAAUAUAACAUUUGAAAUUGAAACGUAAAUUUGGAGCAAUUAGAUGAAAAUGAUCAUAGGACACUUGUGCCAAUAAUUCUUGUCAUUGUUCCAACAGUAAAACCAAUCAUCUUUUGCAACAACGAAACGCACCGCAGAAUCAGUGUCCGAAUCGUACAAACGGUACAUCCUCAAAGAGGGCACGAAUUGUGCUUCACCCCAAAACGUUCCUUCGCAAGACGUCCGCUGCGACACUCUAGGUCUCGCCGGUUUAUCGUUUUUUUCAGCGGUGGGUGGGAUAUCAUCAGUCGCAUUUUUUCCGCUAGUGGUUGGGAUCUUUAUCAACGAGACUUGACCCAAAGGUAUGGGUUUAGACAUCCUAGGAAUUGAGCCCUGGCACGUCACGAAGACGGGAACAUUAGCACGUCUCUGCAUCUGGUUGGAUACGAUAAGAGUGGCGGCACGUGCGGAUCCAGAGCUAACAAAGAGCACUAGGGUCAUGAUCGAUACCAUUAUAAGAGUGUCCAUGAGUUUUUAUUAUGUGGAAAAGAUGUGUUAUAGAAUGUAAAUAUAUAUCUUCUUUGGAAGUUUAUGUGUCUCUAUUUAUAUUAUCUGGCUUCAGUUUCUCAAAUUUUGAGCAUUAACAACAAUCACUACGUACGUUUAAGAAUUGAAAGGUGAUUAAUAAGUGAUUACGGUUACCAUUAGAAUUAAGAGACUCUAACAUUUAUUAGAGACAAUCUCGGUUUGGUACCUGUUCUGUGAUUGUUGCAAUUAGAGAGAGAUAAAAAAGAUUUCAGUGAUGUCAUCAUUAGUUUAUUUUUAUUUUUUGGAAAGAUGUGCUGCGACAUUUGGUGUGUAAUAUGUAUAAUGACAAAUCAAACCCAUUUUUUUAUUAUCAAAUACAAAUCAAACCUUUAUUCUUAAUAAGAAUGACCGACUGCAUAGUGUUAAGUGUGAAUAAAACGGUGUUUCACACAGCAUGUUCAAUAUAUACGAUUAAUCAACAGAAAAGCGAAGAGUAUUAUAGAGAAUAUGAUACUCUGUGACUUGACUGAAGGAAAAGGGGACUAUGGUGAGUGGUGAGGCAUGUCACGUCACCGUUGUCUAAUCCAUUUUCAGUUAACCAAUGGACCGUAAACAAAUAUUGGCCUUUUAUUAUGAAAUAUGGACCGUUUCACAUAUCUUCAGAAACCACCAUUGGCCCCUAUUGUUUUCUAUCGCCUCCCAAUUCACUCGGAGUUACUCUCCCCUUUCACCUCCUCCCUAAUAUAGGCGUCCCACUUUCAUGAUUCAUAAAGCUCCAUCAUUUCAUGAUUCAGUGGAGAGUAUGAGUGCUUGCAAGAUAUUUGAUCAAAAUGGUGCAUGGCUACGGAGAAGUAAGGGUUUUUGGUGUCGAGACAUUGAUCUAAAAAUUAUGUGAACCGAAAAGGGUACUUUCCACCUUCAAAACUGUAUUUGUUGUGUGUUACUUCGAAGUUUAGGAGAAACAAAGGCGAUUGGAAGCCAAUGAAGCAUGGAAUUCGGGCUUUCAUAUAUUAAAUAUAAUAUCGGCCAAAAAUUUGACAAAAGUGACUUUAGUCUAGUAGUCAAAUUUCUCUAAAUUCUGUAAGACAUGAAUGGUUCAAACCUAACCAGACACAUUAUUGUUUUUGGCUUGUGGUCUCAACAAAAUAUGGACCAGCUCUACUUUUAGCAUAGAGAACUUAUUACCAUUUCUUGUUAUCCAAGAAAAUGAGAUUUCAUCGGAAAAACUAGACGUUUGGAAGAUAUUCAUUAUACAUUUUCCUCAUUUCUUUGUACUCAUUUCCUCCAAUACAUGAGAAACAUGAAACAACAUGAAACUCUUUCUUUUCAUUUCUUUCCAUGCUCUCAUGUUACUUGAAGCAUUGGGGGAUACCCAUGAAACUGAUAAGCAAGCAUUACUCAAGUUCAAGUCUCAAGUUUCCGAGGAGAAAAAGUUUUGCUGUCUCCAUGGAACAACUCGUCCCCUCUCUGCAGAUGGGCAGGGGUUACAUGUGGCCGCAAAAACAAGAGAGUUACUCGUUUGGACCUCAGAGGCUUUCAGGUCUCCAUGGAACAACUCGUCCCCUCUCUGCAGAUGGGCAGGGGUUACAUGUGGCCGCAAAAACAAGAGAGUUACUCGUUUGGACCUCAGAGGCUUUCAGUUGGGUGGAGUGAUAUCGCCAUUUAUUGGUAAUCUUUCAUUUCUCACAUCAGUUGAUGUCACUGAUAUCUCUUUUGGUGGAAACAUCCCUCGAGAGCUGGUUAACUUGUUUAGACUUUAGCACUUGAAUAUGAGCUUCAACAUUUUGGAGGGGGGAUUCCAGCCAGUCUGUUCAACUGUUCUAAAUUGGUGGACCUUGAUUUAUAUUCAAAUCAUCUUGGACAAGGUACUCCUUCGGAACUGAGAUCAUUGAUGAAGCUUGAUAGACUUUGCUAAAAACAAUUCAAUAGAUUUUCAGACAAAUCUAAUACUUGUAGGCCUAUGAGAUUCCCAAUGCCAUGAGGAAUGCUUCCAGAUGCUUCCAGAUAUGAAAUUAUUUUGAAGAGCUACACUAGUGAGGCUCAUUGACAGAUUGGAAAUGGAGACAUGCAAGUCACCCUCGAGAUUAUUGAAUCCCUACUAUUUGCAGUUGGGAGCAGUUAGUCAAAUCUAAUACUUGUAGGCCUAUGAGAUUCCCAAUGCCAUGAGGAAUGCUUCCAGAUGCUUCCAGAUAUGAAAUUAUUUUGAAGAGCUACACUAGUGAGGCUCAUUGACAGAUUGGAAAUGGAGACAUGCAAGUCACCCUCGAGAUUAUUGAAUCCCUACUAUUUGCAGUUGGGAGCAGUUAGUCAAAGCAACAAGAAAUUCAAGAUCUCCCGCUGAAAAAAUUCCCAAAGAAUUUUCAGUAAGGCUUAAUCUUUACAAAUAUCAUAGUUUUGCGAAGCUCAGAGGAAUACUUCCAGUCAGGUUGUUAAGCUCCAUGCCCAGAUACUGAAGAGUUGAAAUAUUUCCAAGUGUUGGUGGAAUGGCUCCUGUGAGAAAAUUAUUUUCCAUAGCCCAUCGUUCAAUGUUUGGUAGCAAGUUACCAAAAUCUGGCCUCAAGUUCCAAGAGAAAUAAUUACCAAACAAGCUCAAAUACCAAAGGGAGGACAAAUUGUAAAUUGCAGGAGGACAAAUUGUUUGUUGAUAACAAGAAUAACUCUAUUUGAGUCAAUAUAGCUAUAGCCUCAAGAAUUCCUCCUUCCGGAUUGUUUUCAUAAACCAAUCCCAGCCUAUUUUGGGAAACUUUCAGGCUUGGUGGGAUAUAAUGCCUAUUCAAACAAAAUGUCGGGAGAGAUACCACAUUCUUUAGGCAACAUCACUCGGUUAGAAACACUCCAAUUGUCAGACAAUAGUUUUGAAGGAAUCAUUCCUCCAAGUCUUGGUAAAUGUGGUAAAUGUAGCUAUUUGCUAAAUUUACAUAUCCAGAAUAAUAAGCUCACUGGUAUUAUACUUGAGGAGAUUGUGCAAAUUUCAAUCAUUGUUUUCCUAAACAUGUCAAAUAAUUUACUGACUGGCUCUCUACCAGAAGAUGUUGGACGACUUGAAAAUCUUGGUAUGUUAAAUGUUGCUCACAAUAAGCUAUCAGGGAAACUCCCAAAGACUUUGGGUAGAAAUUAUUUUCCUUGUAUCAUUUCAUUUUUUAAUUAAAUUUUUGCUAAUGUUUUUCUCAUUUUUUACAUAUUUUUUCCCAAAUAUUUAUUUAUCCCUUUAAAUAGUAAGACAAACCAUAUAAUCAGUGAACCAAAAAUCCAUCUUAGAUUUUUUUUUCAAUCAUACCAUUACCUCAUUCAUUAUAUUAUUUGAUUUAAAUGAAAAAUAUAUUUUUUAAAUUCAAGUUCUCAAAUGUUCUGUUAAAUAUAAACCAUCCAAUCAAAGGCUAAUUAUUUAUAAAGCAUAUAUUGACAUUAUAAGAGAUUUAUAAGUAUUAUAGAUCAUAAAACUAUAUCUUUAUAUGAAUAUGCAAUCAUUAUAUUUAUUUUUAUUAAUUAUUUUCUAUCAAUUAUUUUAUGUAGUAUAUAAAUAGAAAAAGAACUGAUCAAACAUUAUUACAUUUCAUAUAAUUUUGAAAAUUAGCUACCAUAAAUUAUUAUUUGUAAUAUCAUUUAGGUUAUUUGGCAAGUGAUAAUAAUUAGUUUUAGAUUCACUUUUUAUUUUAGAUCUAAUUAAAAUAAUUAAAAUUAUAAAAAGUUUCGUUCAUUAUAUUAUGUAGUUUAUAAAUAUAAAAAAGAAUUAAACAAACGUUAUUAUUUUUUAUAUAAUUUCAACAAUUAGUUACCAUAAAUUAUUAUUUUAAUAUAAUUUAGAAUAUUUUGAAAACGAUAUUAAUUGGUUCUAUAUUUAUUUUAUUUUUAAUCUAGAUUUAAAUUAAAAAUUAAAAAUUAUCGACCAAACAAAUUAUAACAAUUUUGUUAAAACUUCACAAAUAAUCAUGUAAGGAAAAAUCAGUUAAGUGACUUUUCGUUGUUUAAUGUAUAGAAGGAUUUCUAUUUAUAUGAGACUUACUAUUUCAAGUAUACAUAUAUAGUACUUAGAGACCUUAUUAGUUAGCAGUAUUUGUUUAGCUAGAUAGUAUUGACUAUUGCGAGACCGUAUUAAUUAAUAGUAUAUGUUGAGUUGCUACAUUGUGUAUGAAAGUCACCACCUUUAUCAGUGUCUCCUGCGGCUAAGAGAAAUAGAUUGAUGGAAAUACAGAUACUGUUUCUAUGUUCCAGUUGACACAUUCCCAUGCCAGAUAUUGUUACAUCCAAAACCCUCCGAAUAUAAAAAGGAAACCACAACACUAGUUAUAUAACUUUUGAAUUAGGUUCCUGUUCGUAAUCGCGCUAGGUGCUAGUCGUGCACUCGAGCCGGGCCUAGCGCCUUGACGAAAAAUCGGAGAUUAAUUGGGGAGUACGCGGGGCAUUUAAUUUAAUUUUUUAAAUUAAAUAUAAUAUGUAAAUAUAUAUUAUAAUGUGAUAAUCUAUGUAUAUUGAAAUUCAUAUUAACAUUUAAAUUAACUAAAUCCCAUGUUAAGGACUUUAGUUUUAAAAAUUCAAAUCCAUAAAUUAAAAUGAUUUCACUGUCGAACCUAUCGUAGAAAUACAUAGUCAUUAGAAUCACCUAUCUAAGAUUUAUCAAAAUGUUUAUAUCAUGUACAAGAAAAGAGACAAUACAGUCUGUAGCAUAUACUGCAUUAUCAAUUUAUUUUGUAUAGAAAAAUUCAACAAUAAAAAACGAUUAAAAUAAGAAAAAGAUGCGCUGAAGUUAAAAAAACAAGAGUUCUAACUACAUCCCACAUCGGAAAGCAAAAUAAGAAGAAACAUGUCAAAUUAUCUAUAAAUAUAGAUGUUUCUGCUUCGCUUCAGUUUCAAGGUGGGCUUCCACAAAAGCCCUGUCAAAAGUGUUAAAAUUAAUCGGGAAAAAUCGGUUAAAAAUCGUUAAAACCCCGAUUAAUUAACUUAGGCGGCCGGUUUAUUGUGGUCCGAUUAGUUGACCCGAUUUGGUCCAAAUCGCCACGGUACUCGUGCGCCGAGCGCCUGGGCAGCCGAGUUUUCGGCUAGGCAGCCGCGUUUUCGAACAGGGGGUUUACCACAUCGCUACUAAACAAAAGCACAUAUGCAUAGGCUCAGUGAGGCCCAUAAUAUUUGGUUUGGUAGGGUUGGUGAACUUUAUGUCCACAACCCGUUUCGUCUCAACUAAAGAGAACCAAAAAAAAACAACUGUAUCAAGAGGAACUGAAAAAAUGGAAAAUUUUCAAAUAUUACAAUCUGUAAGCUAUUUAGAACUAAAAUUAUGUAUGGAAAACUAACUUUUCAUCUUUUCCUAAAUUAAGAUGCUGGAAUUCACUUUUCUUCAAAAAUGAAAAAGGAACCUUAACUUUCUUGUAAUGUUUUUAACUUUUUAACGAAAACAUAAAAUAUGUGCUGAAUGUAGUUUUUGGGUAUAAAGUGCGUGGAUUUGUUAAGUUUACACUUUCUUAACUAUAUGAUAUUGGUAAAAAAAAAACUAUAGAACAAUAUCAGAGGUCAUUUAUAUAACACCACUCAUCAUCAUCAUCAUAAAGCCCAUUUAAACCGAACUACUAUAAAUAGAAUGAAAGGUCUAGUCCUUCUCUCUUUCCUUCCGACUCUGGUCUCCGUCUACUUUCCUUCUCCCCACUACUUCCUCACUAAACCGAGUCACCAUGAGUAAGGUAACCGAGUCAAACCGCAGCUACCCUUUACAGCAGCCUCGAAUCUUCUCUCUCGACUUUAUCAGUUUAAUUAUACUGCAGAUCAUAUUUAUUGGGUUUAAAUUGCGCACUCUGUUUUGUCUCUGAACAGAACAACAACAAAAGAGAUGGCAGCGGUGAGAAGAAGACGGCGUCUAUCACCGUCGUUUUGAAGGUCGACAUGCAUUGCGAUGGUUGCGCUUCAAAACUCGUUAAAUCCGUUCGUGCUAUCCAAGGUUUGAUUUUCGUAUGAACAAAUCGAACGUUACCGUCCUUUUUACUCGGAACCUAUACUGGGUCAUUUAAAAAUCCCUACUUUAAUUGAAAAAUAACAAUAACGUGUAAUAAUAUCUCUCAGGCGUUGAGACGGUGAAAGCAGAGUCAGAGACUGGUAAAGUAACGGUGACCGGAGAUGUAGAUCCGGCUAAACUCCGGGAGCAACUUGAAGUGAAGAUAAAGAAGAAAGUCGAGUUGGUUUCUCCUCAGCCCAAUAAGGAGAAAGACAACAACAAGGACAGUAAGGACAAGAACAAAGAAAAGAAGUCAAAGGAGAAGAAACCUAAAGAGGUAAAGCUUUGAACUUUACUUAACCGUUCGUAUUAUUACAAAACCAAGAAUCUGAUUCUAAAAGUCUGUGUUAGGCUCCGGUUACAACGGCGGUACUGAAGGUGGACUUCCACCGUGAACGGUGUAUUGAGAAGAUUCAAAAGACUGUCUCUAAAACCAAAGGUUUGAAGAGAGAGAGACACAACAAAACCAAUGAGUUCUGUCAGCGUUUUCAAAACGCUGUUUUUAGUUUAAAACGCUGACGACGUUUUAUUUUUUGGUUUUUUGCAACGGCAGGUGUGAGUGGCUUCUCAAUAGAUCACGAGAAGCAGUUGGUGACGGUUAAAGGAACAAUGGACGUGAAAAAGCUCGUCAGGAGUUUGACUGAGAAGCUAAAACGUAGCGUGGAGAUUGUGGCGACGGCCAAGAAUGGUAACGCAAAAGAGAAACAGUACGUGGCGGCUCAGCCUGCUCACGGGUCUGCGUAUUUUCCGGUGAGGAUGGAGAUACGAUUGAAUACUUAGCACCUCAGAUUUUCAGCGAUGAUAAUCCGAAUGCUUGCGUCGUUAUGUGAAGCGGCGGAAGAACAUUGACGGGUAGUAGAAUAGACUGUAAAUAUGCGCUUAAGAUUUUUAAGGUACUUAUUGAAUAUUUAAAUACUUCUUUUCAGAUAUAAUUUCAAAAUAAAUAUAGAAUUGAAUAUUUUUAGUACAUAUUAAUGUGAUCUUUUAUUUAUGCCUCUGAAGAUGAUGUUUCUCAGGUCAUCGAACAAAAGUUUAAUCCUAUCUGUUGGACCGCGCAUAUCUUUGGAUUUGUUGGACGACUAUAUGAUGAAACAAAAGUUUACUAGGGAUCAUCUUCGCUUACUGAUCAAUACAUAAACCAUUUUCAAUCUAUUUGAUUGAUACAAACAUCGCCUUGAACUAGUGAACAACGAUCAUUGCUUCUCAAAAGUUUACAUACAAGUAUACAUAAUAUAACACCUUCUCAAAAGUUUAAAUUUUUUUCUUUUUUAAAUCUUAAUAAAAUUAAAGAAUGAAAAGAGAAAGACAUGCAGGAGUCAAUGAUUUCCCCCUUUUGCCUUUUACCUUUCUUCAUCUUCACAUUUUUCCUCUACUUUUGUACUUUUGUGAAAUUUAUAUUUGAUUCUAUUUCUUUCUCAACACUAAUUUCCAAAUUUUUUUUUUUUAAGAAUGGGUGGACGAUUGAUAAGGACGAGAACUUUCCUCUUCAUUUGAAAAAAACAUUUCACACCUUCAAAUGUCAUACCAAACAUAUACAUACAUAAUGGGGCUGGUAUAAGAAAGACAGUGGGGCUUCCACUUUCACCUAUGGAUCUUUACCUACAAACAUUGGGCCUUCAAUUCAACAAGCCUAAAUAAAAGCCCAUAUAAAAAAACGCACCAUAUUCGCAUAUUCGCGACCGACCAGAUGUGGGGAGUUGGUGUUAGAUUCCAAUACGCAAACUAAAAAAAAGUCUUGCAGCUAAACACAGUCUUGUCGUACACGUGGCACUCACCCUCUUAUAAAUAAAAAAAACACGAUUCUUUCCUUCCGCCUCCCUCGACAGAAACCACUUCUCUCAUUAACCCUAAUUCACACACCUUUGCAUCUGCGAAACUCGAUCUCCAGAUCUCUCCAAGCUCCCAAUCUCCAACAGGUAAAAAUCCAUUAUUUACAAAUCAUCCUCAAUUGUUUGAUUUCGAUCUGUAUCAUCCUCAAUUGUUUGAUUUCGAAUUUCAGGGAGAUUCGAAAGAUGGUGUCCGACGCUAGCAAGAAGAAGGCUCUCCAGAAGAAAGCCGCCGCCGCCGCCAAAAGAGGCGGUAAAGCAGCCGCCGCUAAAGCCGCCGCCUCUUCUUCAAACGGAGCUGAUAGCUUGUCGAGCGGCGUCGACGCUAUUCAGAUAUCCGACCGGACCUGUACCGGAAUCCUCUGCUCUCAUCCUCAGUCCAGAGACAUUCGUGUAAGUCUUUUUUUGAAGUUAGAUUUUUUUGAAGUUAGAGACGAACUCGUGUGAAUCAGUUAGAUUGAUUCUUUGUUUUGUUUUGUUUUGUUUUGAUUGCAGAUUGAAUCUCUGUCUGUUACGUUUCAUGGUUACGACCUGAUUGUUGAUUCGAUGCUGGAGCUUAACUACGGGAGACGUUACGGUCUCCUCGGGUUGAAUGGUUGUGGGAAGUCUACUCUCUUAACUGCGAUUGGACUCAGAGAGCUUCCGAUUCCUGAUCACAUGGACAUCUACCAUCUCUCCCACGAGAUUGAAGCCACUGAUAUGACUUCUCUCGAGGCUGUGAUGAGCUGUGACGAGGAGAGGUUGAAGCUGGAGAAGGAGAUUGAGACUCUUGUUGAGCAGGUUUUGUGUAAAACUCUAUUCUUGAUUUUGGUAUGUGUUGUGUUUGGAUGCUGAUUUUAGUUCUUUUUUUUUUGGCAACAGGAUGAUGGAGGCGGAGAGCGUCUUGACACAAUCUACGAGCGGUUAGAAGCCAUGGAUGCUUCGACGGCGGAGAAGCGUGCUGCUGAGAUUCUGUUUGGUCUUGGUUUCGACAAGGAGAUGCAGGCUAAGAAGACUAAGGACUUUUCUGGUGGGUGGAGGAUGAGAAUUGCGUUGGCGAGAGCUCUCUUCAUUAUGCCAACUAUCCUUUUGCUUGAUGAGCCCACUAAUCAUUUAGGUACGUUCUUACUUGCUUUGAUUGGUUUCUGUUUUGUUUUUCAUUAGUAUAUAUACUCCCUAAGUGUAGUUUUAGACUUUAAAAUCCAUUUCAUUUUAAGGGGUUUCUCUAUAAUUUUUCACUUAUAUCCCUACUUUUAGCUCAUUAAUUAGUAAAAUAAAAAAUAUUAAUUAGUGGUAUAGUAAAAUAUAUAAUGAAUUUUUAAUGUGUGAAGAAAUUUUUAACUACAUUAUAAGGGUUUGAUCUAUAACUUUUCAACUUAUAUCCCUACUUUUUAGCUCAUUAAUUAGUAAAAAGAGUUAAUUAGUGGUAUAGUACAAUAUUGAAUGAUUUUUUUAAUGUGUGAAGAAAUUUUUAACUACAUAUAAAAUAAAAGAGGUAGAGUAUAUAUAUAUAUUUUUUGAUAUUUGUGCCGAAUCUUAUUUCUCUCUUGCAUCAGAUUUGGAAGCUUGUGUCUGGUUAGAGGAGAGCCUGAAGAACUUUGACCGUAUCCUCGUCGUGGUCUCCCACUCGCAGGAUUUUUUGAACGGAGUGUGUACCAACAUCAUCCACAUGCAAAGCAAGCAGCUCAAGUACUACACCGGUAACUUCGACCAGUACUGCCAGACACGUUCCGAGCUAGAGGAGAAUCAGAUGAAACAGUACAGAUGGGAGCAGGAGCAGAUCUCCCACAUGAAGGAGUACAUCGCCCGGUUCGGUCACGGUUCAGCCAAACUCGCUCGCCAAGCGCAGAGCAAGGAGAAGACUCUGGCCAAGAUGGAGAGAGGUGGGCUCACGGAGAAGGUGGCGAGAGACAGUGUCCUCGUUUUCCGUUUUGCUGAUGUUGGGAAGCUUCCGCCGCCGGUGCUUCAGUUUGUGGAAGUGUCCUUUGGGUACACACCUGACUACCUUAUAUACAAGAACAUCGACUUUGGUGUUGACUUGGACUCUAGGGUGGCACUUGUGGGACCCAACGGAGCUGGGAAGAGUACUCUCUUGAAGCUCAUGACUGGUGAGCUGCAUCCAACUGAAGGAAUGGUGAGGCGUCACAACCACUUGAAGAUUGCUCAGUACCAUCAGCAUCUAGCUGAGAAGCUGGACCUUGAAGUGCCUGCGCUUAUCUACAUGAUGAACGAGUUUCCGGGUAACGAAGAGGAGAAGAUGAGAGCUGCUAUUGGUAGGUUCGGUCUGACCGGUAAGGCGCAAGUGAUGCCGAUGAAGAAUCUAUCUGAUGGACAGAGGAGCCGUGUGAUAUUCGCGUGGCUGGCUUAUAAGCAGCCUAACAUGCUUUUACUGGAUGAGCCUACUAACCAUCUGGAUAUUGAGACGAUCGACUCUCUUGCUGAGGCGUUGAACGAGUGGGAUGGUGGUUUGGUUCUUGUGAGUCACGACUUCAGGUUGAUUAACCAAGUGGCUCAUGAGAUAUGGGUGUGUGAGAAGCAGUGCAUCACGAAAUGGAAUGGUGAUAUUAUGGACUUCAAGAAGCAUCUCAAGGCUAAAGCUGGGCUUGAAGACUGAAGAUAAAGUCAAGUCAGAAGACUUGGUUGGGUCACAGGGCUAUAGAGAGUGAGAGGGAUUUUGUUUGGUGAUGGUUUUGAAGCCAACACGUUAAAGAGAGAGGGAGACACCAUACUCGUAAUCUCUGCACUUCUUACUCAUUUAAGAGGUCAGUGAUUCUUCUAUAUUAGUACUAUAAACAUCAAUCUGCACUUUUAUUUUUAUUGUUUUGACGUUUUUGGAGGAGAGACGGAUAUGAAAAACGAAAUAUUUUGGUUGUAUUGUAGGAUUUUUUUUUUUUAAUUAUUAAAAGACUCAGAUGUUGACGAUUAUGGUAUUAUUUAAUAUUAUCAAAGUUAAGAAAAACAUCGCAUCAGUUCCAAAGCUAUUGCAAGGGAGACGCAGAGGUGUGAUUGUGGUGUUUAUCAAAUAGUAUUGAAUAUUGAUUACAGUUUAGCCGAGGCAGAGGUCAGAGCUUGUAAUAGGUUCAAUCCAAAAAACAUUACUAAAAUUAAUCGAAACCUUCAAAAUAUAAAACAUGCUUGUUUGCUAAAAAUCAAAUGGAUAAUGGACGUAGAUAUAGGAGAGAUUAACUAAAAUAGGAAUGAGUUUCUUCUCAAGGGAAAUUAAAACGAAACAUAUUUUGAGCUGUGAUAUAUGCUUGUUUGGCUUAUCACUCGCUGUGGACCACUGAUGGAUAAUGGCUACAACAUCAAGCACUUCCCUCGUUACCUCAUCUUCCUUACACUAACCGGUAUCUUGAGCCGCUGUGCAGCGUUCUUUUGCAUGGUAACUUUCCAGAAGAAGUAGCUUUAAGCUCCUUCUAUGCAUGUAAAACUAUACUGGACUAAUCAAUAGAGAACAUAGACAAACCACAAAGGUUUUACAAGAAGAAAGAAUACAUCAAUUGCUGAAGAUCAUGGCCUGGUACAAUGUUCAUAGGUAGUUCCAUCGUCAGAGUUCAAGAUUUUCUUAUCUGUAAUUCUUCAUGUUGUACAUUAGGGGUGGGCGUUCGGGUACCCGUUCGGGUUCGGGUCGGGUAUUUCGGAUUUUCGGGUAUUUCGGUAUAGAGGUCUAGAACCCGUUCGGGUAUUUCUGUACUUCGGGUCGGGUUCGGGUAUUUUUAGUUCGGAUUCGGUUAUUUCGGAUCGGGUUCGGAUAUUUAGAUUUUGAAAAAAAAUAUUAAAAUUUUCAUUUCUCAAGUUUAUUGUAUUUAAAAAUAUAACUUUUAGUUAACUAAUUUUUUAUUUUUAAUAGAUUGAAUGGUUAAUAGAUUUGGACAUAACAUUUUAAAACUAAAAAGACACUAAUUUAGUUAUUUUUUUUUAAUUUUGGAUAUAACUUUUUGUUAAUUUUUGAAAUAAAAAACUUGACAUGCACUUUAAGUGAGUAGCAAAUCAUUUUUUCCGGAAUUGUAUGUAUAUCAUAUGAACUUAAAUUAUGUGUAGUAUCAAUAUAAAUAUUUUAUAUAAAAUGAGAGAUAUAAACUAGAAACAUAAGGUUAAUUAUACAUAUGUUCGGUUAUCUUCGGAUAUCCAUUCGGGUUCGGGUAUUAUCCGUUCGGGUUCGGGUAUCCAAUCUCUCCUUAUUCAAUACCCGUUCGGGUAUUUUGCUACUUCGGUUCGGAUUUCGGUUCGGUUUUUUCGGAUCGGGUUCGGGUGCCACUUCGGAUAUCGGGUAAAGUGCCCACCCCUAUUGUACAUCUUUCUAUUGUCUUAUAGAUAUAACGUAGAUCAUCAUCGUGUUGCAACUUGCUAUCAAUUAUGUUUUAUACACCAAGUAAAAAUGUAGAAGUACAUAGAAGAACCAAUGAGAAAACCUUCAAGAACUUCCAUUACUUUCUUGGCUUAAAAGUUAAUAACAAUGGUAAUUUGUUUUACUUUCAUCACCUAGAAUUUCAUAUUUCCAAAUGAGAUGACAUCAUUUGAUACAAAUUAUCAUUAUUAGUCUGGUACUAUACAGUGUGGAGAAGCAUUUAUUUAAGAACAAGGUAGAUCAGAAUGUAUUGAUUGUUUUUUGUUUAUAACAAAAAAAAGUAUGUAAAAGUUAAAUGAUUAUCCAAUUAAAAUAUUUUUUUUUGCUUACACAUUAAUCCUACAACUAGAUAUGCAAAUUGUUACGUAAUGAUUAGUGAGCCAAAAUCAUAAUCUCCCUUGUACUCAAACAACAAAUCAUAGCAGAAACCCAAAUAUGAAAUAUUUUAUAAUAAUGAAAUUAUUAUUAAAAAUUAAAAACCCACUACCCACCACUCUCUCUCAAGGACGGUUAAGAGCAUCAGCUACGAAAACUGCUUCUCGUCUUCCUUCACCAAACCCUCACAAUCGGUCGCUCUCUUCUUCAUCUUGAAGCCUAAGCCAAUCUAUACCUCAAUAUGUCCCAUUCUUCUUCUAUUAACCUCCUUCAUUACCAUUACCUCCCUCCUUGUCUAAAUCACUCUUCCUUCCGGUUUUGCGUCACUGCUCCAUCUUCAUCUCGUUGGUCUAGUCCCGACGACGACAUCUGCUCCAUCAUGGCCAUGCCCACCACAACUCUCCCUGGCUCCAUGUCUCCCUUCAAUGUCCCUCAUAGUGUUGUGAGUUUUUAUUUUGUUCCAUUCUUCGUCUUGUCAUUUUAAAUGUCAAAUUAAUGGAUUGUUUGCAUACAGCUCGAAAUGUAUAUGAAUCUUAAAUCUAAUAACUAGCUUAUGAAACCUCGAACCAAUGGAGUUUGUAUAAACCCUCAUAACCCUCUUUUCACAUAUAAAAGUACCUAAUACGUGUGUUUUAUGCUACGAAUAUGAAUUGAUUUUAGCGUUCAUUCACAUGAAUCUGAUCAUCAGUCUGUUUCUGCAUGAUUCUAUUGUUGUAUGAAUCGAUGCUUUCACUUAUUGGAUUUUUUCCUGUGAAACUUUGAUGUGUAUAGAGGACGAAAAGGCCAAAUGGGCAGCAGAAAAAGGAAGAAAUGGAGAAAGAGGUAUGGAAGUCCAUUUUAAAGCUACUUACCUAUUUAGGUGUAUAUCUAGGCAAACACCAAGGGAUGUUGUUAUAAAUCGACAUGCUAAUAUAUACAUAGAGCAGAGUUUUAAUAUAGGUAUCCAAUCUAAGUUUUAUGUUCAAUAUAUCUUUUGGCAUUAUCUAAAUUAGUCAAUGCAUGUUAUUAUCAUUAACAAACAGAAAUCACAUAAUAUGAUACUUCUGCAAUUGUGAAAUUGUAGACUAAAUAAUAAAAAUUAUCAUUUAUAUUUGUCAAAUUGUAGGCUAAUAUGUGGUAAAUAAUAGAAGGUUUAAUAAUUGUUAGGUGUAUAUGUUACGGGAGAUGCUUGAUCAAGAAGAGAAGACACGUGAGAUCUUGGAGAGAGUCCAAAAACAUCAGCUUCCUUCAUCUUCUUCUGUUGCCCUUCCUGCUUCUCUCCCUCCCAAGGUAACUAUUAUACCUUUGUACAUGCUUCUCCAUAUCCCUUUGUAAAUACGCGUGGAAGAGUAAGUAAAGUUUCUAAGUUUGGAUAGAGUGAAAAAGCAGCAAAACUAAAAUAUAUGAAUGUGAUGAUAAAUAACGAUCAUACACGUAUUUAUGGUAACGUUGCUUUUAAUCCAAGGCUUUAGGUCAACCAUAAAUGCAAUUAUUAAUUAAUAGUUCUCUAAAUCAAACAAAAUUGCUAGAUCACCUUACGGCCGGGACAAAAGGCAUAAUCAUAAGCAAAUAUACAAAGAGUUCAAAAAAAAAUACAAACUUCCGUUACAUGUUGCGAAGCUAUUCUAUGCAAUCAAGGCCCUUUCUAGUUUAGUAUAAUUACAUACUAUUUUCUAACAGGCAAUCACCUGCUAAUUAGCUUUCUGCUACAUGGUAGUCAAACUGAUGUAAUUAUCGUUCAAAAUCUAAAUUGAUUUUUCCUUGUUUUUAGUAAUUGAUGUUUCGAUUAUUUUGAUAAUGCUUUAUUAUUAUAUUCAUAAUUUUCUCAAUAACUUCAAAAAUUAGGGAAAUAGUUAUUAUAUAUGUAAAUAGAGCCAAGCUUCAAAAAUGAUUCACUUGCUUCUGAAGCGGUAAACUUUUCAUUUGCUAUGAGAGAAAUAAGACCAUGACAUUUAUUUAGCAGUAAAAAAGUUUAAAUAAGUUACCUAACACUAUUUUUUAAUGCAGAUGAAGGAACUAAUAACGGAACUUUCGAUAGUGGAAGGGGAAAUCUCAAGACUAGAGGUUCAGAUAAGCCAUCUCCAGAUAAAUCUCAAGGAAGAACAAGAUGAAACUUUGAGACAAGCAACAACAAGUUCAUCAAGAAGAACAUGGCAAGCUAGUGAGAGUGACAAUAAUGACUCUAUAACCUCUCAUCAAGCUCUGCCAAAGUACUCUAAUUUGCCACCUCCAAGCCCUAUGGUGGAUCAAUGCAUGAUGAAGAAUGGAAACAACAACACCAAAUCUUCUACUAAUCAUCGUCAAGAGAAUGCAACAUUUGAAACAAAGACUUUGCAUUUCAUCAACAAAGCCAUCAAAGGUGAUUACGUGACCCAAAGCUUCCACAAAUCUAAUGAGAAAGUUGGAUUAGUCAAGAAGGAAAAUCCUCGGUCAGUUCAACAAGAAAAUAAGUUGCAAGAGAAUACUAAUAUGAAGAAGAUGCUUAGGAGGAUGAAAUCGCCUUCUCCUCUACGUGAACCUAGAUACUCCUCUCCCAAGGUACGUAAUUUGUAUAAUACUUAUCAUGCAUCAUUCACUUCGUUCAAUUUACUCAUACAAUUUAUAGUUAAUUAUGAUUUUUUGUAGACUAAUAAGGAUCGUGUAGCACUUGAUACAUCACUAGACCUCCCACCAAAAUCUCUAUCAAGCACAAUUUUAAUGGAAGAUGGACAAAACAUACAGAAGUGGCAUCCAAACAAGCUCGCCGAGAACAUCAUGAAGUGUCUUAAUUUCAUCUACGUUCGUCUCCUUAGAACCACAAGAGUCAUGGAGCUAGAGAAAGGUCCGGUUUCGAGAUCCAAUCCUUUCUCUUUGAUCUCAAGAAGCUUUAGGGUGGACAAGGCAACAUCCGGUUUGUCUAAAUCCAUGAAUCUCGUGUCUUAUAAAGAAUCAAGACAACAAGAUCCCUAUGGAGUAUUUGAUGUAGAAGCAUCUUUGGCUAGAGACAUUGGUCCGUACAAGAAUCUCGUCAUCUUCACUUCAAGCUGUAUGGAUUCCAAGUGUAUUUCGAGUUCUAGCUCGGUUUCUUUGAUCCAGAAACUCAGGUAAAUUUCGAGAUAAACUUUGUGAAUUUAUUUUCUUACGUUGGCUAAACAUAUUGUUAUGUACAAAAUGCAGGGUGUUGAUGAACAAUCUUGAGACCGUGGAUUUGAGAGUGUUGAGCCAUCAACAAAAGCUGGCGUUUUGGAUCAACAUGUUCAAUGCAUGUGUUAUGCAUGUAUAUAUUCUGUACUUAUAUACUUCAUAUUUUGUUAAUUAAAAAAAAAAAUUCAUAUUUAUGUAUAUACUCAACGUACUUUCAUUACUUCCGCGUAUGACCAGGGAUAUCUACAAUAUGGAGUUCCUAAAACAACUGAGAAACUACAAUCUCUUGUUUAUAAUAAGGUAUGUUUCUCUUUUCCAUUCUAAAAUAAACACUAGAUUAAGUCAACUCCAUAUUGUUCAUACGUAUUUAAGUUUUGUGAUAAUCAAAGUAUAAAUUGUAGGCUACAAUAAAUGUUGGAGGCAAAAAUAUAAGUGCUCAUACCAUAGAGCAUUAUAUUCUACGGAAGCCUGCAAAUUCUAACAUGACUCAGGUACAUACUAUGUCAAUAAUCAUCUUCAUAUUUAUCUGAUUAAUCUUAUAAAUUCGCUAAGUAUGCAAAUAUGAUCACAGGAUCGACACGAAGAAAUGAUUAUUCGUAAACUAUACGGUAUAGAAUCAGCGGAUCCUAACAUCACAUUUGCUCUCUCAUGCGGAACUCGAUCCUCUCCUGCGGUAAGUUAAACUCAUUAAUCCACUUCUGUUAAGCUGAACAAACUGUGACAAUAGACGGUUUAAUAUCUAUACUUAAAUUAACUACAUAGAUGGUUAACUAGCAUUCUUAGUACCUGAUCAGUGUUGUAGUAUUUUUAAUUAUUCACUAUUUCAAGCACUUGAUAGAGUUAUAGACAGUUUUUGUAACUAUUAGAUUGAUGGUGAAAAUAUAUGGUUACAUACUAUAUACUAUCACAACAAAUGGUUAUUUUUCAAAUUAAAAAUUGAAGGUGAGGAUAUACACCGGAGAAGGAGUAGCAACAGAGCUAGAGAAAGCGAAACUGGAGUACCUGCAAGCGUCCGUUGUGGUUACAUUGGCUAAACGGGUAAUCUUGCCUGAGCUUCUUGUAAAACACGCCGUCGAUUUCGUGGCAAGGGAUGAUGGCAACGGCGUAGAGAUGGGAUCUCUGGUGAAAUGGGUUUGCAACCAAUUACCAACGUCUGGUUCCUUGAGAAAAUCAAUGGUGGAUUGUUUAAAGAAUCAAAACUCCAAAGCUUCUUCUUCUUCAUCCUCUCUGGUGGUUGAAAAGAUCCCUUAUGAUUUUGAGUUUCAGUAUCUUUUAGCUAUUUGAAAAAUACUAAUUUGUUAUUUUGUACUGUUGGAAAUCUUGUGUUUAAUAAAAGUAUCAAAGCUUGUUUUAUUUUAUUUUUAUGGAUGAUUGUUAUACUGACAUGUAUAUGGUUUAUCUCGACCAGUCAACAUCUUAUGAUCAUCUUCCACCUGUAAAAAAAAAAACAUUGCUUUAGAAAUAUUUUUCUCUUUUUCUUUUUAAUUUAAAUUGUUUUACAAAUCAAAUUCUAAAGUAAACUAUACAUUUACAACCAAACUAAUCAUCCACUCGAUCUUCUUUGAUAUGCAUCAUCUAGUGGAGUCUAUAUUGUUCCUUCCGCGGCGGCUCUUGUAAUUAAGGCGCUCAAGGAGCCAGAGAGAGACCGUAAGAUAACGGUAACAUUUCGUUUGAUGACGUCAUCCAGAUCGCAAAGAUUAUGCGUCCGAGAUCUAUUGCUAAGGAGUUGAGUAGAACGGUGAGGGAGAUUUUAGGGACUUCUGUUUCCGUGGGGUGUACGGUUGAUGGUAGGGACCCAAUGACAGCAUCUUCAUGAGGAGAUUGUAGAUGUUCCUAACGAGUAAAGAAGGUUCUUUGUCCAAAAAAAAAACGAGUAAAGAAGGUUCCUUUUUUUGUUCUCUUGUCGUUUUGCUGUAAUUGUGUUUGAUUUCGAGGAAUUGCUUUUUAGUACACUACAUUUCAGAUAUUGAGAUUUGGAACAUGAUAGUUUUGGAUUUGAACAUUUGAAUCCUUUCUUGGGAUGAAAUAUUAGAAUGUUUCAUUUAUAUAGCGAAGUAAGGUAAUGAUGCCUUAUUCAAAUAGUAACAUUGUUGGAUGCAUCAAAAGAUCUUAUAACAGUAUAAUCUUUACAUUUUACCAAAAAAAAAAAAAAUCUUAUAACAGUAUAGAGCAUGUGGUUGAUAGUUUGAGUGAGUACAAUGUGCAGUGUUAAUUUGCUUUUGCUCUUAUACUUUGGAACCUUUUCAUCAAUCAUUGAUUUCAUCUUGCUAUCAAACUCUAAACCAAAACUAAUGAACAUGCUCACUUGUAUUAUUUACAUGGAUGUAUAAGACGCACAUACUAUAUAUUUAUAUAUGCAACUAGAAAUAUAAUAUAUGCAUGCAUCAAGCAUGUAAGUCCAACAUGAAUUGAAUAAUUGGAAAAAUUAGGAUCAAAUCAUUGGGACAUAAUUUUACGAUGUACAGAAGAAAUCGUCUGGCAAAGAUAACAUAUAAUAACAUGUUCAACGUUGUUCAGAUUCUGCAUGUCAUGGAUCUCAUUCUUAUCAUCUUAUUUUACGUUUUCCUCGAUUUUAAAUCCGAAAUUUUAGUUUUCCCUUAUUUUUGAUAAUUGGUGGGUUAUAUUGAGGUUUCAUUAAUUCAUCAUUUUAAAUAUUGUCCAGUAAUUUUCUGUUGAAUUUUUAUGUCAUAUAUCAUAUUAUCAUAUAUGUAUAUUAUAUAGUAAAAUAUAUGCUAAGCAAGUCUAUUACCACAUAUAUGAAUACAUGAUUAAUAUAGCUUGAAAAUUUAGGUCGUGACGACGUUGAUACAGACUUGCUCGGGAAUGAUUUCUAUUCAAGCAUAAAAAACGUUCAUACAAAAAGUAUACCUUAAAUUAUCUUCGAUACAAAAAGUAUACCUUAAAACUAUUUUUAAACUAUUUCAGCAAGAAUUCAACUGGAAUUCCGAUGAUACGCUCUCUAUCUAUAACCAUUUUGUCCAUAAAGUUAUGGACAACUAUGGGAAGCAGAUGUACGAGUGGAAGAAGAAGUGGGAAGUAAACAAGGUAGUUUUUAAUUUAUUAACAAUUUUUAAUUUAUUAAACUAUUUUUUAAAUUAUUAAACUUUUUUUUUAAAAAAUUAAAAGGUCCCAAAGUCGAUGAACGACACGGUAUGGAAGGAGUUGUGUGAGCAUUGGGAUAAGGAAGAGACGAAAGAAACUUCUUCCACCAACUCCAACAACCGCAGGAGCGACCGUAAAGGGAAGGGCAUCUACAAGCAUAACUUGGGUGCCCAAUCUAUUGCCACUCUCGCGGAUCGCAUGGUAAGUUCAACCGCUUUUUCUUUAAUUAUUUAAGUUUCAGAAUUUUAUUUUUUAUGCAUUUUUUCAAAUUUCUAAUGUUUGUUUAAUUUAUUUUUUUUUCAAGGCGGAAGAAAAUGAGGGCGAGCCGGUUGAUGAUCUCGCCCUAAUGAAAAGGGCGUAUACCAACAAGAAGACCGGUCAGAUUGAUGAUGGUCUUGUGAGGGACGUGGUCGACCUGGUCCAAACUCAGGUGUACGACGAAGUGUCUCAGCUUCAAACCGAUGAUGACGAUUCGACGGCUUCGACCAACUUGUCCCGGGUUCGAAUCAACGAAAUCGUUGAAUCGGUAAGUUUUUUUUUUUAAAGUUCAAUUUAUUUAUUUCUUGAUUUUUAUUUUAUCAUCAAUUUAUAUUAUCUAAAUUUAGUUUUUUAUAUUUCAGUCGGUUCCAAAGAAGAAGGGACGUAUGGUCGGUUUGGGUCGUCGCUCCCGGUCGGCUGCUCCUUCUUCUGCACCACCGCCAUAUGUUGAUCCGGAAGUUCUUACGGCUCAGCUGAAGGACAAGGAUGAUCGGAUAUCUGCGUUGGAGACCCAGAUGGCAGCUCAACAGGCGGGCUAUGAGACCCAGAAGAGGCUCAACGAGCAGAUGAUGGAGAUGAUGAAGAGGAUGUAUCCGAACGAGGUGUUCCCGAACAUCCAAGACCCGUAGUUUUUUUUUUUUUUUACCAAAAACUCUGAAUGUUUUAUUUAACUUUGAAUAUUAUCUACUAUGUUUUAUUUAAUGUUUUAUUCAAUUUUAAUUUUAAUUUUAAAUUUUUAAAUUUAAAUUUAAAAAAUUUAAAUUUUUUUUAAAAAAAUAAAUUUUUUCGAAAUUCCGAGGGAAUGGAGUUCCUCGGAAAAUUCCGAGGAACUUUCUUCCCUCGGAAAAUUCCGAGGAACAAAUUUCCCUCGGAAUUUUCCGAUAAACAUUCCGAGGAAUGUUUUGUCGAAACUUCCGAGGAUUUGACCAUCGGAAUUCCAUCGGUAUAUUCCGAGGAACCUUCCGACGAACAUAUGUUUCUCGGAGUUUCCUCGGAAUUUUGUUUCCUCGGAAUUUCGUCGGAAAUUUCCGACGGAAUUCCGAGGAAGUAUGAAUUUCCGAGGAGAUAUUUCCGAGGACUUUUUUCGUCGGUAUGUCGUCGGAAUAGCGUUAUUCCGACGACAUACCGACGAUUUUUUCCCUCAGUAUCCCGAUGUUUUCUUGUAGUGAUAUAUUGUUUGGCCAUCUUUUUAUAUAUAUAUAUAUAUAUAGUUCGGCCAUCUUGUUAGACCGUAAUUCAGUUAUUCGCUAGAUAAUAUCAAUUUAAUGGAACAUGUAAGCUAGUAAUAACAUAAAUUUUAAUUGUAAAGAUUGAAAUCUGGAUAAAGAAAAAUAGGAGAUGAAAUUUGACGUUGCAACAACAAUUGAAAAAUAUUAAAUUAAGGCUCCAAUUAAACUAAUAUAAACACAAGAAUAUGUCUAAAUCAAGGGUUGGUCAGGAUAGCCUAAAACAAGUAUAUCUUCCACUAAUCAUACAAUUUAAAGACAGCUCUGACACGUAUUAUGUUAUUCGGAAAAUGUACGCAUAAUAUAGAAAAUGUUGAAUUGAAGAAACAUCUAUCUCCACACCACAUGGAUUAGUGGAGACUCUGGAGACAGAGGAUUGGCUAUACAAAUGCAUUUGUACAGGUCUGAACGAUUUUAAUUUACCUUGCUACGCAUAUCUGUUUUACGUUUUAUUUCUAGAAGAGCUUUUGGACCAACGCUCGUAGUUUCUGUUAACCCGGGAUCAGCCUACAUUCUGGUGCUUUAAGAGGAUUUGUUUCCAUUAUUCUUUAUUAUCAAUGAAAUUAGAAGUUGAGAAAAAGGAAAAAGAUUGAAGAGACAAAUAUUAUGAAAAUUACUCAAUAUUGAAAAACCUUAACUUUUUAAAAUAGCAUCAAUGUUAUGAUGUUUCUUUGGUGAGUGGGUGUAUUUCGUGUGAAUAAACUAAAGAUUACAACAAUUAACAGUAGUUUUUUUGGUACUGUAGGUAAAUGAUUUUCAGUAUGUGCAGUAAUCUGUUGCUUUUUCAGUUUCUUGGAUGACUUGUAUAUUGAAGAGUAAUUAAAUAACUUCCAUCAUAAAUUACACGGUUCCAAUAGUUUAAGACAUUUGCGAUUGUUCUAAGUUUUAACUCAAAAUCACUGAUGAGAAUCAUGAGAUACUCCAGAAUGUAUAAACAUAUAGUUAAGUCAUAAAAACUUUGAUCUAUUUUUACUCUUUUCUAUAUACCCAUUCCCACAUUCGACGAGACUGAAAAAUUAAACCCACCAUACCCAUAUUUAAGAAAGAAACAUAUAACAAAUGUUGGAAUUUCUUUAUAUAAACCAAUAUAUCAAUAUUCUGAAAAGGUAAAACAUAACACUGCAUGCAAUUGUGCAAAUCAUUCCUUCAUAACAUUUUUAAUUCCUAAAAAUGUUGAGAUGUUUCUCAUAAUACAACCAGCUCAUUUGAGGCAUAUACGGUUUAGAUAUGAUUCCUUCCAUUAUUAUUUCUAAUACUAUAUGUAUACUUAACUGUCCACAUAAUUAUUUCUAAUACUAUAUGUGUACUUAAUUAACUGUCCACAUUAUUAAUAGCCAUAAAAAUUAUCUGUCUUACAAUGUACUUAUACCAAACCUUUGCAUAGCAUCUGUGUAUAUAUAUACACACAACUAAACUAGAGAGUUACAACAAACAUCAAAAUACAUCCAUCUUUUCUCUCUCUCAUCAUCAUCUUUAGCCAUGGCAAAGGACUUGGAGGUGCAAGAGGGCGGAGCAAUGGCGGCGAGAGAUUACCAGGAUCCGCCUCCGGCCCCAUUGUUUGACAUGGAGGAGCUUGGGAAGUGGUCGCUCUAUAGAGCGGUUAUAGCUGAGUUCGUGGCAACACUUCUCUUCCUUUACGUCUCAAUCCUCACCGUAAUUGGCUACAAAGCUCAGACCGACGCAAACGCCGGAGGAGUUGAUUGCGGCGGCGUUGGGAUAUUGGGGAUUGCGUGGGCUUUCGGUGGAAUGAUCUUUGUUCUCGUUUACUGUACCGCCGGUAUUUCUGGUACGUAUAGUAACGUUCGCGUCACGGCUCAUAGAUUUUUCCGUAAACAUAUAUAACGUUAGAAAUAUGGUAUAGUUUAUAAAUAUAUCACAUAUAGAUUAUAGUAAUACCUAAUCUGUAUAGAUCCAUGUGGUACUUUAAUUUCAAUGUUUUGUCGAAUAAGCCUAUGUACUGUCUAUCUAUCUUUUUGUUUUGGUCAAAAGCCAAUAAUAUCUUUCAUGUUUAAUAGAAAUUUUCAACUUUCUACUCAGUUCGAAAGUUUAGCUAAAUUCGGUAUGAGUUACUUUGGUUUGGCUUACCUAAACUAAAAUACAACCUUACAUUUUAAGUUGAUUAAUAAAUUAACAUUUCUUGCUUUUAUUGAAACAUUGAAGGUGGUCAUAUAAAUCCGGCUGUGACGGUGGGACUGUUCAUAGCUCGAAAAGUGUCAUUAGUGCGGACAGUGUUAUACAUUGUGGCUCAGUGCCUUGGUGCCAUAUGUGGUUGCGGUCUGGUCAAAGCAUUCCAAAGUUCUUACUACAACAGGUUCCAUCAUGUCUCAACACUCAUGCAUCAGCCAAUCAAAAGUCUAGAUAUCUUUUUAUUUUUUCUAAAUACAAAUGAAUAAUAACAUUAGAUAUGGAGGUGGAGCCAACCAGCUUGCCGACGGCUACAACAAAGGUACCGGACUAGGUGCCGAGAUCAUCGGAACAUUUGUCCUUGUCUACACCGUUUUCUCGGCCACCGAUCCCAAGCGAAGUGCACGUGACUCUCACAUUCCAGUUUUGGCGCCACUUCCCAUUGGUUUUGCCGUCUUCAUGGUUCACUUGGCCACCAUUCCCAUCACUGGAACCGGAAUCAACCCCGCCCGUAGCUUCGGAGCCGCAGUUAUCUACAACCAAGAAAAGGCCUGGGACGACCAAGUACGUCAUUAACUUUUAUAUACAUGGACACAUUUUCUAUUAGUUAAAAAUAUAUAUCAAAUGAAACUAAUGAUGCUUAAUCAUAUAUUUUGAUAAUUUGAACAGUGGAUAUUUUGGGUGGGACCAAUGAUCGGAGCAGCAGCUGCUGCGUUAUACCAUCAGUUUGUUCUAAGAGCGGCUGGAAUUAAAUCUCUUGGCUCCUUUAGGAGCUCUGCUUAAUUUUAAUUGUUUGAAUUGAGCCACAAGUUGAUCUUAAAUCAAAAUGAUGAUUACCACUAUAUAUUAAGCGGAAGCUACGUGUAUCUUUUAUUUAAUUUUAUGUUCUGUUUUUAAAUUUCAAGGAAUUUCCCAUUGGUUGUAAAUGUGGUUUUAAUUAAUGUUGCUUUAAGAUAAAUCUCUUCUUUGCUUUUAUUUUAUUUUCUUUGUUUAUUUUCUUUAUAUUGCUGUUCCUUCAAGCUAACAACCUCUUCAUGCAUUCUUUGCCACCAACCUUCUACCAAAACAAAAUCGUAACUAGAUGAACAAACACCAUAUAUAUGGACCUAUUCUAUAAUCAUUUACCAUCGAUCAAAUAUAUAAAACAAUGUAAAGUAUUGUAAAACCAAUAAACUACAACUGUUUUGUUCUGUAACUAUUUAAGUACGUAUUGCCAACAUUUGUAUUGGAAGGAUACAAAAAAAAAAAAAAAGAAACUAUAAACAAAAGAGUGAAACUAACAAACAAACAAAAAACUGCAUUAGCCAAAAUGGUUUUCAUGACUUCUAUAGUUGUCUUCACAUACAAAAAAAAAAAAAAAGAAACUAUAAACAAAAGAGUGAAACUAACAAACAAACAAAAAACUGCAUUAGCCAAAAUGGUUUUCAUGACUUCUAUAGUUGUCUUCACUCAGUCAAAAAUAACCUUUUCUUCUUUUGUUAUUUAUUGCACAAUCAUACAAAUUUGCGCUACAAGCAACACCUCUCUUAAACCAAUCCUAUAAAACCCACAAACACACACACAAACUAAACAAAAAUCAAACAUUUACAAAGAUUAUAGAGAAGGAAAAAACAUGACAAACCUAACUCACUCUUUGCUCUUCUUCUCCUGUUCCUUAUCUCUACUUAUACGUGUGGCCAUUGCAGGAAGUAGACCUGCUCAUGGUCCAGCUUAUUCAAACCCAUCUGCUUUCUCUCCAGAAGCUUACGAUUUCUUUCACCCAAAAUCAUCACUACCUGACAAUAAUCCACCAAGAAACUCGCAUUCUUUGCCAUUUCUUUCACCUUCACCUUCACCUUCAAAGGCAUCUAAUGUAGAAGCAGACACACAAGGAAGUAAAGUUUCAUCAGACGAACGCAUAAGUGAGAGUAGGAGAGAAGAAGGACGAGGAGAAACUGUUGGCAUAGUGAUAGGCAUUUCUUUCACAGCUCUCCUUUUAAUGGGAAUUUACUUUGUGAUCAAGAAACGACUAGCUAAUUUAACCCGCACGAUUGUAAUCCACUCUGAUGCUUGAUCAUUAUCAAGUAAUUAGUUAUUGAUUUUGCAUGCAGAAUGGUAGCAAAAUAGCUGGACUUUGGUCUGGUUUAAUUUAAUAUUCCGUUUGAAUUUGGGGUUCGACAAAAAUUAGGAAAACAUCUUGAAACUAUAUAUGGAAAAUAAUUUAAUAUUUCAUAAAGUUAAAUGGAUCUUAAAUAUGUUUUAGUUGCUGUCAGAAAAUUAAACCUUAUUCAGUUUGGAUUCAAGUCUAGUCGUAUUUUAGUCAACGAAAUAAGAACUAGAUUUUUGGUCAGAGUUUCUUCCAAUUUCAGACAGUCGCACUAAAAUGGCGUUCCGCGUUUUCCUCCGCGUCCUCUCCCUCACAGCUCUUCUCAUUUUCUCCGCUGUUUCUCCUUCUUUUGCCGCCUCUUCCUCCGACGAUGAGGAUUUUAGCUUCCUGGAAGAUCUCAAUGAUGAAGGUCCCGGUGAGCCACUUACUUCCCCUGUGAGUCUGAGCCAGACGAAUUCGACGGAGGAGAAGCCGGAAGACCCCGAAGCGUACGACGACGUGGAAUACGGAGAUUUCUCCGAUCUAGGUAAUCAAGUUUCGGAUCGGUUCCCGGCGACAUUACGUGGUGGUCGUCAAAGAGCGUAACUUCACAGACGUGAUAGAGAACAACCAAUACGUCAUGGUUUAGUUCUACGCCUCGUGGUGUGGUCAUUGCCAGUGUCCUGCGGCUCAAGGGAGACGGUGUCGGUUUGGCUAAAGUCGAUGCGACGGAGGAGAAUGAGCUGACUCAUCAGUAUAGCGUUCAGGGCGUCCCUACUAUUAUUCUCUUCUUUGUAGAUGGGGAGCACAAGCCUUACACUGGAGGGAGGACAAAGUAAGUGGAACUAAAGUUCAAAUCUUUAGUGUGAUUAAAGCUAGUGUUACUGAAGUUAGUGUGUGUCUUACAGAAAUACGUCACCGCAAUUUAUAUUGUAUGAUCAGAACUGUUUCAAUGGACUACAGAAAGAUGAGGAUAAGUAAAUUUUAGUUUUGACAUUCCAACUUUUUUUAUUUUGGUUUUAAAGGCCAGCUUGUACAACUGUUUGUCCCACACUGAAACAAGGUCACACUACUAGAGAGUUCAACUUGAUAGGAGAAGACCCAUGUAUAUGAUUGCAUACAUUGAGUAGAACUAGAGGAACUGAUCUCAAGGGAAAGAGACUACAGUAUAUAAAAAAUCCCAAAGCUCAAAUCAGUCACAUUAAUAUUCCUAACGCUCUUUUUUUGUUUCAUUAAUAGUUACAUUUCCUCUUCGGUGAAGUUGCCAAAACUUGUGCAAUUAGUCAAAAGUCAACCCUUAAAAGAAAUAUAAUUAACUUUACGUAGGCGUCAACAUUAAUUUAAAGUGGUUACUUGCCUUGCAUUUCUUAUUAUUGACUCUAAUUAUUAUAUUCUUUUACUAGGAUUUGGUCCGCCCUACGGGCGGGUUAUUAAUAAAAUUAUUACAUAUAUAUCAUCAAUUUAAUAAAUAUUUUAAGAUGUUUAGCUUAUUUUAAACUAGGGUCGGCCCGCCCUACGGGCGGGAUAUUAGUUAUAUUUUUUAAUUUUAUCGUGAAUCUUUGAUUUUAGAUACCAUUGUUUAUAUGGUAAAUUAACUCUUAGAUUUUACUAAUUGUGUUAACUUUUUGGUAUUUUUUUAUUUCUAAUUCAAUAAGCAUUGAUUUAUCAUGGUUGGCAGAUAUAUUAAUUAAUUAAUUGAUAUGAGUGUGAUAUAAUUUACUUAAUGAAAUAUAUAUUUUAAUGAAUCACAUUUUUUUUUAAAUAUGUUUUGAGAGAUAGAAACAGUCGUGAAAAUAUUUGUACGACUCUGUUUUCUUAUUAAUUGUAACAACGUAUUCACAACAAUUUACUUUCAUAAAAUUUUCACAACAAUUUCAACAAUUUAUUUUUGAAAUUAUAUGAUGUCUAGUUAUUAUAAUAUUAUAAUAUAUUUUUUAGAUUCUCUCAAUGUUUAUUUCACUUUAAUAAAAAUAAGUAAAAUAAUAUUUUUAAAACACUACGGUCUAAUCACGUUAUAAAUAAUAAGUAAAAUGAACUUACUUCUGUCUCUUAGAUUUGUUCAUGAAAUAAAUUGUUUUUUUUUCUUUUUCUUUAUACAGUUUUUCUUAAAAUUAAUGAUUUAGACGAUGCAAAAGAAAUAACUUAUUCAUUUUAACUAAAAUUAUUUCAAAAUAGAAAAUCUGAAACUGGUGGAAUUUUUUUUGUAUCCCACUAAACUGAUUUACUGUAUAUAAUACUGGUGAAUUUUUUUGUAAGCACAAUUUGAAUUAGAGAAGUGAUCUGUUAACAUAUUUUAAAAGGCUUGCAGGUCACGUGUGCAGAGGAUGCAUGGUCAUGUUUCCAAAUUUAUAAGCACUUCAGUUAUUUUCUCAGCUAUACAUCUGCCUGCAGUUUCACUAAUGCUCAACCAAACACAUUAACAAAUUUGAACGAUAAAGAAGAAAUUUAUGAAGAAUCAUGAGACAUAUUUUUGUAACAGAAGGAAUGCUCCGCUCAAGAUGAAUGUACCAGAAUCAUCAGUCACCAAACACCAUCCAAGAAUCAUACGGCUGCGGAAGAGGAAAAGAUUCAAAUAGUUCUUACUUAUAAAAAGUACAAAAAGAACAUUCCAGGGUCAUUGUUCGUGUAGACAAUGAGAUGUAUCCCAAAAAUUGAAGAAACUGCAAGAGUAGAUGAUUAGAUAAGAUCAUGAGUUAUACAUACAGUUGAGAAACAUGUAGUGGAAGAUUGCAGGAGAUAUACAGAAGCUCAUCUUUCAAAACUUUAAAACAUUACAAAAGAUGCAGAUUUGUGACUUACCGAGACCAAGAAUUGUAAAGAGGUAAGCAUAAGGAUUGAAACUGUGAUAAGCGCCACCCUUCUGCAAUAAAGAAGAUGACCUGUUACACUGUUUUCAAGAUUUAACAUAAGGAUUCGUAACAGAUGGGUUGUUCUUACACGGAAUUGAGAACGUCUCUUAUGUCAUUGGAGCUAUUAGUGAUGGCAGCUAUAGAAGAAUUCAGUAUCUCUCCAAUCUGCUCGAUUUCAGUUUGGACAUUUGCAGGUAGAGACACCUGAAGAACCCCCAAAUGCUUUGCUGAAGCAAGUUGCUCUGAAAUAGCUUUAAGCUGAGAAACCGUGCUAUCCGCUUGUCAUAUGACAUUUGCUAAAUUUAACCGCAGAGCUGAAGAGAAAUCAAACUGAAAUCAAGAAAAGAAAACAAAAACUGUAAAAAUGUUGAAACUUAUUAAUCAUUUCUCAGAUUUUUUUUUUUAUUUUGGAAUCAAACUUGGGGUUUAUCAUUUUCAUGAAAAUUAACAAAAAGAGAAUGUAGGUGAAGAAGAAAUAGAUAAAAUGUCGAAGUUUCACUUUGCUUUCCCAGAAAAAAAAGCCUACUCAAGAACCAAAAAGUAGAAGAAAGAAAGACAACCUGUGGGAGGCUGAGUAGGUGCGAGUUGGUGACUACGAAGUAAGCUGUGCGGCUUCUUUGUGGAUAUAGAGCGGAUCUAGAUAGCAUGCUUCUGAGAGGAUUGGAUUGAACUGAUGAAAGAGUUACCUAUUUAUACUUGAAGAUUCACGCAAUAGAAGUAAUGGGGAUGCAUUCAAUGACAGAUCGUGUUGAGAAGUGGAAAGUUGUUGUUAAUGAUGGCGUGAAUUUAACCGACUUGCUGUAACGUAUCCAAAUUUUUCUGACAGCAGUAGAGAGAAUUCAAUAAGAUACCGGUUUGCGUUCAAUUAGGAUACGCUGGUACUCAAUCGACUAACAGAACACGACUGUGAAUCCAUGGCGGUAGCAUGACCAUGAUUAGGACGACGGUGAGAACCUUGACUUCGAGACCAUAAGAGAGACAACUUUAGGUUUAGAGAUGCAAGGCCCAAUACAUUUUCUAUUCAGGUCCUUUAAGCACAUAGAAAACGUGCCAUAAAACGUGAAUUAAAAAGCCCAUCAGAAGAGGAAUAAAUGAAACGGUGAGUUUCAGUCGUCUGGGACAGGUGUCGCGCGUACAGCAUUUGAAUUUGUGACCUGUCAGCUGAUGUGGAUAGCCUGGGAGGGAUACAAACCCUUCUUUAUAUAUAAAGAUUUAAAAAUGAUUUUAGUAUUUACUGGGCAUGUUUUGUUAUUCUUUUUAUAGAUUACGUUUAUCUUACUAUUGAACAUAUGUUCACGAAUACAUAAUCUAUAUAUAUAAAGAAGAGCUAAUUACAAUUAAAAUGAAAUAUGUAAUUAAAAUACUUAAAACUACAAUUAUGUAUUUGAAUAUAUUAUUUAUUUUGACAAUUCUGUUAUUUUGGUUUAAUUGCUGCUUGGUAUAUAUCCAUAAUAAGACACUAAUGUUUAUAUUGUAAAUCAAUUGUGUAUUUUUUUUUUUUUGAAAAAGAAUUGUGUAGUUGCUUAUUGUAGAUAAACUAUUGUUCUUUUUUUUGGCCAGUAGUACUCGACUUAUGGAUAUGUAGUAUUGGGGAAGGGAAACUAUGUUAUGGACAAUGUGUUUUUUUUUCUUACCUUUGUAGUUGAGCUAUAUUGGUAAUUUACUUGUGGUUGUUUUCUAUUUGGUUAAUUUUCUUUUUUCUGUAUGUUCGUUAAUUUUUUUCUUCUUCUUUAAAUUCUUAACUACUAAUUAAUAUAUCAGAUUUUUUUAUUGUUUUGCUAAAAGUAUACAUACAUAGUAUUCUUGGAAAUGAUUGAAAUGUAACGAAAAACUUGUUCAGGGGGGCUUUAAGAGAUGGGUAAAUCGUUUUGGAUGUUCAAGAAUGUCCGGAGUAGGUGCUAGGUGGCCCUCGAUGGUCUUUUGUGUGUGUUAUGCUUAAAAAGAAAGUGAAGAGUGAUUCGCUGAAAGUAAUGCAUCUCAUAGAAGAACCCAACCCAAAAAAUUGCUUACACCCAUUCAUGCGACUAAUUUUGAAUCAAAAGUCAAAUUCUUAUUGCUUGCAUUUGCAUAGAUUGCAAGUUUCCAAAUUGGCAAUGUAUUUUCCUUGCUUUACAACAACAGUUGCUUCUAAUGUCUUGGCAUCUGAGCUUUUGAUUCUUGGUUUGUUUUUGGUUCUCGAAUUUUUUUUUGAGAAAUUUUCCAUAGAAACACUCGUGCCGUUUGUCAAACCCACCAAUCAAUCCAUUGUCAGACCAAAAAAUUCAAGCCUUUUGUCUCUUUCAGGUGGUUUGACAUCCGCCAUCAACUUAUUGUCACCAUUGUAGCUAAUAGCUUGUCUCAUUUACAUGUACUUCUACUGAAAUACAAUGCAAUCUCAAGAGGAAACCUCACGGUCACAGCAACAGCUCAUAAAAACACAGUUAAUAACAUAGAGACUGAAUUGGUAGCAGUAUCCAUACCUGAGCACCGCAGAACUCAGCACUCAGCAGUCUGAGGUGCAAUGGCGUUAAGAACGUCAAAAGUCUAAGAAUUAGGAGUACAUAUAGCAAAGUGGAUUAGUUAGGCAAGAGACUUGGGAGGAGAAUUGGGGACAUAUGCGUAGUUCUGAAGAAUUUGAGGAGCAACUGAUGUCAGUGCCACACAACCUACGGUGAGUGAUCAUUGUGAUGUGUGAAAGAGGAACGAAGCAGACGCAUGAAAACAGUCUCCUGACAACGACAAGACUCCAAAUAUGGAAAUAUUCCAUUGUUGGAGCUUUGUGAUAAUAUAGCGUUAAUAGAGUUCAUGGUCAAACAACAUAAGUUAAUGUAAACGCCUAUUUAGCUCCAUACAUGACAAUCAAUCAUUUAUCUACUGAAUAUCACAAGUAUCUAGAGCUAAGGACGAUGGAUUUUCAGGACACAAACCCUACUUUGGUGAUGUUACGGGCUUUCCAGAAACGCAGAAGACGCGUCACGCCGGUAUUGAAACGACGACCGGUGUUAACAUCAGAGAAAAAGGUUUGGUAAGCGACCAUUGUUGAACGUCGUAUUGUAAGAAAAAAAAAGAUAAUAGAUUCUGUUUGAGCAGCGUGAUUAGUAAAUAUCUUAGACGGUAUUUAUAUAUAUUUCUUUAGAGAUUUCAUCUGAACUCUUGGGAAGGAGGUAAUUUAACUCAUCGUAGUGUGAGAGAUUGAAGGACUGAUUUAAUGGUGAGAAGUAAAGAUGAACGACCUCUUAUCGGCUAGGCAAAGCGUUACCAAAACCUGAAGCUGUAAUCAGAGGAUUACAUGGAAUGUCAAAAGAGCAGGGUAAAGUCAGGAGAAGAAUAGUCGCACAGACGAAAAAAAAGAAAAAGAAAGAAAGCCGAAGAAGAAUAGACCGAACGUGCUUGGAAAAUAUUGAGUUAGGUUGGGGUUUUGUAAACGUUGGGCUUUGCUAUUCUAAAAAAGGCCUUGUCCGAGUAGACAGUUGUUUGACUAUACGGGGAAAAAGGUUUUAUUGAGUGCUGACGUGUCGCGAUUUGCUUCCUCCUUCCAGCUGACGUGGCAGCAUCAGGAGAAGGGAAGUUCUCCUUUAUAGAUAUAGAUUUUCAUGCGCUUCUUCUCCCUAUUAAAUAUUUGUCCCUCCAUUAGCCAAAUAAUCCAAUAUUACUAUUUGUAAAUCCCCUAAGCGUUGACUGUUAGGUGCCAACUCAUUUCUCAAGUGUCACUCAUACGAAACUUUAAGUAGAAACUGAACAAUAUGACUUCUUGAUCUCUGUUUUCUAUACACUUCUGCAUACCCUAUAUAUUAUAUAUAUCUUCGAGAGAGAGAGAGAGAGAGAGAGAGAGAGAGAGAGAGAGAGAGAGAGAGAGACGAGGGAGGUUGAACCUUCGAGAUGAUGAAGAUCAGUUUCAUAAUCAUAGUUCUGUUAACGGUAGGAAUAGUAUCCGGUAAGAUAUCAACUAAAAAAGUUUCACCAGCUCCAUCUCCAUCUCCGUAUUCGUAUGCACCUCAAUCAGAAACCAGAAUGUCUCCAUCUCCUUCACCAUCGGCCUCUCCAACAACGAUGCCUCCCGGUUACAUUCACGGGCCACCGUCUCUGUCACCGGAAGAAAGUGAUCUCAAAUACAAAGACGGUAGUGGAACAGAGAGGGAAAGUUCCUCAGGAGGCGGAAAGAAGGCUGGAAUUGCGGUUGGAGCGAUUGCAGCAGCGAGUAUGGUUGGCGUCGCAGGGUACGUGUUGAAGAAACGGCGAGAGAACAUUCGUCGAUCACGAUAUGAAUACGCCGCCACUGAGAUCUUCUGAAGAGACAGAAACUUGGUCAUGGAUGUGGUGUGUCGUUUCCUACGUUUUGAGUUAAUGUACAAUUUAAUCAGCUUUUGUCCUAACAACGGUGGGUAAGAUAUGCGGCUCCUAGAGACAUGACUCUUUAUUAUAGUCUCUAGCUUCUUUUUUUUUUGGCAUCAAUUAUAGUCUCUAGCUAUGCUAUGGAACAUGUCAUGUCCAUGAAAGAUGUUGUAAAACUUGUAGAAAUCAUCAAUGUUCAAGAUUAUCUAUACUCCAUCCGUUUCAGAAAAUUAAAUGUUUAAGAAAAAAAAUUCAUUUAAAAUAGUUUUUUGUUGUUGUGUGUUUCUAUACAUUUUUAUUAGAUAAUACAAUAGUUUUUUUUUUUUGAGAAAGAGAUCUAGAUAAUAUAAUAAAUUACAGAUUUAAAAUAAAAUUAGUAUUAUAAAUUAUAGAUUUAAAAUAGUAAUUGUAUUUUUAAAAUUAUAUUGGUUUAAAAUAUUUGAAGUUACACAAUCUUAUAAAAUAAUGUAUUAAUAAUUUAAAUUUAAUAUAUAUUUUUAAUAUAAUUUGCAUUGAUUUGUAUGCAUGCACGUUAGCGGUUCUUGAAACUUUCAUAUAAUCAAAGUUACUCCUCUACCACCCAUCCUUUCUUAUCCUCACCAAGUUUAGAUGUAAGAAACGAAAGCCAAUGCUAUUUCAAGGAGAUCUAUUUUCUUUUAUUGCCACAUUAACCAUACAUUAUCUUCACUAUAUUUAAAAAUAAGUAAUAAAGAAUUACUAUAUUUAAAGCUAAUCUUAUGUAUAAAAACCCCAAAGACCGAUCGUAGUUUUUCCAAGCACAAAACAUCAAGUUGAAUAUCUUGUAUUAUUAAAAAUAAAUAAAACAAACUGCAAAAAAAAAAAUGGCCUCAUCAAGAUUUCAACUUGUUGCCCUUCUUGUCAUCUUCUCUCUCGUUAUUACUGCCCAAUCUAAUUUAACAGGUUACCCCACUCAUCUUAUUUAUUUUACAUUCGUAGAUAUUUCUUUUUUUUUGCUUUAAAUGAUAUUUCUUUUUAUUUCUACUAAACUUGUAAAUACGUCAUCAUCAUCACAAACCUAAUUCAAGUUUCUUGAAUUUUUGCAGAAAAGGAAGAAAUGGACGGACCAUGCCGCUUGAGAGGAACAUGCGAUGAGGACAGCGACUGCGACACCCAUUGCCACCGAAGCACCGACGCUGUAAAAAUGGACGGCCACUGUCUCUUCGACAGACCCACCCCCGUAUGCUGUUGCCUCUUUGAUUAAAUCGAUCCUUUUUUAUUCUUCAAGUCUCCAUGCAUGUUUUAAGCAAAAAAUAAAAAAAAGUUUCCAUGCAUGCAUGAUCAAUAUAUUCCUGAUUAAACUAAUGACGUAACAUAUAUAUAAAUGUUUACGUCCUAAUUACUUGAAGAAUAGAAGAAGUGAUCUUGUGUUUCUUAUAUUUUGAUUUCUUGUUUAUCAUAUGGGACAUUUAUAUGUUGUAAGAGAAUGGCUAUUUAUGAACAAUUAUACAUAUACAUUAAUAUUUUUGAAGAGAUCCCAGUUUUUAUAUUCUCUAUAACUCUUUUACAAACUCAUUUACAGUUUUUAUAUUCUCUAUAACUCUUUUACAAACUCAUUUACAGUUUUUAUUUUUGAAGCUUCCAUCACAAUGAUCAUAGUAUAACUAUAAUAGAUGAACAAAAUCAACAAUCUUUUCCUACUCUACAUACAUAUCUGACAUCUUAAACCAAUACCAAAAUAAAGUAAGAACCAAAGCAAAACCUUCAAUUCUUACAAAUCAGAUCAGAACUUAAACAACUUUUCUUCUACUCUUCUUCCAGCAAAUACUUCUCAAGAAUUGCUAAUGUUUCUUGCUUUGCGCUGAAUUUAACAACAACAAAAAACAACAUUUUUUAUAGUUUAUUAGCUCAAGAACCUCACAAGAUUCAAACUUUAAAUCCAUGAUCACAUACCUUCCAGGUCUAAUGACCUUAUACUUUCCAACUUUAGUCAAAUCAACUAUUGUUGAUCCUGCACGCCUUAAGGGAAGCAAACCACCAUCAUAGACACAAGCACAAUGCUGCCAAAGACUUUGAAAAUCAUUCACGCAAACGCUGCUUCUAUCACCGCUUAGAUUAGCACUUGUAAGAGCCAAAACACUCCCCGAACCUCUGGAUACUUUUCUAAUGAAUUCACAGUCUGGAACUCUUACUCCAAUAGUAUCAAUCCCAGGGUUUAAUGACCUUUAAAGAAUGCUUGACUCACCUGUUUAAAAAAACACUACAAGAACACUCUCACAUCAGAAGAUCAUAUCAAUGCAAUGCAACCCCACUUAAAGAAGACAAUGUGGAUUAGAAACUGGACUAAAACAAGCUUAGCGACCUAACAACACCAGUUCCCACAUUCGAUUCAAUGAUGGUAUACUUUUGAAACAGAGUAGAAAAGAGCAGAAACAUAGAGAAGAUGGAGAGCUUAAAGAGACAAAAGGGCAAGACUUUCAGCUGCAAAUUACAAACGGAGAGAAACCCAUAAAGAUUUAUUUCCUUUUUGAUUGAAUCCAAUCUUAUCAGAGAGCAAAACGAAAAAGCAAUACACAAAUGUCACGAGACGAGAAAACCAAGCGAGAGACAGUUGAAAACAGAUUAAAAGAGACAACCAUUACGCAAGAUAGGAGAAAGCGGCACCGGGGAGUUUCUCAGCGAGCCUCGUUGAGAAGUUCAUCUCAGUAAUCUUUCAACUUCGACGCUCACCGUCGUUGAGAAGAAAGGACAAAACAGUUUGCCAAAGCCUAGGAACAGAGAAAGAUGAGUCUUUCUUUUCUCCGUAUUGUCACGUGAUGGCCUCGUGACCUAUUUUUCAUAAACUACCAAUUUUAUUAUUUAACAUGAAAAUUACGAAUUGCAUAAUGCUGAGAGGUCGUUGCAUCCAGCGUCUGUCGCGUCUGAGCAUGGUUCAGCUGCCGCUCCAGCCUUCUAGCUCCCCAUCUUCGUUUAAACUCAAUCUAACCAACUUUGAUAGUAAUAAUUCGGUUUGAUUUUCGGUUUAAGAGAAAAGAGGCUGGUUUAAAUUAAACCGGUCAACUGUUUUUGCGCGUUUGACUUUUCUUUGGUGUCUCAUAAAGGUGCAAUGCAAGCUUUGUAGUAGUGGGCGGCUUGUGAACCAAUGAAAAGUCAAUAAAAAGUUUCUUAAAAUAAACACAUUUACAGACAUGAGGGCUUUCUUCUUCAUUUAAGGCAUCUUCACGUUCUAGCUAGGUCGUUCCUUGCACAUAAAGGUAUCAAGACCAGACAAUUGGAUUCUUUUCCCAUAAAAGUUUCUAGACAAAUAUUUGAAUUCCUGUACAUAAUGAUUUCAUAUAUAAUAUUGGCAAAUUACUCUGACUAAAUAACUGUGAAAAUUUUGGGUUAUUGAUACAAAAAAAACUAGAAGUAGAACAGAAUACGAAUAAAAUUUGGUUUGGAAUUAUAAUUAUUGUUCCUUUAUAUGUUUUUACUAGGAAAAAUGAAGUAUUGAAAUAUGUUUUGAUCAUAUAGCUUAAGAAUGGGUUAAAAAGAAUGUGAAAUGAUACGUACGGUUUUGACUUUUGACAAAAUUAAGUAACUCUUAUAGGCAUGUAGCUAAUACUUUUGAUAUUGAAGCUUCAUCAAGUAAGCUUUUUGACUUGAGAUAAACUCAAAGAGUCAUCUUUUUUCUUAAGAUAUAACCAUAGGAGGUUUUAAUAAGUCAAUUUAAUUAUUUCUUCACUCUAUAAAAUCCCUCCUUUUCCAAUAACAUUCCACACCAAAAACACAAGAAACAUCUUGAGAAACUAAAGAAUCUAAAAGAAGGCAAAGAAGAAGAAUUGAUAUUGAGAGAUGGAGCACAGAAAGUCAUACGUGCUUGUAGCUCUCUUCGCAUUGCUUCUCUUGACCGAUAUUGUCAUUGCUGCGAGCGAUGGCGGCAAAGACAACGGUAAUAACGGCCAGGGACAACUAGAGAAGGCUAAAGGAGAAGAUGCUGGCAAAGGCAAAGGCAACGGUAACGGUCCAAAGGACAAGGAGAAAGAGAAGAAGGACAAGAAGGAGAAAGACGAGAAGGAGAAGAAGGCCAAGAAGGAGAAGGAAAAGAAAGAGAAAGAGGAGAGGGAAAAGAAGGACAAGGAAAUGAAGGAGAAGGAGAAGAAGGAAAAAGAGAGGAAGGAGAAGGAGAAGAGGGACAAGGAGCAGAGUGAAGCAGCUGCUAGAUACAGGGUGCUUUCACCAUUGCCUACAGGACAAGAGCAAGCCAUGUGCCAGGCUAAGGGUGCAUGUUAUUACAAAACUCUUGUUUGUCCCGGUGAAUGUCCCAAGAGGAAGCCCACCAAGAACAGAAACACCAAAGGUUGCUUCAUUGACUGCACUAGCAAAUGCGAAGCUACAUGCAAAUGUAAGUACAUUCUAUUCAAUUGGUCUUUGUUUUAGAUUCAGUUUUGCUUCUUUCACAAGUUAUCUCGUUGUAGAUUGGUUACUUGUCUCACAAGGGAAUGUUAACUUAUUAAACACGUAACUUGUCUUUACAGGGAGAAAAACGAACUGCAACGGCUACGGUUCUCUAUGCUACGACCCUAGAUUUGUUGGAGGGGACGGUAGGAUGUUCUAUUUCCACGGAUCUAAAGGAGGAAACUUUGCGAUCGUUUCAGACAACAAUCUCCAGAUCAACGCUCACUUCAUCGGUACAAGACCCGCUGGAAGAACCAGAGACUUUACAUGGGUUCAAGCCCUAAAUGUCAUGUUCGAAACUCACAACCUCGUGAUCACAGCCAAUAGAGUGACACAAUGGGAUGAAAACUCUGACGCAUUUACCCUUAGAUACAACGAAGAAUUCAUCACACUACCUGAAGACGAACAAACCGAGUGGAGGGCAACUUCGGGAAAAAGAGAGAUUGUCAUCGAAAGAACCGACGAGAGAAACAGCGUGAGAGUACUUGUCUCUGGUCUUGUUCAGAUGGACAUCAGAGUAAGACCAAUAGGGAAAGAAGAGAACAGAGUUCACAACUAUCAGUUGCCUCAAGAUGACGCUUUUGCCCAUCUUGAGACUCAGUUCAAGUUCUUAGACCUAAGUGAGCUCGUGGAGGGCGUUUUGGGGAAAACCUACCGUCCUGAUUACGUUAGCUCCGCCAAGGUUGGAGUUCCAAUGCCUGUGGUGGGAGGAGAAGACAAAUACCAAACGCCUUCUCUGUUCUCGCCGACUUGUAGACUCUGCAGGUUUAAGCCUCAUGAAGAACCACUCUCUGCUGAUAUCUAAUGAGAAGAAGAAGACUGAUGGAAACUUCCAUUAUGUUAAAAUAAAUUUAUUAAAAUUUUGUAUUUGUAAUUGUUUUAUAUUCAUAAAAAGUAAUGUAAUAAGAGCCAAAAAAAUAAUGUUUGGCCCGUUUGUGAUGUUUUUGAGGGUUUAAGAAAUGUAAGACGUUUCUUGCGCCAGAAUCAAACCCUUGAUUUCUGUUUUUCCUUGUUGCUUUGUUGUGUUUUGAAUACGAAUGAAUACGUUUAUAUAAUAAGUUUUCUGUGUAAGUUAAUAUAUUUUAGUUUUUUGUUUGGUGUAAUAUUAUAUAUCUGUGUUUGACACAUUGUUUUCCUUGUGUUUUGAAAACAACGUAAGUCCGGUUAAAAUCGGAGUCCCCAUGCCCAUGAUGGGUGGAGAAGACAUAUUAUCUGCUUUUAUGUACCAAAUUGUGUUUAAACUAUGCCUCUAAUUGUUGUGUGUUUACCAUUUGCUUAUUUGAACGAUUAUCGUGCUUGCAGAAUAAUAGGGUUUUCUUAUGUUUUUUCGUUCGGAUUCAUUGUUUCUUAGCCGCAAGAAACAUGUACCGCCAUUAAAAUUUCUACUUUGAAAAUGAAAGAAAUAGAAAUGGCAAUUCAAGCAGUCUAAAACUUUUUUUGGUUGCAUCGUAAGAGUCUAGAACUACAAAUAUAAAUAAUUGAAUCGUGGUUGAAAUUUUAUACAUGAAAUUAUUUAAUAUAUUAAUGAAACAGAUGAGAGAUGCCAAUUAAAAUCCAAUUUGAUAAAUGCAUAAACAUCGUUAGUAGGAUGACAACGCUGUUUUAAGAGAGUUUUAGUUAUGCUCCACUUACCCUCACAAAACAUUUUCGGACCUACCUUCACAAAUUACAAACUUAUAUACAUUUACAUUAUUUUUUAUUCGAGUUCAUUUAUGGUCACAGAAAAGUGAAAAUAUGUUCCAACAAUUUAUUGAUUUGAGCGUGGAAUGUCUAGAAAAAAAAUACUGGAUCGGUUAUAGAAUGGUCUGAAGCUUUUUGUAUGAAUUAAGUGAAAUCAUGUAAACUGAAUGUGAUACACUGUCAACAUUACUACAAAUCAAAUAAAUAAAAGCUUAAGUAAUAAAUUUGAAAUAUGCUUAAAAUUGAAGAGAGCCCACCACAAAUCAAUUGAUAUGUUUGCUUUUUCUUAAUUUUCAAGCAAAGUUGCAAGUUGCUCCUUCCAUUAUCAUAUACCACACCCUCCAUUAUUCCUCCCACCUUUUCAUACAGAGGUUUUGAUAAUUACAAACAAUGUAAUGAUUUCCAUUUUGUCUAUGCAGACACACAUAAAUACACGGUCUGUGUAAAUACUAGAUACAUUCAUUAUCACCACCGUAAUAACUAAUACUAUUGUUGUUUUGUACUCUCUAAUAUAAUCUUUUGUUUUUAACUAGAAGAACUAAUAUCUAAAACCAAUGCAUAUGAUAUGCUUUUGAUUAAUAAGUUAAUGCAUUGUCUAUGCAGAAACACAUAGAUCUGAUUUUUUUUUGAAGCAAGUUUCAUUUAUUUUGACACACACACCUAACACACACAUAUAUAUAUAUAUAACCGUUGUAAUUGAUUUUCUGUUAUAAAAAUGAAAAAAAAAUUAACUACGUGCAUGGCUCCCAAUAAACAUCUAAUAAUUAAGUAAAAUGCUUUCAUAAUUUGCUCCUAAAAAAUCAUUACACUAAAUCCAAAAACAAUUAUCCUUCUUUUGUUACUAAUGGCAUAUGGCCACAUAUAGUUAUCACAUCACUUUUCCAAGAGGUAAAACAGUUCAUCUGACAAGAUGUGAUGGAAAUUUUACACACCAAACAAACAAAAAAAAUCAAAUCAUUACUGAUUUAAUUAACAAUCAACUUAGUUGUAAAAAUGUUGACUGUUUAACCAAUUAUUUUCCCCAUUUUAUUAUAACCCUGACUACUUCCUAUAAACUCGUAUCUCACCCAAACAGAAAACAUCAACACACACACACACACACAGAUCCACCACGAUGGAGCAUUCUCCCUUCUUUCUCCUCCUCUCCACCGUUCUCCUCCUCCUCACAGCAUCUCCUCUGGCCCAAUCUCAGCCAGCCGCCGCUCCGGCUCCACCAGGACCCACAAACGUCACCAAAAUCCUUGAAAAGGCAGGCCAAUUCACAGUCUUCAUCCGCCUACUCAAAUCAACCGGCGUUGCUAACCAACUAUACGGCCAGCUCAACAACUCCGACAACGGAAUCACUAUCUUCGCACCGAGCGACUCCUCCUUCUCCAGCCUCAAAGCCGGAACCCUAAACUCCUUAUCCGACGAGCAACAAGUAGAGCUAGUUCAGUUUCAUGUCAUACCAAGUUACGUCUCUUCCUCAAACUUCCAAACCAUCAGUAACCCUCUCCGGACCCAGGCCGGUGACUCCGCGGAAGGACAUUUCCCUCUCAACAUCACGACCAGUGGCAACACCGUAAAUAUCACCUCCGGUGUAACCAACACCACCGUCUCUGGCAGUGUCUACAGCGAUGGACAGCUCGCUGUUUAUCAGGUUGAUAAGGUUUUGCUUCCUCAACAAGUUUUCGACCCUCGUCCCCCUGCGCCGGCUCCGGCUCCUACGGUAGCGAAGUCGAAGAAGAAGAAGGAGGAUGGUGAUAGUCCCGAUGAUGAUUCUCCGGCGGACGCGUCGUUGGCUUUGCGUGAAGUUGGUUCUGUUCGUAGUGCCGUGUUGGUUUGCGUUAUUAGUAUAUCGCUUGCAUGGUUUUAUUUGUGAUGAUAAGUUUUUCUAUUAUAUUACUCAUGCAUUUUUCUUCCUUGUGAUUUUGAAGUAUUAUUUCUCCGUUGAUGGUCAUGGAUAUUGCGUUUGAUUAAUCAUAUUUGGUUUUUAUUUUGUUUCAUAUUUGUAAGAGUGAAUUUUUUUUUGUUUAUCUCUUAGAUUUUUUUUUGUUUUUGCCUUUUGAUCAUAUCUUCACAUUUUUUCAAUUUAAAUACGGUUGCUUUGAGGGAUUCUUACAAGAAUGCCACCAACUUUUAUCAAAUGGUGCACCAAAUUUUAGCAAAAAAAAAAAUUAUCAAAUGGUAGCGGCAGAUGAUAAUGCCAGUUUAUAAAAGAUUGGUCUCGAGCACCCUUUCGUAGAUGACUGACAUGGCAUAGACUAUAGCUAAAUAUUGUCUAGGUGCGUAAAAUCUGUAAGGGGGGUUGGAAAUAAUGAAUACUCCCUCUGUUUUUGUUUCUUGAAAUUUUUUAAACAUUUUUCUGUUAUGUCUUAAAAUUAAAAUUUUAGAUUUAAAAAAAAAGAAAAAAAAAUAUAUAUAUAUAUAUUAAUAGUAAUGAAUUUCAUAUAUCCAAAUUAUUUACAUUUUGAAUUGCUAUUGGUUGAGAGUGAUAAAAAAAUCUUUAGUUCAGAUAUUUUAUAUAUAUAUUUUAUUAUUGAGUUUAAAAUAUUUAAUUUUAAUAUGUGUGAAAAUUUUAUAAACGGAUCUUUAAAAACAGAAGAAAUAAAAUUUUGUCCUAUAUAUUAUCGAUUUUUGAGGAAACAUCAACCUGCAACUGUUGACUUGAUUCCUCAUAAUGGAGAGUCAUAUUAUCGAUUUUUGAGGAAACAUCAACCUGCAACUGUUGACUUGAUUCCUCAUAAUGGAGAGUCAUAUUAUCGAUUUUUGAGGAAACAUCAACUUGCAACUGUUGACUUGAUUCCUCAUAAUGGAGAGUCAUAUUAUCGAUUUUUGAGGAAACAUCAACCUGCAACUGUUGACUUGAUUCCUCAUAAUGGAGAGUCUCUUGCCUCUCAGCAAACAGUUGGGGAGGGCAUCAAACCAUCAAUGACAGGAAUGAUGUGGAUGGAAUAGAGAAAGCGGCUGAUUCUGAAUGCGGGGAGGGGAGCAGUGAUUCCAUGGUGGCCUGGAAGGAGCAGCCAAUGGAAAAGAAAAAAAUAAGAGAAAACAUGAGAGAAUCAAAUGAACUAAUAUAAUAAAUAUUUUCUAAGUUAUUUUCUAAUAAUCAAUAUGAUUCCUAAAGUAUAAAAACGCAACAACAGAAAACUAGGUCUAGACUUUUGUUUCGGUUAUUGGUUGCACAUAUUCAUGUACCAUUAUUGUGUAUAAACGCCAAUGUCUAAAUUUGAUCAUAUCAUGUAUUAUACAAUGAAAACAAAUCUAACCCAAAAAAACCAGUCAAUCGAAUUACUUUUGUAGGAAAAGAAUCUCAUUCAUAAUUCGGAAUCAAAACUUUAACCGUCAUAUUGGUGACGACAACUCCACCAAUGAAUCAUUUGUUUAAAUAUCACACCAACAUGGAGAUGGGAAGGAAUAUUAAAAACUAUCAAUUGCUUCCAAGUUGUGCGUGAAUAAGUACGGCUUAAUUAACAAAAAGUAUAUAUUUUAUCAAAAACAUCUGCAUUAUCCUUAAUUUGGAUGAAAUGUGAGGCUGUUAACCAAUUUUCAUCCUUAACUGAAAAAAGGCAAUAUAAGAGAACAAUAAUAGAGCUUGAAAGUGUUGUCCACAUGAACAAUAAUUAUGUUAAACCACGUAUCUUUCUUAGUUUAUGUCUACUUGCCUUUAAAGUUCAGGAGAUUCGUUCUAUUGAAUCAUCAAGAAUGGAUCACUUCUUGAAUUACUACUAUUCCAAAAGGUGUAUAGACAACGAGUUUUGGAUUUUAUUUUUAUAAUUCGGGCCAACUAAUGUAAGUGGUAUGUUUUGAACCCGGAGCGAUUAGCUCUUUUCUGAGCCGCCAUACCAUCCGACCAUACCCGAGUGGUUGUUUUGGAUGUUAAGGAAGCAAUUAUAUUUAGCAUUGCUAACUUCCAUCCCAUUAGGAACGGUCGCAGGUCAGCAUCGUUAGUCAUUCACCCAUUCAUGAUUUGUUUAGCAGCAUUGUUUCACCAAGAAAGCAUAGUAAAACGAAUAAGAUCGUAAUUUUAAUAAUCUUAAUUGUUGGAUAUAUGUAAAUUUUGUAAGAUUUUCCAAAAAAAAAUAAUACUAAGCACUGAAGCUUCAAAAUCUAUCUCAUGUGUAAGCUUCAAAAUUUUGUAAGAUUUUCUUAAUUGUUGUCUUAUAUAUUUAUUUUUUCAAGAAGACAAAACGCAUCAUCAACAUGAAAGAGAUCUAUAACUUUUGAAACAUAGAGGACGUUGUGUUUCUAUUCCUCCCGUUGGCAAAGUACUUAUUGUUGUGAAUCCAAACCUUCAGAACUUCUCUCUCUACUCCCACUUCCCUACAAAACUCUCUUACGUACUCAUCAUCACAGCCGUUGAUCUUCCAACCAGCUCUCUCUGCGAAAGCUCUCAUCAUCACCUUCUGCUUCACCGUGAAUUUUGUCCUCUUACGUUUCCUGUCCACCGUACUGAUUUUACCCAUGUCUUGAUCCGAGGGUCCAGAGAAACCGGAGCCGCUGAGAGAGAGAAGCAAGUGCGUGGAUGUAGCUGGCUGCAGCGGUGGUGGAGGCGGCGGUGAGUUGGUACGGUGAAUGAAGACGCUGGAAGGGUCACGGCGGUGGAAGUUGCGGUGGCAGCCACAUGCAUCGCAACUAAGGGACGGAGGGUCUGUGAGGAUGGUGGUGGACUUGGGCAUGAACUCACCGCAGCCGUCAAGAGCGUAGCCGCCGAAACUGACCGCUUGGUUUUUAAGGCACUCGUUGUACAAGAAACCCAUAUUCCACUAGUCUUUGUUGUUGGUGAUGAAAAUUUUUGUACUCAGUUUUGCAAGUGUUACUAAUGAUAUAUAUGUGAUAUAUAUAUAUAUAUAUAUAUUAGGAUUCCAACCCAGCAAUGUGGGAAAAAGAAAUAAUAUAUUUAUUUUUAAUUGCAUAUAUUUGUUAUCCAUCCGUUUAAACAAACCACAAAUUCCAUUGUUUAUCCAACUGAAGCGAACAGCUGAUACACACUAACAAAUACCGUUGAUUAAAAAAUUAUAGUAUACAAAGCAUACCCUUGAAAUCUUUCAAAGAGUUAACUGUUUAGACAAAAUUAUAGUAUAAAACUACGUAGAAGAGAAUCACCUCAUUUUCUGGUUGUAAUACAUAUUUUGAUAACAGUGUGGAACUUAACUCCCCUUCUCGACGGUUGUAUUUUCCGGUCUAGCUUGGAAUUCAGUCAUUUGGACUUUGCUUUAGUUUUGUUUUUUUGUACAUCAGAGAUUUUUUCUUUUUUUGUUUGCUUAGUUUUUUUCUCACAUGAAUAAUAUUUUGUUAUUUUUCUUGGUAGGGCCUUCAUGCAAACUACAUAAGCAAAGCCUCUUGCAAGAUGAAUGCAUGAGUCAGUCUAACUCUUGGCGAUUAAAGAGGAAUAAGUUUAGGUGAUAGAUAGAGGAAUGAGUCUCACCCGCACUUAUACACGAUCUUGAUAGGGGUGAAACUUCAUGACAGUGGAGAAUAAACAUGUAGUGGUGUCUGUGGGGGCUCUCAUGGCGUUUAGGCUAGAACGCCGACAAUAAUGAUGCAAGCGAAGGCGAUGCUUCCAAAGCGAGGAAAGCCAUGUGUGUUUGCCUUAUUCAUCCACUUACACUAUUUCAUUAUAUGUUUUGAUUUGAUGUUUGAGCCGUUACAAUUUAGAUUUAUGUGUAACAUUGUUGUUGCUCUUUUGAACUUUUUAAGGAAAUGGUCCAUAAAAAUAGUAUAAAAGAAAACAACAACAACAACAAAAACAAUACAUUUAGCAUGUAGUCGGACUCAGUUUUUCGUGUCAAAAGAGUGCUGCAAAUACACAAUUCCCACCAUAUCUUUAGCAAAAUUUCUUAUGUCUUCAUGUCCCUUUUUCUAAAUAUUUCAAUAUCUUCUCUAAUGGAAAUUACAAAACAAUAAGGCCCCAUAUUAUUCGGGCUUAGAUACAGUACAACAAAUCCGAGAAAAUCUUAAAUUUCAUAAACAAAACCCUUCCAUCAGGACCAAAAUAUUCACCAUAAUUCAUCCAUGUUUUUUCAUAAACUGUAGUAUAAAUUAUUUUGUGUAUUUAUAGAAACUUUACCCAAAAUACUAUUUGAUCGUACAACAUUCAACUCACCGAAAGUAACGCCCAACCAAAGCAGUUGACUCAUUGGUUUCUACUACGACUCCACGUUUCUUCCUGAUCAUUCUAUACACCUAAAAGUACCCCCAGAUUUGACUUUAUUUACCAUUUUGCCUUUCCUUCACCACCCUCCUUUAUCAUCUUCCUUCACCUCUCUCUUUACCCUUUUCCGUACAACACAACAAUGGCGAGAGGCUCUUCCCAGUCCCAACAAUCAACCUCCACCGCUUCAUCAACCGCCAGGCCCGGUCUGGCCGCUCCCCGUGGAUCCGCCGCCGCUACGGCCGGCAUGCGUCGUCGCAGGCUCGGUGGCGGUGGAGGCGCGUCAUCAGGGGGCGGAUCCGUCGCUGGAUCAGGAUCGAGCAACAUGCUGAGAUUCUACACAGAUGAAGCUCCUGGUUUGAAGAUUUCACCUACCGUCGUCCUCAUCAUGAGUCUCUGCUUCAUCGGCUUUGUCACCGCUCUUCACGUCUUCGGAAAACUCUACCUCCACAAGUCCGGAUCCAAAGCUUAGAUCCGGAUCCGGAUCUCUUCUUCCGUAUGUUGAAUCAGUGGUCGCUUCUUGUUUCUUUUUUUGGUUUCUUGUUUCUUGAAUCUUGAUGAUCCGUGUAAAACCGCUUAACUUUGAAUAAAACAUGUUUACUUAUGGAGUAGAUUAACUCAUUGACAUUAGUCAACUGAGAUUACAUUUUCUGAUGGAAAAAAAAAGUUGAAUAAAACAAAUUGUGUUUAACAGAAAUAAACACUAAAAUCAACAAAGUACAUGAAUAAAUCAAAAAGAAGACAUGGAAACAAGCUUUAGGUGACAAAAGCAUAUAUAGGUUUUUGAUGCUUUUGGAAGAUUGGAAAAAACAAGAGAAGUACGGGGGCACAUGUAGCUGUUCCGGUCAACAAGUUGGAGGAAGUAGACUUUGCGGAGAGUGGCAGACCAUCUUUUUGUGCGAGAUUAAUAGUCAACUCUGAGUGAGAUUCAUGCAUAUGAAAUGAACGGUGCCUUCAGGCCACGGUUUAAUGUGUUUAUACCAUCUACACCACCAAGCUUGGACUACCCAUACCGUGUCUUAGCAGUUAGCACCAAUGUCUUCCAGCAACACGUGUUUGUUGGUAUUCAUUAUCAAUUCAAGAUGAUGUUCUAAUUGAUUUUGUGAUGUAUGUAACUCUGCCGUGAGUACUUCAACGUCUCUUUCCGUAGUAAUUAAGAGAUUUGUGAAAUUUAUGGACUUAGGAGUAAAGGGUUUAUGAGCAGCACGACAAGGAUGAUAUAACGACAUUUUAGAAUGGUAUAAGAAUUUGUAGCCGAAUCACUAAGCAACCUUUGUUAAACGCCACAUGCAGCGAAUAAUCAUCGUCAGUCUCCUUUAUUAUGGAUAUCAAUUUAACAGCUGUUGGUUACCAAAAUCUUUUUUCUUAAAAUAUAUACAUAUGUAACACCAAAACUGAAGGGAAAGAAAUAUAAGUUGACUUAUGAUUAAUUUUAAUAGUUUAGAAGCUUAAGCCAUUUCCAACCCAAUGUGAUUUCCACAUAAAACAUCUCCAACAUAACACUAAAAGUUAGUAUAUUGUUUAGUGCAAUACUAUAAUUUCACAUCAAAUUUAGUAUCUAAAAUUUCUUCUUCUUCUUUUGGUAAUCAUCUUUAUCUAAAACUUCUACAAUCAUAUUUUAGAACAAUACUCAAACUCUAAUAAAAAGAUUUUAAACAAAUAUGUAUCAGUUGAUCAUACCAUUUUUUUUUGGUAAAAAGAUAUGUUCAGCGACAAUUAUGGUUUCGCAAACUGAAUGUCAUAUGUGAUCUUACAUUGUAUACCAAUAUUAUAUUACUAAAAACAUAAAUAUUCUUCUAUAUGAAAUAUAUUCCUUGUUCUGCUUAGUGAAGAUUCUUGAGCUUCAAUGUUAUCAUUGAGUUGAUCUAUUUUUGCUUAUAAUGGAUACUAAUUAACAUUGAGAUCAUGAUGUUGAUAGAUUCCAUAGAUUUGUCAACAUUUUCGUCUAAACCAUUUGCAUAGGCCCCUUGUCAAAUGAAAACAACCAAACAAACAAACAAAAAAAUAAAGAAAAUACAUUUUCUCUUGUGGGUUAGCGUCAAACCAUGUGAGUUCUGUAAACACAACUCAUAAAUUGCUAGGCUUUUCUUAAAAUGUUCAGGAUGGCGAUGUGCUAAUCUUUGAGAGCUCAUCCUGGUUCCUGUCAUCCAUGAAAAAACUUCACAAAGACCAAAACAUCUUCGAGCAAAGAGAGAAAACCUGUCUUGGAACAGAUUAUCAUUUCAAGUAUAGUAAAAAGAUCUAGAAGCUCAAACCAUGUCAUGUAACGACCAGUUUCAUGCUUUAGUCUCUUGCAAGUACAACGAGAAUAAUAGUGAAGUGAUGAUGACUUUAGAUUGAAGAAGAAGAAAAAAUCAAACAUGGUCUGAGAUGGUAUGCAUCAUUUGUUAGAGGGGAAGGUAAAAUAAGAGUAUUUAACUGAUAUACCUUUAAACUUCGAAUUGCAUCUCUUUGCAUUUAGAUGCACAUAUAAGGAUAGCUACGUAGGAGAGAUACCGUCAUCACCAUCAGCUAAACUCUUAGAAAAUGUGAUGGCGCUAUCUCUCCUGCGAAGCAAAUCUAUAUGUGCAGUUUUGAAACCUUCGAAGAAGCAAAGAACACUCAAAUGACGUUUCUGUAUAUAUGUGUAAUCACUCUAUGAGCUAUUAAGUUUCAUCACAUAUAUAUAUUACCAUAAAGGGUCUAAGAAGAAUGAACUUAGUUAUACCAUCACUAUCAUUGCUCUUUAAUUGUCUUUUUGUUUGCCGCUUUCUAUGUGGCUACAAUCAAAUGACAAAUUAUCACAAGUGAGGUCAUCGUGUGAAUGUCAUAUCCAAUGAUUUGGCACUACCUUGGGUAUUGUCACAUUUAUUUUGUUACUUGUGUGCAGGUUUCUUCGGUUAAUUUGAGCUCUUGACUUUGCAUUUGUUAUGAGAUGUGGAGUAUGAACUGGCGAAAUUUUUGUUAGGUUUUCACGCAUCAAGGUCCUAUUGUAAGUCUCAAAGGUAUUAACUUAUCGUUAACCAAUCCUUGUAUAGUGUUGGUACUAUGUACUGUGAGUAGCUACUGGAGUGUUACUUUGUAGCACAAGAUGAGCUAUUGUCUAUAUCGUUUGUGUGACACUUGUAUGUAAUCCAAACAAAAUUCAGUAACAUGUUGUAAGACAGCCGUUAUAUAGGUUAUCUUAUUAAUCUAGUGAUAAAUUUUGAUCAAAGAGUAUUUAUUAUUUAAUAUAGUUUGUUUUUGCAAUUGAUGAAAGAGUAUUUAUUUUUAUAUAGUUUGUUUUUGCAAACCAUUGCAAUGCAAGAUCAAUUUCAACCAUUAUUUUUAACAAAUGCUCUUUUUAACAAUACUGUGUAAUAAAUGGUGACAGUGAUGUCAAAACUAACACUACUGUGUUUAAGACUCUGCUUUGCUUUAUUGAACAAGUUGGGUUAGAAACACAAGUUGGAGACAUUGAUGAUGUAACAGGUGAGUGCUGCAUUUAUUCUCACUGAAAAAGAAAAACUGAAAAGCCUUAUUGUCCUCUUCGUAAUUUUAUCAGAAUCCAAAUGAGUAAAAGAAAAGAAAAAAGAAAGAAGAAUCCAAACUCGAGUUGUCAUGUGGAGAAAAGAGGUAAAGUGAAGCCAAUGUUUACUUUCACCGUUUACUAAAUUAUGAAGAAGAAGAAGAGACCAUACGGUCCAUACCUACUUCUACUACUCUAUUACCACAUAUCAAUUGCCACGCAACAAGAAAAAAAAGUCUCUCGUAGUAAAGUGGAUAUUAACUACACAGUACUUCUAUAUAAUCUUAUACCAUCCUUAAUCCUUUUCCAUUUCAUGAUCUUGUCUUUUUCUUCUCCUUCUUUAGGUUUCCUUCUUUAAAAAAAAAGAUCACAAAUUCUGAAUCUACAAAGAGAAAAAUGCUGACAACAACUCUUAGUGGCAACUAUGGCUUCCCUCUUUGCAUCUCUGGGAUCGCUCAGCAGUUAUCUCUCUCCAAAGAGUAAACAUGUUUCUUAUGUUUAUCUGUCUUCUCUCUCUUGAGAUCUCUGUUUUCUUUCUGACUUGUAUCUCUCUCCCUCUAUGUUGAAGAAUGGCAGAUCAUGACAAGAGAAGGAAGGGGAUGAAGAAGAGAAGUAGAUCAGAUGAGUCCAGUGUUGGGAUAAGCUUGAAAUAGCUUGGAAAUCAAGCUAUCCUAAUCCUAUAUUGUUUGUGUUUAUCUAUAAGGAUUAGGAAAAUAUAAAACCUAUUGAGUUUAGGAGUUAUCUAUUGAUAUAUAAGGAGUUGCAGACUUGUUGCAACACUUAAGCGUUUUGGUGACUGUUUGAGUUGACUUGAGUUUUGAGGAAUUUUCUCAAGUGAUUAAUAAGAGAGCAAGUUCUUGUUAAUUGUGUUCUUACAAUCAAAUACGUGAAACUUAGAAACUAUAUUUGGUAUCAGAGCUUCUAGGAAACGAUCGCACUAGCUAUGGGAGAUCUAGUUACUACGAAAGUUAAAGGAGGAGGUGGACCUACCACCAUAAGCUGUCCCAUGCUAUCAUCGACAAAUUACACUGUCUGGUCAAUACGGAUUAAGGUGCUACUGAAGAUACACAAGGUCUGGGACGUCAUUGAGGUCGAAUCUGAUAAUGGGGAAAAGAACGACAUGGCCACUGCUCUACUGUUUCAGUCAAUACCCGAGUCACUGAUUCUCCAAGUAGGAGAGUUAGACACAGCCAAGAAAGUAUGGGAUGCGAUUAAAGCAAGACAUAUGGGGGCAGAUCGAGUUCGAGAAGCAAGACUACAAACUCUAAUGGCUGAGUUCGACAGAUUAAAGAUGAAAGACAGUGAUACAAUCGAUGACUUUGUGGGGAAGUUAUCCGAAAUAUCAUCGAAGUCAGCUGCUUUGGGAGAAGUUAUUGAAGAAACAAAACUAGUAAAAAAGUUUCUGUCUAGUCUGCCACGACGCAAAUAUAUACACAUUGUGGCAUCAUUAGAACAGGUACUUGAUCUCAAGACGACAAGCUUCGAAGACAUUAUCGGACGGUUAAAAACCUAUGAGGAAAGAGUUGCAGAAGAGGAAGAAGAGACGCAGGAUAAACUCAUGUACGCAGCAAACUCUGAAUCUCAACCGGCUUCAAAUUCUUCAAACCGAGACUACAACAGUAACUAUAGGGGUCGAGGACGAGGAGGCCGAUUCUAUAACAGAGGACGAGGCAGAGGAAGGUAUAAUGAUCGAUACCAAGACAACUUUGAUAUGGCAAAGAUCAUGUGUUUCAGGUGCGACAAGAUGGGACAUUUUGCUUCUGUAUGUCCUGACCGUCUACUCAAACUACAAGAGGCAACAGAAACAAAGGACAAAGACGCUGACACAACGGAGGCUGAAGAACUGAUGGUUCAUGAGAUCGUUUACCUAAACGAAAAGAAGGUAAACCCGCUGAACUUUGAGACAAGUUCAGACAACGACAGAGUGUGGUAUCUAGACAAUGGGGCGAGCAACCACAUGACUGGAAAUCGAAGGUACUUCAAGACACUUGAUGAAACUAUUACUGGUAAAGUAAGGUUCGGUGAUGACUCUCGUAUCGACAUAAAGGGAAAGGGACCAAUACUGUUUCACACAAAGGACGGAGGAAAGAAAAUACUAACUGACGUUUACUACAUACCGGACUUGAAGAGCAAUAUAAUUAGUCUUGGUCAAGCCACAGAGUCCGGUUGCGACAUCAGGAUGAAAGAUGAGUUUCUUACGCUGCGAGACAAAGACGGAAAACUGAUAGUCAAAGCUCAACGGUCUAGAAAUCGUCUAUACAAAGUCACCAUUGAAAGCAACCAACAGUGCCUUCAGGUAUCAGUUGGUAGCGACUCUGCAAGAUGGCACGCGCGUUUGGGUCACAUAGGGAGAGAAGCAAUGCGAGUGAUGAUGAAAAAAGAGCUAGUAUACGGACUACCAAAGCUCGUGAUCGAGAAAGAGACAUGUUCUUCUUGCUUACUUGGGAAGCAAGCAAGACAAGCCUUCCCACAAGCUACUACGUAUCGAGCUGAGAAGACACUAGGUCUCAUACAUGGAGACCUUUGCGGACCCAUCACGCCACCAACACCAUCACAGAAGAGGUACAUUUUUGUUCUCAUAGAUGAUCACUCUAGAUACAUGUGGACUAUCUUGUUAAAAGAGAAGGGAGAAGCCUUCGACAAAUUCAAGAAAUUCAGAGCCAUUGUUGAGCAAGAAACCGGGGCUGUUAUCAAAACACUCAGGACAGACAGAGGAGGUGAAUUUGUAUCAAACGAAUUCAGAGAAUUUUGUGAGUCAAAAGGGAUAACAAGACAUCUAACAGCUCCCUAUACUCCCCAACAGAAUGGGGUAGUAGAAAGACGAAACAGAACGUUACUUGACAUGACCAGAAGUAUCUUGAGACACACAGAGCUACCAAACUACCUUUGGGGCGAAGCGGUAAGACACGCUACUUACCUAAUAAACAGAGCUGCAACUCGUGUCAUUAAGGCAAAGACGCCAUAUGAGCUGUUCAAAGGACGAAAGCCGAACAUAGAACAUCUGCGCGUUUUUGGAUGUAUUGGAUUUGCCAAGAUAGAGUCGCAGCAUCUCAGGAAACUAGACAACAGAUCCCGAAUGCUGGUUCACCUAGGGACAGAGCCAGGAUCGAAAGCUUACAGGCUACUUGAUCCAACAAAUAAGAAGGUGGUGGUGAGUAGGGACGUGAUAUUUGACGAAACUAGAAGUUGGGAUUGGAAGACAGGUAACAAGGAUGAAGGAACAGGAACAUUCCGCAUCGCUAUUGGUCAGUAUGGGAAUCAUGGCGUAGAUGAAACUGAUACACCUAAGGAUAUUGAAGAAACUGUAACUGAACCUCCAGAUAGUGGUACACUGGGCCAAGAAGAAGAAGUACUUGAUGAGGUCGAACCAGAGCUGAGGAGAUCGCAAAGAGAACGUCGAGCACCAAGCUACUUGGACGACUACAUUUUAUUGGCUGAGAUAGAAGGAGAGCGUCUAUUACUAAGUUUAAACGAUGAACCGUGGAGUUAUGAUGAAGCUAAAGAAAAGAAAGUAUGGAGAGAUGCAUGUGAAGAUGAAAUCAAGUCCAUUGUUAAGAACAAAACAUGGGAGUUAGCUGAGCUUCCAAUAGGGGCAAAACCAAUCGGUCUUAAAUGGAUCUUUAAGGUUAAACGCAACUCAGAUGGGAGCGUCAACAAGUUCAAAGCGAGGUUAGUAGCAAAAGGCUACAUACAGAGACACGGCAUUGACUUUGAUGAAGUGUUUGCGCCUGUAGCACGCAUUGAAACAGUCCGAUUCCUACUUGCUCUUGCGGCAUCUAGAGGAUGGCAAGUACAUCACCUAGACGUCAAAACCGCGUUCUUGCACGGAGACCUAAAAGAAGAAGUAUAUGUCUUACAGCCUGAAGGUUUUGAAGUCAAAGGGCAAGAGAGCAAGGUAUACAAGCUAAGAAAGGCACUCUACGGUUUGCGACAGGCUCCAAGAGCAUGGAAUGAGAAGUUAAACAAGGUACUAGGAGAUCUUAAGUUCGUGAAGUGUACAAAGGAGCCAGCAGUGUAUCGACGCCAAGAGAAAGAGCACGUACUGCUCAUAGCGGUCUAUGUUGAUGACCUCCUCGUGACUGGUUCGAGUAUUGAGAUGAUUGACGAGUUUAAAAAGGGAAUGUCUGAGAGGUUCGAGAUGAGUGAUUUGGGAACUUUAACCUAUUAUCUAGGGAUCGAGGUUGAUCAAAACGACGAAGGUAUUACGUUAAAGCAAGAACGUUAUGCCAUGAAAAUAUUGGAGGAAGGUGGAAUGCGUGACUGCAAUGCUGUUCACAUACCUAUAGAUCCGAGUUUAAAAUUGUCUAAAGCACAAGAUGAGCGAAGCGUGGAUGAGAAGGAAUAUAGAAGGAGCAUCGGAUGUCUUAGAUAUUUGUUGCAUACUCGACCUGAUCUAUCGUUCGCGGUAGGAGUCAUGAGCCGAUAUAUGCAGCAUCCAAAGACCUCUCAUGCCGCAGCAAUAAAACAGAUACUGAGAUACUUGCAAGGCACGCUUAGCUUCGGACUAGUGUUCAGACGUGCAGCAGAAACAAAGUUGAUAGGUUACAGUGAUGCAAGUCAUAAUGUAGAUGAAGACGAUGGCCGAAGCACCACAGGGCACGUUUUCUAUUUCGGAGAAUCACCUAUAACCUGGUGUUCUCAGAAACAAGAAACAGUUGCUCUCUCGUCUUGUGAAGCAGAGUUUAUGGCAGCGACUGAGGCGGCCAAGCAGGCUAUCUGGUUGCAAGAACUGCUUGCUGAGAUCGUAGGAAAGGAAAGCGAGAAAGUGGUGGUUCUGAUUGACAAUAAGUCUGCAAUAGCUUUGACGAAAAACCCGGUGUUCCAUGGGCGUAGCAAACAUAUACAUCGGCGCUAUCAUUUCAUUCGUGAGUGUGUUGAUAGCAGUCUGAUCGAGGUCCAUCAUGUACCAGGAAGUAAACAACGCGCUGACAUUCUAACGAAAGGACUUGCAAGAAUUCGAUACAAGGAAAUGAGACAGAUGAUUGGAGUUGAAGAUUUGUCUAAAGGAGACUUCAAGCUUAAGAGGGAGAUUGUUGGGAUAAGCUUGAAAUAGCUUGGAAAUCAAGCUAUCCUAAUCCUAUAUUGUUUGUGUUUAUCUAUAAGGAUUAGGAAAAUAUAAAACCUAUUGAGUUUAGGAGUUAUCUAUUGAUAUAUAAGGAGUUGCAGACUUGUUGCAACACUUAAGCGUUUUGGUGACUGUUUGAGUUGACUUGAGUUUUGAGGAAUUUUCUCAAGUGAUUAAUAAGAGAGCAAGUUCUUGUUAAUUGUGUUCUUACAAUCAAAUACGUGAAACUUAGAAACUAUAUCCAGAAGCCAUGGUGGAGAAGAAAUGGGUGUGGAGAGAUUCCAUGAGCUAUGGCUUCAAGAGAUGGCAGAGAGUGAGGAUUUUAGAGAUCUAGUUGCUUUACUAGAAGAUCUAGGGUCAUGGAGCUUUUCUUCUUACACAGCUAAAGCUCCUUAGUGUUUGAAGAAACCCAUAACAACUCUUUUAGAUCUCAUUGAGUUAUGUAUGCUUCUUGUAAAACUGCAGAUCAAAAAUCUUUAAAACAUUCCUGGUUGUUUUCAGUGUUGUUGACACGUCUACUCUGUCGCUGGUGUGAUGUUCUGCUGCCUCUUUUGGCCUUAUCCUAUUAUUAUUUUGGAAUUUUGUUCUGUGAUUCUUUGGUCGACGUCAUGAUCCAUUAACUCUAAUCUUUAAGAUCAGAAAGUAUUUGUUUGGUAAUAUCUGCUAUUACUCUUGUUCGCUUGUAUAAAGAACACUUAACAUCUAUCAGCAUUGAGUAAUUUCAAACAAUCCGUCAUCAAUUCAGAUCUUAAACAAAAGAAAAGCAACUUAACGUACACUCGAGAGCAUAAAGCAUUUAGGCAAAAUUAUCCAGAAGCUGCAUAAUUGAAAACCACAAUAGUCUCAGAGAUCCAAAAACAAGGUAGAAAAAAGUCGCAGAAAAUAAGGAAAAGGCUCAAACGCCAUCAAAGUUUUUGUAAUGCAAAGAAAAACCAAAGACUGAGAGGUCACUCAUCAUUUGGCUCCCUUCUUGACUGCAGCCUUGGUGACCUUAGCACCGGUUGGGUCCUUCUUGUCAACGCUCUUGAUAACACCAACAGCCACCGUCUGCCUCAUGUCCCUAACAGCGAAACGACCCAAUGGUGGGUACUCAGAGAAAGUCUCAACAACCAUGGGCUUGGUUGGAGUCAUCUUAACCAUACCAGCAUCACCAUUCUUCAAGAACUUGGGCUCCUUCUCAAUCUCCUUUCCAGAUCGCCUGUCAAUCUUGGUGAGGAUCUCAGAGAACUUGACUGCAAUGUGGGAUGUGUGACAAUCAAGAACCGGGGCGUAUCCGUUACCGAUCUGACCAGGGUGGUUCAUGAUGAUGACCUGGGAGGUGAAGUUGGCAGCACCCUUGGCAGGGUCAUCCUUGGAGUUGGAUGCAACAUACCCUCUCUUAAGAUCCUUGACAGCAACAUUCUUAACAUUGAACCCAACGUUGUCACCUGGAAGCGCCUCCACAAGAGACUCGUGGUGCAUCUCAACGGACUUAACCUCAGUGGUCAACCCUGAAGGAGCGAAGGUCACAACCAUACCGGGCUUGAGCAUACCGGUCUCAACACGUCCCACUGGCACCGUUCCAAUACCACCGAUCUUGUAGACAUCCUGAAGUGGGAGACGGAGGGGCUUGUCUGAGGGCCUCUUUGGCUCGUUGAUCUGGUCAAGAGCCUCAAGGAGAGUUGGUCCCUUGUACCAGUCAAGGUUGGUGGACCUCUCAAUCAUGUUGUCACCCUCGAACCCAGAGAUUGGAACGAAUGGGAUUUUGUCAGGGUUGUACCCAACCUUCUUCAAGUAGGAAGACACCUCCUUGAUGAUCUCAUCGUACCUAGCCUUGGAGUACUUAGGGGUAGUAGCAUCCAUCUGAAUCAACAAAACUUUGUGUUAGUUAAACCAAACUGAAUAAGCAAUCACAAUAAGAAAAUCAACAAUGUACAGUGACUUCACCUUGUUACAGCAGCAAAUCAUCUGCUUGACACCAAGGGUGAAAGCAAGAAGAGCAUGCUCACGGGUCUGACCAUCCUUGGAGAUACCAGCCUCGAAACCACCAGUGGUAGAGUCAAUGAUCAAAACAGCACAAUCAGCCUGGGAGGUACCAGUAAUCAUGUUCUUGAUGAAAUCACGAUGUCCAGGAGCGUCAAUGACCGUGCAGUAGUACUUGGUGGUCUCGAACUUCCAGAGAGCGAUAUCAAUGGUGAUACCACGCUCACGCUCGGCCUUAAGUUUGUCCAAGACCCAGGCGUACUUGAAGGACCUCUUGUUCAUCUCAGCAGCCUCCUUCUCGAACCUCUCGAUGACACGCUUGUCAAUACCACCGAGCUUGUAGAUCAAGUGACCAGUGGUGGUCGAUUUUCCAGAGUCGACAUGGCCGAUGACCACAAUGUUGAUGUGAAACUUCUCUUUACCCAUAGCUGCAACUCGAUUAUAACAAAUCAAACCAUUACAAGAGAAAAACAAAUCUCAAACUGAUACAAAUCAGUAUAAGCUAUCAACGAUAUAAUAUAACUACGAAAUCGAAGAUCUAACUCAAAAAUCUCAAAUCAGCGUGAUACGCAUCAGAACGAACAACAAUAGAAACAGAUCGCGAUGAUUAUAACUCGUAACAAUAAAAUAAGCUAAUUACAACAUCAGAGUUUUCAAAAUCCAGAGGACGAACAGUAAACAAGACGAUUCUCUAACAGAUCGGUGAAGAAUCAGAUCUUAAACACGAGAAUCUAUACAGUAUAACAUAAUAGAGCAAGCGAUGAAUCACAGUCUAAGUAAGUAGAAAUCUAGAUAACGAAAGCAUAAACGAUAAUACAGAAACAGAAUCAAGAAUCAUAUGAAGACGAUGAUGAUAAACAUUAAGGAGCGAGAGAGAGAGCUUUUCUCACCUGCGAGUUAGAAUGUGAGAGAUGCGGCUACGAAACUGAUGAGUGAGACAAGUAAAUGAGGACGCACCCUAAGUCAUUGUAAUUUAUAGCUGCGAGCUCUAGGGCUUUCGCAUUUGCUUUGUGGUCAUAGUAUUACUAAUUUGCCCUUUGUAUUUUAGCUUUCUGUUGGCAAAAUGUAUAUUAUAAAAUACUAGGGGCAUAGCCUCUGCGCCGGAUACGUUGUUGAUGAGUUGUGUAGUGUUGUAUAGUGUUGUAUACGGGAUGUUGUCUUUUUUUUAAAAAAAAAAUUGUUUUUCCGUGUUGUCUAUAGUGAUAAUGAAUGGAAUAUUGGAAAUCACACAACUUGAUUAGGGUAAUAUAAGAAUGACAGACGAAUUCAUAUGCGUUGAUAUUUUCUUAUCUUAUCUUCGUAAUGAUUUGAUGGAGAUUAAUUAGUGGUUUUAUGUUCAAAACCUGAGGUUUAAAGGAUUCGUUAGUGUUUACUUAGGUAGUUUUUAGUAUAUAAAUCAAAUAAUAUAAGGAAAAAGGUAUAAAAAUUCGGAUUUAAAAAUUUAACAAUUUAUACGAACAAUAAAUUAAAUUAUAUUUUUUAUUUUACCCAAAAUUAGUUUAAAAAAUAUAUAAUUGUAUUAUACUGUUUUUGUUAAAUUAAUAACUCUAUAAAUUUAUAAAAUUAUAGUUACAAAAUUAUUUAUUUUUAUAGUUUUUAGUGGACUUUGUUGAAAAUGAUUUGUAGUGGACAAAAAAAUCUUAAAUAGGUUGACCAAAUUUGUUAUAUUUCUUCUGAAUUAUAUAUUUAUAGGUUGUUGACCAAAAAAAAAUUUAUAGGUUAAUGGUUAUUCAGAAUGAGACAAGCAGAUGUUGGUAUCUCUUUUGGGGGCUCGUUUUUUGUAGUGGUUCAUCUGAUUUUGGUUAUGAUCGCUUGAGAUUUUGACGUAAAGAGUAUAUAAGAAAUCAAGAGAGAUGGGAGACUAUGAGUUGAAUGAAAAAAAAAGCAUAUUAAGAAGACAAUAAACAACUAUAAAGACUAAGUGGUAAACCAAAAUAGAAAAGACUAUUGUUUCAAACUUUAAAAAAAAAAACAUGUCAUGCAUAAGUUUGCAGAAACUCUAAAACUGACGACAACUAACAAUUAACAGACCGGCAAACACUCAGCAUGAAUCACUUCAGUCUUGAUGAGGAAAACUGAAGGAUAUAGCACGAGUUUCCAAGGAUGGUUACUUGCCCCCAAGAGAUGGGAACUGAGCAGUAUCUCCAAUGGCAGGCGCAACUUCACGACAGUAAGUCAGUAACCAUCAAAUCCACCACCAGAAGCACCUCCCCGGUCACGACCACCACGUCCCCUUCCACGACCUCCUCCUCAGUAUCUCUUAAAACUCGUUUAUGCUCACAGCCUGAAACCACAAAACACAUCCAUAAGCAAACUUAUUGACUUCUACAAACUCUUUCAUUCAGACAACAAUGUAAACCUUCUUAGCCUUCUCUGCGUUUGUCCUUAUCAGAACCGUGGGAGAUACAUCAAAAGCAAGGUUAAAUCACACAGAAACAUUCCUAAACAAAACAAAGGCAUAUAACUCUGAAAGCUAUCGAAAAUUGAUAAUAUUACGACAACAAACAAAAAAAAACUCAAAAGAGCAAAAUUAAUGUUUAGAUAGAUUGGCUUUCUUUUAUUGUGGAUGGAGGAAAAAUAUAAAGAGAUCAUUCUUCGCGCCAAGUUUGCUCGCAUUUGACGCAUCUAUAAAAUCUCGAUUCUGGCUCAUCCGCUGAACGAAUCUGCAUUGUUUUGAAGUAUGCCUUGUCGUGUCCGCAUCUUGGACAAGGUGCUGACAAACAAACACACAAAGAAUCCAAUAAAUAAAUACUCCCUCUGUUUUGUAUUGUAAGUAGUUUUAGUUAAAAGCACUAAUAUUAAGAAAUUGUUGCUUUUGUAAAAAAAUAUUAUUUAAUCUUAAAUUCAACCUAUUAUAAAAAAAACUAGCAUUAUUUAAUUGGUUACACAAUAUUCAAUAAAGAGAAAAUGUUCAUUGAAAUAUGAAAACUACUUAUAUUGUGAAACAAACAUUUUUUGUUAAAACUACUUACAAUAUAAAACAGAAGGAGUAGUUAUAAUCAAAGAAGAUCGAAGAUGAAAAAUAAAUGAGAUUCAUCCUGUAUAACCAGCAAAACAAUUGAGAAAAACGCUUUCAUAACUAAGUCAUCAAUGAUGUACUUUUGACUCACUAAUUCAAGUGUUCUACCAAUUUUUAUUGAUUUGCUUUUUCUAUCAUCAACCAAUCAACGAUACAUUAAGAAUACUAACAGAUCAUUAACCAAAAAGCGAAAAGAAUACCUUCAGUUUCAGGUCCUUUUGGUAUAUCAUCUUUCUUCACAACUGGGUCAAUGGAUUUCUUAACCAGCAAUUGCUUCUUCUUUAUCUCAACCUGUUCAAAAAAGCACCCAGAGAGAGAUAAACGACCUUUACCUCUCAAACAAAGGAGUGGUUUUUUAUUAGUUUAAGUAAGAAUUAAGAAAAACCUGUCUUUCUAUGCGGGCGAUGUAAGGACAUGUCGAGCAGAAGAACUGUGAUUGACCGUAACGCAGCAAGUUCCCACAUGUUGGACAGAACUCCAUCUCGAUCAAUCUCUGAAACAAGAAGUCUAUUUUUUUAAUCCAACAAAGAUAAGGACAACAUUAGGUGUCUUGCCCUAGGACCCAAUAGGAAGAUGACGCAAAACAUAUUUAUUUUAUGGCCAAUUUCCCUAAUAUAUCAAUACACCGUUUGUCAUUCCUAUAAUAUUGCUAUACUACCCUUUCAUUCCACCGGUGAAACCUGCAAAAGAAAGUAGUCUUAAUUAAUAAUUAGUGAUUGUAAAAAGAAAAAAUAUGGCCUUGGUUAUUCUCAUAUAUCUAACAAAGUAAAUUUUCAUUGAUAAAAUAUAGAAAGGUUAAUAGAUUCAUUUUCAGAUUUGAACGACAAAGAUACCAUUGACUACAUUUUUAGAGAAGUUUUGUGGAAGAGAAGACCAUUUUCGAAGGUUUGGUAGGUGACAGAAAGUGUUAUAUAUAAAUGGAAUAGUGAAGAUGAUAUGGAAUAAAAUUUAGAUGAUACGAACACAAUUUAAUAGGUUUCAAAAAAAAAAUCACAUAACAGAGAUAAUAAUUGACUCUGUUGGGCCAUUUAUUGAGAUACAUGUGAUUAAUGUGAAUUUGCGUUUAUGUAGAGGUGGAUAAAAAGAAAAUCACCAGUGGCUUUCUCGCAUUUAAUAUUCAAAAAUUAAAUAAUAUUAACUUUAAAUAUCAUGAAAAUUAUAUUAAAUAUUUGUAAACAAUAAUUGUUUAGUAUAAAUAAACUUAGUCUGAAAAAAUAACAAAUGAUGAUAAUAAGCCGUUGCUUAGCCCGCUAAUCUUAUAUUAUAUCCUCAUACAUAACAAAACAAAUAAAAGGGAGAUUGUGGUUUUGAUGUCUUGACCAUAUGCAUAAAAUGAGAUAAAGAUGGAUUGAUUGAAUUUAUAACCAAAAAAAAAAGAACUCCCGUAUACGCAUGAGAUGUAAAGCGAGUUUGAUAAUUUAUUUUACACUUAAUUAUUUGGAUGUGUUGGAACUCGUUUUUGACGAAAUGGUUUAAGACUAUUUUUCGGUAAAUUUCCGAACGAAGACAUUUGUCAGAAUAACCGAAUGUUAGGCACUACGAAGUAGUAGUGUAGAUACAUGUCAAAAUUGGAAUUGGUUUAAAUGAAAAAUGGAGAUCCAAAGUGAAUGUUUUACAAAGCUGGUAAAACUUUAAAUUAGCUAAAUAUGAAAAAUUAGCAAUUGUUUCACUUUGAAAUAUUUGGGUUGAAUUUAGAUUAAAUUUGUUAAUUGGAUUAAGUCCAUUAACUUAUUAAUCUUAUUCACAAUAACAUUUUAUGUUUUUACAAUAUAAAAUAUGAACCCAUUAUAUAGUAUUUUGUUGCAAUUGAUUUGGUCAAUCAAACAAAAUGAACUUUGAAAAGUAACGUGUUAUCAUUACUCAGGGGAAUCAUUUCACCAUAAUGAUAAUUCAAACGUUAUUGAAUACUCCAUAAUGGUCACAAUGUACGUUUUACUCUUUGAGAGUUAUAAAACAACACUUGUGCUCUCAUUUAGAAAGAUGGAUUCAUACGUUCAACAACAACAAAAAAAUUCUUCCACUUGAAUAAUUUAUUUUUUAGUUUUUGAGUAUGAGAGUACAUCACAGAAAUAUGGUCGAUAGAUUCUGUUUUUCGGUGAUGGUAAACAGAAGCAAUGCUGCAGUUGUAUCCUCGGAAUCUGAGCGCCAUGAAACUCUCACACUACGGGGCGUUUAAAAAUUUAAGGAAAGAGAUUAAUUAUCUCGACUCUGUAAUUCUUCUUUAUUCUUUUAUUUCAGUAUUAUAAUUUUAAUUUAUGUUCUUAUUAUUCUUUACAAAUAUCAGUUGUCAUAUAGUAGUAAAAUAAGUUUCUUACCGGAUGUGUAUUGAAGUUUUUAAUGUUAUACAUAAAAUUGACUGUACACUUAAUUGCCACAUGAUUCACGUUACCAGCAUAAUUGCACGUGACGAGCUGACAUAAAACGAAAUAUUCAUUUUCCCGCAGAAACAACCUACACGAAUUUUCUGUCAUGAUAUUUAAAAAAAAAAAAUGGCAAUGAACAACGUUGAAUCGUUGAUGUUAGUCAAAGCCAUAACUUUUUUUGGUGUAAAUGUUAAAUUUUAUACCAAAUUUUCUUUGUGACAGAAGUUACACAGAACACAAGUAGCGGAAAAAAAAUAUAAAUCUAAAGCAACACAAGAGAGAAAGAAAAAGCAAACCCAACUGAACAACAGACAUAACCAUAUUAACAAAAGGUUUUAUGGCUUGGAAGGAGCCAAAACUUGAUACAGGAAGCAUUGCCACAUGAGAAGGAAGCCUUUGAUAAUCCAUAAGACCACGCUUUGGUAGAAAUUGGCUUGCCCGCAGCGCUACUCCAAAUGAUUGACUUCCAUCCACACGCAGCUUUGCCAUCCUAGUCGCUGCAACUCAAGCCUCACACAACCACCGGUAAAGGAGGACCCAAGCCCCUAGAGCUUCAGUCAUCGAACCGCCCCAAAAAACCUUUAGAGCGCCUUCUGGGAUGCCGAUGAACAAUUAAAAUCUACACUUAUUAGACUCGUCUUCGGAAAUAAUUGCGAGCCAUAGCAGAAAACCGGGCGUGGUGAGGACCACAUCCUGAUGACGUUCAUCCUUCCUACAAACGAACCGAAGAUCGGCCCACCAAAGCGAUCCAAGCGAAUCACAGAGGUGCUGGGAAAACCAAUCCUCACACGAGUCUCCCACGGAGAGACAUCACUCCAAUGACCCAAAGGAGGUCUGAACUAACCGCCUCGUGCCACAACUGAGAACCAGAGGCAGCUCCGCAAUGCCUCAUCAACACAACAACACGGAGGGAGAUCGAACCAUUACCUGAUGAGCCGGAGAGAUAGAAACACCACGCCACACAACGACGCAGACGACAUCAAGAGCGGCGACAAACUGAGAGGAGAGAGAUGGAGCAACAAGCAACAAAGUCCACGGCAAUGUCAUAGACGACCCACCAUGAAACAGAGUACGAUUGUUGCACGCGAGCAACACAGCAGCUACGGCAUCCACACGAAAGCCUUCACCGCCACGGUCGCGCACCGGAGAGGACUCUAGACCCAAAUUUGUCCGGAGAAAACGGCUGGCUCAACGAACUCGACACCAAGCAAGUGAGCCAACACGCCGUCGGACUGGACCUCCAUGAACCCGGAGUAAGACACCAAACCACCGGAUCUGAAGAGAGGACCGGCCCCGCUCAGCCACGCGCCCUCACUGCUGUAGAGGAGUAGAUCUGGCGAAGGGGAAAACUGUGACCUAACCCUCUACACAACCCUAAACUCCGACUUCUCACUGAAUCCAGUCAAUCCAACCUCGUCGUAACACCAUCCUCUGUCAAGACUCGUCGGAUCUACACAGAUCGACGGAGCGGCUAGACUUCAUCGAACAGAGCCACAAACAUAUCGGCUAGAUAUGUGAACCGGCGGAGAAGCAAUACAUAAAACAACAAACGGACGCUUCCGACGGUGGAGCCGCCGGAGCAAACUGUCGGAGAUAAAAGCUUGACCUUCUUUUUUUUUUUUUUUUUGAGGGGGUUUUNNNNNNNNNNNNNNNNNNNNNNNNNNNNNNNNNNNNNNNNUUUUUUUUUUUUUUUUUUUGAGAGAGUUUCGUUUAGAGGAGAGAUAGUUUCCUCUUUUUGUUUCUCGCUGGCAUAAUCAAAAAGCCAUAACUUUGUAAGCUAUUAUUGUCUUUCGAUCAAGAAAGAAGAUAUUUAGGUCUAAGUAAUAUGUUGUUCGAUUAAACACGCAUGCAUAUAUUAUCAAGUAUUAUAUAUAUAUAUAUAUAUAUAUUAUUAUUAUUAUUAUCAAGUUUUGUCAUAUAUAUAGUUUUUGAUUUAGAAAAAAUAAGUUAUUGCUUUAUUCGGUACAUAUAAAGAGACCAUAAGUUACAACAAACAUAAACACUCCAAGGUGCCAACUUUCAAGAAAUCCAAUAAAUAUGCGAAUGCAUCAUGCAUUUAUAUGCUGAUCACCACAGAAUGGGGUACGCUGCAUAUGCCGCAACACCUGAAUUUCAACAACGAAUCAACACAAAGUGAGAAUCUGAGAAUCUGUAUCUCUUGCCAUUUUAUUUUGUAGACUAUAUCCAAAAUAAGGUAUAUGUAUACGAUUAUAGAUCUUAAAUUCCAUGAUAAAUGACUUACCACACAUGUUCUUCCCCAUCUCCACCUUGAUGUAACCUUUCUCGCCCCAAUCCGCUCCCCACGAGUUCUGUAUAAGCCAAUAUGGGACACCGUCUUCAACUCCAUAGCCAACCACCAACAUGAAAUGGUUCAAGUCCUGACCGCCACAUUUAAAAAACGAAUUACACACUAACUAUAUGAUAGGUUAAUGAUUCUACUUGCAACGAAGUGUAAUAAAGUCUCACCUCUGUAGUAUCUCCACACUCAUCACUAGUGUAGACUCCUUCCUCGUAAAAAGCGAAUGAGUUUGUAACGUGAAAUCCUACGGUGACUGGCCCGAUGGAUGCGACCCAUUGCUUCAGUUUAUUUUCGUCAAACUGUUGUUUAUCCAAUCAUCAUUAAUUACAGGUUACCUGAAAGUAUAUUUUAUAGGCGGGUGAAAACCAAAAUCCGUAAAAGACGCUUACCGAAACGCCUACGCCUACGCCAUAGCUCUUGAUUAAUUUACCGACCAGUAAAGGCUCAUAUCUGCAUUUUCCCUGUGUACCUCUGUAAGGGUAAGCUGCUUGAUAGUUGACUUAAUUUGCGCUCUACGUUGUACUGAAAGGCGUUGGCAGCAGCCCCGCCAUCGCAUCCAGUGUUAGUUGUAGAACAAUCCAGAAGCUGUUGCUCAGACAAGGAAAUUCGGCCGAGUGGAUAUUUCUUUCGGUAAGCGGCCUCAACAGCUCCAACUGAGCUGCUUACCAAAAUCGACCAAUAUAUGACAAUUGACAAACAACCUUGACUUUUAAUCUUACAUCAAGAGAUGGUACAAUUUUUAUUUACUUUUUACAUCAAGAGUUGCUACAAAAAUUUAAGGAGAUAAAUAUUCUAAUCACUAGUUUACCUGAUUGCCCACCCAGCUUCACAUUGUCCCUGAUCUCUAACCGGGCUAACUAUACCAGCUUUUGUCCAGUCUUUCUGCGGUUACACAAUUGAAAGACCAAACAAAUCAAAUCAAAUAUAAAAAGGGCUAAACAUGUUUUCUCAAAAAUGAAAAACAGGACGGAUGGUUCAUUACAGCACUAGGAAUUGUGGUUGUGUCUGUGACAUUGUGUCUGCCCUUGAAAAUGCCGAAGCGAGAACAAUCAAACUUGUUCCUUAGAAACUCUUGGUUGGUCAAAUCAGCAAAUUCUGUUCGGAUCAAGAGACAAUAAGAUGGGCCAAUCCUUAUCCAUUAAACCAAACAAGGAUCACGUAAAAGACACACACAAAGAACAAGAACUUGAUAUUAGCAAUGGGUUAUAUACAGCUAUAAUAUUAUAUUUAAUUAGUCAAUUGAUUUUUUAUUUACUUAGUUUGGAAGGCUUAUCACCAACGAAAUAUGAAUCAACUUGAUAUUCAUUUGGUUUACAUGAUAUAACUAAAAUCAAACCAGAUUAUUGAUGUUGGUUGGUUUAGACUGAUUUGGUUCAGUUUUAUCAAAUUGUACAUUUUAUUUUAUUUUUAAUAUUUUAAUACAGUUAGUUAGUUAUAUUUGACUAUAUUACGGUAUCAUUACCAAUGAAUUUUCAAGGAACCGCACCCAUCAAUUUAUUUGGCUCAUAGACUUCUUUCAAACCUCACCAUAAUAAUCCAUCAAGAGACUGGAAUUACAACUUCAUGAUAAGAACGAUAAACUUACUAUUGACACCGAGUUUGAAUGGUAAGCCUUUCUUGUUGGUGGAUCCGAUUAAAUCAAGAUUCUCCUGGAACACCGAGAAACGGUGUUUUAUCUCCUCCUUGUUUUGAUACUUUUUCCCAUACCUUUUCAUCACGAAAAUAACGAAUCAGUUUGUUUAUCAUAGAGAGGGACUCAAAGUCAAUGGUGAAUGCACCACUGGUAAAAGAUGGUACUUACUUUUGAGUGAAGCGAGCGAAGGAGAGAACGUCGUCCGAUUGGCCUAAGAUCUUGGCAAACAAGUCCUCUAGCUUCUUUAGAGCGUCGGAGAUCGGAGUGGACUCAUGGGAUCCGAUGAGAAGCACCAGAACCACCAAUGAUAGGAUUGCUCUCAUAGACAUGUUUCUCUUGUACUCACUCACGUUCUUGUUUUUUUUCUUUCUCUGCUACAGUGUUUAAGCUGAAGCGAUCGUGAGAAGUGAUCUUAAUAUGAUAUGACCUUUUUAUACCCAAAAAGUUUGUAAUAACUUUUAUUAUAAACUUCUUUUUGUAAUUUAUUCUUAUUUAUUAGCAUAGUAAGAAAUAGUUUAGGGCAAAUCUCCAAAAUAGCACAUUUCUAAGUUUAUAUCACAAAAAUAGCACUCAAAAACUAAAAUGACCAAAAUAGCAUUUUAUCUUUUGAAAAAUUUAAAUUUUUUUAUUUUUCAAAAUUUGAAAUCUUAUUCCCAAAACCUCACUUCUCAACUCUAAACCCUAAAACCUAAACUCUAAACCCUAAACCCUAAAUUCUAAACCCUAAACCCCACCCCUUAAGUGCUAUUUUUGUGACUUUUGGCCUUGAGUGCUAGUUUGGGAACAAAAAAUUGAUUUAGUGCUAUUUUGGUCUUUUUCUCAAUAGUUUAUCUUUAUUUUAUAUUUGGUCAAAAGUUUAUAUUUAUUCGUUAAGUCAACGAACCCAUGCAACCACGUUGUAUAAGGAACCGAGAGGGGAACCAAAUCAGACCGAAUAUCUGUUAAACGUGGUUCAUAAUUAGUCUGGACGUUUUUAAUAAGUGUAUUAUAUAAAAUAAAACAUGACGAUCAUAAAAUUAAACGUGAUCAAUUGUGUUAUAUGUUUUCAAAGUCUAUAAUAAUAAUAAAGUACAACUAAAUCAUUUGAAAAUAAGUUACUGGAGCAUCUUCCUAAGACCAUGAUUAACUCGGAGUUCUUAGAGUGAUGUUCUUAGCGGAAGUUAAAAAACAGUUUUUUAAUUUCCGUUAAAAACUCCAUCAUAAGAAUCCCAGUUUAAUCAUGUUUAAAGGCUUCUCAUGGGCCGUGCUCUCAUUCCUGCNNNNNNNNNNNNNNNNNNNNNNNNNNNNNNNNNNNNNNNNNNNNNNNNNNNNNNNNNNNNNNNNNNCCUGCUUGAAAUGCUCGAACCAUGUGUAAGUGAUUAGCUUUCAAUAUCCUAAUCUCUUAUCUCAAUAUAUUCCUCACUCUUCCGUAAGAUUUAAUUAUAUUCACAAUCAUUAUCUACUACUAUCUACUGUAGUGAGCUUCUUUUUUUUUUGAAAUAUCCUAAGAUAGUACUAAAUUUUUUUUGGUCAUAGAUAUAGAUCUAAGGAUCAAAAUGACCAAAUUAUUUCAUUAAAAAGGUAAAUAUAUAUUUAUACCUUUAGGGUUAACUAAUUCAAACUUUAAAGUUUAGAGUUAAAGGGUGGAGAUUUGGGAUUGAGAUUUAAAUUUUAUAAAAUAAAAAAUAAAUAUUAAAAAUUUUAAAAAUAGUUUUAAAAAGUAUUUUCGAAUUACAAAAAAAAAAUUGAUAAGAUAAAAAAAAAUUUCAACAAAAAAAAAUUAUAAAAAAAUUCGAAUUUGAAAACAUAUAAUCUAAGACUAUAAAAGAAAAAUUAUUUUUAACUUUUUUAUAUAUAUAGUAUUAUAAUUUUUUUACCUAUUAAAUAAAAUAUUUUCGUCAUUUUUGUCUUUGGAGUCUAUUUUUGUGACAAAAACUUGAAAAUAAUUUAUUUAAAAAAAUUGUCUUUUUUUUUGCAGCUGCUUGUUCCUUUUUUCUUACUCUUAUUGCCAGGAAUGCAAAUAAUUUGGAACCUAUACUAUUAAUCAUUUAAUUAAUAUUUUAGCAAACAUAACUUAGUCAGCUGUAUAUGUAAUUUGUUUUUGAUAAGUAUGUGAAUUUGCAACAGAAAAUGUAGUUAAUUUGUACAAUGACAAAAAGGUUUUUUGAUAAGUACGACUACUAAAAGGUGGAUGAGGUCAGACAGCUGUAUAUGUAUUAAAAAUCUAUAUUGAUCAGUUCUCAAAAAAAAAAAAUUAUAUUGACAGGUGUAACAUUUUUAUUUUUGUUUGACAAAAGGGUUUAGGUGUAACCGUGUAAGUAACAUGCAUGCAUAUAUAUUAUAAAGUUUCACGUUUUUCGGUACAAAUAACAGACCAUACAACAGGCAUAAACACAACGAUGUGCACUCCCAAGUGCCAACUAUCAAGUAAUGUUAAUCCGAUAAACAUGCGGCGAACAUCAUGCAUUCAUAUGCUGUUCAUCUCAGGUCAGAACCGGGGUACGUUGCACGUGUCGCAAAACCUGUAAUUCAACAACGAAUGAACAAAAGAUAGAGCAUCUAUUCUGAGGAUAUGUCUUUUUAAAUCUUUCUUUGACAUGCUAUAUCCAAAAUAAAAUUUAUAUAAAUAGAUUUAGCUUAACUGAUAAUGGUUUUAUGCAGGGCCGUCCGGAUCUGCGAUUUUAGCGACCAUAAACUAAGAACUUUAGUAAAAUAAUUUUCUUUCAUAAUUUGGGAACCCAUUUUUAUAUAUAGAACCUUCAAAAAAAUUGAAAAUCAAGGUAAAUGUUUUACUGAGUUAUGUCCAGAUCCCACACUUUGGCUUUAUGGUUUCACGAAAAAAACAUAACUUAUUCAGCUGUAUAUGUAAUACAAAUUGACUUACGAUCAAGAACAAAGAUAUUUCAUUCCAAAUCAUUUAUGUUGAUAGAUUUAACAUGUAUUCAUAUAUUAUUAACUUUGUCAUCUAUAGUUUUUGCUUUAUUCGGUACAUAUAAACAGACAAUAUGUUAUUUGGUCAAAAAAAAAACAGACAAUAUGUUACAACAACCAUAAACACGCUGUGAACUCCCAACUGUGCCAACUUUUAUUUAAUUAUAAUCCAAUAUGUAUGCGAACAUCAUGCAUUCAUAUGCUACUGAUCAUCUCACGCCACAACCGGGUAGGCUGCAAGUGUCGCGACACCUACAAUUCAAUAACGAUCAACAAAAAGUAGAGCAUCUGAGAAUCUCUCUCUCUCUAGAUCUUUCUUUUACAGGUUAUAUCCAAAAUAAGGUAUAUAUAGGCUUUACUGAUAAUGGUUUUAUGAAAAAGAACUUACCACACAUGUUCUUUCCCAUCUCGACCUUGAAGUAACCCUUUUCGCCCCAAUCCUCUCCCCAUGAGUUCUUUAUAAGCCAAUAUGGGACACCAUUUUCAAUUCCAUAACCAACCGCCAAAGCAAAAUGCCUCAGGUCCUAAAUGGCACAUUAAAAACGAAAGAGUAAUCUCAUCCAUAUCAUUUUUUUUUAUCGAACUCUCAUCCAUAUCAUCUAAGCAAAGUUCCAAAAAUGUAAUAAAAUAUAUGUGUACAGUAAGUAAAUAGUUUGGGAUGGGUAUCCCAAAGUUAAAUAUAAUACUUAUACACGUACAUUUAUAUUUGAAUUGAAAACUUUAUGGUGAUAUAACACGUACAUUUAUAUUUGAAUUGAAAACUUUAUGGUGAGAACCACAAAGGGUUUAAUAUAUAUGGUGGCUUUACCUAAGAUUAGGGUUAGAGUUUUCACGUUGUAAUUCUCAGAGAGAAACACAAAGGGUUUUGGAGUUUCAUAGCUGAGUGAAUUGGCAGACUUGAUCAACAAGUGUUGAGUCAAGCAAGUUGGGUAUGUUAGAAAUCGAUCCGUGUCGAGUUGUGUAAUUCGGAUCAAACAAGUCUGUAAGAGAUUGUGUAAAAGAUUUCUAAUAAAAAAUACACGAGUUCUUGGAAUUGCUCUGAUACCAAUUAUAAAAUCGAGAUAUAGCGAAAACACAAGGCACAAAGUAAUUCCAAGAUCACUUUAGGUGGAUUAUCGGUUGUUACCCUUGAUGAUAUUCAAAUAGGCAAAGGCAAACAUGUUUCCGCAUAAAACUUUUUAUUUUAAUGUAAAUAAUGGUAGCAUAGUAAAAGGAGAGUUUGGGACAUGACGUAAACAUGUUUGUGAUAGGUUUGGACUCCUGCGGAAGCCUAAAUUUCCAUUGUUUGACCAAGAUGAAUUAUAAUGCUUUCAUUUAGGAAACAUGCAUGCAUGGAGCCGUCGUAUUACUCGUAGAUACUAGUCUCCUAUGGAAUUAGUUGGGUAUUGGCUCAGACAACACUGGAUUACCAAAAGAAUAAUUAUUUUAUUUAACUUUGUGACACAAGAGUAACUAGAACCACUUCACUGUUCAAAACCUGUGAAUUCAAAGUAUUUCAAGUUCCAGCAGCAACGGAAAAGAGGAUUUAAACCCAAUUUAGUUUAUAGCCCACGGAUAUUAUUGGGCCUUAGCCCAUAACUUCUUUAGUUUAUAUAUGAAAAAUAAAAUCAAAGAUGUUUUAUUCCCUUUCUUUUGAAAAAGCUCCAUCGUCAAAUCGUUUCGACGGCGCCUCAGAGACUUAUCCUUAAAACCCUAAUCUUAAUAAGCCGGCGAAUCUGAACUUUCUUUCAAGACUAAAACAAUGGCGGGAGCUAACAGUGGAACAAGGCGACAAAAGCCGAACAUACUGAUCACGGGAACUCCCGGCACCGGUAAAUCGACGACUGCUUCUGCUCUGGCCGAAGCCACGAGCUUCAAGCAUAUCUGCGUCGGAGAUCUCGUCAAAGACAAGAACUUGCACGACGGCUGGGACGAUCAGUUCGAGUCCCACGUCAUCAACGAAGACUUGGUGAGUGAUUAAUCGAAUCGUGAUGUAACUUUGGAAUCUUUAGAGUCUUUUAUUAGCUGUGUAAUUGUUGUGUUUUGAAUUUUGGUUUCAGGUGGUUGAUGAGCUUGAAGAUGUAAUGGAAGGAGGAGGGAACAUUGUGGACUACCACGGCUGUGACUUCUUCCCUGAGCGGUGGUUUGAUCUUGUUGUGGUGCUUCAGACUGAGAACUCCAUCUUGUAUGACCGUUUAACGAGGAGGGGCUAUUCGGGGACCAAGCUUAGUAACAACAUUGAAUGCGAGAUCUUCCAAGUCAUGCUUGAAGAAGCAAGUGAUAGUUACGAAGAGGAGAUUGUCACCGCGAUGCAGAGUGACACCAUCGAAGAUAUCAAUGACAAUGUGGCGAGCUUGACGGAAUGGAUUGAAUCAUGGAAGCCCUGAGUAAUCAGUCAUCUUAUGAAGGAUGCAUAUUUAGUGGUUCUAAAGUUUGGUUUUUAGUAGUUUUUUUUUUUUUUUUNNNNNNNNNNNNNNNNNNNNNNNNNNNNNNGGGGUUUUAAAGUUUGGUUUUUUGUAGUUUUUUUUUUUUUUUUUGUGUGGUAUUAUUAUGCAUUGAUCUUUGUUGCAAUUUAGUUUAUAAGCACAGUUCAGCUGUUGCGUGACCAGCUUAUGACGUAUGUAUUGUUUUCUCUCUUUUAACGUGACUACUCUGUUCUUGUUCUUUCAUAUCUGCUGUCUUUGAAGACUAUGGUCUGAAACUUGUGAGAUUUUUGUUGCAUGUUUUAUUAGUAAUGAAUUUUGAUUGCUAUUAUAUAAUAACCUUCUAUGCUGUUUCAAUCACAGUUUCACAUUCAAAUUUUUAUUUACAAAUCAACAAAGUAGCUAGAACUGAUAUACACACACACUGAUUACAUUAGAAUUUUUAUAUAUCUCAGAGUAACACAACUUGGUUAGCUCCUGUGUGCAGGGGUAACUGAGAACAGAGGCAAUAUCCUUCAGAAUCACAAACCUUUGUGGCCAUGAAAGAGGCGGCUUUUCUCUGUGAAACAAGUACCGAUCAAGACUUCCAUUAGACAUAUACUCAGAGACCAGAAGAAGCUCUCCUUUCCUUCUUCAGUUUCCAAGAAGAGGAGCCAAGUUUCUGAUUCACUGUUCGGGUCAGUAAAAAGUUUUAUUAGCACCAGCCACCAGGAGUUCAAAUAAUUUAGACCUAUAUUCAUUAAUCAUUUAGUAAGCUGUAUAUUGUAUUCCAAAGUUGACUUACGAAGAUAUUUCAUUCUAAAUAAUUUAUAUUGAUAUAUUUAACAUGCACGCAUAUAUAUAUAUUAUUAAGUUUCACAUAUAUUUUACCUUUAUUCGGUACAUAUGAACAGACCAUAUGUUACAACAAGCAUAAACACAACAAUGUGCACUCCCAAGUCCCAAGUGCCAACUUUCAAGUAAUGUCUUAAUCAAAUAAAUAUGCAAACGUAUCAUGCUUUCACAUGCUGAUCAUCUCAGGCCACAAUCGGGUAUAUUGGCAUUGUUGUAAUACCUGCAAAACAACGAAUCAGCAAAAGACAGAUCAUCUGAGAAUCUCUCUCUCUGAAUCGUUCUUUUACCGGUUAUAUCCAAAAGAAGAUAUAUAUAUGUAGCUUUAACUCAUAAUGGUUUUAUGGUUUCAUAAAAAUAACUUACCGCACAUGUUACUUCCCCUCUCCAACUUGAAGUAACCAUUAUCGCCCCAAUUCUCUCCCCAUGAGUUCUUUAUAAUCCAAUAGUCGCGACUUCCAUCAUUUCCAUAACCAACCACCAAAGCAUGAUGUUGGACGCUCUAUUACCACAUUUAAAAAAAAAAACUAAUUGAACACUUACUAUAAUACCACAGGUACUUGCAACAGAGUGUAAGAAAGUCUCACUGAAACUUCACAGUCGCUACCAGUGAAGACUCCGCUGAUGUAAUGCUGGAGUGUGGAUGAAACGCCUAAUGAUACGCUAACUGGCCCGAUGGUUCCAACCGCUUUCAUCAGUUCAAGUUCAUCACGCUGUUGCUAUAGUAGUACUAGUCGUCAUCAUUACAGAGUACUUGAAUGUAUGUUCUACAAGUGAGUGAAAACCAAAUCCGUAUAAGAUGCUUACCAAAGCGACAGCGACAUAUCCUGUGACAUUUACAACAGAGUCCGAGUUACUUCUGCACAGUCCUUGGACAGCUAGGUAAGGAUACUGUGUGGCAUUGUUGAUUCCUUUGGAUUUCAUGUAAUCAAAGGCUUGGUAAGGAUGACCAUCAAUGCAGCCAGCUGAACCGAAGGAUGACGAACAAUCUAUCAGCUGUUGCUCAGAUAAUUCUAUUCCGGUACCAUGUUUAAUAUGGUAAGCUGACUCAACAGCUCCAGUUGCGCUGCAGUACCAGAACCGACCAUAUGACAAAACAACCUUGAAUUUUUAUUAUCUUACAUCAAGGGAUGCUACAAAAAUAUAGGGAAAUAUCAGUAGUAUCCUAAUCAUUGGUUUACCUAAAUGCCCAAGAACCUUCUAAACAUGAUCCCUGAUUUUUGACCCGGCUAACAACACCAUCUUCUCUCCAGUCUUUCUGCAGUCAUACAUUUUGAAGACAAAAAAAAAAUCAAUUAUAAAAAGGGUAUAUGUAGCUAAACAUGUGUUCUCAAAUUUGAAAAACAGGACGGAUGGUUCAGUACAGCACUAGGAGCUGAGGUUUGCAAAAGCGCUCUUUUUGUGGGACUGUGGCUGCCCUUUGAAGUGGCAAAGGGGUGUUGCGAAGCACCGAUCUUGUUCCUUUGAAACUCUUCUUUGGUCAUAUCAGCAAAUUCUGUUUGGAUUUAAAAGACGUUCAGAUGGGUCAAAAUCCUUAUCCAUCAAACCACUAAACAAACAAGGAUUCUUUAAUCACACAAGUAUCCUAACCAGUGGCCAAGCUACAUGCACUAAGUGAGAGCCAUGCAUUUGCCCACCAUGAUUUUUCUUUAUCUAAUAAUAAUAACUAAUUUGAAUAUUUUUCGUAAUCUAACUGGACAAUGAAGUAAAUACUCAUUUGUCUUUUCAAAAAGUUUUUUUUUGCAUUUUAAUUUUGAUAUAAAUUCAUUCUAAUUAGGUUUAUUUGUAUAAUUAGAUAUUUAUAUAUCUGCAACUUUUUUAAACGUGACUAUGCUUAUACAACUAUUGUAUUUCCGGAGAUGACACGGAUGACAAAAUGGAAUGCUAACAAAUUUUGUCACAAAACAUAACUAUAUAUAUAACUACAUAAUACUAUGACUAACUAGAAGAUUUUUUUUUUUAUAUUUUCUAUAAAUAUAUUAUUUAUAUGCUUAUCAAUUUUAAUAAAUUUAAACUUAUAAAAAUUAAUAAAAUAAACUUUAAAAUUUCGAGUUAUUAAUUAUUAAAUAAAAAAAAAUAAAAAAUAUAUUUUUUUGAAAUACUUUAUCCGCAAACCAUCUAUCUUUGUAGAGUAAUAAAUAAAUAAAAAUUAAUAUGAAUAUCUCCAAAAAAAAAUAUCACGUACAUAAUUCCAAUGAGCCUGCUGUAAUAAGAAUCCAUCAUUAGACUGGAACUACAGUUUCAGUUUCAGGACAAGAACGAUGUGAUGAACUUACGAUUGACACCGAGUUUGUAAGAUAAGUCUUUCUUGUUGGUGGAUCUGAUCAAAUCAAGAUUCUCUUUGAACACCGAGAAACGGUGCUUUAUCUCCUCCGCAUGCUGAUACUUUUUCCCAUACCUUCAAUCACCAAAACGAACCAUCAGUUUGUUUUAUCAAAGAGACGGAACUAGAACUCAAGGGCGAUUGCAUUUGCACCAGUGGUAAAGGAUGCAUGGACUUACUUGUGAGUGAAGCGAGCGAAGGAGAGAAGGUGACUGGAUUGGCCUAAGAUCUUGACAAAGGCUUCCUCUACCUUCCGGAGACCGUCGGGGAUAGGAGUGGACUCAUGGGAUCCGAUGAGAAUAACCAGAACCACCAAUGAUUGGAUUGCUCUCACAGACAUGCUUCUCUCUUUUGUUCUUACUUUUUUUUUUCCCUCAACACUUCUUCUGCUUUAGUGUUUAGAUGGAGCGAUUGUGAGAAGUGAUCAUAACCUGAGAUGAUAUUAUAUAGUCCCUCAACAAAUGCCCUUUCUCAAAAAAAAAAAAAAAUUUUCUUAAACAACUAUUCAUCUUUUAAGUUAAUGAACGGAAGCCACGUUGAAUGAGAAACCCAUAUUGGGGAACCAAUACAGAUAGAAUCUCUGUUAGACGUGGGAGAUCAUAAAUUCAUAAUAGUCAACUGAACUUUUUUUGUUUUAUAAUGAUCAUUAUAUAAAAUUAAGCUAGAUAAUUAGCCCAGUAAAUGCGACGAUUUUACAUUGAUAAUUGAGGUUCAUAUGUUUUUUUAUUUUUGUCACACCGACUACAGAGUCCUUGAGGAGUCGAUGUUCCAUGUCUUUGAUACUAGGCGCAUCGAUGGGUAUCGAAAGCAGAGAAGAAGAUGAUAUGAGGGUGAUCGACGUUCUUUACUAAGGUUAUAAAGAAAGAGAUUUUGUAAAGCAGGCGCAUCGACGAUCUGAAUCCCCAUCGAAAAGAAAAAAAGAGAAGAAAUGGAAGGUUUGAUUCCAUUUUUGUACAAAGCCAUGGUCAUGUAUAAAAGAGAAGGAAGCUUUUCGUCAGUUUUUCUCAGCGAUCAUCAUUCUCAUCAACUUCCGGUUACUACCGGAGACUUCCUGGCGAUUCCUCCGGUAUAUUUCGAACGUCAGACCUCAGGCGAUUUGGGACCGACCGUCUUAGAUUGCUUAAAACGACGCCUUCUUCACCAUCUCGCUUGCCCACUAGGAACAUCACGAAACGUACGUAAGGAGUGUUCUUGAAAAUAAUAUUUACAUAAAGAGAUACGAAUCUUUCUUGACGUGUCCUCUUAUCCUAAGGUAUAUUUCUUAUGAAUAACUACCCAAUGACUUAAUAGAGUGAUUUUAUAUUAUGAUCUUGAUUUUUAAUUUGAUAUUAUUAGGGACGUUCAAAUACGUUCUACCCAGAUUUUCCAAUUGUUCUGAAGACUCAGAGGUAAUAUAUUUAUUGACUAUUAGAAAUUUUGUUUUAAGUUGUAGACCUUUUAUUAUCUACAUAACAAUUCGUGUGUUUCAGGGUUCUGUUCUGAUAGCUGGUAGUUCUGUGCAUCGCUCUAAGUCUAAUCUGAAGACAGCUGCUAAACGUGAAAGAUCCCAUAUCGAAAGUUUAGAGGCAGCUAUCUACGAGGGAACUGUUAACAAAUAUCGACAUUCGGAUUCGAUUAAGAAAGUGAAGACUGAAAAUAGUGGCUGAAGAAUUAUUGGAAACCUGUCUACGAUGAAGAUAGGCUUUUCUCUUUUAUUGUUAUAAGUAUUUAAUUGUUUUAAUCUUCGUAUUAUGCUUGGUUUUUGGGUUCUGUUUAACAAUUUUGGAAGUUUGAAGUGUUUUAUUUUUUAACAUUUUUACGUACUCUAAGCAUAUGUUGGUCGUUUUUAAUAUAAUCCCUCUUAUCAUAUUUUGUCUGAUCGGGUCGAUUGGUUGAAGUUAUCUAAUAUAUUUGGGCAAUAUAAAAUACCUUAAAAGGAAUUAUUAUUUCUGUAAAGUUUAUUUUCCAUGGAUAUAGUCUAUAGCUUUGUAAAUAUGAAUAUAUCCCUUUUAUAAAAUAUCCUAUACAAAUUGUUAUAGCACAUACUAUAUACAAGUACAAUAAACAGAAGAGAGCAAAUAUAUUUUGUCCUUUUUAAAAUCGAAUAUAAUAUUAUUGUACGUGCAUUUUAUUUGAUCCUCAGAUUCCUCAAAUAAAGAAUUAUUUUUUAAUCAAUGUGAGUAUAAAAUUAUUUUAAAUUUGAUAUAGUUACUAUAUGUUAACAGAUAUGAUUUUUUUUUUACUUUCAGGAUUCAAUUCCGUGCAUUUUGAUUAAACUUCAAAAAAAAUUUAGACUAUAAUUUCUUAUCGUAUCAAUUAAUUAUGUUAUUUUGGUUUUUAUAUUAAAACAAAUUAUGUGUUUUAAAGGGUGGAAUCACAUUCAAUUUCUUUUCUCUUAAAUUUUUUAUAUAAUAAAAAUAACUAUAUUUUAUUUAUUUAAGGUAGUUAUAGUAUUACUUUUCAAAUGUUAUUGUUCCACUAAAAAACCAGAAAUUCCGGUGUUUUUCACUUUCUCUUCAAAUAUAUAUUUAUGUCUUACAAAAUUAUAGUAUAUAACUUAAAAUAAUGAUACAUAUGCUUCAUCCCGCGCAAAGCGCGGAUUACUACCUAGUCUUAUAUUAUAUUUGCGGACAAAUAAAAAAAAGGAGAUCGUGGUUUUGAUGUCUUGAUAGAGCAGAAAAUUAGUUGAAGAUAUUGAUUUUAUAACAAAAAAACUCGUUCUAUCAUAAGGCAUGAGAUGUAAAGCGAGAUUGAGACUUUAUUCUUAACUUAAUAAUUUGGAUGUGUAUUGAAAUUUUUUAAUGUACGUACGUUAUUACAAUCAAAUUGACUUUGCACUGCCACAUGUUUCACGUUACCAACAUAAUUUCACGUGGCGAGUUGACCUCACCACCGCUUUGAUCAUUUCUUCAAUUUGCCUAGUUCAUUCCAAUGACUCUCGAGACUCGAUUGCGCCAUGAUCACAUGGUACAUAUAUGGAUAUACAAAAAAAACUCUUCAUUUUAAUUUGUGUAGUGAAAUAUUGAAUGGGAAAGUGAGUUAUCCUACUAUAUAAAAGUGACUAAAUCUCUCUCUCCUAAACCUUGCCACAUAGGCAAAAAUAUUGAGAACCAAUCAAUAUGCCAUGUCAUUUUGGACUGGACUUAAAAUUUAAAAAAAAAAUCAAUAUGGCAUAUUGGUCGGAGCCCAUUACAUAUUCUCUUGGUUUUACGUAUUGGUCGGAGCCCAUUACAUAUUCUCUCCCUAUAAAAGUGUCCACAUGGCAUAUUUUGGGUUCCACAAUUUUUUUAAUUUUUUUACAACAUAAAUUGUUGACAAAAACCUAAAUAAGCACGAUGAUGUCAUAGUCAUCCCGCCCCUACGUUUACCGUUUCAGUUAGCGAAGAUAAUCAAUCCAUAUAUCAGCCUUUAAUUCUAACAACUACAACUAAACUUUCAUCGAUACGUUUCAGAAGCUUCUCAGUUGAAUCCUAUAAAUAUACGUCCACAUAUAACACAAUCCCCAUCUCUUAGAGCUGCCAGAAUCAAGAAGUACUCAGCAGCAGAAGAACACGGUAAAGUUUCCGCUUUCGCCUUUGAAUUUCAAGUCGUAACUGAUUCUGUAGAUCGGAUUUCGGCCUGAGAAUUUUUUUUAUAAGGAGAUUUGCUCUGAGCAAAUAGAUUUGCACUUGAUCCUCUCGACAUCUAUGAUAUCCUUUUAACUUCGGUUAGAUUAGUUUUUUUGAUAUUUUUCUUUUUUUUGGAUUUUUGAGCUAUUUAGGAUUCUUUGACGAAAAUAGACAAAGUAUGUAAGAGACAUAAGAGAUCUGGAACACCCUUACUCCUUGGAGCAACUAAGUGUUCUGUCUGAAGACUCCAUCACUCUCGAUGACAAGCUUAAUCGCGUCCAGUGAGUAUUAUUAGUCCUCUGUUUAAUGAUCUCACUGUGUAGUCCCAAUGAUAGUGAGAAAAAAAAGUUUAAUUUUGGAUCCAAAAGUGUGAGGCUUUUUUUUGUGUGUACAUGAUCUUUAAUGAUUUGUGAGUUUGUGGGUUUUGGUUAUGUGAUCAAUUCACGAUAACGUUUACACCGACCAUACGGAUUAUAUGGCAACUAUAUUUGGUAUGCGUUUGAGAACUAAGCUUAAAGAAUGCUUGCCUCUCCACUAUAAGGUCAACUAUCCUUUUAAGUAAAAAGACAAGUUUUUUCAAUGGUCAUUUGUUAUAUAUGUGUGAUUGUUUCUGUUUCCUUUUACUUAUGUUCAGGUUGAUAUCAGACUCAUGCCGAUGAACAUUCAGGUAAGGAAGUUAGGAGAUGGCUUAAGUCACUUAAUUCAUUUGUGGUCUCUUUUAAAACCUUAACAACUGUAUAGUUUGCAAGAGUAUGGAUGAUAUGUCAAGUGAAAAAAAAUUAACGAAUGUAACGCUCAUGGAUUUUGCUAUACAAAUUCAUUUGUGCUUUGUUAUUGCAGAUGCUUCGUGGAUUUUAUUUGGUUUGGAUAAUUGCCCAUGUGGCCUGUGAAUGCAUCCAUGCAGAUUGGAAUGUUUUUAUUUUAUUUUAAACAGUACAGAUCAGAGCAGAGGGUCUAAGGCUGAACAGACGUGUGGGGAUCGAAUACUUAGCAGUGUGGCUAACACGAUCAGGAUCUGUCCCACGCUAUAACCUGAUGGAAGAUGCGGCUCCAGCUGAGAUAAGUCGUGUCCAGAACUGGCAAUGGAUUAGGUAUGAAGUGGAGUUGGACGGAGAUGGGCUUGGAGUCAGGGUGAACAAAGAGUUGUUUGAGAGAGUUGUGGAAGAAGAGAUGGAAAGAAUCGAGAAAGAAGUUGGUAAAGAUAAGUUUAAGAAAGGAAUGUAUAAGGACAACUGCAAGAAGUUUACAAAGCAAUGUACUGCAAGUGAGCUUGAUGAUUUUCUUACACUUGCUGUUUAUGAUCAUAUUGUAGCUCACUACCCAAACAAUGUGUCAAGGCCCUGAGAGAAGAAAAGAAGAUGCUGGGAGAGAGAGUUUGAGAUAUGAGUGUUGUACUUUUGUCUUCUAUGUUUGUUUCUCAUUUGCUUUUUUUCUAUAUGUCUGUAUAUUGGAUGAACUUGAUGUUUUUAUCUCCAAUAUGAAAUAAAUGUUUCUAUAACAUCGCUUAUAAUGUGUAAGGGGCUAUAUAGCAUUGUUUAUUUUGAUAUUAAACAAUCUAUAGAGUUCAAAAUAUAUAAAAUACAAUUGGCUGUUUGUUAUUUCUUUUUCUAUUUUUGAUCUUCUGAUUCUUUGGAGCUGCUAGGUUUUUAUUAUAACCGUGAAAAAUAUAUGAAUGAUAAAUGUAAAAACUUUGCAAGUUAAUUGCCUGAUUAUUGAAGUGUUGUCCUGACUCUUGAGAAAGAAUAUCGUAGAAAGAUGACUGUUGAUGACAUACACAACAUAAUAUUUUGCAGGAGAAGAAUAACUGAUCUGAAUAAGCAACAAAAAAACAAUAACACUAUAUAUAUAUAUAUAUAUGAAUACAUUAAUCGUAGCUCAAAAUGUACACAAAUUAACCAGUAAUUGCAAGCAUAAUGAACUGCUGUAAUACACCAAACACAGAUCUCCGCGCUUGCGCGGAGUUGACGAUUCCUAGUUUGAGUAAUCUGAGACUGAAAUAGAGGAUCAUAAAAUAUGAUUAAUUACUAGCUUCAUUUUGUUCAUUUGAGUGGAAAAAGCCGAGACCAAGGAAUUUUAAGUCCCUUCUCGCUGCUAUUUAUUACACCUCUCAAAUUAAUCAAACGUCUUCACCUUGCUAAAUGCAUCACUCAUAUAGUAUAGUCAUAUCCCCACUCGUCUUACACCACAUGGUUUAAAUAAUGUGUUUUCAAGAUCCUCUUGCGACGGAGUUUGGAUUGACUCCCAGACACCAAAAUUUGGCUAAGCUGCAAUGAUAUAAAUGGAACACACAAAAUUUAACAAAACUUACCUCCUUUAAACAAAGUAUUUUAAGGUAAAAGAUAGUACGUAUUCGAUCGAACUAGAGAUAUAUUUUAAGGUAGUAAAUUUUUAAAGCAUCUAAACACACAUUGGAGUUCUAUACACACAUAUACAUAUGUAAUUGUGGGGUUCAUAUUGCAAACAUUAUGGUAAAUAAUUACAUUUUCGCCAAAAAGUCAACUGUAGUAAAUUAUAAAUCCGUAGUAUUUAUAACUUGCCUCUCUCAUUUUAUACUUCUUAAAAUUGUUAUAAAAUUACAUACAAAAUAAAUGAGCAAACCCCUUUUUUUUUAAAACACCAAGUUUUUCUGAGGAGGAUUCCCGAUUUGUGAUGUUUUUCUCCUACGUUAACGAACGGCUAUUACAAUGGGGACGGUACGUUGAUUUUAGUAUAUCACAACUUCGUAGUUUUUGAUGAAAAAGAAGCCAUAACUUAAAUCAGCUAGCUGUAUAUGUAAUACAAAUUGACUUAAACGAAUAUAUUUCAUUCUAAAUCAUUUAUAUCGAUUGAUUUAGCAUAUGCAUGCAUAUAUUAUUAAGAUUGUCAUAUACAAUUUUUUUUUAUUGGGUACGAUACCGUUCAUAUGUACCCAAUAAAGAAAUUAAAAAUUUCUUUAUUGCCAAAAAAAAAAAUAAUAAUAAUAAUUCUUUAUUGCCUACUGUGUAAUAAACUGCAAGACAAGUAAGGUACGAUUAAACUUGCAGAAGAAGUUUGCGUCUUUUCUCUUACACGAGUUGUUUCUUGCGUUAUAAAUUUUUUUGAGAAUUUUGAUUGUAAGAUUGGGAGAAUAUUUUAGCAAACUCUGUACCUUUUGACUUUCAACGGCGGUGCCUAUAAUCUGUUCGACAAAAUGUCUCAACGAGUAACAGGUUUCCAGCGAAGAAGAGGAAGUAAUAAUAAUACAUAAAAUUUGUUUUCUCUGGUUGUUCAGGUGUAACAAUGCUCGCGAAGACAUUUGUUCCGAGACAACUCCUUGUGUCGAGGUGUUUCUCAUCUGUUACUUCGAAGACACUCAAGGUGGGAGAUGUUUUGAGAGAAGCAAGAGUGUUUUCAAGUGAAGAUGUUAAGAGCUAUGCUGAGGUGAGCCAUGAUUGGAACCCACUUCAUUUUGAUCAAGAAUCUGCCCGUAAAGCUGGAUUCGAGAGUUGUCUUGUCCAUGGAAUGCUUGUGUCUUCCAUGUUUCCGCGUAUCAUCUCUGCCCAUUUCGUAAGUUCUCUAGCUUUAGUUUGCUUUUAACCAUCUUUUUACAUGUCCUUUCGGUCUUGUUGCAGCCUGGAGCAGUGUAUGUAUCUCAAACUCUGCAUUUUCGAUCACCAGUUUACAUAGGAGAUGAUAUUCUCGGAAUUGUACAAGCUACAACUUUAAGACAAACCAAGAAUAAGUACAUGUAAGCUCAUUUAUUAAAACUUAUUCAAAAAGUUGAGUUCUGUUGUUCUACUAUCAUAACUAGAUCUUCAUUUCGCUUUGUUAGUGUCAAAUUCUCAACCAAAUGCAUCAAGAAUCACAGUGAACUUGUACUUCUUGAUGGUGAAGCUACUGCAAUCUUACCAAACCUCGAGGUGCUACAACCAUGUCAUUCGGAAUGAUAAACUGAUCCGACAUGUAAGUUUCUGUGUGUUUACCAUGUUCUUGUUCUGUUUUGUUCUUUCAUUUCUGCUGUCUUUGAAGAGUCUGGAAUUUGUGAGAUUUUUGUUGUAAGUUAUAUUACUAAUGAAUUCAAUUGCUACUAUAUAACCUUCUAUAUUGUUUCAAUCACAGUUUCACAUUCAAAUCUUUAUUAGAAAAAUCAUGAAAGUUGCUAAAACUGAUAUACACACACUGAUUACAUUGUAUUUGUCUGAAAAAAGUAAGAAAAUUUUUCACCUUCCAUCUCCGUAUGUGAUUGUGUGGGUAACAAACAUGGAGUUAUGAGGCGAAGGAAGAGAGUCUGAUGGUGCUAAAGAGCUUCUUGAAGUGAAAGCCGCUUCCAGCAAUACUGGAAUAUAAACUCCAAUCCCUGGAGAAUCUGGUGAGAAGAUGGGCAGUGGCAGAUUCUGGCUUAUGUAUUGCACCACCUGUUCCAUGUUUGGUCUUGAUUCCGCCGAAACAUUUGUGCAGAGCAACCCAAGUCUCAGAACCAUAUCAACUUCCGCUUCUGAGUAUUCACCUCCCAUUCUAGUAUCUACAGCAUCCAGCAGAGAAUCACUUCUCCAGCAAUCACAAACCCAUUUGACCAAAUGCCUUUUCUCAGCUGGAACCUUGGUAUCUAGUGGUCUCCUUCCACAGGAUACUUCAAGCAUGAAAGCACCAAAUGCAUAAACAUCUGUUCUUGUGGAAGUUCCCAUUGUUGUUAGCUCAGGUGCCAUGUAACCCACUGUUCCUAUAACAGCCGUUGCGGGCAAGCUAUCUCCGUAAUCUUCAAACCUAGCCAUUCCAAAAUCUCCUAACCGUCCAUUGAAACCAGAAUCCAACAAGACGUUAGAAGCUUUUAUAUCUCUGUGUAACACAACUUGGUUAGCUCCUGUGUGCAGGUAGCUCAGAGCAGAUGCAAUAUCCUUCAAAAUCACAAACCUCUGUGGCCAUGAGAGAGGAGGUUUUUCUCUGUGAAACAAGUACCGAUCAAGACUCCCAUUAGACAUGUACUCAGAGACAAGAAGAAGCUCUCCUUUCCUUCUGCAAUAUCCAAGAAGAGGAACCAAGUUUCUGUGCUUUAAACUUCCCAUAGUCACUACUUCAGCUACAAACUGUUUCAUCCCUUGCUUCGCGUCAUGGCACACUCUCUUCACCGCUAUAUCUCCAAUGUGAGGUAGAUUCCCUCUGUAGACUUCUCCAAAACCGCCUUUCCCUAAACGAUGCUCAAAACCUCUUGUUGCUUUGUAUAGAGAUUUAUAUGAAAACCGGUGUGGGCCAUAGUCUUUCUCCCAUGCUUCUCUAACUUCUGCAUACUUCUUCCUCCUGUAUAAGUGAACUCCUCCAAGAACAGCCAACACUAUGAGUGAUAGUAACACAAACAAAACAACAAGCAGUGGAGAUGUUUGCUUCUGUUUGGCUCUUGGAUGAGGAAUCUGAGGAAGUUUUAACAAGUCCAGUCUCUGCAACAGCUCUCUCCUUCUGCUGAAACUCCAUCCUAAGAUGUAUUGGUAACUAACCAAUGACCCUGUUGCUGCAGAGAAUCCAAAGAACAGUUUGUGAUCCGGGAAGAUUUCAGUAAGAUUGAUGGAUCUUGCCAAGAGAGGAUGGUUUGGCUUCUGGAUUCUUAGAGGAGCCACUGUGACAUUGAGUAAAGAUCUUUCAUAAUCCACCCAUACCUGUAAAGGCUCUUCACUUAAGAUUUGAAGGCUUUGAUUCUUCCCUUUGGUGUUUGAAUAGUAAGAAGCUGAAGCAGACUCUAUAGACCUGAGGCUGUUGAUGUCUAUACCGACAUGAUUCUUGUUUAUAUCAUCAAACUCUGCGCUUUUAGCAGUAUCAAGCUCAAUAGCUAGAAGCUGAUAAGAUGGAGAUCCGUUUGUUGAGAUGUUGGAGAGUCCCAAGUACUGUGUUGGAUCUGCAUGUGUGAAAUCCAAGGAGGAAGAUACGACAAAGGCGAUUCCAUGGCCGCCUUCAGCUCCUGGUUUAGGCACAAGUGCGCACACAAAGUGAGUUGAGAAUGAGAAGUUCUUCUCAGAUGAGUCAAAUGGAUGCUUGAAGAAGGCAUGACCCAUUUGCUGUGAUGAGGCGUUGGUCAGCUGCAGCAAUCCAUCUGGAGAGAGGAUUUUUGCAGAUCCAUCUAGAUGAAGAUCAGCUUGAGCUUGGGGAAAGCCGUUGUAGAUGAAACCUGCUCCUUGUUUACGACCUAACAAGCAAAUCAGGUGAUUAAAGAAGAUCAGCAAGAUCAGAUGCAGUCCUUGAGUAGCCAUUGCUAAUGAAUUAAAGAGACAUAUGAUUUGGUUUAUAUGUUUCAAUUUUAGAUUAAUUCUUCAAGACAUGCAUUCAAGGCCAAUUAUCUUUAGGAAAUGCAUUUCAUAUGGGCAUUUUCUGAGUUGAAAUUUACCAAAUGAAAUGGAACCAUGACAGUUACCUUCAACCUUUAUUUUAUGUCAUGUUGUUCAUAUAAUAAUUGUAUGGUCUUCUCUCUGGUUCUAACAAUGUCUAACUCAAAAGACAUUAGACACAUGGCUUGGAGAAUGAAGACAAUCUAUCAUAUUAAAAGUAUAAUGAUCCCAAAAAAAGUAUUAUGAUCAUGCCGACCAAACCAAAGCUUGGUAUUAUGAAAAGAGAGGUUAUAUAUAGGAAAUUAAGUCCAUUAUUCUCUGCAAAAUAACUAUUACAUUGGUGUUAACAAACUAAUAAAACAUUUAUCAUCUGCCACUUUAAAUCAGACUUAUCACCUUUCUUGUUUAAAUGUUUGUUUAUUCCUCAUAGUUUGUACUGGUUGAUCUUGGUUUUGUAUAUCAUUUUCUUUAGAUUUGUUGGAUGAUACAAAUGUCUUUUUGCACAUGAUAUAUCCUAACUGAAAGACUAUUAAAAUCCAUGUACAAGUUGUAAUAAUAGCUUCAGAAUAGUAUUGUAAAUGGAUGUUAUCAGAAGAAGAAUACUUAUUUCACACAUUAGUCACGUUUAAACGGAUGUGUGACUAGUUAAGUCCAAGUCAAUAAUGGCAAAUUAAGAGAUGUAUGUAUCUUGAAAUGAUCCAAGUCAAUGACGGCAAAAAGAUAAUAUUAUGUUUUAAGAUCUGGAAAUCUUUCAUUGAAAUAAUAUAACCCCUAAGGUUAACAAAUAAAGCAUAUCAUAAUUAAGCAAAGGCUUACCAAUAUUAUAACAUUAAAUGACCCCAAGUUGAAACUAUGCAGUGCUGCAUAUGGUGUACCCAGAAACAGGUUUGUUUGUUUGUUUGUGUAUUGGGAUCAAAUAGUUUAGUUAAGGAUUAAACAUCAAUUUAUAUUUACAACCAUCAUUUCUAAUAUAAACUACAGAAACGACCGACAUACAACUUCUCACAUGUAUGAAUGUCAGGGAUCUAUUAUCACCGAUUUGGCAUCUCUCCUAGGUGUGUUAUGCUAUAGUCACAGCACAUGUGCUUAACACGUUCUCAAAUACAUGCAAAUUCUAAGCAUUUAGAAGUUUUCCAAUAACCAUACAUUUUUUUUCUAAAACAACCAUUUACAAAGGUACAAACUGAUUAGUCUUCGGAUUCAUUACUACAACAUAGCACACAUAAACCAAAACAGCUUUCUACAACAUAGCCUGAGGAGAAAUCUCAUCUCAUUGCUUGGUAACAGAGAGAGCAAACAUGUAUACGGUAAACAUUUACAAAUGAAGAAACUGAUUAUAUUGGGACAAGUGAGACAGAUUAUUAAAAAACAAUCUUGAGACUAAGAUCUGUUUGCUGAUAUGAAUGUACAUCAGAGAUUACCUCUGACUGCUGAUGCUGGAAAGAUUGGACUCGAGAUCUUCUGCAGAAGAUGUGACAGUAGUUUUGACAGCAGAUGAGAGAGUCUGAGUCUUAGGCUUCUCUAGUUCUGAAACUAUGUGAAGAGAGUUCUUCGUCUCUACCGUCUGUCCCCAUGGCAGAUCUGUUCCCUGAUAAGCGUAAGGUGAGUGGUUGGCCGAAGAAGAAGCUGACCAACUCCAUGAAGCGGAUGAGACUACAAGAGAAGCUGCAUCAACCAGAACCGGAGCAAAUGUACCAAUCCCCAAAGUAUACGGUGAAAAAUCAGGCAAAGGCAUGUUUUCAUUUAGGUACAAGACCACUUGCUCCAUCGUUGGUCUGGACUCCGGCACUAUAUUUGAACAUAGCAAACCGAGUUUCAUAACCAUCUCCACUUCCUCUGGUGAGAACUCAUCUCCCAGCCUCGGGUCGAUAGCAUUAAGCAGAGAAUCCUUCUUCCAGCACUCACACACCCAUUUGAUCAUAUGCCGUUUCUCAACUUCCAACUGUGGUUCCACCGGUCUCCUCCCACAUGUUACUUCAAGCAUGAAAACACCAAAGGCGUAAACAUCAGUUCCAGUGGAAGCUCCCAUUGUGAUUAACUCAGGCGCCAUGUAACCAACAGUUCCCACUGCAGCCGUUGUGGCUGCACUCCCUCCGUGUUCAUGAAACCUAGCCAUCCCAAAAUCCCCUAACCUACCGUUGAACUCUUCGUCCAACAUUAUGUUUGAAGCUUUGAUAUCUCGGUGCAGAACAACUUGGUCAGCACCUGUGUGCAAGUACCAGAGAGCAGACGCUAUUCCCUUAACAACCACAAGCCUUUCUUUCCAAGAAAGAAUCCGUUUCGCCUCAUCAAACAAAUGCUCGUCAAGACUACCGUUAGGCAUGUACUCAGAGACCAAAAGAAGCUCCCGUUUUCUCCUGCAAUAACCGAAAAGCGGAACAAGAUUCCUGUGUUUCAGACACCUCAUGCUGACAACCUCAGCCACAAACUGCUUCACACCUUCAUCACCAUUGUGGGAAACUCUCUUCACUGCUAUCUCUCUCCCUUGAGGAAGUUUUCCUCUAUAGACUUCACCAAAACCUCCUUUCCCAAGAAACUCAUCCUUACUAAACCCUUUUGUUGCUUUGUACAAUGACUUGUAAGAGAACCUAUGCGCAUCAAACUCCUUCUCCCACGUUUCAGAAACUUCUGAAAACUUCUUCCUCCUGUGGAAAUAAACUCCCGCAAGAACAGCCAACACCGCAACACCCAGACAAACAAUCAUGAUUAUAAUCCACUGAGGAAGCUUCUUAGGAUGAGAUGUAGGAUGAGGAACUUGAGGAAGUUUCGAGAUGUCAAGUUUCUCCAAUGAUCCUCCUCCGCUUGUGGUGAAACUCCACCAAAGAAUAUAGUGAUCACACACUGAGUUCCCUGUUGCAGCUGAGAAUCCAACAAAGAGUUUCGAUCUAUUAGGAAAAAUAUCUGAAAGGUUGAUUGGAUGUGACAACAGAGGCCGGCUUGGCUUCUCCACUUCAAGAGGUGCCAACGAGACAUUAAGCAUAGAGCCUUCGUAAUCCACCCAAACCUGUAUAGGGUUUCCAGACAAGAGGUUUAAGCUUACGUUUCCUCCUUUGGAAUAGUAAGACGCUGGAGCCACUUCGAUAGAUAUAGGAUCGUUGACAUCGAUACCAACGUGACCGCCACGGACUUUGAUAUCAUUAAACUCCGGGUUCCAAAUAGUGUCGAGCUCGACAGCAAGAGCGGGAGAUCUUGACGCGUUGAAAGCCCCCAAGUAUCUUGUUGACUCUGCGUAAGAAAAAUCCAGAGAAGGAGAUAUUAAAAAGGUGAGACCGUGCCCGGGUUCAACGCCUGGCUUAGCCACCAGAGCACAGACGAAAUGAGUUGAGAAGGAAGUGAUCAACUGAAUUGGUUUCUUGUGGAAAGCUCGGCCCAUUUGAUAAUCUGAAGUGUUUGUCAGCUGCAGUAAUCCACUGGGGAGAAGUACCUUUGCGGAAGCGUCUAGGUAGAGGUUUUCUUGGGAGGUGAAGUUUUCAUAGACAAACCUUGUCUCUUGUUGACUUGAUGGAGAGAUGAGAUGAAGAGAAGUGAUUAUCAGGAUCUGAAGCAACACACGAGCCAUUGAAGAUGAUGAAACAGAGAGUCUGGAUCUGAUAUGCAUCUCAUAACCUUGCAAGCUGAAGAAAAAGUGAACAAAAAAGGAUGUGAGGUUCUCUUUAAUAUUGUUUAUUUAUUUUAACCAAAGGAAUCACCAUUUUUUUGGCUUUACAAACUGUCCUCCAUUAACACGAUGAUAUUAAAUUAAUCUAUAAAUAAAGCUUUAACGUGGUUUCCAAAAAUUCUAUUUGAGACAAUAAUAUUUUUAACGUACAACCUCAAUCUGAAUAGACAACGCAACGUCUACAUGGGGUACCAUGGAACAAAAUAAUAUAAUGCGUGUAACAAACAUAUGAAAUGAAUUAGUAUAUGUGUCGGAAUAGAUCGUGCACCAACCUUCAUUGGAUUUGUCUGCUACUUCUAUAGUCUUCUACUUGAAGCUAUCUUCUAAGGAAGCAGACAAAUAAAACAUCAUAUUUUAAACAUGCACUUGACCUUUCAGACGCCGAAUAAAAAAAGAGCCAAUGUUAUUGUAAUGAUAUUUCAAUUCAAUUAUGAGCCAGACCGAAGGUAAGAAGCCUAGGAAUGCGUGGAAUAAUUAUGACAACUAGGAAUGUUCUUCAAAUGAUGGUUAUCACAACUAAUAGAAAAUAGACACUAGAGUUAGGUCCUACCUUGCCAACCUAAUCUUUACUAUUUCCUAAUUUAGCCCUGUAGGUAGGUGCAAGAGAAUACAUCCUCGUAUGAAUGACCAUCUAUCUUAUGUUCUGAAGUUGUUGGUCAGCAAGUUUCUUGUUGACUUGACUGGUGAAUCAGGAGAAGAAAGGAGAUCACCAUUCACCGUCCAUAUCAGAUCCAAUCCUUGAGCCAUUGCUAAUACAACAGAGUUUUUGCUAUUCUUAGAAAUUUUUUUUGUCUCUGUGUUAGUGGUAUGGUGGUAAAUAACUAUCCUCUCCAUUUGCAAAACAAGGUCUGAUCAUUACUUCACAAGAAGAACCAAAGCUUUUGCACAACAAUUAUAGACACAAACAUCCGACAUUAAAUGUCAUAACAAGAUUAUGUAUCAGCUUUCUCAUUCUAAAACAAACAAUUGGUUCACUCAUUCCCAAGUACUGAACAAAUAGUGAUGAAAGUAUCUCAUACAAAGUUCAUGAUUUAAAGAUCAAUGAUGUUUGACUGGCUUUAGAUGUGUAACUGGCUCAUCAUGCCUUGAAUUAAGAGACUGGCAACAACUUUCUUUACAAAUAUUUUAGCAAAGUAAUCGCAAAACUUUCAUCGUCCGCUCCCAUAGACCACCGAGUGAGUAACAAACAUAGAGUUGUUGGAGGAGGACGACAGUGAAGGUGAAGGUAUCGUUAGCCUUGCUGGCGAAAGCGCCAUUGGAGUUAGAACACCAAUCCCUGGAGAAUGUGGCCAAAACUCCGGCAAAGCCAUGUUUCCAUUCACAUAUUGCACAACCUGUUCCAUGGUAGGCCUUGCGUCCGGGACAAGGUUAGCACAUAGCAAACCGAGUUUCAGAACCCUCUCCACUUCCUGAGAUGAGAACUCUAUCAACCUCGGAUCUUUAGCAUCAACCAAACAAGACUUUCUCCAACAAUCACAAACCCAAGUGACCAGAAACCGUUUCUCAGCAGACAAGGUAGACUCCACAGGCCGUCUCCCGCAAGCUACUUCAAGCAAGAAAACACCAAACGCAUACACAUCAGUUCCAGUGGAAGGCCCCAUCGUUAUAAGCUCAGGCGCCAUGUAACCAACGGUUCCCACCGCAGCCGUUGUGGUCGGAUCAGCCCCUCUGUCGUAUAGCCUCGACAUACCGAAAUCUCCCAGCCUUCCGUUGAACUCGGCGUCCAGCAUAACGUUAGCAGCUUUGAUAUCUCUGUGUAUAACAACUUGGUCAGCUUCCGUGUGUAAGUAACUAAGCGCCGACGCGAUGUCUUUGACAAUCGCCAGUCUUCUCCACCAGGGGAUAGAGGUUAUACUAUGAUCAAACAAGUAAUGGUCAAGACUACCGUUUGGCAUGUACUCAGAGACUAACAGUAACUCGCGUUUCCUUCUACAAUACCCGAGAAGUGGAACCAAGCUCCGGUGUUUUAAACUCUUCAUGCAAACAAUCUCAGCGACAAACUGCUUCAUACCUUCCUCGCCUUCGUGUGAUACUCUCUUCACAGCCACUUCUCUGCUCUUAGAGAGUGUUCCUCUAUAGACUUCGCCGAAACCUCCUCUCCCAAGAAACUCAUUCUUACUAAACCCUUUUGUUGCUUUGUAUAGAGACUUGUACGAGUACCUGAGCGGACCAUACUCCUUCUCCCAUUCCUCUCUCACUUCCGCAUACAAGUUCCUCCUAUACAUAUAACCUCCAACAAGAAGCCCCAAAACUAAGCAAGCUAUUAAACUCAGGAGAGCAUCCAGCACCAGAGGAGAUGACUCAUGUUUGUUGCUAGGAUGAUCAACUUUGGGAAGCUUUGAGAUGUCAAUGCUCUGCAACGUCCCCAUGGUUUUGCUUAAACUCCACCCGAGUACGUACUGGUAGCUCAUGAUCGACCCGGUUGCACCGGAGAACCCGAAGAACAUUCUUCUACCUUGCACAAUCUCUGUGAGAUUGAUGGAAGCUGCCGACAAAAGAGGCCGGCUCGGCUUCUCCGUUUUAAGAGGUGCUAAUGUAACGUUGAGCAUGGUUCCUUGGUAGUCAACCCAAACCUGAAUAGGAUCUCCACUCAAGAGAUUUAUCUCUAUGCUCCUACCUUCCUUGUCUGAAAAAUAAGAAGCGUUGGCUGAUAGUUUAGACACAGCGCUAUUCACAUCAAUCCCGACAUGGUUAUCACUGAUGUCUUUCAACUCCGGAGCUAGAGCGGUAUCUAGCUCUACUGCCAACACGCGCGCGGAGGUAGAUUCGUUUGAAGAUGCAUUGAAGAUACCAAAGUACCGAGUCGGCUCGGCGUGGCUGAAAUCUGUGGAUUGAGAGACGACGAAAGCCAUGCCGUGUCCGCUCGGAUAACCAGCAGGGAGAAGUGCGCAGACGAAAUGUGUUGAGAAGGAUACUGGUUCGGAUGAGUUGUAAUCGAUCGGCUGCUGGAGAAAAGCGUGACCCAUCUGGCGAAGAGUAUCGUUUGUGAGUUGCAGGGCACCAUUGUGGGGGAGGAUUCUUGCACCACCGUCGAGGUGGAGAUUGUUACCUGCUUGGUCGAAGCCGUUGUAGACAAACGGUGGCUCUUGUUGAAACGAUGGGCAAAGACAAUAUAUCAUCAAGAACAUUCGUAGAACCAAUCGUGAAGUUAUCAUUGGUAAUGAAACUGAGAGGGUUAUCGUUUUGCUUUUGUUUUUGUUUUUUAAUUAUUGGCUUUUCUCUGUUCUAGUGGUUAAUAAUAAGGAUCUCUUAGUCGCUCUGGCUGUAUAGUAGACCCAUUGAAUAUGACAUGAAAGUCAACUUAAGAGUUAAGACUGCUUCGGAAUCUAUAUGGUAUACGUAUAUUAUUACGUUAGUAAAAGACUUUUGAACAGAUGUCUUAGUCAAGACAGCAAAAUUAAUUCCGAGAAGAAAAGUAGAGGUGUAGAGGAAGUGUGACUAGAUGGGUCUUUUGUAUUAAUGCGAGAGGAAGAGGUCAAAAGACUGAUCACUCAAAGAAGAUAAAGAUGACGGUGAAGAAUGCAAAAAACAAAAUUUCCUCAAAAGUUAAAAGCCGAUUUGGAAGUAACUUCAAAGUCAAACUUUCAAGUUGACUAAUUACGUUUCUAAAGAUAUUUUGCCUUAUGAAUUGAGGGGAGAGAAAUUUACUGACAUUUAGGUGAUGCAGAGUAAUAUGAGGUGGAUUAUUUUCUUAAUAUAUAGAUAUGCACAAGAUAUGUUAUUAUUUAAGUCAAGGUCAAUUUCAUUGAAUAUUUCAAUUCCACUGUUAGCAAUCAAGAACAUCAUGUCCACACACACUUAUUGGUAGUUUAUAGAAAACCGAACCUGAACCAAAAACCGUAAACAAAAACAGGCGACAACUCAAAAUAAAACGUGUGGGUCGCCAACGGACAACACAAAUUGUCAUCAUGAUGUUGAUUCACAUAUGACUAGAAUGCGAGUUAUGGAAUCAACGGAUUCUCCAAUGUGGAGUUUAGACAUGACUUCACAUAUCAAUCUGACUUUAUGAACUAUUGUAGUCAAUCAUGAUCCAUCGUUGAGAUUUGAGUGUCUAAAGUUGAUUAAAACUGUUUUUUUUAUCACCUUGCUCGAGUGUGUCACUCAAACUCAUUAGUGGAAGCAAGUAGAAUAGAUAGAUACGUUACUACAAGUUCUGAAUCAACCAAACUCAAACGGAACAAGUCACGGAAACAUGAACCUCAAAACAAAGAGGUUAAAGACAGAAACAAAGAGUUUGGUCCUGGAAAAGUAAAAUGCGAAAAGAGAACAACAAGCUUGGUUCCAGACAGAAACCUCAGUCGUAGUCAGGAUGGAAAGGGUUGGAGUAAUCGUCGUAUUCAUAGCCGUCCGAGUCAUAAAAUGUAGCGUACUUGCCAUACUUUCCAAAGUAUGGGCAGUCCUCACUUGCAAACUCCUCACCCGGGCGGAGCAUGUCGUGGAGAGCUUUAUACUCCAGCAUCCGACGGGAAUGGGGCACACCUACAUGAUUUUUCAACAGAUUGUGAUUUUGAGUAAUAGAAUUUACUUAAGAGAGAUUUAGAAUGGGCACAUUACCAUGUGGCAGUUCGGAGUAAGGAUCAAAGGGAUCUUUAGCAUCAUUCAUAUUCUGCCCAAAACCAAAGGGGAAGUCACCAAAGCCGUAAUCAAAAUCUUCAUCAUCUUCAUAGUCGUCAUAAUCUUCAUUAUCAUCUUCAUAGUCUUCUUCAUCAUCAUAAUCAUAGUAGCCACGCGCUGGACCUUGACGCGUGAAGUAUGCUUCCUCCAAGGUCGGGCAGUUUUUAGCACAAGUCCUUGUCUCCUUGUUCCUUUCUCCUCCACAGUUGUAGCAAAACACAUAACCACACCUAACGACAAAUACCAAAUGGAUAUAACAUUAGUGUGGUUAAAGAAGAAACGCAUCAAGAAGUAGAUAAAGAGAUACCUGCAAGUUAUGUGAUUGCACCCUUGUGUAAGUCCAAUCACGUGUUGGCACUUGUCACAUUGCCCCCACGUUUUGUUAUUUGCCAUAGAGUUCAGCUUCACAUCAUCAGCUGGAGGAUUAGGAUGCUGAUUCUUGUAUUCAGUGCACGACACCUUCCCAUGCCACGGGACCUUACAGUCCACACAGAAGAGUCCACGACACUCAACGCAUCUCCUGACUCCAGAUUCAGGGUAGACAGAGAGCAAGCUCUUGGCGGAUUCAGUUAUCUUGGCUUUGGACAUCAAAGCCGAACACCUCGGGUAAGGGCAGUAGACUCUCUCCGCGACAGGUAUCGCGUUAUCUUUAACCCUUUGCUUCCACAUUUCACUCAGUUUGGGAGUCAGAAGCUUGCGACACGCGUCCAUAGCCAUCUCAGAGUUGCAGCCAUCGUGAGGACAGUUUGGAACCGUUCCGUGAAGCAGCUUCACCUCUACGUGUUGCUUCGAGCAGUGGAAGCAAAAGCGGUGAGGGCAUUUACCGACGGAGAACAUGCGCUCGAUAUCGGUUUCGUUGUAGCAGAUGAGACAUUCUUCUUUCCAAGCUACUUUUGCUCGGCGAGCAACACCACGAGGGUUGGAUUUAGAAGCUAUCGAUUCCCUGGCGAGUUUAUAAGCAAAUUUGACUUCGUUUCCAGGUACCAGAACAGGGUUAGUAAACGUGAACUGUUGCCUGAUCCGUGAAAGAUCAUCCAUCAGCAUUGAAAUCUUUUUUUGAUUAGGCACCCAGUUCCCCCUGACCUGCAUUGCAAUAAAUAAAAAACAUUUUUUAUGAAACAUAGGACAGAGAAAAGCUGGAUAAAGAAUCAUAACAAUAGCAAACACACAAGCAUAGGACUUUAGAACUCAGAGACUACAGUUUAAUGGCUAGUGAAGGUUCUUUAUAUCUCAAAGCAAAGAGAAAUAACAAUGGCUUAAAAAAAAAUCAUCAGGAUAUAUAAUUAAAGAGUAGUCAUUGCAACUCUUUCUUCAAAUUAUUAUAAUGCAACUUGUUACUAUUAUUUUUCUCUAUGUCAUAACAGUUACCAGAUGAAACCCCCCAACAGAGAAACAAACACACUUAGCUACAUUUUUUUUUAUUACAGAAGAGAGGAAACUUGGACUCGGCAAGAGCAACAAAAAAGAACACAUCUUUCUAGACGGAUUCAGCAAAAAGAGCAAGUGAGAGUGAACUAAUCACAGUCUACAGUCUAAUAGCUAGUGAAGGUUCUUUUUUAUUUCAAGAACAUACCUUUCUAUACAGAUUCAACAACACAAAGAGCAAGUGAGAGUGAAGCGUAACGAUGAAGAACAGGGAAAGUCAGAAACUUACGUAUUGGAAAAUGGGAUACGAGUCGCAGAACAUAACAACAUGUUUGAUCCCCAGCUUCGAGGCUUCGGUUAGCCCACGUGUCAACGCCUUAAUCUCCGCUCCCUGAGGGUUCGUGUCACGACCAAUCAGUUCCCCCUUCAACUCAAACAACAAACCACCCCUCUGGUCGCAAAUCGCAACCCCAAAUCCAGCCGCCACGUCAGCCGUAUUCCCUUUCCCCUUCCCCUUCCCAGCCACACUCUCUUCACUCACCAAACCCUUAAAGUAAAGUCUGUACAACACAUCUCCGCUAAACUUUCCCGUAACGGCAUUAACCGUCGAACCACCCUCGCCGACUGAUUUCGCCGAACUAACAACCGACGGCGAAGGCUUCUUAGGAACAUACACGUACUCAUUUCGAAAGUUGCCGACUUUAGCGUUAGGGUUUCGGUAACCUCCCCGUACUCCAGCGGCGGCUGCUUCGUGGGCUUUCCCUUUGCCUCCGGAGUUUCUUCGACGCGCGUUCUUCGAACCUCCUUUAGGCGCCGAACUGUUCCGGCCGUUUUCCGCGGCGGUAGCGGGAGCAGACGUUUGCACACUCGGUUGCUGUUGGGGAGUACGAGAUCGGGAAGAGAGAGAGGCUAAAACCUCCUCCGUCUGCAACCGGCGAGCGUUGUCGGAAUCAGUGUCAGGACGUUCCAUGACUUUUGCCUAGGUUUGUGUCGUGUUAGGGACGAGUGAGUGGUUUCUUCGCUCUACAUAGGCAUUUUCAAAAUAUAUGCUACAAGAGAGCGCAAGUUAGUCACGCACGUGUGUGUGGACCGUCAAACUAUAUACGUUUCAAAAUACAUACUACAGUGGCUUAUCCAAAACAUAUACUACAAGAGAGCGCAAGUUAGUCACUCACGUGUGGGUGCAAGAUAUUUAUUUACUUGGUUGACUUUUAGUCAAAAGGGUAUAACCGUCAUACGUGUUUAUUUCUUAAGACAAGUAAGUUCCGUUGUUUACUCCGGCGUCGAUCAAUUCCAAUAGCUCAGUCCAAUUCCUCGGCUGUUUCGAACGAUAUAGCGGCGGAUUGAUAGAGAACUUACACCGACAUUAUACACGACAAUCCAGGUAAUUCAUGUUUUUGUGUUUGGUAACUCGUGUUGUGAAUGAAUCUCGAGCAAGUUUCACAGAGUGGUAGAGUUAAUUUGGUUUAGUUAAUUACUUUGUUUGAAUUCAACUUCUAGAACCACGGGUUUGAUUUUGGAUGUGUAUGUUGUGAUAAAUUUGAGUGCUUUGUGUUGAUAUUUUAAGAAAAGAAAUAAUAAUAAUGUGCUGAAACUGUUCGACAAAAUGCCUGAAAGAAGUUUUUUUUUUGCGUGUAGAACUCUAAAGCUUAUAUAUGGUAAGUUUAUUGUAGUUUAUUGAGAACGUUGGUUCGGUUUAUCUGCUCUAGAAUAUGCAAUUGGUGUGUUAGGUGUAUGUGCAUGUCUCGCUGCUAGUAUAUAUAGCUCUUGACCUUUUGGGUAGUGAUUUAGUCUCCCGAUUCUUCAUGAUCUGACUCACAUCUGUCCUUGAACUAGUCAGAAAUUGGAAGUAAAAUUUAACAAAAUACUCAAUGAUAAACGCAAAAUUUCUUGUUUUUUUCAGUUGAUAACAAAACUAAGCAGAACCAUGUACAAUAUGUUUCAUGGGUUUUCUGUUUUUUUGUAUUUUUAUGUUCAAAAGGUUUGAUCUUUAGUGUUGCUAAAUGCAGAUUAGUUCCAUGGCGCCAAGAUGGAAAUGGAAAGGAGCUGAAGCAAAAGCUCUUGCAGAACCUAUUUCAAAAUCAGUCUCAGAGCUCCAGCUCUCUCUAGCCAAAACAGAGUCAACGGGUUCGCUCUCUAGUUGCAACGUGCUCCUAGCCGUUGAGCCAGAGCAGGCUGAGCUACUCGACCGCUGUUGUUUCGGCAGACUCGUCCUGUCCGCUGAGAAAGUCAAGAAAUGGAUUCAGUUAUCCUUUGAAGAAGCUUUCUACUUGCUCUACAUCCUCAAAUGCAUCAAACUCUCCCGUCAAGGCCGUUUCUUGGAGAGCGAAGUAGAGAUAUGGAUGUACAUGAGAACAAAAAGACCGAACUUUCCGGUAUUUUUCAAAGCUUAUUCACAUUUGCGAUCUAAGAACUGGGUUUUGAGAUCCGGGUUGCAGUACGGUGUGGAUUUCGUGGCGUACCGUCAUCAUCCUUCUCUUGUUCACUCUGAAUACUCCGUUUUGGUUCAGUCUGGUGACAGUGAUCGGUUAAGAGUGUGGUCUGAUGUCCAUUGUGCUGUUCGGUUAAGCGGAAGUGUUGCUAAAACGUUGUUAACUCUCCAUGUCAGUGGAGACUCUAGCAGAGAGGAUUUGAAUCUACCUACGUGUUUGGAGAACUACAGAGUUGAAGAGCAAACGAUAAGUAGAUGGAGCCCAGAACUCAGUCGUGAAGAUGAUGAAACCACAAGUCCAAAACCAAAAGUUACCAAUGUGAGUAAUUUGAAAACGCCAUGACGAACCGGUCCCGGUUAAUUGAGUACUGGUUUUGAUUUUUCACAUAAAUCUCUAAUCAAAAUUUUGUUUUCACAUCAAUCUCUAAUCAAAAUUUUGUUUUCAGUUUUAGUUGAGAUAGUGAGAUACACAACAUUUGUUUUCUAUAGUCACAAAUCUCAUACGCUUUUGAUUUUAGGUAUCUCGUAAUUUUGUUUGAGCAAGACAUUCUGAAUGGUUGGUUCAUUCAUAUGAAAACAAGUCAUUGUACACUUAUAAAAUGAUAAUUCUCAGUAGCAUAGAGAGAGCAGUGACAACUCACAUAAUCUACAAAACAACAAAGAUAGUGAUCAUAAUCAUCAUCAUACCCAUCCCAAACACAAACACAGAGAGUAUUAUAAAACAAAGCUCAAAGUUAUAUAAUUACAACAACAUAGUCCAUGGUAAGAGUAAUGGUUUAUGCGAGUUGCAUUUAGUUCAGUGAUCGAUAUACUGUUUUUUCCUAGUCAUCAGAUCUCAAAAUGACUAGGAUGAGAUUUGGUCAUCCUAGCCUCACCGGCCGGUUCGUCAUUAUCCAUCCUCUUAACAUUACGGUAAGCCGCAUAGGCGAUCACAUAGAAGAUAACAAGUAUGAUCAAAACCACAAUGUUGAUCACUGAUACUUUCCUCCAACUCUGUUUUAAGCUACCAAGAACACCAGCUUUGCAAGAGCUACACUGGUAACAUAGUAGUCUCUGGUCAUUGUUCCACAACAUACAGUCCGGGUUCGGUCCAAUCAUAUCUCCUCCUGGAAUCCACACCGUCUCGUUCACGUACGUGUAUCCACAUUCUGUUGGCGGCUUGCAACAUCCGGACUGCAGUUUGAGACAAAUAUGUAUCAUAGAAGGUUUGGUUCGUGUUAGACUGGAAGAUAUUUUACUGAAGUAUCACACACAUCAGUAAAAUAUCAAACCAAACCAGAGCAUUCUAGACUCAUUGUAAAUAAGACACACUUCAACAAAUACCCAUUGGAUCUUUCUAUUUUCAUCUAAUACUACUUGGUCACUACUAGGUUUUGCAUGGCGACUACAACUUUCAAAAUAAUAAUGAUUAUAGGUCAGAAUAUGAUGCGAAUAAAUUUUAUGAACAAAAGUACAAAAGCCAGGACUCAGAAUUGAGGAGCCUGACAAAACUACUCAUGACCUCUUACAUGCUAAUUAAAAAUACUUUAUUAAAAUUGAAUAUAAAUAACAAACUUCUAUGUUUUUUGGUUACACAAAUGUAACUAUGUUCCAGACUUCAGUUUACAAAAAAAAAAUCCAGACUUUCAGUUAGGUCGUUCAAGAAGUGUUAACUUUUUAUGUUUUAGAAUAAGACGUGUUAUUCUAAAUUAAACAAACAAACAAAAAAUGAUAAAGAAACAAGUUAAGACUUAAGAGUUUGAAAAUCCAUAUAUCUGUAUUAGAAAACAUUAUACUAAUAAUUUCUAAAUAUUUUGUUACCUCAAUAGGACUAAGCCUUCUGAAGUUAAACAUGAGUGGAGUUUCAGGAACACCGUUUAAACGUCUUCCUAUCUUCCUACAAACUCCAGAAUCUCUAACACACGACCGUAUCUGCCCCCAGUAUCCAUCAUCCGUGACCCUAUCCUUUAACCAACCCGAAUAAUCACCGAGAUAAUAAUCAAGAUACCUCCGGUUCAUCACAAACCGGCCUGAGCCUUUAUCAGUGACGGCGUAAGCAAAGAUGAUGAAACCGAUGAGAGCAGCUAUAACAAAGAACAUGACAAAGAGGUAAAGCCACAUGAGGAACUUGUUACCGUAACAAGCUCCGGCGAAACCGGCUAAGGAGACUACCAUGAUUGAGAUUCCUAUGACGAUGAGUGGCCACUGGAGGAAUCUCAUGCAGUCAGUGGAGUUAGCUCGGUUGCUAAGCCAUAUCCCACCGCCGAGGAUGGGGAUUGAGAGGAGGAAGGUGAUGAAGUUUACGAGGCCUAUAAGAUUGUUACUCGCUCUCAUGGUGUUUUAGAAAAAAAUAAAAGAGUAAUUAAGUUGCUCUUUGUUCUUGUGAGAUUAUGUGUGUGUGUUGUUGUUGAUGCAAUAGCGGUGAGGAAGAGGUGGUGAUGUAAUGUGACUUGCAUCAAAAUAUACACGAUGAGCAUGCUGUUUGACUACGACACGUGGUAAGUGACGGUUAGAUUAUGUAUGUGUGUAUUUUUGGUUAUAUAAACACGUGAAUACGUGAUUAGUGUAAACUGUGUUCACAAACAAGUUUUCUGAAAUACAGGAGAUCAACAAUUCCUAAAAUCAACUCAUUAGAAUUUUUAUUAUAAAAGGUUUGAUCUUUAGCUAAAAUAUUCAUUAGGUAAUGUGUAUGUAACGGCAAGAAUAAAAACAGAUAUUUCAGAGUAUAUUAUUAAGCUGGGCCCUCUGUGUCCUAAAAUGCACUUAACGAUAAAAAUGGAAGCUUUUUAGCUAACGUUCAAAGCUUUGAAAAAGUUUUCCUCGACCGACCAAAUACUAUCAUCAGUCACCUCAAUCCUAACCCCCUUCUAAAGCACGCCUUAUAGUAAAAUCUUAUUAUAUGUAAAUUUUUAAUAAAAUAUUUUUCCAUAUUUUUACUGGUAAGUGAGUGGGCUUGCCGAAAAUAUGAAUGUGCUUAACUUAUGGCCCAUUUAAGCAAGUAGACUUUACGGUUUCUGUCAAAUAGUAUGAAAAUACUUAGUUUCUGAUAAUUGGUUCAGAACUUGAGUUAUUCUGUCAAGUAGAUUUUCAUUUGAUUUUCUUACUAGUCAUACAGUAUAAGCUGCGACCGGAGAGGCAAAACUUAUAUAAAAGUAUAAGCAAGUAGAUUUUAAAUAGGCAGUAAUCAUUUGUUGAUAAAUACGAGUGAUUAAGAAAUAAAACUAUAUAAUAAUAAUUAUUGCAUAUAUAAAAGAUUCCAGGGUCUGGCUGGACCUGGAAAAUGUUUGUACAAACCGGAAAUUAAAAUUCAAAAACUCAAAAACUAUCAAAACGACAACGGAGUACGCUUUGUCUUGCUGCGUUUUGGAAUAAUCUUUUUGUUCUCUUCUCUCCUCUUUCUUUUUCACAGACUACUCACUGCCCGAAGCCACUAACUACUACACACAUUAUUAUCUCUCUCUCACAUCUCUACUGUUUACUCUUGGAUUCCACAAAGUAAGUAAAAAAAAGCAAACUCUGCUUCUCAAAUCUCUCUGUAGCCAUUUGCUCUCUCGCAUUUUCCUUUGACAAAAACUGAAUCUUUACUUCAAGCAGCGUAAGGUGCUCACUCUUUUUUGCUCCUCUGACUUUGGUUCUGUUGAUGAUAGAUUAAAUGUAUGUUUACAGUUCUUCAUACCUGGUGGUCAAACUCUUUUUUUUUCUUUGCUGUUUUGUAAGUUUUUAAGGUUUAAUGUUUAAAGCUAUUACUGUGAUGCACUGUGAUUGUUUGCUAAUGCUUUACUUUAAUCAACCUGAUGAUUGUUUGCUUCACUCAAGUGGUUUUUAUAAAUUAGAUUCUCCUUUUUCAUGGAAAAAAGUUUAUCCAGGAAUCCAAAUAGAUUUUAUUUUUUUGCUUGUCUUGUCUUUGAGUGGAGUAUUUUAAAUCUGUGUACUUUAUAUUAAAACGGUAAGAUGUUUAAACUCAAUAAUGAUUCAUGUAGUAGUUCUUCAACGUCUAGGUCCCCUCCUUUCACGGCAAUAAUGGAGGAGAUGAUGAAAUUUGACCUACAAAAUUACAGUUUAACCCUCAUGAGUUUCAUUUAGGAGUGCAUAUCUGGUAGGGACAUAAAAUGUAAAUCUACCAUAUUGUGUGUUGCUUGUGUAGUUUGUGUGUAGGACCCUUUGGUUACCAACCUUCAUGAUGAUAGGUUGUGAACAUUACAUAGUCAAGAGGAGUUCCCUUUUUUUAUGACUUUAUUAUAGUCAAACAACUUGUGUAGUUAACAUCAAUGGUUUCAAUGUCAAGAUACGAGUUAGUCUUUCAUUAUUUUGUUUGGUUUUAUUUGGGUAAAAACUCCAGAAUGAAAGCUCAGUUAUGCAAGUCUUUGAAAUCAUCUUUUGGCUUUAUACUUUUGGUUCACCUGAGAUUGUGACUCUGCUUGUAUCUCUCUCUCUCACUUUAAAAUAUUGACUCAACUGUAGUAUUCUCCUUUGAGUGAAAUGUUAAAGAGUUUAAAUUUCUUUUGUGGUGUUCUAGAGCUAUGAAUGAACAGAUUCGGUUGUGUAGAGUAGUCUUAAGCAAGAAAGAAGCCAUGCACUUGUUAUAAAAAUCAAAUGGUUGAUGAGGACACAAUCAAACGAAUCUCUAUGCCAACAUAAGAUAAUUAGUAAAGGAAAUGUUUUUUUUUAUUUUAAGCUUAUUCUUUCUUUGUAGUAACUCCCAUCAUGUUUUCUCUGCCAUUGGACUGUUAAACAUGUCUCCAUCUUUCUGCAUUAGAUACUUAUGAGCUCUCUACAAUUCUUGGUGGGACAGGCUCUACAUUGAAGAAGCUGGACAUAUCUUUCCGGUAAACUAAAAAAAGAUAUUCAUCUUGUGCAUUGGAGGGAUAAUAUUACAGUAUGCAGACCCAAAAGGCUAGGUAAAUCUUGGUUUAUCUUUCUAUAUAGUUUCUUUGCAUUUAUGGUUGAUUCUUCUCACCUUGUGGGAGUUGUUUUUCAUAUCUGGAUCUUAAAGGUUUCACUCUUGUGGUCCUUAAUAUUUAUUGCUUCUGUUUAAUCAAAUCAGAUCACAAUACUUCUAUAAGACAACAAAUUAUGACCCUUAGUUAGCUUAUCUAUUAGUAAGAAGAAUUUUUUUUUCAUUCGCUAGCACAGUUUGUUGCAGCUUGGAGUCUUAAUUCCAGUUUGUCGUCUUUUUGUUUUCUAUUUUGGGGGCAGUAAUGGAUCUCCGGAUGUUCCCAAGAAAGUGUCUCCUCGAGCUGCUCGGCCACUGAAGAUUACAGCUCUAGAGCCUGACUCUCCUGCCACUCCUAUCUCAGCUAAUAACAGAACACCAAAGAACAAAAGUCCAAAAUUUCUGGACCGUAGGUCUCCAAGAAGUCCUGUCUCAGAGGUAUGAGAUCCUCUUGUACUAAUCUUCUUUGCAUGAUCCAAGCUAAGCCUUUCCAUCAUAACAUGUUUCUGUAUUGACUUUGAUGAGGAAAAAGUUAGUAUACAUUAAAUUUUGGGAUAUAAAAUUAGGUAGAAACAUUUAAUUUGGAGUAGUUGAGUUCAUUCAAUUGUAUGUUUCUUUCUUUCUCUCCUAGAGAUUUCUGUAAACACUUGCCAUGUUUUGUUUUAAUAACAGAAGAAGAGGCCAAGCAGAAUAACGGAGCUCGAGUCACUAGUCUCACACCUUCAAGAGGAGCUGAAGAAGGCCAAAGAUCAAGCCACAGUGUCCGAGACAUCAAAGAAGCAAGCAGAGGAAGAAGCAGAAGAGUCCAGGAAACAUCUAGAAGAACUUUCCUCUAAGCUCCAGGAGACUCAUAAUCAGGAAUGCUAUUUGAAGUCUGGUGCUAGUGGUGAUGAAAUUGCAGGAUUGGCUUUUGUUGUUGAGGAGAUCAGACAACUCAAGCAUCAGAUUGAGAAUGUGGCUUCUUCUGAAGCUAAUCACAUGAAGCAAGCUGAGCUGCGUAACUCGGAGAUUCACCUUUUGAGAGGAAACUUGAUGGACACGCUUUUCCUUGUUGAGAAUUUUAGAAACCAGCUUAAGGACUGCGAGGUGUCAGAAGCUGAAACGGAGGCUUUAGCCACCGAGACUCUUAGGCAACUGGAGAAUGCUAAAAAGGCAGUGGAAGAGCUGAAGUCAGAUGGCGCAAAGGCUGUUGAGAGUUAUAAGAAGAUGGCUGGAGAGCUUGAACAUUCAAAAUCAAGAAUGGUACUGCUUGAAGGUCUUGUGACUAAAGAUAAAGACUAUGAAGAAGUAUCUUCCUUAAGAAGUGAGGUAGAGCGUCUGAGAGAGGCUUUAGAAGCUUCUGAUAGAAAGGGCCAAGAGGGGAGUGUGGAGGCUUCUUCUCGGUUAAGGAUACAAGCUGAGCUUCAGUCUGAGUUAAAGAUUGCUAGAUCCGAGAUAGAUGAGCUGAAGGCGAGGUUGGUGGAUAAGGAAGCAGAGUUAGAGUUUGUCUCAGAGGAGAAAGAUAACCUAUACCUGAAGGAGACAGAUGUUGAAGCUGAGCUGAAGCAACUAAGGGAGGUGGUGGAGACUUUUAAGGCGGAUGUGAUGGAUAAAGAGACAGAACUCCAGAUAGUUUCAGACGAGAACGAGACGUUGAAGUCAGAUAUCAACCAGAGGGAGAGGGAUGUGCAAGACGUGCUGGUGAAGCUAGGGAUUGCGAUGGAAGAAGCUGACAAGAGUAGCAAGAGAGCGGUGAGAGUGGCUGAGCAGCUGGAUGCAACUCAAGCGUCGAACUCUGAGAUGGAGAUAGAGCUCAGGAAGCUCAAAGUUCAGUCUAACCAGUGGAGGAAAGCUGCUGAAGCAGCUACGGCUAUGCUCUCUGCUGGAAACAACGGGAAGUGUGAUAAAACGAACUCUCCUUACUCUGAGGAUGUUGAUGAUGAAGUGGCAAAGAAGAAGAAUGGGAAUGUGCUUAAGAAGAUUGGUGUUUUGUGGAAGAAGAAUCAGAAAUAGAUAUAAUAAUUAGGUAAAAUCUAGUUCUGAAGUUCAUAUAUUUUUUAGAUUAAUGGUCUCUUUUAGUUCUCUAGAGGAAAUGACUUUCUCUUUGCUCAUCUUGGGUUCUGCUUCUCAGGUACUGGUGAUUUGGAGUUGGAUUAUAAAGAGCAACUACUAUGACUCUGGUAUUGAUGUGAAUUAGUAGUUUGAGGACUAUGUUCUGGAUAAAAAAAACACAUGUUUGAAAAGAUUUGAGUAAUGGUAAUUUUAAGUAUUCAGGAGGGGAAACUGUUAAUUCUGUUAUUGUGGAACUAGUUGACUGUUGAUAUCAAAUGCAACAAAGCCUCCGGCUCACUUGGAAGGUUUAGAAUGAUUACUUGAGCCAACAGUAAGGCCCAACAAGCCCUAUUGAGAGUAUCGGCCUCUGUGUUAUAUCUGGCUCAUCUUUUAUUUUCUGCUAGAUGAGAUGUUUCUUCUUCUUGGUUAGUAAUUGUCUGAUCUUUAUAGUUUCUAUGUUUAUACAAGAAAAUGAAAACAGAAGAAAAUAACGUCACAACAAUUAUUGAUAUUGGUUGAUAAGCCCAAGCCUAGGAGAUGAUCUCUAAAGUAUACAAUAAAAUGAAAUAAAAAAGCACUAAUGCUAAUUCCACAAUUCUAAGAGAUAGUUAAGCAUUUUACGAACCAAAUAACGAGUGGUUAACUGGGUUAUACAUGAUUUAUUCUAUUGUUUGAGCUUCCAUAGUAUGAAUGUUUUGGGUCUAAAGAAAGAUGUAACUAUUAGUAGAAAUGAGAAAGUGGAAGUUUCAUGAGUUUUGUGAUUCAGAUGUUAGAGCAUCAGCAUCAAUGAACCUUGAGGGAGGUUCAUAACUUUAAUUUUUUAUUAUUUUUUUAAAACUUUUCUGUUUGAUUUUUUUUUUUUAAAAAAAAAAUUAAGCGGACCAAUCACGGACCGCCACGUAGCGUGGGGCCUGCGAUACAGUGAUGAACCAGGUUCAUCCCAAUGAACCUGCAAGAGCUGAGUUCACCAAAAAUAAAAUAUUUUAAUAUUUUUUUUUUGGAAAAAGAUGUGAACUUCUGCAUUGAAGGUUCAAUGCAGAUGCUCUUAGGUUUGGUAGAGUUUCACUAACCCGACAUCUACAAUAUGUCACCAUGUCAGUUGUUGAUUGGAUCUUCUCUGAUACCCGACAAAAUCAACUUCAACACCUACAUAUUCUUUUUCACUUGUUCGAUCACUAAACUACGAUAGGUAAUAUACUACAAUGUACUAUUGUAAUUGGCUUUUAUAUGAUCAAUUAGUAUAUAUAUAAUAUAUGUAUGCGUGUUGCUGUAUGUAUACAUAAACACGUGUUUCUGUGUGUAGAGCAACUAGCCAACUACAAACCAACAAAAAUAUUCAAAACAUUCUCUUUAACUCUUAAGUGUCUAUUAGCAUAUGUAAGCAGAUUAGGUUAGGUGAGAUCUUUUCUAGGUAUCGCUCAUCAUUACUUCAGGUCUUACAUUCCCACCUCCAAAUAAUCAAUACUCCCUCCGUUUUUUAAUAUAAAUCGUUUUAAAGCUAUGCACAUAGAUUAAGAAAAUCAUUAAUUUCUUAUAUUUUCGAAACAAAAACAUCAUUAAUUAUUUACCUAACCACAAUUCAACCAAUAGAAAAAUAGAAGAUAUAUUAUCAUUGGUCAGACAACAUUAAUUAUUAAUAAAUGUUACAUAGAAAACCGAAAACGACAUAUAAUUUAGAACAAAAAAAUUUCUCUAAAGCGACUUAUAUUGAAAAACGGAGGGAGUAUAAACUAUUUAACUCGUGAUUUCAUCUGGUACUUAAUUGUCUUUUAAUUGCCUCUUAAAUCUCCGUCUAAAAUCAUCAGCUAGAUAGAUCACUACUAUGUCGCAGUAUUAAAUUAUCAAUCAGUCCACAUUAUACCAAAAUGUGUUUAUAUAAAAUCAUACAACAACAUUACAAAAAUUGAUUAUUUAUGUCACUAAAGCAAUUAAGUAGAUUCACAAAACGGUUAGAGGGAAAUAAGUUGUGAUAAUGAAAGUAAGUUGUGUUUCAAAAAACAAAUCACAAAAAGGAAAAAAGGAAGAUUAAUUAAGUGGAAACAUCAACGUCAUUGCACCAUUAAUAAGCCUCUAGAGAGAUAUAACUAUUAGGAUUCAGUGAGAAAAAUACAGUUUAGGGUUAAACACAAAAUUCAUUCAUUGGUAAAUUAAUUUAUAUCUUCCAGAAACUUUGCAAAUAAAUUAUUUUAAAAAAGAAACAAAGGAAAUGUCUUCAUUUAAAACAUAGGAGUGAAAUACUGAACAUACAAAAGAAAGAAACUCAACAAUUUAUAUGAGAAACAUAAAUAAAACCACCCCAACCUCCCCACCCCCAUAUUGCAAGUUUGAAACUCUUUGAAAGAGCCCUAAUAUAUCUAUAUUUCCAUAACCAUAUAAUGCUAUCCCCCAUCUUUUCUCCCAAUAACUACAAGGAACUCAAACCCUCAAUUAAACCCCAAAUAAAAUUGGGUUUUUAAGUUGAACUACAUCAAAGCACCAGAAUUAAUAUAGUUCAUAUUGGUCCAAAUUUCUUUCCCUGAGUCAAGCUGGUCUACAUGACCACCUCCUCCCAUGUUCAUCAUCCCAAAGCUCUCUCCAUUCAUCUGCCAGGGAAAUCCCCAUAAGACCUUGUUUGGAUCACUCAUGGCCAUAUCCAAACCGCUGCUACCGCUUCCAAACGCAUAACCAGCGUUCCCCUUCUGUUGGCUUGUUCCAAACACACUCUCCAUGUCAGACUGAUGAGAGCUACCGAACCCUAGCUGCGAAGAACUCCCCGGAGGUUGCUUGUUUAGCAAUGCAAAGGCUAAGCUGAGAUCAAUGUGGUCAUUGUUACUAUACCCACCGAAAAUCCCCCCCGAGAACGCUUUGCCGUCGUGGGACGCUGGUUCCGGGGUGGUUCUAAGGCUUCUUGUCGCCGACCGUUUGUUCUUCCGGCAGCCGCCUCCGACGGGAAUGUUCCUUAGGGUUCCGCCUUUGGUCCAAUAUCUCCGACAUGAUUUGCAGAAGUAGCGAGGCUGAGAGAGGCUGUAGUUGUUGUAGUAGCAAAACUUUGUGUUCGUUGAGUCGCAACGUGGACAUCUCACGGCUAGCUCCGGUGGCUGUGGCCUCGCCGCCCCAGUUGCCGGAGAAGGUUUCUUCUGAUCAUGGUCUAAACAUGAUCCUCCCAUGGCUUCUCUUGCUUUGUUAUAAUUCCCAAAAACAUCCUAUAAGAAAGAAAAAAAUAGAAAACACAUCAAGAUUUUAAUUUAAAUAGACAAAACCCGUCAAGGUUUUAGUUCAAAUAAACAAAACCAAUCAAGAUGUUAAAAUUUGUUGAUCUUUGCUGGAGCUUUACCUGUUGCUGUAGCAAAUGAUCCAUAAGAGCUGAAUGUGAGAAGCUCCUGGAAGAUUAUUAGAUGAGUGUGAGUUGUUUAUGUGUAGGAGAGAUGGAGACUGUUUCUUGAGAUAAAGAGAGAUAGAUAUGAGUAUAAAAGUACUACAAAAGGAAAAGCCAAGCAUAUGUAUAUAUAGAUGGGAAUGUGGGAGGAGAGAGGCACAUAAUUGUUGUGGCCUCGAUCCAAAACUAUUUGUAUAAUUUUAUAUUCUUAGAUUUAGUUGAUAUUUGAUAUUGUUAAACAAUAGUCUGAAGAAGAAUGAUGUGAACAAACUUCGGAAGGUGGCUUGGAGACCACAAAGCCGCCGCUUCUGAUUAAAUUAUUAAUGUACAUAAAUUGCAUCUUACUGUCAAUUGAAGUGUUUUGGACCUCACUGAAAUUAUUUUCUGUACACAACACAAAGUUUUUUUAAUAAAAUGUUAAAAUUUUUCAAAAGAAAAUACACAUUGUUACAGCAAGUACUACUUUGUUUUUUACUUUUCCAAAACUGAGGAAAAAUAAUCAGCCUAUAUUCUCACAUAUGCAAUCCAGAUUUGAAAAGCUCUCUCCAGUCUCUUGUCUUGAGUCUUAACAGACAUAAUCCUGUUUUGAUUAGCUUGUCGAUUGUACACAACACAAAGUUAUUGAACUACAUGUUAUAAUAUAAUUAACUCUUAUUCAGUUAUUGAUUUUCUCCUGGUAUACAAUAUAUAUAUAUAUGUGAAAAUACAAAUUUAUUUGUCGGUUUUUAACUAUAAUAAUGUGUUAAGUUGUCGUUAAGUUACUCCACAACAAGGGAUUGGUCAAUAUGAUGAUGAGUUUCAAUCGUUAUCAACAAUAUGAAUUCCAUCUAUUUGAUUCAAGAUGGAAAGUGACCGUACGAUGAUGGAUGAAAGAUGGCGUUCUACGUCUGGUUCCCAAUCCCACACAGUCUCAUGUUCUUAAUUUGUACUGUAAUUUCUGUUUUAUGUCCCAAUGGUCCGCUGAGUUGUCACCUCGUUGGACCCCAUACUCAUCCCGAUGUCUCGUUUCUUCAUUAUGGGACCGAUGUGAUCACCUUCGUGUCGUACUAGAGGAGUGGCCAAACAUCUCUUGUUUCCGUUGUGAUUUGUGAUCCACUAUAUAUUUGCUUAAAGACCAAAAAUCAUCUGUAAUUGAAUAAUUUUGUUUGACACAUGUUAAUAUAAAAUUAGACAGAACGUAGGAAACGCAUUGACGUUAAGAUAAAUGAUUUAUUUAUUGUUUUGAACAAAAAGUGAUUUAUUAAACCUUAUUAUCUAUGGAAAGGUCACUAACGAUAAUAGAAAUUUGGCAUUACCUCCAUCACAUAAUAGAGAUAUAUAUACCUCAGGUCCGUAGGGUUAUCACAUAAUGUCCGGCCGGAGAAUGUGUAGCUCUCAUGAUGUGGUUGCAUCAUCCCAUGGGAAUUUUAAAAUCAUAGAGACACGAAUCACAUAAACACAUCGGUUUUCGGGAAAAGGGUCUUCUAUGAAGACCGAGAUUUGGUCUAAGGACCAUAUCAACAACACCCACGCAUAUCCACCAGUUUUUAUAUUGAGUUAUACAUAAUUGUACUUGUAGAUAAUAUAUACGAUUCUUAAACGUUGUAGUUCGUACUAACUCGUACCAUUACUAAAAAUGGUUGAUUUCUUGUGAUUUUUUUGGGUUGGUCUACUACAAACAUGUUGUUUAUUACAAAAACAAAAACUAUUAGUUUUUAAUGAAAUUGCAGUAUGUUGCAUAUGAUUUUCAAAAAUAUUGCGUAACUUAAAAAAGUAAAAAUCCGUUAUCAAACCCACUUAGCAUACUUUUUCUGUCGUUUUGUUAUAAAUAAACAAAAAAUACAAAUUAACCUUAAGCAAAGAAACUUAAAAAGCAAAACACUAUUGAAACAAAUACUCAUUUAAUAUUUGUAUAUUGAUUAUUUUAAUGAAAAGAUUACAGUUGUUUAAAUCCGUAUGUAUACUAGCAAGCAUCAAAAUCUGAUAUUCAUUUUUCCUUUAGAAAAAGUUUUUUUUAUCACGUUAAACAUAUUUUUAAUCCUAUAAAGUGUAUACUACGGGGCUUUAGGCUUCCAUAUUCCUCAAAUGUUGAUUUUGAUUACGAAUCUAUCUUUCCUGUAUAGAGAUUUAAAAUAAUUUCAAACAUUUUUUUUUGAAAAGAAAAUAUUUCCAAACUUAACACGUUUUGUAUUCGAUAAAUUUAUAUGCUGGGAAAAAGUCAGUUUGUUACUGCCUGUAGUUUUCGUCCAGGAAAUAUGGUGAUUCAUUUCAAACAAUCAUUGGUCUCCAAAUAUAACUGAUGAUCAUUAUGUUUCCCUUUAGACCCUACCUACUUGUGGCUCCAGGUUUCGUCAAAGUAAUCAUGACGAUAAUUUAAAUUUAAUAUCUUUUUAUAUAAUAAAGUUAUUGCACUAACAGUUCAGACAUCUUUCGAUCAUAAACAUUUAUUUUAAUUUGUACUGCCAAUCUAUCGAUUUAAAAUGUCUUUUAUUAUACUAGGUAUAAAGUUUAGUCACAAUUCUAUUAAUUUCAUCAUAAAUCUGCUUUACUUUCUUAAAUUUAGAGAUAACAAAAAAAUAGCGUUUAGUACUUGAUGAUGAAAACAUAAUAUCUAAUUAGUUGAUUUUGUUGUUACAUGUUUGAAAACACACAAAUUUGAUCAGUACUAACUCUUAAAUAAGGGAUUUAUAAGAAAGUAGCAACUCACAAGAACUAUACAGGUUUAGCUGUAAGAAAAUAAGUAAAGAGGAUCAGAAGAUAAAGAUGAUGUUUUAUUGGUUCAUCAAACUAAUAUAAACAUAACAUAAAUCAAAACAUGUGGAGGUCAAGCAACAGGGAUGGGAGUGACAUAACAUGAAUCUUCCAUCCAAAAUCAGCAAUCAGGAAUCGAACACUAUAAUCUGAGUCUAGACAUUAAUCGGAAUGGUAGGACCACGGGAAAAUAGACAUAGAGUUUUGUGGUUGACCAGUCAAUGUUGUUAUAUUUUCAUCAGUUGCUUUAAACAAAGUGACAAAACUGGAAUGUCUUGGGAAACAAAAAGAAAUAAAAGCAGAUCGUAUGUAUUGAUAAGAGAGCUCUCAAAUAUAUGAAUCAUAUUGCAAUCUAUCUCGACGUGAUAGUACUUCUCAUUUAUUAUAGUUUAUAGAGUGAUCCGCUAUCUUAAUUUCUAAGUACUAUUUAUCAUACUCCUAUAUAGAUAUAUGAGUACUUUCUUUUAUAUUGAUAUUCUACUUUAUGGCUCGAUACUUGAAAUAAGUUUUAAAUAUAUGAAUACUAUUUUGGAUGUUUGAUCUUAUCAACUUUGAUUUGGUUUAUCGAGAGUGAAUGGUAAUUGCUAAUAAUGCGAACUGAGUUUUUUUGGGGUGGGGAGUAAAAUAAUGCCAAUUGAGUUGUUCAUGGUAAUAUAAGUUUUUUUUUUAUAAUUCUUAUGAUCAUUAUUAUAUGCCGUAGAUGAUUGUUUUGUUGGUGUAGCUGAUGGUCUAAGCAACUGAUGACAAUCGAAACUUUAUUACUUUUGCUAAAUCAAGUUGGUCCAUCUCAUAAUAAUGGUUGAAAAAAACCGUUGGUCCAUUUCUGCACUAGUAAGUGAACAGUGAUCAAGAAUGGGCUAGAAUUUCUGUUCGAAAAGAUUAAUUUGGACUUUAAAAAUGUAGGUCUAGGAAGUGUUCUUACAAGCUUAGGAAUUGACAUAAAUGACUCAACUUAAACCAACCUUUUCUAAACCUAAUUUGUAGUAUUUUGUUAAGAUAUGAUAGUUUACUACGAGGAGCACUUUGGUAGGAAAAAAAGUUCUGAAAUUUAUGGGAUCUAAAAUAUAUAGUUUUUAAUUAAUUUAGAAAUCAAAUAUUAUUUAUAUAUUAAUAAUUAUGGAUAAAUGCGAAUAUUUUAUUUCGCUGUAAUUAGAACAUCGGUUGUAUACUCGCUCAAAUGACAUGUGAAUCAAAUAAUAAACCCUAACGUCUGAAUUAUAAACGUAGAACCUUGAAACUUCCGGACAUAUAUUCCUUAACAACAGCAGGAACAGAGUGACUGGCCGGCAGUAUAAGUGGGACCUUGAUGCCGGGUAAUUGGGCAACACGUGACGGCAUGGCAAAGGAAUAAUUUGGAGAAAUCGAGGAAAGAUAAAAUGAUAGAGCAAGUGGUUGCAGCCAUAUUGGUUUUGCAUGUGGUGUCUCACUCACAGUCAGGGUUUCAAACUCUUGUAACUUUUUUUCAUUCUUUUUUUUGGUAAACAUGUUAUAAGAUUGCAUUACCAGUUUUUGAGUUUGUGACAGAAGGUACAAAGGAUACUAAUAGCAGAAAAUACAAACACCGAAAUGAAACUACUAAACAACAACAAAAUACAGUAAAGAAAAACACGAUUGAGGACGGACAUCGAAAGACGAAGGAGAGAGCACUCGAGAGAACUUGUGAGAGUUGCAAGAGUACGCAACAAGCAAGCUCAGAAACUCCAUAGUAAGGCAUCAGUUAUAAUAUGAGUCACGAGCCAGUAAUAUUGGCUUGCCCAGGCACUCGCCUCCAAAACAUGACCUCACCACGAAGCCCUUCCACCUGCAGAGAGCAAAGACACCAGCGAGAGCUCGGAGCUCGCAGCAGACGACAAUGAGGCCGCACCAAAGCGGCGAAAUCGACGAACCAGAGCCUGUCGAAGCAGACGACAAUGGGGCCGCACCACUUUUUUUCAUUCUUUGUUUACAUUAUAGCAAGAUCUAUCUAUUUCCAAAUAAUCUCAGACAAAAACUUUAGAAUCAAAUUUUAUUAUACUCUAGUUUGGUUGUAUAUGUAGGCAUAUGUUAGACAAUAUAUAAGACUUUGCUCAAAAAAAAUGACAAGACAUUCAUAUAAUAUAUUAUGUAAUCAUGUUUUCGAUUCCUUUUUAAAAUUAUAAUGUUAUCAUAUAUAUAUGUUUUUGGAAUAGUACAAACUUAGUAAAAAAAUUGUUUAAUUUUGUGUUGUAUUAUUGGCUUAUUAAUGUUCUUUCAGUUAGAACUGUUUUAGUUUCUUACAAAAACAACUUGCAUGCUCUGAAAGUUAAGAACACUAACCAAGAGCUGUGUAUAAAAUAAACGAAAGAAGAUUUAGGAUCGGAUUAGAGAUUUUGAGGCACUAUUCCCAAAGGGACCCCGCAUAUAUUCUUGCCUCCAUCUUCAAGCAAAGCAUCAAAGCGUAGAUUCCCAUGCAGUUCUUUCUUUUUAGCUGUUGUUCCCUUUUUAUUUAAUUUAAUAGUAGCUCUUUGGAGCUUUCUUUUGUUUGUUUCCACUUUAGUGAAAAUUUCUCUAGAUUUCAGAAAAUGGAUUCGUUUUUACGAUCUGUAUAUUUUUCAUUCACUCAUUAAGUUUUGAUUGGUAUUAUUAGAAUGUGCUCUUCUUACUCAAACUUAUGGUCUCUUUUCUUUAUCUCUUUCUUUUGUAGAAAGUUUUCUUUCAUCUUGUUUUUGUUUGCUUUCGUCUAUAUCAAGCUAGUUUCUCCAAAGUAAAAUGUAUACAAUUUGCUUUCAAAAUUCAUUUCAAAAAAAUCAUUUUAAAAUGUACUAUAUGGCUUAACAAAAAAAAACUGUCUCAAAGAAAUAAAUUUGUAAAUAGAAUAGGUUUUUGAUUCUGUUUAUAAAUAUCUAAAUAGGUAAAUUAAAUUAUAAAUUAUUAAACGAAAUUUUCUUUUUAUUCAAAAAAACAAAGAAUAAAAAAAACUUUUCCUCACUUACAAUAAAUCAUAAACUUUGUUAUAAUGAAAAUGUGUUAUCGACAAGAAUUUAAAUAAUCCCAUCAGUUAUUCAGUUUACAUAUAGUUUUUCAUUUGUUAAAUUUGUCUGAUAUGAAUGUCUUUUACAAAAAUGAUGUCGUCAUGUAGACGCGUCACUGGUUCGUGUGAUAAAAAGCAUCAGAUAUUGCAUUUUCUACCGCGGGCCUGUAAUAACUUUAUCACAAUGUAGUAAUUUGGGCCGGUGGGCUUAACUACACAUAUAGGAAAUAUCAAAUGUUAUUGUUCAAAAAUAAAACGAAAUAUCAAAUGUAAAAUCAUUCAGUAAAUUCUCUAAUUCAUUUACUCACUCUUCUCAGAGAUCAACCUUCUGAUCAACCCCAGUAUCUCUUCUCUCAAACGGUUAGCCAGAUCCGGUACAGUCUCCUUCACAUCAGUAAACCACAACUCAUCCCGGUUCUGCACUCCUCCAGAGCUAAACCAUUGGCAUAUAACCUGAGCGAUUGCAAGAAGGUAAACACCACAGUCGUACCCAUUCCUCUGCUGCGGUGUAUCACUGCACUCUCUGUAUAUCGCAUCUCCAUCAGACACAAACGGAGAAACCGCUUCGAAGAGCUGUUUUGCACUCCAUUUAUUCAGUCCCAUCAAGCUGUCGUGAUGAAAAAACGAGUUGGCUUCUUUGUAAUACACGAGUAAGGUCCAGUGUAAUCCUCCUUCGGCUAGCUCGACAUUGGUGUUGUCGUUUACGGGGAAUAUCAGGAGGUCGCUGUCGCGUAAUCCAAGGGGUUUGAUGAAGUCUUUGAGUGAUUCGGUGUCGGGGCAGUUUGAGAUCCAGAAGGCAAUGGAGGGAGGGAUCAGUGAGAUGGCAGAGGAAGUGUGGACCGUGGAUAAGUAGCUUAGGUAGAACUCGAUGACACGGUCGUUAAGAAAAUUGGGUCCGUUUAGGAUGUCCAAAUCUGAUCUCCGGAGGACAACAUCGUUGUAGCUAAGGAUCUUGUCGUCAUCUGAACUGUAUCCCAUGGCCGACAGUGGAGGAAUCUAUAAUAAAUCUGCAAUGUGCAAAUGUCAAUGAGGCAACCUUUAUGUAAGCUAAUAUCAAGAAAACAUAUACAGUUAGCGUGCGUAGCAAGACAUGCAUCAAAUAAAUACAAACCAGAACAUUCGUUGAGGCUUUUUGUCGAACAGUUUGCGUUCAUUAGAACAUUUUUUUUCGUACAAAAAUCACGCAAACUAAUGAAUCAACAGUUACCUUGAAUCUCUUUAAUCUAUACGUGAUGCCUCCUGAAAAAGGAUCAGAUCAAUCCACGGCUUGCAAAAGGAACUGUAAUCUGAGUUAAAUAAUAAUAAUAAUAAUCCCAGAAAGAAAGAAUGAAGAGAAAAAUGUGAAGAAAGGAAAGUUGAUUUGGUGUAUCAAAUGGAAAAGGAAUCUAACUUAAGGCCCAUGAGCCCAAUAUUGGAACUUCUUAGAUGCGUUUCAGCUUCCAGUCGCGUUGUCCACAAUAAAUGCUUUCAUUCAACAAUUUAUUACGUUAUUUUCUCUCUCAAUCUUCUGAAUUUUGAAGGAGUUUUAAAACGCAUAAUUGCUUCCUUUUUUUUAACAACUUUAAUUUAUUAUUGCUUCCUUAUGUGUGUAUGAUAUUCAAAUCUUCUAAUGCAUAUUUUCACGUAAUUGAUUAAUUUGUAUCUUGAUAAAAAAAGAUAAAAUUUUAGUUGUUUUAAAAGUUAUUAAACUGUAAUAUGAAAAUACACAAAAAGAAUCUCUGGAUAAUUGAGUAUUAAACUUUAAUGUUCCUUUGUGUCCGAGUUUAGUUUGAUCUUUCAACUUGAGAUUAAUCUUUCAUUUUCACUUAACAAAACUGAUCUUGUAAUUUGAUUUUCUACUAGAAUAUGUAUGUUAAGAAUAUUCUCACUAAGCUUUCCCUUUGUUCUUAUCCUUUUGCAGUUUUGUUAAAUCAAUUUUUUUGUCUUUUUAAUAUUUUCUUUGUUAUGGAUUUUUCAAUCGAUUUUUUUUUUGUUUCAUUCUAACAUAUAAAAAGAAAGUCAAUUUAUUUAGGCAUAGACAAUAUUGUAUUCUUUAUUGAUCUGGUCAGUUCUCUCCAAGUGAACGGAUCCGUGCCCAAUGCAGGAAGGCCAAGAGGUCCUCAAGGAAACUGGUGAAUCAUUUUUUUAUAUACAGAAGAAAGCACAUUUUAACCAACAACAUCAUUACAAUAACACAAAGAUCUUUUACUGUCAAACUAUUUUUGCUUUUGAACUAUACAAUUCACAGUCUAAUCCAUCUACGAUCUAAGAAACCUGAAUAAACUAUCAUCUUCUUUUCAUAUUUAAUGAAAAUAAGGAUAUAAUAUAUCGUAAUACACAACCUUUUUCAUUUUUAAUUUGGUUAAGGAAUUUCCUUUGUUAUAUGAAAACCGAAAAUGAUAUUAGAGGGUAGAGGCUCCAUCAUGUAGAUGGGGAGAUCAUUAAUUGAACUAUGUACAAUACAACAAAAUUAAGUGAUCUCAUUAACGAACUUGAUAUUGUACCAAUAUGGAAACUAUAUGAAAAAUAGGAAACACAUUUCCCUCUCCCAAGUAGAAAGUUUAUUAAUAAUAGAGAGUAAAGCUAUAAUUUAACAUCUCCGAUGAAUUAUAACUAAUCAAUCUGGUUAAGGAAUUUCCUUUGUUAAAAACGGAAAAAGGAAACUGGAGACAACAUGUGGUAUGCGGAGAUGGUUGGUAUAUUGUACAACAAAUAUGUUCAGGUAGUGAAUAAUCUACGUUUGACGAAUUAAUUAAAAGCCAAACCUGAAUAUGAAAACUAUAUAGCAAACAAAAACGCAAAAAGGAAAUUCUAGUGGUUUAUAUUCCUUUUCCUAGUAAGAAAACAAAUACAAUCUCUCUAACAAAGUAGUAUAAAUAUAGGUCAUUAUUACUCACCUUCACAGAUUCAAUCCAACAAAGCAUCCUAACACUCGAACAUCUCCAAAAGAUUAGUUUCAGUACAAUGGUAAUGUCCGAUAAUAGUCCGUUCUCCAUGUCGACCAUGUUCAAUGCUUUACAACAAAUCCACCUCUCAAAUACGCGCUUAAAACGGCUCUUUAACCUAAUGACUAGUUGUGAAGGCGUGGGACAGUUUAAGGAUCUGAUCUCAACGUUUGACCAAAGCCAGCUUCAGAUGAUGGCGUCGUUGCUGACGUCAGACUCCGAGUACUUCAUGGAGGUCGUCAGAAACAAGUACGGGUCGAGACGCGUGCAGAAGCUCCUCGGAGUAUCAGUUGACGUGGACGCGUUAUUCUACGAUGCUAUCUUGCAACGCUUCUUCGACAUCAUGACCGACAAGUACGCAUCCUACGUAGCGAUUCGAGCUGUGGUCGUUUUCGACCAGGUGAAGAAACAUGUGAUGUACAAGCACGUUCUCCACUACGCGCUCGACAUAGCGCGUUACCAAUACGGCUGUGUCGCGCUCAACGAGGUUAUAAUCGACGCGGAUGAUCCUUUAUACAGGAACCGGUUACUAGACGUAGUCGCGCGCAACGCUCUCUUCCUAAGCAACGAUCUUUGGGGGAACUUUGUGGUCCAACACGUGCUUAAACUGUAUGACUUGCGUUGCACGCACAACGUGGCGGUAAGUCUUCGUGGCCACUGCGUUGAUCUGUCGUUUAAGAAGUAUGGAAGCUACAUCGUGGAGAAGCUCUUGGAGGCUGAGGUGUCGAUGGGUAUGGUGGUUGUGGAGCUUUUGAAGUGCGAUAGAGAUAGGUUGAUGAGGCUGGCGAGGAGUGAGAUUGGGAAUUUCGUGGUGCUCAAGGCACUGGAAGUCACGCAAAAGAUGAAUAGGGUUGAUUUGUUUAGGGAUCUGGUGCAGAAGCUGAUGCCUCUUCGCCACCUUUUGCUUAGGUCUCACGGAAGCAACAUUGCAAACAUCUUGGAGUCAUGUUCCAUAGCUAAUAGGUGUUCAAAUUAAAAGUUUUCGAUUGUGUUAUGGUUGAUUAUAGAAUUCUGGUUUAAAGUAGAUUGUGAUUUUUUGUGCAAGAGGAUCCUGAUUUAAUAAAAAAAAAAAAAAAUUCUGAGUACAAUAAUUGAAUUAAAAAAGUGAUGGAAGACAACGAUUGCAUGCAGUAAUUCAACAUUAUAGAAUUUUCAGAAGUAUUCAUGAUAAAUUUGCGUUAACAAAAAAAAAAAAGAGAAUCAUGAUAAAUUUGUAGGACAUACGGGCAUAAAUAUAGUUCAACUGCUCAACAGUAAUAUUUUGAUUUCUUUUCUCUUUUUAUAUAUGUUUUUGCUAUAACAAUAUGAUUUUGUAUAAAAUUAUGUUUGAGAAAGAAAAAAUUUGUCUUAGAACUAAAUUGAAUUACAGUUUUCAAUAGAAAAACAAAUAAGAAGCGGCGACACAACUUCUAUCUCUGUUACCAGUGGACUUGGACACUUGCAUGCAUCAACAAGGCAACCAAACAUCAACAUCUUCAGCUCCUGCAAUAGAGAAAACAUCUUUAUUACCGGUCAAAAUACUAUCAAACCCCGUGGAUAAACUAACAUAACACUUUAUAAGAUAAAAGUUUACCUUUUGAGUUCAAAAAUGCUCUUGGUGAAAUUAUGUUGGGGCCAUGCAUCUUCACUCAAUAGCAUUGGAAGCAGUUUUUGAUGAUUCUUCCAGCAACUUGGGACCAACCAGAGCAAAUCCAACAAAGCAGAAAACCUCUCUUCAUGCCAGAAUUACAUCCCAUAUGUUCUCUUAUACACAUCUCCCGGACUUGGAAUCCGAAAAUUCGGUUCUUCAUAUCCGUUGUUGUAUAGGCUCCCAUUGAAUCCCAACCGUUCAUUCCUAAGAAGCUCGGCCAUGCCUAGAGAGUUCACACUUUGGCCUUCAUUCCACUUAUCCCAGUGACCAUUAGACAAGACUGGAUUUGCAGAUGGUUGUUGUCUUGGGUGCUGUGAGAAAAGAGAUAAAUUACUUCCAUGUGCCUGAUGGUCCAUUAGCCUUGAGCUAAAUCCGUAAGUUUCUGCAAGUGAAGGAGAUAAGUUUCUGAGAUCAUGAUGAAACCCAUUGACUUCUUGUUGUGCAGCAGACAUAGACUGAUGUCUCAACAUUUGGAGUCCUGUCUCGUUCCCAAAGGAAUUCAUUUGUGAUGAGAAACUUGAUCUCAUAUCCAAGUCUGCAUUUACCAUCCCUCUUCCAACAGCUAGUAUAGCAGGAUCCGCAAACUCUAUAUCACUCGCACCACUCGGGUUCCCAACUGGAGGCUGUACUUGAUAUGUAUUCCUCAACAUGGCAGCAGAGUCAAGAAAACGAGUUCCUAAGAUACAAGGAAGCAUGAGAGUUUUAGUCUGUAUCUGUAGCAUCAGUCGCACACUAAGCUACCACAAAACAGAGGUAAAGAACUACCUGGUGCCGUAUCUGAAGAUAGGCCCACUCUUUCAAGUGAAGAGAAGCCAGGAGGAGGUAACCUGCUGGGGGCAGAGAAUCCUGGGGGAGCAGAAACUUGAGGUCGUGAAACUGCUACAGAACAACAGAAAAAAUAUGAGAAAAAGAUUCAAUCCAAUCAAGAUACAAAGGAAAUUCAUCAACGAUAAAUACUAACCAGGAGUCUUGUACGAUGAAAAUAAAGGACUAGCAGAAACAUUAUCUAAUCCACCGGAAUAGUUUGAAGCAAAUCCAUUUAGAUUCCCGAGAUUACCCCGAUAAAUAUCUCGGCUAACUACAGACUCUUGAAUAGGCCUCUCUCUUGAAAACUGCCCAUAAAUGCUAUGGUUCUCCCUGUCAAAUGCUUGAUUACUAGAUUCUUGUGCAAAAGAAAAUCUAGACUGGCUGUUAUGUUGCUUUAGGAGGUUUGAAGGUUUCACAGGACUGGAUCGCUGAUCAACUUUACCGAGUAACUCAGCCAAAUUGUGGGGUGAAGUUAAGGAUUCAUCCCAUGGAUCAAAGUCGAGUGACAAAAUGUUUGAGAUUAUUUCAUCCUCUGCACUGCGAACUUUGUUCCUGCCUUCAUUAGCAAACAGAGAGUGAUCCACAUUGAACAUGGAUUUCUCACCAAACCCAUUUUGAAGAUGCAACCUAUCACUGCCUCUAUCCGAAGGGAAUCUCAAGUUUGAACCGUUUACACCUGAAGCUUCAGAAGGCAGGGAAGAACUAGACAAAAACCGCGAGUGGGUAACAUCCUCUUCACGGUGAUGCCUUUGGCUAUCAAAUGAUGACAUAUCCUCCACAUCCAAUUUUGAGUCGACUUUUAUUUGUGAUUGCAAAUCUAAUCUCCAAUCCCACUCUGGCCUUGUGCAGGGAACCCCAGUCUCUGAUGGAAAAGAUUCUUCAUCAGUGUUUAUAGAGCUAUCCAUCUUACAUUGCUCUAGCUCUGGCAACUUUGAUACUUCAUGAUCAGAUUGUCUAUUAGAAUCUUGAUCACACUCACUACUAAUCGCAAUAUCAGGACGGUUAUCUCUGGAAUUUGCAGUCAUCUCCAUUUGUGAAACACCAACAGACAAGUUGCCUACAGUAGGGCCAUCUUGUGUAACAGUAACACGCAAGUUUCCUACAGUAGGGCCAUCUUCUACACCAUCCUCUGAAUCGUCAGACGAGUUCACAGCAGCUAAAGGCUUGUCAAUGUCUCUGCCAUCGUAGGAAGAGUCGGUUGAACUGGAUAACCGAUUGCUAGGAGAAUCUCUAUCAGGUGAGGUGGUUCUCUUGGACCCAGAACCAACCACAACAUUAUGCUGCAAAGGCUUCAAAACCCUAAGCUUGCUUUUGUCAACAGCUUUUUGAUUUUCUUCUUUGCCUGAUGGUCUUUUAAGAAUGUUACUAGAGGAUACAGGCCCAUGAGCUGCGUUUGCAACAACAGCAGAGAAGGCCAAGGUUCCAUUUACUGGGGUCGCUCUUUGUAUAUCAGAAGAUCCAUUUGAGGUAACCGAAGUUGCUAAAGACAGCUGGUUUGCAUUAUGUGUCCCCCUGUAACAGAUAUCCCUAUUUUGUUAUAUUGACCCAUUCAAAUACCUCGCAUAAAAAAGCAGCAAGUGAAAAACUUACCAUGCCGCUGCAGCAGGAAGAGCAGUGGAUCUGCUAGAGCUCCCACUCCCACUAGGUGGAGAAUACCUGGGAACACUUACUGCAUUCUGCUCAUAGAAAAAAAUGAGAAAUGAAAAUAGUAAGCUUAGUCAACUGAAAUGAAUUUAUAAGCUAGUCAUGUCACAUCAUUAAGUUAGUCACCAAUUAGAAUUUAACAAACAUAAAACCUUCCGAUUUGUAAUAUUUUGUUGUUGGUUUUGGGGCCGUUUGAGGCUUGGAAGAGUAUAUGGAAACUAAAGCUUCUAGGAGAUGGUAAUAAAAUUUAAAUUGCACAUAAUGUCAGAAGAACUGUCACUUAACUGAACUUACACUUGAAGGAAUUUUUGCAAUUGGUUUAGCAGAGGAACUGUCACUGCAAAAAGCAUCUAGUGGUGGAGGUAGCAUGAUCCCUGAACGGUGCUGCAGAAUGUUUGUUGCUCCAGUGAUUUGCUGAACUCUACUCCUUCAAAAGUACUAUAAGACUUCAGCAAGCCAUCAUAUUACAUAUAUACUAGUAAGGUAAAAGAUCCAAGAAAGCGAACAAUCAUGAACGCAAGACAGAAUUAUAAAGGUUAAGAUGAUAAACGUACCUUGUAUGGGAAGAUAUGGCCUCAUCUUUUGUGAAACUAUCCUCUUGUGAACCGACCUCGUGCAGAUAGAGACAAUCAGGAUUAACACACGCCUGGAAACAAAAACAUGCAAUUAAUCAUUACAAAGACAUCAAUCUCAAUUUUUUAUCUGAAAAGAGGUAACCAAAAGAAAAACUCAGGGGGUCAGAAAGUAGAACAAUAAUCUAGGGAAGGCGUACCGCAUUUCUCAGCCAUGCAUGACAAUACUUGGUUGUCCCAAAACACGCCCUGCAAUAUAUAUAUAAAAAUACAUCUUAUCCACAACUGAAUGAAAACAAACUAAAAACACCAAAUACAUAGUUUCAAACAAAAAAAAGGAAGCGAGUCAAAACUUACUUCAGUGAUUUACCAUCCAAGAUAAACCCAUGAACAGCCUGGAUGCAACGGACAGCCUCUUCCUCUUUUGCAUAAGUAAUAUAUCUGAAUAAUAAAAAAUAUUACCAGAUGAGUACAAUAAUGACAAGCAAAAACUCAAUGAACUUUAUGAUAAAAGGAAAAAUUUUGGCUGACAGAAACGCACACACUGCAUGUAUCAUUCGGGAAUAGUUGGAUGGCACCAGAUGAUGUUCGGGACAUGGAAACCUUCAGAACUUUUCCAUACUGACCGAAAUAUUCUUUAUGAUAGAGUAGCUGCAAGGAAAAUGGAGCCUAGUCACAUAGCAAUUCACAAAGAAAUGAUAAAAAGGGUGUAGUGUAGAUAAGAGUUAUCAUACAUCUUCAUCUGCUAGAUUAAGGGGCAACCCGACAAUGUAAACAAGAUUCCUCUGGAUGACGCGCACACUAGUGAGUUGCUUUCUCCCUUCAGAAGGUUUUGAUUUUGACUUUUGAGUCUUCUUGCGCUCCAUGUUGGUUUCAAAGGCCAGACUGACAACAGCCAUUAUAAGCAAAUCAGUAAAAGAGAGCGUAAAGAAAGAUUAUCCCAUAAAUAUAAAAUUCACCGAAAAAAUCAAGUGUUAGAACCUGUCGCAGUCAACAGUCAUCCCUACAAUCUUUUCUUUGUCAUAUGGAGUGCGACAAGCAGGACAACGCCCUUCUAUCUGAUCUUUCUCUGCCAUGUCCACUAUGUGAUGCCAGCACCAAACACAAAUCUGUAUCACAUACAAAAGAAAUCAUUAACAGAGCAAAGUUCAAUGGUCAAUGAGGCCAAAAAAGACGUGCAUGCUUCAUGGAUAAAUUGCGGCAGAAACUUUGAGCUAAAAGCUAAAAUGUUAUGCUGAUUAUUGCUACUGAACACUGAUAACAUGUAAAUAAACAGAAGAUGGGAAGACCUGAUAGCCGCAUUUGCAAGGCUUCAAUUGCUGAUCAGUGAGAUCCAUCUCUUCAGCACAUAGUGGGCAAGUCUUCUCUCCUUGGUCGCUCAUGGUUGUCUACAAAAAGAAUUCGAAAUAUAUUACAAAAGCCAAACUAAUAAAAGACUGAAAGCACGAGCUCAGCCACCAAAUCUAGCUAAAAAGGCUAAACUUUUACGAUUCACACAUCCACAAAUCCUGAUGUGGAAACCUAAACUCGCAUGGAGGUUGUUUGGUAACGUAAAGAUAAACAUUUUCUAUGCCAUAAACAUCACUUAUCAUCAUCAGAAGAAAUAAAACUCAAAUGCAAAUUCAGCAUAUCCCCAAUCAAACCCUAAGAGUCUAUUACUCAUCAAAGCUAAUUAGCUCUAAAUAUUCAAACUUUCAGAUCGAUACUAAGAAUUAAAACAAAAAAGGAAUCUACGAUGAAGAGCUCCUAGGAAUCGAUCUGCGCACGCACCGUGCCCGAUUCAAUUUACAUCGUUCAGAUAUAAACAUAUGAACCAAUCCAAAAUCUCAAAUCAUAAUUUUACGAUCUAAACUAAUAAAAAAAAAUGAUGAUCCAAUUAAAAACCCAGAACUAGGGUUUUGAAGAGAAAGAGAGAAACAUACGAAUUGAGAAAAGAUUCGAUCGGAGAUUUUGCAGAGGGAAGAAGAUUGGUGAGAUGAGGAGGAAAACGAAGCUGGAGAUUUGCGAGCGAAACAGAGAAAUUGGAUGGCUGUGAUUUUGGGGGAUGUGAGAUUUCGCCUUUUUUUUUAACCCUUGAUCUCUCUGCCAGAUCCACGUUGCUGUCCGGUUCGGUUUUAUUACUAGAUUCUGUCCGGUUGUAAACCGGUAGAUUUCAGCCGGUUUUUAGGCGUUUUAUGUUAUUACCAAAAAUUUAAUGACAGCAUAUUAAGAAGUAACUUUGCAAACUUGACCAUGUAAAAAUUAUUAUGGAGUGGAUAAUGGAGUUAUUAAAUUAUUUAAAUAUAUGAAACUGAGUGGACGUAUAAUUAAUUAAUUACAGCUUUGACCCACAAUAAAGAAGAAUCAGUUUCAACAUGCCAUCAAUUGAAACAAAAGACUGGUGAAGGAGGGGGCAUUGAUCGAUUGAACUUUACAGUAUGAUUUCCAACAUAAACGGCUCUCUCAGUCACUCGUAAUUAUGAGCCUACAUAUUCUCUAAGAUACUUUUGUUGAGCAAAUCAAGCGUUACACAUUAAUGUUGCUACAAGAGUUAGGCACCAAAGAGAAAGAGAGAGAAGAUACUUGUUGGAGUCUUGAGCAAGACACAUAUCAUAAAGAUAACAAGACUGGGAAUGCGGUUUCAGUAUGACAUUGUUAUUUAAGCCCAUUUCUCUUUUUGUUCUGUCUUCCUCUACUUGUUUUCUUUCACCACAUUGGUCAUAUCUUGAAUCCAAGUAAAAGUAGUAAGUGUGUACCGUUAAUGUUUUCUUUUGCCAUUUGAAGCAACAAGCGUUCCAAGCCUGUGUGUUUAUACUGCAAAAAGGCACAAUCGCUGAAGCAAGCCAUGAGAUGGAAAGAUAUAAUAUUCCUUUUUUUUUUGCUUUCUUUUUUCUAUUUAGAAAGAACUUGUCUUAUCUUUUCACUUCUCAAAAUAAAUUAAGAUCAGAGCACAAAGAGGUGACAAUGAACAGAGGUUUCUCUUCUACUCUCUUCUCUGUUCUUGAUUCAGUGAAUUCAAUGUGGCAAACUAUUGACUGAUCUCAAGCUGAGUUUGAUGUGGGAAAUAGGCUACAUUAAUUUGGUAUAUUAUACUUUUCAUUUCGACGCGCAUGAUAUGAAGGGGUAAAUUUUAUACUUCAUUUUGUUGGAGUCAGUAGCUAUUCCAUCUACGUACGGUUAUAAUCAUUACCCUUGACAUCAUUUUAACUGAGGCGACCUCUCUUGUAAACCGAUGCUUCAUCUUUGUUGACCUCCUAUGAAAGCAUCAUCUCCACCUCGAGAUGAUGUUGUGAGUGAGGGAUCACCCAAUUUUUUUAUAACGACGGAUCACUACCAGAACUACUCUCCUCUGAAAUCAAAGAGGUCUUCCGUAUGUACAAACUUGCUUCAUUUUUAUGUUAAUUCACAUAUUUAUAAUAAAAAAAGGGGGUUUUCCCUUUAUCACUAUGUGCACAUGAAGGUGAUAUUGGCCCGCUAGUAUUCCCACCUUUUAUGAAUAGUAAUUUCAUGCAUUCGAAUAAUCUGGAUAAACAUAUUAGCUAUAACCUUACGGUGCCUGAUAUUUUAUUUUCACUGCCUACUUGAAAAGUGGAUAUCAUAAGUUUAUAGUCUUUUUAAUAGCUGUUUACUAUAUAUAUUUAAUUAUACCCAUAUAGAGUUAUCACCUAGAUGGACUUUUGUGUAUGAGAAUAAUUGGUUAUUGGUUUAUUUAUAAAUUUAGUUAGCAAUAAGCUUAAUAUUAACCCAUCAAAUAAAAAUAACUCUUUGUUUUUGUCCCUAAUUACGAUUUUAAAGAAAGUUGAGAGCAAAGAUAUAAUUCAAAAUCUAAUCCAUCUCCGAUGAAUUAUAAUUAAUCAAUCUGGUUAGGGAAUUUCCUUUGUUAAAAAACGGAAAAAGGAAACUGGAGGCGACAUGUGGUUUCAUCGACAUAUGUACAACAAAAUAUAUUCAGGUAGUGAAUUAUAUAAUCUACCUUUGACGAAUUAAUUAAAAGCAAAACCUGAAUAUGAAAACUAUAUAGCAAACCAAAACGCAAAAAGGAAAUUCUAGCGGUUUAUAUUUCCUUUUCCUAGUAAGAAAACAAAUACUCCCUCUAACAAAGCAGUAUAAAUAUAGGUCACUACAGCCCUUCACAGCAACAAUCAAACAAAGUAUCUCUCGAACAUCUCCAUAAGCUAUAGUCAAGAUUAGUUUCUGUACAAUGGCACCCGACAACAAUCCGUUCUCCAUGUCGACCAUGUUCAAUGCUUUACAACAAAUCCACCUCUCAAAUACGCGCUUAAAACGGCUCUUUAACCUAAUGACUAGUUGUGAAGGCGUGGGACAGUUUAAGGAUCUGAUCUCAACGUUUGACCAAAGUCAGCUUCAGAAGAUGGCGUCGUUGCUGACGUCAGACUCCGACUACUUCAUGGAGGUCGUCAGUAACAAGUACGGGUCGAGACGCGUGCAGAAGCUCCUCGGGAUAUCGGAUGACGUGGACGCGUUCUUCUACGGUGCUAUCUUGCAACGCUUCUUCGACAUCAUGACUGAUAAGUACGCAUCCUACGUGGCGAUUCGAGCUACGGUCGUUUUCGACCAGGUGAAGAAACAUGUGAUGUACAAGUACCUUCUCCACUACGCGCUCGACAUAGCGCGUAUACAAUACGGCUGCAUCGCGCUCAACGAGGUUUUAACCGACGCGGAUGAUCCUCUCUACAGAAACCGGUUACUAGACGUAGUCGCGCGCGACGCUCUCUUCCUAAGCAACGAUCUUUGGGGGAACUUUGUGGUCCAACACGUGCUUAAACUGUAUGACUUGCGUUGCACGUACCGCGUGGCGGUUAGUCUUCGUGGCCAUUGUGUUGAUCUGUCGUUUAAGAAGUACGGAAGCUACAUCGUGGAGAAGCUCUUGGAGGCUGAUGUGUCGAUGGGUAUGGUGGUUGUGGAGCUUUUGAAGUGCGAUGGAGAUAGGUUGAUGAGGCUGGCGAGGAGUGAGUUUGGGAAUUUCGUGGUGCUCACGGCACUGAGAGUCACGCAGGAGAUGAAUAGGGUUGAUUUGUUUAGGGAUCUGGUGCAGAAGCUGAUGCCUCUUCGCCACCUUUUGCUUAGGUCUCACGGAAACAAAAUUGCCAACGUCUUGGAGACAUGUUCUAUAGCUACUAGGUACUCAAAUUAAAAGUUCUCAUAUUGUUCUAUACUGAUGAAUUCUUGUUAAAAGAAGUUUGUCUUUGGUUUGAUCUUUUGUACAAGGAUCCAGAUUUAAUUCAAAGUAGACUUUUUUAUUCUUGAAAUCAAAAGUGAUGAAAGAUAACGAUUACAUGCAGUAAUUCUGACAUUUUAUACAAUAUUCAGAACUAUUCUUGAUAAAUUUGUAGGAAAGACGGCCAUAAAUGAUAGAUAGUAAUAUUUAGAUUUUUUUUUAAAUGAUUUUGCUAUAACAAUUUGAUUUUGUAUAAAUUAUGUUUAAAAAAAACCUUUAUUGUCUACAGAACUAAAAUGAAUUACAGUUUUGAAUAAGAAAACAAAUAAAGAGGUGGCCGGCCACACAACUUCUACCUCCGAUGCCCUUUCGCCACCUUUAGCGUAGGUCUCACGGAAGCAACAUUGCAAACAUAUUGGAUACAAGAUGCUCAAAUUAAAAGUUUUCGAAUGUUGUAUGGUUGAUUGCUGAAUUCUGGUUUAAAGUAGAUUGUUAUUGAAUUUUUUGUACAAGGAUCCUGAUUUAAUUCAAACAGUGUGGCUUUUUAUGUACAACGAUUGCAGGCAGUAAUUCAAACAUUAUACAAUUUUCAGAACUAUUCAUGAUAAAUUUGUAGGAAAGACGGGCAUAAAUAUACUUCAACAGUAAUAUUUCAAUUUCUUUUUAUAUAUAUGUUUUUGCUAUAACAAUUUUUUUUUGUAUAAAAUUAUGUUUUAGAAAAAAAAACUUUAUUUUCUGUAGAACUAAAUUGAAUUACAGUUUUGAAUAAGAAAUCAAAUAAGAAGACACAACUUCUACCUCUGUUACCAGUGGACUUACAUUUACAUGCAUCAACAAGGCAACCAAACAUAACAUCUUCAGCUCCUGCAAUAGAGAAAACAUAUUUAAUACCGGUCAUAUAUACUAUGGAUAAACCAACAUAACACUUGAUAAGAUAAAAGUUUGAAUACCUUUUAGAGUUCAAAAAUGCUCUUGGUGAAACUAUGUUGGGGCCAUGCAUCUUCACUCUGCGCAGCACUGGAAGCAGUUUUGGAUGAUUCUUCCAGUAAAACUUGGGACCAACCAGAGCAAAUCCAACAAGUAGAAUACCUCUCUUCAUGCCAGAAUUACAUCCCAUAUGUUCUAUUAUACACAUCCCCGGGACUUGGGAUACGGAAUUUCGGAUCUUCAUAUCCAUUGUUGUAUAGGCUCCCAUUGAAUCCCAGCCGUUCAUUCCUAAGUAGCUCAGCCAUGCCUAGAGAGUUCAAAUUUUGGCCUUCAUUCCACUUAUCCCAGUGACCAUUGGACAAGGCUUGAUUUGCAGAUGGUUGUUGUUGUCUUGGGUGCUGUGAGAAAAGAGAUAAGCUACUUCCCUGUGCCUGUUGAUCCAUUAGCCUCGAGUUAAAUCUGUAAGGAUCGAUAGGUGAAGGAGAUGAGUUCCUGAGAUCAUGAUGAAACCCAUUGACUUGUUGUUGUGCAGCAGACAGAGACUGCUGUCUCAACAUUUGGAGUCCUGUCUCAUUCCCAAAGGAAUUCAUUUGUGAUGAGAAACCUGAGCUCAUAUCCAAGUCUGCAUUUAUCAUCCCUCUUCCAACAGCUAGAAUUGCAGGAUCCGCAAACUCUAUAUCACUUGCACCAAUCGAAUUCCCAACUGGAGGUGGUACUUGAUAUGCAUUCCUCAACAUGGCAGCAGAGUCAAGAAAACGAGUUCCUAAGAUACAAGGAAGCAUGAGAGUUUUAGUCUGUAUAUGUAGCAUCAGUCGCACACUAAGCUACCAUAAAACAGAGGUAAAGAACUACCUGGUGCAGUAUCUGAAGAUAGGCCCAUUCUUUCAUGUGAAGAGAAGCCAGGAGGAGGUAACCUGCUGGGCGCAGAAAAUCCUGGAGGAGCAGAAACUUGGGGUCGUGUAACUGCAACAAGACAACGGAGAAACAAAUUGGCAAUAUAUCAGAAAAGGAUUCAAUCCAAACAAGAAACAACGGAAACUCAUCAACUAUAAAUACUAACCAGGAGUCUUGUAGGAUGAGAACAAAGGACUAGCAGUAACAUGUUCCAAUCCACCAGAAUAGUUUGAAGCAAAUCCAUUAAGAUUCCCGAGAUUAUCCCGAUAAAUAUCUCGGCUCACUACAGACUCUGGAAUAGGCUGUUCUCUUGAAAACUGCCCAUAAAUGCUAUGGUUGUCUCUGUCAAAUGCUCGAUUACUAGAUUCUUGUGCAAAAGAAAAUCUGGACUGGCUGUUUUGUUGCUUCAGGAGAUUUGACGGUUUUAGAGGACUGGAUCGCUGAUCAACUCUACCUAGUAACUCAGCCCAAUUUUGGGGUGAAGUUAAGGUUUCAUCCCAUGGAUCAAAGUCGAGUGACAAAAUGUUUGAGAUUACUUCAUCCUCUGCACUGCUAUCUUUGUUCCUGCCUUCAUUAGCAAACAGAGAGUGAUCCACAUUGAACAUGGAUUUCUCACCAAACCCAUUUUGAAGAUGCAACCUAUCACUGCCUCUAUCCGAAGGGAAUCUCAAGUUUGAACUGUUUACACCUAAAAGUUCACAAGGUAGGGAAGCACGAGAAGCCAGAUGAUUUGAAUCCAAAAUGGAACUUGAAGAACUAGACAAAAACCGCGAGUGGGUAACACCCUCUUCACGAUAAUGCCUUUGGCUCUCAAAUGAUGAGAUAUUAUCCUCCGCAUCCAGUUUUGAGCUGACUUGCAUUUGGGAUUGCAAAUCUGAUCUCCAAUCCCACUCUGGUCUUGUGCAGGGGACCCCUGAUGGAAUAGCCUUUUUAUCAAUGUUAGUAGAGCUAUCCAUCUUACAUUGCUCUAGAUGUGGCAACUUUGAUAUUUCAUGAUCAGGUUGUCUAUUAGAACCUUGAUCACACUUACUACCAAUCGCAAUAUCAGGACGGUCAUCUCUGGAAUCUGUAGUUAUCUCCAUUUGUGAAACACCAAGAGACAAGUUGGCUACAGUAGGGUCAUCUUCUACACCUUCCUCUGAAUCGUCAGACGAGUUCACAGCAGCUGAAGGCUGGACAACGUCUUUGCCAUCGUAGGAAGAGUCUGUUGAACUGGAUAACCGAUUGCUAGGAGAAUCUCUAUCAGGUGAGGUGGCUCUCUUGGUCCCAGAAUCAACCGCAACAUUGUGCUGCAAAGGCUUCAAACCCCUAAGCUUGCUCUUGUCAACAGCUUUUUGAUUUUCUUCUUUGCCUGAUGGUCUUUUAAGAAUGUUACUAGAGGUUACAGGGCCAUGAGCUGCGUUUGCAACAACAGCAGAAAAGGCCAAGGUUCCAUUUACUGAUGUUGUUCUUUGUAUAUCAGAAGAUCCAUUUGGGGUAACCGAAGUUGCUAAAGACGGCUGGUUUGCAAUAUGUGUCCCCCUGUAACAGAUAUCCCUAUGUUAUUAUAUUGAUCAAUCAAAAUACGUCGCCUAAGAAGCAGCUAGUGAAAACUCACCAUGACGCUGCAGCAGGAAGAGCAGUCGAUUUGCUAGAGCUCCCACUCCCACUAGGUGGAGAAUACCUGGCAACACUUGCUGCAUUCUGCUUAUAGAAAAAAAAAAGAGAAAUGAAAAUAGUAAGCUUAGUAAACUGAAAAGUUAGUAAGCAUCUACGAUUAACAAAUAUGAAAGCCUUCCGAUUUGUAAAAUUUUUGUGGUUUGUUUUUGGGUGGUUGUUUGAGGCUUGGGAGAGUAUUUGGUGACUAAAGCUCCUACGAAAUGGUGCGUAAUCAAUCUAAAUUGCACAUAAUGUCAGUAGAAGGCUGAGAUUUAACUGAACUUACACUUGAAGGGACUUUUGCAAUUGGUUUAGCAGAACUCUCACUGCAGAAAGCAUCUAGUGGUGGAGGUAGCAUGCUCCCUGAACGUUGAUGCAGAAUGUUUGUUGCUCCGGUGAUUUGCUGAACUCUACUCCUUCAAAAUUAUUAUAAGACUUAACAAAUCAUCCAAAAAUACUAGACCAGCCAUCAUAUUACAUAUAUACUAGCAAGGUAACGGAUCCAAGAAAGCAAACAAUCAUGAACGCAAGACGGAAUUAUAAAGGUUAAGAUGAUAAAAGUACCUUGUAUGGGCAGAUAUGGCCUCAUCUUUUGUGAAACUAUCCUCUUGUGAACCGACCUCGUGCAGAUAGAGACAAUCAGGAUUAACACACGCCUGGAAACAAAAACAUGCAAUUAAUCAUUACAAAGAUAUCAAUCUCAAAUUUUUAUCUGAAAAGAGUAACCAAAAGAAAAACUCAGGGGUCAGAAAGUAGAACAAGAAUCUAGGGAAGGCGUACCGCAUUUCUCAACCAUGCAUGACAAUACUUGGUUGUCCCAAAACACGCCCUGCAAUGUAUAUGUAUACACAUUUUAUUCAUAACUGAAUGAAAACAAACUAAAAAACACUACCUAGUACCUACAUAGUUUCAAACGAAAAGGAAACUUACUUCAGUGAUUUACCAUCCAAGGUAAACCCAUGAACGGCCUGGAUGCAACGGACAGCCUCUUCCUCUUUUGCAUAAGUAAUAUAUCUGAAUAAUAAUAAUUAUAUUAUCAAAUGACAACAAUAAUGACAAGCAAAAAACUCAAUGAACUUCAUGAUAAGAGGAAAAUUUUAGCUGACAGAAACGCACACACUGCAUGUAUCGUUUGGGAAUUGUUGGAUGGCACCAGAUGAUGUUCGGGACAUGGAAACCUUCAGAACUUUUCCAUACUGACCGAAAUAUUCUUUAUGAUAGAGUAGCUGCAAGGAAAAUGGAGCCUAGUCACAUAGCAAUUCACAAAGAAAUGAUAAAAAGGGUGUAGUGUAGAUAAGAGUUAUCAUACAUCUUCAUCUGCUAGAUUAAGGGGCAACCCGACAAUGUAAACAAGAUUCCUCUGGAUGACUCUGACACUAGUGAGUUGCUUUCUCCCAUCAGAAGGUUUUGAUUUUGACUUUUGAGUCUUCUUGCGCUCCAUGUUGGUUUCAAAGGCCAGACUAACAACAGGCCAUUAUAAGCAAAUCAGCAAAAGAGAGCGUAAAGAAAGAUUAUCCCAUAAAUAUUAAAUUCUCCGAAAGAUCAAGUAUUAGAACCUGUCGCAAUCAACAGUCAUUCCUACAAUCUUUUCUUUGUCAUAUGGAGUGCGACAAGCAGGACAACGCCCUUCUAUCUGAUCUUUCUCUGCCAUGUCCACUAUGUGAUGCCAGCACCAAACACAAAUCUGUAUCACAUACAAAAGAAAUCAUUAACAGAGCAAAGUUCAAUGGUCAAUGAGGCCAAAAAAGACGUGCAUGCUUCAUGGAUAAAUUGCGGCAGAAACUUUGAGCUAAAAGCUAAAAUGUUAUGCUGAUUAUUGCUACUGAACACUGAUAACAUGUAAAUAAACAGAAGAUGGGAAGACCUGAUAGCCGCAUUUGCAAGGCUUCAAUUGCUGAUCAGUGAGAUCCAUCUCUUCAGCACAUAGUGGGCAAGUCUUCUCUCCUUGGUCACUCAUGGUUGUCUACAACAAAAAUUCGAAAACUUAUUGUUUGCUAACGUAAAGAUAAACAUUUUCUAUGCCAUAAACAUCACUUAUCAUCAUCAGAAGAAAUAAAACUCAAAUGCAAAUUCAGCAUAUCCCCAAUCAAACCCUAAGAAUCUAUUACUCAUCAAAGCUAAUUAGCUCUAAAUAUUCAAACUUUCAGAUCGAUACUAAGAAUUUAAAAAAAAAAAAAAGAAGGAAUCUACGAUGAAGAGCUCUUAGGAAUCGAUCUGCGCACGCACCGUGCCCGAUUCAAUUUACUUCGUUCAGAUAUAAUCACAGACAAAACAUAUGAACCAAUCCAAAAUCUCAAUCACAAUUUUACGAUCUAAACUAAUAAAAAAAAACGAUGAUCCAAUCAAAAACCCAGAACUAGGGUUUUGAAGAUUCAAACACCACGAGAGAAAGAGAUUGAACAUACGAAUUGAGAAAAGAUUCGAUUGGAGAUUUGCAGAGGAUGAAGAUUUGUGAAAUGAGGAGGACAAGGAAGCUGGAGAUUUGCGAGCGAAAGAGAUAGAUUGGAUGGCUGUGAUUUUGUGAUGUGAGAUUUCGCCUCUUUUCAACCCUUGAUUUCUCUGCCAGAUCCACGUUGCUGUCUUCGUCAAUUAAUUAAAAAAGAGUUUCACAAAAACUUUUCAAAUUGCCCCUUUGAUUGCCAAUUUUAUUGUUAGAUUCUGACCCGGCGGCUAUAUUUUUUGUUAUAUAUUUUUUUCAGAAAUUUAAUAUUUAUAUUUGUAUUUUUUUAGUCAGUAUUUUUUUGUAAUUAUAUUUGUGUAGAAGAUUUUUCUUUUAACUAUUAGUAAGAGGUUUUGUGAAAAUUGGCAUCUAUAGAAGUAAUCUUGUGUUAUCCCUUAUCAUAACAUGUUAUCAUAUUAUCCUAAAUUAUGAUUGAAUCUAUACUAUUAAAAAUGAAUGAUUCUUAAAAAAUAAUUUAAACAAGAUUGUUAAACUAUUUUUUUAGACUUAACUAUUUUUUUGGUUUUACGGUUUUACCUUAAAAAAUUUCAAACUAUGUAAAUAUUUUACAUAAUUUAAAUGAACUCAUUUAUUAUUCUUCCAUAAUCUACUAUAUAAUUACUCUAACAAUAAAUCUUUAUGAAUAUAAGACAGCUUAUACAAACAUGUUUACACAUGACGUGACUAUUGUCACAUAUAGUUCCAUUAAUAGUAUAAAAUUUUCAAUGGUUUAGUUAUGGAGAAUCAUCUGGUUCAUAACAAUUUUUUUUCAUUUUUACGUGAAUUGGAAACUAAAAGUCUUAAUGUCAACUAUUCAACUAUAAAACAUUAAUUUAAUUAAUUACAUGCAAUCAAUUAUUAAAAUUUGAUCUUAUAUUCUUAUAUAUGAAUUAAAUGAUUAAUCUUAUCAUAGAAAAUAUUAAAUGGGUCUAAACGGGUCGGAGAUUUAAAUAAAAUUAAUAAAAAAAGACUGGUUUAAAUAUAACAUAUUUAUUUACUUUACAAAUUCUGACAAUGCAUAUGAUAUGUUUUAUUGAAUUUUCACAAAUGUAAAACAUAUUACAUAGUUGGAUGUGUUACUGAUGAUUUUGCAACUACUUCUAACGAUUUGAGAUGAAAAUCAGCGUGUGGCUUUUGAGAAUGCCAUCUGUAAACAUAUGUUAAUCAACGUUUAAGAUUUUUUCCUUAAUGUUUCUGUUAUCAAGCUUUCUUAAUAUAGGAGAGAACUUAUCAAAAAAAAUAUAGGAGAGAAGCUAAGGGAGAGAGGAAAAAAUAAACAGAACAGAAAAGUUCGUAACUUUGGAAUUUCAUUAGAUCUUAAGUUUUCAGAGCAACCUUUUUAAUUUCUUAUGCGUAGAUUUGGAUCCAAAUGGAUUGGAUCCAAUCAAUGAUUCUGCAACUUUAAAAUGCCAUGUCGUGAAAGGUCUUGUUAAUUCUUGAUCAUAUGAAACCACGAGAAGACUUCUUGCGCAAGUAAGCUUUACCCGUUGUUAGAUAUUACGUAUAGAUCCACAUAUGUUUGAAUGUUUCAGUUUAUAAUUAGGUUCUUGAUCCCAUUUGAUCUAGGAAUAUUUUGUUGGUAUUGAAUCUAUUUAUCUAAUGGAGGAAGCAUCAACGUCGACAUCAACACCGGUGGCUGCGAAGCCAACCGUUGUUAAGAAGACAAUGUCGAAGCAAUUUACCGGAAAACGUGAGGAUUCGCCGCUCCACUCCGCUGUAAGACGCGGAGAUUUCUCUGCGGUGAAGAAGAUUCUGAGUGAUCAUAUUGAAUCGGAGGAGGAACUAAGAGAGUUGUUGCAGAAACAGAACCAAUGCGGUGAGACCGCGCUUUAUGUGGCGGCAGAGUAUGGAGACGCCGAGGUGGUUGCUGAGCUCAUCAAGUAUUAUGAUUUAGAUGAUGCAGAGACCAAAGCUAGAAAUGGGUUUGAUCCUUUCCACAUUGCUGCUAAACAAGGCGAAUUAGGUAUGAAAUUUUGGUUUUCACAUUUUGAAAACGUUAUUCAUUAAAGUUACACUUUUCAAUGUAUUCAUAAUGAAUGUGAUACAAAAAUGUAACCACAAAAACAAAAUCAUUUAUUAAGCUAACAAUACUAGUUUGUAACGUUUUUAUGAUCAUUAUAUUGAACCUCUAUUUAACCAACGUGUUUUUGCUAUUUAAUCUUUGACAGUUUUGUUCUACUACUGAUCUAAUAUACUUGUUUUGUUUAAUCUUUUUUGGUCAAGAUUUUAUUUAAAUAUUUACUUUAUGGAAGUUGAAAUGUUUUUUUACGUUGAUAGAGGUUUUGAGAGUACUAAUGGAGGAACAUCCGGAGCUAGCAAUGACGGUGGACUUAUCAAACACGACUGCUCUACACACGGCGGCAGCUCAGGGACACGUGGAGGUCGUGGAGUACCUCCUAGAAGCUGCAGGGAGUAGCCUAGCAGCGAUUGCAAAGAGCAACGGAAAAACGGCGUUGCACUCUGCCGCAAGGAACGGUCACGCGGAAGUGGUGAAAGCUAUAGUGGCUGUUGAGCCAGACACAGCGACAAGGACCGAUAAAAAAGGUCAGACGGCACUUCACAUGGCGGUGAAAGGACAAAGCCUUGAUGUUGUCGUUGAGCUAAUGAAAGGGCAUCGGUCCUCGUUGAAUAUGGUUGAUUCUAAAGGGAACACUGCGUUACAUGUUGCUACUAGGAAAGGUCGCACUAAGGUACGUACGUUCUUGCAUGUUAACAUGUUAAUGAUUUGUGUUAUUGUAAUGACAUAAUUUAUUGAGAUUUUAAUUAAUGUCAUUUGUAGAUAGUGGAAUUGCUUCUAGAGAACAACGAGACAAGCACAAAAGCGAUAAACAGAGCUGGAGAAACGCCACUCGACACGGCCGAGAAAACCGGCCACCCCCAGCUAGCCGCGGUUCUCAAAACCCGCGGCGUUCCCUCAGCUAAAUCCAUCAACAACACUACUCGCCCAAACCCGGCGCGUGAGCUCAAACAAACUGUGAGCGACAUCAAACACGAGGUUCACGACCAGCUAGAACACGCUCGAGAGACAAGGAAACGCGUUCAAGGAAUCGCCAAACGCAUAAACAAAAUGCACGUCGAGGGUCUAGACAAUGCGAUUAACUCCACCACAGUCGUCGCCGUUCUAAUCGCCACAGUCGCUUUUGCCGCUAUUUUCACCGUGCCAGGACAAUACGCUGAUGAACGGAGUACUCUCACUCCGGGACAAUCUCUUGGAGAGGCUAACAUCGCGGAUAACCCCGCGUUUGCGAUUUUCUUUAUAUUUGAUUCCAUCGCUCUUUUUAUAUCUUUAGGGGUUGUUGUGGUUCAAACAUCGGUGGUUGCGAUUGAGCACAAGGCGAAAAAGAAUAUGAUGGCUAUCAUAAAUAAGCUGAUGUGGCUGGCUUGCGUUUUGAUAUCAGUAGCGUUUUUGGCAUUGGCGUUUGUGGUCGUUGGUGAGGACGAGAGGUGGCUAGCGGUUGGAGUAACGGUGUUUGGUGCGACGAUAAUGCUCACGACACUUGGGACUAUGUGUUAUUGGGUCAUUAGGCAUAGGAUUGAGGCUUCGAAUGUAAGAAGCGCGAGGAGAGAAUCAAUGGCAAGAACGAGACAAUCAGGAUUGAUGGAUUUUUCUGGGAUUUUGACAAAGAGAAUGUAUGCUAUUUAGUGAUCAAGAGACAAAGAGUAUGUGUUGAGUUAACGUCUCGAUCUUGAUACCGUGUGGAAUAAAUAUCGAAGUUAUCUUGGAAUCAUUUUUUUUUUGCAACUGAUUUUACUUCUUGGAAUCUUUGUUUGUGUUAUUUGUUUUUGAGGUCAUCAUUACUAGUGUUAACAUUAAAAAUCAAAGUACUCUCAUUUUAAAUAGAAAAUGUCAAUGAUACGAAAUAAAUAGUUUAAAACUGUAAAAUUAAAAAUAUAUUUCAGCCCAAACAUGUUUUUGAUGCAAACUUAUUAUAUUUGCCAGUUGCUAAGUGAAUGGCGUCACCCACUUCCCAAAAUAACUUUUAAAAAUUAGUUGGCAUCAACAAUUAAUGUGUUAUUAUUUUACUCUUUGAUUAUAUGUCAAACCUUGUUUUUGAAAUUGUAAACGCUCAUAUCACAAUUUUGGAUCAAUUUUGGAUGGCUCAACAAUCAACAAGCUUUCCCAGCAUGUUGAGAUAUUUACUUCCCGCAAUCAAGGACAAGAAUGAGGACGUCAGGAAGACAAAUGCACAAAUAUCUGUCUCCCGGUCUGGCCAGCUCCUAGUCUCCAAUAUGUUCUCAAAAAUAAAUGGAAUCGCAAGAGGUACUAUUUCAUCUCCACCUGUUCUGCUAACGAGGCAAAAGUAUUUGCUUGCAGUAUUUAUUAUAUUUAUUAUAUUUUUCAGUUGCUAAUUGAUUGCCGUCACUGCUUCCCAAAAUAACUUUUAGAAAUUAGUUGGUGUCAACAAUUUUUGUUAAUGUGUUAUUAAUUUACUCUGUGAUUAUAUGUCAAACCUUGUUUUUGAAAUUGUAACUAUAUAAAUUUGUCUAACACAAGCUCAAAGAUUCAACUAAAUCAUAUACUGAUCUUGGAAAAUUAAUAAAAUUUAGUAUCAACACCAAAACUUUUAAUCUAAUAUUUAUUAGCAAACAUCUAAUUCCAAAAAUCAGAUUUGAACAGUGGUGUAAUACAAAUUAGUAUAAUUUGAAGAUAAUGAUAAGAAAAACUAAAAUGAAAUGGUUACAAAAAAUAAUAAUAUCACUGGUCUGAGUAAAUUAAUCAUACAUUUACCAAUAAAAUUCACCUGAAAUGAGUUAGUUUACAACGACUUGACGAGUAUAAGCGUAUCUUCAUCCUAAAUAUAACUAUAAAAGUUAGUUUUUCAAAAACAUUAUCUAAUAGUCAAUAUGCUAAAAAUGCGACAAACAAGCUAACUUUUGGCUCUUAUAACUCUUUUUGAACAAAGGCUGUACAGUUCAUCUAGAUUUGUAAGCAAAGUUAUUUCUCUAUUGAUACUUACAGCUUUAUGUGGCCGUAUUUGGCAUAGUCGAUGAUUUGGAACAAGAAAGAUGUCAUUUUAUUUAAGCUUAAACUUCUUUUGUCAAGAACUUUAUUGUUAUUUGUGAAUAAUUUUUUAUCAAUAAGAUGUGUUUGCACUAUUGUAGACCUCGUCUCGUUUAAAUGGAGAAAUAGAAAGGUAUAUGUUCUCUUAAAAAUAUUGGUUUAGGUUUAUAACAUCAUUUUAAUACUAAAUUGAGUAAUAUAUUGUGUGUUUAUCCGUCAAAUUGAAAAUAAAUAGUUGAUUUUACUGUCAUAUGAUUCAUUAAUGACAAAAUAUGUUUUAGAAAAGUUGUUGAUUUUUACUUUUAGAUGAUGUGGUUAGCAUGCAUUUUGAUUAAUAUAUUCUAGUUAGUGAUUUUGAUACAAAAAUAAAUAUGCGUUAAAAGUUUCAAUCGUGAAAGCAUGUGAAAGAAGUAACCAUCUUAUAUUGAUCCAUGAAAGUUUUGUUAUUUGUUAUUUCCGUUUAUGACUUCGAGGCCAUCAUCAUUAGUGUCAACAUUAAACUCUUCUUUCUCUAUAGAUUUUGUUUUGUUACAAAACCUGUAAGUCUUUUUCAAAGAAAAUGGAAUAAGUAUCUAAAAAAUAAUAUCCGACAAAGUCAUUCAUUAUUACAAAACUUGAAGCUUUAAACAAUGAAAUUGGAAUAAGAAUUUCAGGCAGAAACCAAUCUAUAGGAUUGGUACCACUGGUUCAAGUGGGAUGAGUGGGUCUUCCUCAUUUUGGUACGCUUCAUCUCCAUCUUCGACAAGGUAAUGUAGAAGAAAUCUUGGAUCUCCUAAUAUAAAAUAUCGCCUGCAGACAACUCUUUGAAACUGAAAGAUCCUGGAUGAGUAACCAUUCCACGACAAUGCUCAAUCGCAACGAGUCCAGCGCCAUACUGAACAAACAUGUGUGUUAUACAAAAUGUUAGAUGCAACGUUUUUAAUUUCUUCCAAUCGAAACAUGAUUUUGAUGCAAUUUCUUUAAUUAGCUAGUUGAUAAGUGAAUGACCUCAACCCUCUUUUAGUAUAGCUAAUGUGUUAUUAUUUUUUUCUUUAAUUUAUAUACUAAACCAUGUUUUGAUAAUGGGAAAUUAGUAAAUUUUGUAACAUCGUCAUUAUUUUAAUCUAAGAGUUAAGUAGCAAUAUUUAACUCCAAAAAUCAAGUUUCAACAGUGUAAACAUAUAGCAUAGUGUUAUUGAUAUAUCUUUUGAAUAUAUUGGGAAAGAGUUAAAACAACUACUUUUUUGAUUAACCGUUAAACCUAAGAGCCCAAUGGUUAAAGAAAUUACAGUAUAAUAACUGAAUUGAAUGAACUAGUACUUGAAUCAAUAGAAAUAACCUGAAAUUGAGUUGGUUAAGAUCACCAGCUUGUGGUUCUACUUUAUUAUUUUUUUCAGAAAAAAAAAGACAAUAUCAAAUGAAUAAACAAAUUGAAAUCAUUGUGUAUCUCUGCACUUAAAAACAAAAACUAUAAUAAAUCAUCAAGCUGCUAUUACUAUACUCAUAAAAACCCUAUUGGUCAAUGAUGAUACAUUGUUACAUCAUCAUGCAACAUAUUUGAAGUUAUGAAACCAAAAGACAACCACAGAAGAAAUAGACAUUUAUGAAUUAUUUUUUAGAAAAUUGGGGAAAUGAUGUCAACAUCAGAGCUGAAUCAUAACGACAUUAUCUUGCCAUUAUAAAGUCACAUCCUCAUUCCCAAAAUCAAGAAACAGAACAAGUCCAUACCCUUUUGUUCAAAAAAAAAAAAAGAACAAGUCCAUACCCCACUUUUGUCUUCUUCCAUGGAGUCUUCUCUUGUUCUCCCUUCUCAAUGGUCUAACCUUCCUUUAGACCUUCUUGAGUUGAUCUCCGACUCCGAUUACGUUAACGAAUGCUCAUCAGACACCGUCGAUCUCCUCCGUCUCCGCUCUGUAUGUUCCACGUGGCGUCGCUCUCUUCCUCUCUCCAACAAAAAUCCUUUGUCUAAAUUUCCACCUCUCCUCCCUUUCUGGUCAUCUUCACCUUCUGGCUUCUUCAUUCUGAAACAGAGCAGUGUUUACAAACUCGAAGCUCAUCCCACAAGCUGGUUGGUGAAGCUUCAGGAGAUAUCUCCAGGGACAAUGCGAGUCUUGGAUCUCUUCUCAAACGACAGACUCCGUUUCUUACCAGAGAACUUCCCGGAAAAAGUCGAUCUGCGGGAAUCUCAUGUGAGGUUGGUCCGCAGAGCUUACCGUGUGGAGUACGCAAACAGAGGUGGUGGCGAGAUGUCUUCUUUCUGGUCACUGAGCUCCGACAAAGUUGUGGUCCUGUCUUCACGGGAACACUCAGCGGUCAUAGCUAUCCACAGCGGUGGAAAGCUAGGAUUCUUGAAAAACGGAGACGAUGAAAUAUGGAAGAUCUUGGAUAACUCGUGGAACGUGACUUACGAGGACAUAAUAACGUACGGAGAGAACUGCAUCGUCGUGGACGAUAAGGGCAAAACCGUAAUUUACGAUGUGGAGUUCAAGGUGUCCGAUUUGGCUGAAGGUUUAGCGGGAGGAGGCGGGCACAAGAAGCAUCUUGUGGAAUGUUACGGCGGAGAAGUAUUGCUUGUGGACAAAUACGUGAAACACGUUUGGUGCAAGUCGGAGUUUUCGAAGUCUGCGGUGGAGUUUAGAGUGUAUAAGCUGAAGAGAGAAGAGAAGAGAUGGGAAGAGGUGAGGGAGCUGGGAAGAGAUGUGGCUCUGUUUGUAGGAGAAGAUUGUUCUUUCUCCGUUGAGAUUACGGACGGUGAUUUGGCGGGAGGAGGUUGUAUAUUUUAUAGAGAUUAUAGGAAUGGAGGAAGAAGCAGAGGGGUUUACAGUGAUGGUGAUGGCGUUUUCAAUAUGGAGUUAAAAGACGCGGGGAAGUUUUGGGUUUCAUACUAAGCCCAAAUGUUUAGGCCCAUUAUAUGUUUGGGCUUAUUAGAACAUGAAAUAAUUGUGGAAGCUGUUGAUUCAUGAUUUUACUUUUUUUUUUUUUUUUGGAACACUUCGAUUCAUGAUUGUACAUUUUCAUAAGGUAUUUGAGUGUCCAAGUAUUUUUUCCUCUCUUAAAUAUAGAUUUUAAGACAUGAAAUGUAUAAUUAAUAGCUUAGAUACUUACAAAAUGUACACAAAACACCAUGAUAUUCAUCCAAAGUUUUGGAUCGGUUCGAGUAUUUUACGAGUUUCGAUUUGAGCUGGGUAUAACCCAAAAAAUAAAAUUGAACCAAAAUGAACCAAAACUGAAUUUGAAAUCAUACAAAUAAGUUAUUUUGCUAAAAUUCAAAUUUCGUCCUUUAUUUAAAAAAAUAAUAUUAAAACGCGAGAGAAAUCGCCCUAAUUUCUCCAGGAGGCGGCGCGACGAUUAUUCGAGCUUUUUUUUUUUUGCGAUGAAGACAGUCACCGGAAGUGUUAACAGUGCGAAACCAAUCUCCCUCGCUAAGGCGGCCACGCUUCUCUCCGGCUUCGUUUCCUCUGAGACCCAGGCCUCUCAAGACGUCACCGCCUACCUCCGACGCGCAACUGCUGCCUUCACCGAAUUGAGGAGCUUCCACAGAGAGAUUCGAUCGGCGAAUCAAAAAUCCGAGCUCCAGGAGCUGGGUAGAGCUAAGGGGGUUGAUGAUUCGGUGGAAAACGGAACUGUGACCGGAGAGGAAUCAGUUCAUGGUCGGAAGAAGAAAAAUAAGAGCAAAGAGAAGAAAGAAGAAGAUGAGCAAAGGAACAAAGAGAGAAAGAAGAAGAACAAAGAUGAAAAUGCUAUUAACGAGAAGGUGAAUGUGAAGUUGGAAGAAGAGAGAAAGGAGAAGAAGAAGAAGAAGAACAAAAAGGAAGAUGUUAUUGACGAGAAGUUUGAAGAAGCGAGGAAGAGCAAGAAAAAGAGGAAAUUAUCAAAGGAGACUGAUGCUUGAAGGUUUUACAGCUCAAGGUUUGCUGAACUAUAGUAUUGACAAACGAUUUGAUUUUUGGGAACACUCUGUUAUAGUUUUUAACUAUCUGCAAUGGAGUUAUCGUUGUUGUUUUUUUUACCCUCUUUGCCAUUACUGUAUUUUGAAGUUUCUUGAAUGCCAUAGUCGCAAGUAGUCUUUAGAAUUUCAAACCUGAAGAUGGGCACUUGAAAUAGCUUUAGCAUUCCCUCUAAACCUUUGAAUGCAUAAGACUUCAUAAUUGCUAUGCAGUGAAGUUUUUUUUUUUUAAAUCAAGGUAGCGAAUCCAUUUUCGAACCGGACAAGGCAUGUAUCUUCAACUAACAGUGUGCAUGAUUCAUUAGUUUGCUUUAUGAUUCAGCUUCAUACUUAUUGAUAAGAAGGCUACUUUUGAGUUCGUAAUAACUUGAGCUUAUUAGACUCCUGUAAUCCUUGAUGCGGGUUGAGGAAAUCUGUGGGAUAUCGUCAUUCCCAUGAACUUGUGAAAGAGUCAAUGUUGUUGUUUAACUCUUGCAGAUGUGGGUGUUGUAGCAUUGUUUACACGGACCAUCUGAUUCAAACUAUUUUGUGUAUAUUUUCAACAGUUACAGGGAUUCUGAUAAUCCCUGUAGAAGGUAAGCCCCAACUUUUGCAAAUUAAAUUGUGCAUACAUAUUAAUUUAGUAUGGUAUUACAUUACAUAGAUGUACACUUACAGAAAACAGAUCUUUGCGACAGUAAAUAAUUGAACAGGAAUGGACCUCAUGUCAAAUUAUUGAACAGGAACUGACCUCAUGUCAAACUGAUAAAUGGCCGGGGGGAAAAAAGAAUAGAAAAAAUGCGUGAAGCUUGGAAGAAAGAAGAGACAAGAAACAAAAUGAAUGAAGCAAGAAUCAUCAGCAUUUGGGCAAGUCUGCAGGAGGAGGAAGAAGUUUCUGAUCAGGCUUAUCUCCAUCAAGCACAAGCCAAGCCAUCCUCAGACCCCAACUGGUAUGUACUUCCAAGUGACAGUGCAUGAACCACACUCCUGUCCAAACAUUUUAAUUUAAGUUAUUAUCCUCCUCUUAGAUUAAACUAAUGUGCUUAUUAUUACCUGGGUUAUCUGCAAGGAAUCUAAUAGCAGCCCAUCCACCAGAUGGCACACCUACUGUGUUCCUCUCUAUUGGGUCAACAAGGUUGAAGUUCUUAGGAUCCUCCUUCGCGUCGAAGUUCCCAAACCCUUGGCCAACGACAAAGAAGUUAAACCCAUGAAGGUGAAGAGGAUGGCUCUCCGCACCGAGAAUGCUAGUAUCUUGCAUCACCAGCUCCACACUGGUGUUAUAAGGCAGAACCAUCAAGUUUGUCCCUGUGCUAACCAUAGUGUUGUUAGGUGGGGUGCCUGUGUAGUUAAAAGGCACUAUGGGACUCCACGGGAAGUUCGGAGAAUACACUCCGUUAGAUUGCCCAGAAUAGUGAGACUGAAGGAGAGCCUUUGUUGGCAUCGUGAAGGAGAUGUUGCUGAUCGAAGCAGCAAACAUUGUGGUGUUAGUAGGACCCUGGCAUGUCUGGUUGUUCUUAUGGUUGCAAGGGUUUGUUCCCAAUCCUACUGUGAAGAAAAACUUCCGAUCAACCUUCAGAGGCACGUUUGCUGGGAACUUUUUGCUGUUCAGGCUUCUCAGCUUGUUGCUGAACUUGGUAGCGAAGUUUGUAUCGUUUAGAGCAGGAAGUACUGGUGUGAAGAGCUGAAGGUUCUUCUUGAUAGAGGUCUUUGUAUGUUUAGGCUGUUCGUAUUCUAAGAUGCCUGCAACUGUAGAGUUAUCAAAAGUUCCUUGACCUGUGACGUAUGGUCUAGCAGUCAUCAAGAAAGAGGCCUUCGGGUAACUUUGUUUUGUCUUCAGCAAGAGGUUUGUGGUUUGUCCAGGAGCGAUUAAGAUGGUAUCCGUCUCAAACGGCUUGACGUAGAUCGCAUCAGCUUCAACAACUGUAACCGUGUGGUUUGCUAUGCUGAAAAAGAGCUCGUCGUUAAGUGCCGCGUUGAUUAGUCUUAGAAGGUAUGUUUUUCCUGGCUUCACUCUCAGUCUGAACGUAUCUUUAGCUGAGCAGUUGUAUAGCGGACCAGGAAGACCGUUGAUCGUGUAAGCAUCAGAGACAUUAGGACCACCUCCUGUUUGUGUUGCUUGGCGAAUGAUUGCCUCAGUGUCUGCGUUGAACCACUCCCCUGAAAAUCUCAACCAUAAAAAAAAAUCAGUAAUAAUGUUUUGAAAUUCUCAGUUUGCUAGUCAUCAUCCUCACCAAAGACCAUGGGAACUUCUUUGUGAGGUUUGUGAAACGGGUAAGGAACACCGUGUUUUGGAAGGAUGAUAAGAGGACCAUAGACUGUUGCUCUGAGCCAUGAAAUGUGAGCAUGGUACCACAGAGUGCCUCUUUGGCCAACAACGGUGUAGUUGUAGACAUAGCUUUGCCCUGUCUGAAUAGGACAUUGGGUUAUGUAAGCUGGUCCAUCAGCCCAACCAGACCGUAAUUGCCUGAUCCCAUGCCUGAGAUUUUCAGGGAUUAGUAAUCAAACAUUACUAUUAAUAGUGAUAAAAGUGUUUUAAAGAUUAUUUUUACCAGUGGAGAGAGAUAUUGUUUGGGACAUGGUUAACAACUUUGAUGAGAAGCUGGUCACCUUCUCUAGCAAUAAGCUUAGGCCCUGGAAACUUCCCGUUUACAGAAACAAGGCUCUUUGUGUGGCAAAGACGUGUCACGUUGUGCAUUUUUAUCUGCCAAAAGAAAAACGAAACAUCUAAUCAUAUCAUCUGCAACCCUUCAGGUACAAUCUCAACAUUUUUUCACAGAAUAAACAAAUCUUCACGUACGUCCAGCGUAUAAUGCCUUGUUUUACCAAAUGCAGGUUCAGGAAGAAGAAGAACACUAGAGAAAACAGCAAAUAGAAGCCAAAACGCCAUUUUUGGACCUUAAGGCGUUGAUUAUAGCUGGUAAGGCUACUGAACACUCUGCCUCUGUUAUUAUAUUUCUAUUUUCUUUUGCUGUAGAUUGUGGAUUCAUUGUUUCAACAUUUAGUGUAUAUAUAUAGGAAGGAAAGUUAGGUGUUUGUUUGCUUGGAGAUGUUGAAGAAAAAGAUUUAGUAGUUGUUUAUGCAAAAACAAAAAGAUAACUGGUAGAGAAGUUUGUGUAAUUGGAGACUCUCGAGACAAGGACUAGUUGUUAGAACAUAUAUGAACAGCUUAUGAAUGAGUGGUGUCAAAGAUAAGUCAAACUCUUUGACCAUGUUUAAUCCCUCAAAACUCUAGUUUCCUUUUCAAUAUUAUGGCGUGGAUUGUAAAUAUGAAUUGCAAAGUUGUCAAUUUAGUUUCUUUUAUGUGAUUUAGAUGAUUUGGCAGCUUUGAGUAUAUUGGACUUCAAAUUCAUACAUGAGAAAGUAAGUAACUUGGACCAAAUGUGGCAGUUGAUAUUGUUUGAUAUAGUCACUGGCCAAGUGUUGUUUUAGACCCGACAAAAAGGGUCUGUGAAACAGAAUUAUGCACACAGUUUUAGGAGUGUUGUAAACUUCUAGAAGGGUAACUUUUUUUGGUUAGCGGUUAUGUUUUUGCUAAUUGAAUUUCAUCAUUUCAUAAGCAUUUUAAGUGAUAAGUACUUCAUCUAAUUAUUAAUUGUUUAAUUUUUAAUUUGAAGGUGUGAACUCUUCAAGGAGGUUAAUCGAUGUUGAGUUAGUCAAAACAUUCGUAAGCUAAAAUUGCUUGGGGAUUAAGCAAAGAGAGGGAGAUUGUAGCUAUCAUAGAAGGUCACGCUUAGGGUUAGAUAUCAAAAUCCAUGAAGGCUAUUGUUCAGGAUGUUCAAAAACAUUGAGGAAGUCUCGAAUGAAGUGUUUGUAAUUUUAUUUUCCAAGCAAUUGACCUAACUCUCUUUUAAGUUCGUAUCCUCAAAGGCAUGCCAACCUUGUACAUAUGCUUUUCUCUCUAUAAACAACUAUAUAUUCAUAUAUUAGGAUUUUUUUUUUUUUGCAAUAAUAAUCUAUAUAUGCAAAUUGUUUGCUUGUUAUUCGUCUUUCAUAUUUAUAGUUUUGACAAUGUGAAGUCGAUCUACAAUCAAAAUAUGAUGUAGACAAGAUUGCUAACAAGUAGUUACCAACUCAUCUCCUAACCAUGCGAAGUCGGUCAUUAAAAUAUGUAAUUUUCUUUUGAUCAAAAAAAAAAUUGAUCAAAAAAAUGUAAUUUUCUUUUGUGACAUUCUUUUAUUUUUGUCACCUUCUUUUGUGACAUUCUAGAAAAGAAAAAUCAAUUAAGAAAUAUAGAAACUGAGAAAAUGGUUGAGUGAAUGUCUUUCGAACACAAUGAUGAAUGACAAGUUCACAUCAUUAGUGUGUAGUUCAAACCAUUUGUAGUUUUACAAUUAUGUUUUAACAAUACUUUAGUUGGUAACUCACAAUCAAUAAUAAUCGUAAAUAUAGUUCUACAUAUUUAUUUAGCUACGCUUGUGUUUCUGUCUGGGUAACUCACAGUGUCACACAUUAUUUGAAAACAAAGUUCUGAUAUCUCUCAACGAUUUCAACUAUGCCUUAAUUAUAUAGGAGUAAGAUCAGGGAUAUACACAUCCUUUAUAUAUUAACUAGAUUUUGACCCGCGCUUUGAAAGCGCGGGAUUAUUUUGUUUACAAAACUUAGUUUAUUAUAAACUAUAAUUUCUAUCUAAAGUUAUAUAUUUUAAGUUUUAUUUAAAUAAGCGUUGGCAUGUCUCUCAUUUGUUUUAGAUUAUUUUAAAAGUUAAAAACUGAAACGGAGUAAUACAUCGUCUAUGUCUUGCUUUGGUCAAAUUUUAUUUUUAUAAUUUUUUUUGUCAUAAAUGAUAGAGCUGGGCAACAUAUCAGGACCCAAAGAACUGAAUCAAACCCGAUCCGAAGAGUAGUACCGAACUUAAACCAAAAUUGAUUAAUACAUGAUUGGGUAUACAAUUUAAUAUAGGAAGAACCAGAUUCAAACCCGACUCGAACAAAAUAUUUCGGGAACCAUAAAAUGCUCAAAACACCGGAAAUAUCUAAAAACUUGUUUUCCAUCAUAAUUUCCAAAUAAAUCCAGUUUUAUUUUAAUUUUAUAUAUUUACUUUUACAUUAUUUAAAUUUAUAUGUUUUAUAUUAUUUCAGUUUCGGGUUUUUAGAAUUUAAGGUACAUUUUAAUUUUUCAAUUGUUUACAUAAUUUAAAUGGAUACCCAAACCAAACCCGUAAUGUUUAGAAUAGGGUUUAAAUCUAUAAGCCUAAAAAUCUGAAAUCCGAAUAGACUCAAAUCAAAACCAAACGGAUCCUGAUUAAGAUAUAUAAAAUUAUGUGUUUUAUUUAUUUAAUAAUAAUAUAAGAUUAUAUGUUUAGUUUUUCUCCUAGAAUAUUUAAAUGUUUAUUUGGGUUUAUAUAGAAACCGUUUUUAACAAAAAUCAAUACCAAAUAUAUGCAUCUAUAUAUACCGGGUUUGCUGACAUAUUAUAUAAUAUAAACGUGUUUUAAUCAUUUUUUAAAUAAUUUAAAAUUUUGUGCUAUAAUCAUUUUUAAAUAAGAAUAUGAGGAUAUAAUUAUUUUAGAUGUUAGUGCCCAAACAUAUUCAUUCAAUAAUAAUGAACAUCAAAAAUAUUCAUACCUAUGUAUUGUUAUGAAAUCCUCGUUUAUAGUAACAACUAUAGAUUCGGUAGAAUCAGGUCAUUAAUGGCCAAAGAUAUGAUCAUUGAUUUAUUUACGGUUGGUGACAUUUAAAUAUAUUGAUUAAAUCUUUCUUUAAGCUAGAUUUUAGGUUAUUUAUUUAUUUAUACUAAUUAAUAUAGUAAUGGCAUUUCAUUGUAAAUAACUCAAAAACUAAUGGCAGAAUCCUAGUAGGGAUUCUGCUUUAAUAGUAUUGAUUGAGGAACAUUUGAAAAGAUAUAACCUUAAUUUUGUAUUAAUUAAAAGAGGCCCCAAUGCAUAGGUGACACUCAAUUAGGUAGUCAAUUACAUUCAAUUGAAAAAUAAGUAGGUUCACAUUCGAUUUGUAUAUGUUGUUAGAUACAUAAGUUGGUCAAACUAUAUGAUAUAAUGAUAUGAUAUGAUAUUUUCUUUCCUUAAAUAAAACCUACGGAAUUACCAUAAAUGACUAAUAUAUAUAUGACAAUUAAUGAGUUUAAUAAUAAAGAUUUGAUAACAAUGUAUAUCUCCUUCAUCAUUUUUUGUUUAAUUUUAUAUUAUUAAAAUAAAUUAAACAAUCAAAUUAGCUAUAAAAAUAAAAUUUAGAUUUUUUCGUAUAUGUUAUAUUUUAAAUUUUUAAAAACGACAAUAAAUGACUAUAACUAUUAAAAUUAUUAUGUUAAAAAUUAAUGAUCAAUGGUUUAACAUUUUUAUUAUAAGAAGAUACACAUGAUUUUAAAACCAUAUGAGUAAAAAAUAUCAUUUAAUAAUAAAUAUAUAUAUAUAUAUAUAUAUAUAUAUAUAUAUUAAACACUAUAUACCAUAAGAUUACAUAAAUAUUUUAAUAUUAAAACUUUCAAUGAAUUUUCAAGAAUAUUUAUAAAUUAUAAACUUAUUAAAGAUUUCAGAUUGAAAAUUUUGUUAUCGAUGAUUUAAAUAUUUUGUUAUAAAACGAUAUGAACGAUCAUAGAACCAUAUGAUUAUAAAUUCUUAUUUAAUAAAUAACUAUACAAAAUAUACUAUUUCUAGAAAAAUAGGUUGGUCCAUCUUAACUUAUAUUACACUUUUUAUUAAACUAACUAUCGAAUUGAUAAAUAACGUACCAAAAAAUGUUUUGCACUUUCCUUAAAUAAAAGCUACGAAAUUACCUAAUAUGAUUAACGUAUAUGUGAAAAUUAAUUAUAAUGAAUAAUAAAUAUUUGAUAACAAUUUUUGUAUCUUAGUUCUUUUUUUAAUUUUAUAUUAUUAAAAUAUAUUUAAAAAUCACAUUAAAUAUAUAAUAAAAACAUUUUUAAUUUUUCUUAUAUGUUAUAUUUUGAAUUUUUCAAAACGUCUAUAAAUUAUUAGAAAUUUGAAGAUCCCCACUCUGAAAAUUUUGUGAUCAAUAGAUUAUUUUUUUUGUCAUAAUAAGUUACAAAUGAUCAUAAAAUUGUAUUAAUAUGAACUUUUAUUUAAUAUUAUAAGAAGAUACACAUUAUUUUAAAACCAUAUGAGUAAAAAAUAUCAUUUAAUAAUAAAACAUAUAUAUAUAUAUAUAUAUUAUACUAUAUACCAUAAGAUUACAUAAAUAUUUUAAUAUUAAAACUUUCAAUGAAUUUUCAAAAACAUUUAUAAAUUAUAAACUUAUUAAAGAUUUCACAUUGAAAAUUUUGUUAUCGAUGAUGUAAAUAUUCAGUUAUAAAAUGAUAUGAAUGAUCAUAGAACUGUAUGAUUAUAAAUUCUCAUUUAAUAAAUGACUAUAUAAAACAUACUAUUCUUAGAAAAAUAGGUUGGUUCAUCUUGACUUACAUUAUAUUUUUUAUUAAACUAACUAUCGAAUUGAUAAAUAAUCUACCAAAUUUUUUUUUGCACUUUCCUUAAUUAGAAGCUACGAAAUUACCUAAUAUGAUUAACGUAUAUAUGAAAAUUAAUUAUUAUGAAUAAUAAAUAUUUGAUAACAAUUUUGGUAUCUUAGUUGUUUUUUUUUAAUUUUAUAUUAUUGAAAGAUAUUAAAAAUCACAUUAAAUAUAUAAUAAAAACAUUUAUAUUUUUUCUUAUAUGUUAUAUUUGAAUUUUUCAAAACGUCUAUAUAUUAUUAGAAAUUUGAAUAUUCCCACUCUGAAAAUUUUGUGAUCAAUAGAUUAUUUUUUUGUUAUAAUAAGUUACAAAUGAUUUAUGAAUUUUUAUUUAAUAAAUAUUCAAACUAAAUAAUAUAUAUAUAUAUAUAUAAACACUAAUGAUUUAAAGCAACAAGAUUGGCUGAUCAAUUUAGUCGUCCAGUUGAAAUCUUUCAAAAGUAUGUGAAAGACUAAAGUCAAAGUAAAUAUGGAUUUAGAAUAUUAGUUAUAUUUUACUAACAAAAUACCGAAAAAACCGAACCGAACCGAAACCAACCCGAUAUCCGGAUUGAACGCCCGUAAUCCAAAUGAAGCCAAACUAUUGUUUCAUUCUCCAAAAUAUAAUAAAAAUAAUAACUUAAUCCCGCGCAAGGCGCGGGUCUUAUCCUAGUGAUUAGUAUUUGAAGAGAGUUUGAUUAAAUUGGCGAAUGCUUGUACAUGUUUAUCUUUUUUUUUUCUGAUGAACCAUUUAUCUUUUUUUUCACAUAUAUAUUAUAGUUGCACCAACCCUUGAUUUCUGAUUAAGGUUCCAACAAUAUAUAGUAUAGUGUAUUCACAUAUGUUAUAUGUAUAUAUAUAUAGUACUUAGACUAUACGAAUGUAUAUAUGUACAUCAGUGUGGACAGUUACUAGCCACCUUUUACGUGAAUAUAUAAAAAGAUCGGAAUAAUUAUAAAAUUCUCUAAAACUUAUGAGUUUCACGUAAAAAGUUAUAUAGGCAUGGUCCAUAUGAUAACUUUUUGGUAAAACGUAUGUUAACUUUCCUUUAAAAUAACAUUUUUAUGUUUCUUAUUUUAGCUGUGACACAGUGAUUCAUAUGAACUGUAAAUAGUUACAUUUUCAUUAAGAAAUCUGAACAUUUUAAAAGUUCAAAAUAUCUAAACCCGGUGAUCCGCAAUGUUAAUUUCACUUAUCAAGUGAAAUAUAUAUUCUAGCUAAAAUAAAUAAGAAUGGAUAUCCUCAUAUCCUGCAUAUUUUUCUCUAGUUUUCCUAUGUUUGAGAAAACACAACAAAUAUUCGAAGCUUCUUUUCAUUGAUAAGAAAUUGCCAUUAAAUUUUCUAGAUUGGUGCUGUGAAUCUGAAUCAUAAUAGGUUUUGGCAAAUGCUAAUGCGGAUUAGGCUUUUCGUUAUUCUCAUAAUCUAAUUCUAAAUCCGAGCCCAAUAAUACAUUGACAGGCCCGUAUAGAACAAUGUACUGGCCUUUUCAGGACGACAUAAAUAUCAAGUCAACUUGUACGUGUAUAGGCUUUACAAACUUUUACUGUGUCGCGUAACUAUUAAGUUGACAACAAAAAAAAGACAGGUAACUAUUUUCAAGUGUAUGAUCGGCUUGUCGUAUUGCAUAACAAAUUUUGAAAAAAGAAAAGGGUAGAAAACGACAUUAAAUCGAUAUGUCAUUAAUUCCAAAUCUGCGUCUCUUUAUUUCAGAAUAAAUACUUUAACCAUGUCUAUUCACUAAAAGAAAGAAGAUAACGAACCAGGAGGGCGUGCAGUGGCUACACGUGUCUUUAUUAAAAACAACACGCCAUCUCUGAAACCAGAUAGGUAACGACGUCGUUUUCAAUUUCUUUAAUUCAAACAAACAACAUCAUCUAUCUCCUCUCCUGUCUCUAUCGACUGGGUUCACAGUGUCAAAGAGAGAAACAAAAGCAAGUUGUGUUCGUAUUCUGCCUCACUCUCAAUUUAUAAAUUCAGAUUUUGAUUUUGAUUUCUUGGAGUCUUUGAGAAGAAGCAAUCUUUUUUCUAGAAUGGAGAAAGCUUCUUCUUCUUCUUCUUCACGUAGGUCUGCUUAUCUGGAAGCUCUAACACAAGAGAUUAAGAAGAAGCUUACUCGGGUUAGCCCUUGAUCUGUUUGUCUUCUCAUAAAAGACACAUGCAUUUUGACAAAUCUUGAUGAUUUCGAUUUAGAAGUUAUGGGGGUAGUAUCACCAGUGUGUUUCAAUGCCAAUCUGAUUUAGAAAGUGUUUGAUCUUUUUUAAGGCGGUAGUAUCACCAGCACAAACACGCAACUUGUUGCAAGACUUGUUUGCUGAUAUAGCUCUCGAAGUCGACCAACGUGCCAAAGGUCUUCUCACCUUUUCUUUUUUUUUUCCUUUCCUCAACGUUCACGAUUAGAUUGAGAUAUUGAUGAUCAGUAAUUUUUUAACUAAAGCAGAUGUGAUUCUUAGCAAAGAAGAGGAGGAUGGUCCGUUGUGUUUCUUCGACGUGCUUGCUGAUUACUAUGUGAAUGUCUCUGAGAGAGGGAAGGAUAUACUUGAUUUGAUGGUUCAGCUUUGGAGCCAGUCCUUUGCUUCCCACAUAUUCUCUCUUCUCUUCCAUAAAUGGGUAUUGCUAGCUUCUUCUCUCUAAUGUUUUUUUUUUUUAUUCACUCCCAAAGGCUUUAAUGUGUAAUUCCUCUCAGCUGUUUGAGGUUGAGGUUGAGAAUCAAGAGAUACUCCUUCGGUAUUCUUCUGCUUUGGUGCAGGGAGCUACUAAUGUGUUUUGGUAAGCACUUUCAACUUUGGUAAAGCAAUGAUAGAUUAACAUCCUCACUAGGUUCAUUCAUGUACUUGGAAUCUGUGGUAGUUGCAUUUGCCAUUUUUGUUAAGAAAUGGUUUUGAUAGUUUUUCUUGAGUCUCUUCCUACAUUGGAUGGGCUUUGCUAUAUAUACUAUGAGGUAACAUUUGAUAAUUUGCUACUCAUUUUUGUUUGCAGGAUAGACAUCCAGACAAAUACAAGACGCUUCCAAACUCUCUUUCGGGUACCUUCUUUUACCUCUCAUGUAUCAAGUUGUUACGCCACUUUGCUACUGUAACUAACACAGUCUCUGUUGUUUCUUGUAGUAUCUUCUUGAGGAAGUUGCUUUGGAGCCGAUCAGAUUAAAAAAUAUUCCCAUUCAGGUGAGUGGUUUGGUUCCUCUCCAUUUUCAUGAAGGUUCAACUGUUUUUUAGUCUGGAGGAGAUUGACUCUCCCAUAUGUAAUUUCAGGCACAGAGGGAACUCUAUCUCCUGAUCUCAAGGUUCAUUUUCUUUUACAAUUCAGGUAGUAAGUACAGUGUUUAUUUACUCAAGACCAAAGCGUGUCUUCUUGUACCCUGACAGUUGUUCUUUUUUUAAUUCCAGUGGAUAAACUCGAUAGCUUCUUGAGGAACUUCCCGGAGUUUCCUAAUGCUUUCCUAGUUGGAGGAGCCGGAGAUUUCCUUGUUAUAGAACUUACCGAUCAGGUAUAGAACCAACAAAGUCUUUCUUCUUCUCAAGAUUUAAACUACACACAUCACUCAUCUAAUAUGUUACUGUGGUGCAGCUGCAAAAACUGAAAGUGGAACCAGUGCUGCUACACUAUCUUUCUCAGAUGAAGGUCCUCCAAGGUACAUUUCUCUCCUCUAGAUAAAGAAAUAUUCUUCAAGAUAGAUGCUGCUUCUCGCACAGAGAAAUGUCUAACGCAGGUAUGGAACUGAGAAUGACAACAAGCACGAGGUUAAAGGCGUGUCUGUACAGUUUUACCUCACCCGGAGGUCCAAUGUACCCGACAAGAGCUGUCCGUCAUGCAGCCUGGGAUGCCUUGGAUUCCCUCUUUCCCGUGAGAAGUGUUUCCUUGCAAUAAAAAUCACACUAUUUAAAGCACCUAAGACUUUAGAGCACACAUAUAUUGAUAGGCUUGGAAUGUAAGAUUGUAAUAUGUUUGCCUUGCAGGUUGGGCGUUACCCUAGGCAUCUCAUCAGUCUAUUUUUCAGGCUGCUGUAUCCAUGGUACUGGCCAUCCUCGUGCUGGAACUUUGUGGUUUCUUGCAUUAAAGCAGUACUCUAUUCCAUCGUAAGGCUCAUCUUUUCACGGCGAGAAAAGCCGAGGCAGAGCUGAAUAGCUUUUAUAUAUUGGUGAAGCCUCCUGCAAUAUCCCAAUCCUUGUGUAUAGAAUGUGGUUUUGGUCACAAUGAGGCGGCACACCAAGGGAACUUUACCUACGCUUGUAUUGCUUUCUAUGGAGAACAUUAAAUUCCGCUUUGAGGAAGAUCCCACAGAAUAGCUUUUUGACGUGUUUUGUUGUCAUUGUUAAGAUGUUAUUUUGCUGUAGAGGAUGAUGUAUUUUGACAAGAACCCUUUUUGUAAAAGAAAAAAAAAUCUCUUCUCUAUAUAAUUGAAUCCUCAUGAUCAGAGUCUGUAAGUUUGUAACAAAACCUAACUUGAGUUAUGCUCAUGAAGAUGAAACCUGUUUUCCUUCCUCUGCAGUGAAUAAUAGAUUGUCUUUGCUUUAGUUGGAACUUAAGCAUUCAUGCUCUCAUAUAUCAAUGAGUUUAAUUGUCCACCUUCUUCAAUCUCUAUAUAUAUAUAUAUAUUGGUGUAUAAAAGUAACCAAGAUCUUAUCACUUGAAAAAAAAAAACGAGUCUCUACUUUGGAAAUAAGAUUUGUCAAAUUAGAUAGUGAAAGCAAAUGGCAAUAAUACAAAGAUGAAACAUAAUUACAAAUUUUUACAGUUUUCACACAAAGUAUGAACGCAAAUAAUUAGUUAAACAUGAACGGGAACAGAUGUAUCCAUUAUUCCCAUCACAAGCCUUUAGGACGACGGAGACCAUGCAUCUAGAGUGACACUGGCUGCAUAAUGGCCUAGUGCUGUUAUUAUUACGAACCACUUCAAAUCUAUUCCAUUCAUAGAAAAUGAGCUUUUCUGGCUUGAGGCGCGAGAAAUCUCCAAGUACACACCGUGUAUGAAAUGUGACUCCGCAAUCAAAGCAUGUGUAGAACCAUUUACAUUGAUCUAACUCCCUCUCACAAAUUUCGCAACAACUUUUUUGGCUCAGCUUUACACCGCAAUGUAAAGUGAUAGGGUGAUCAUCCUUCUUGUGCCACAUCUUUAUAGGCAAACUAGCACAAUACAAACAUAAAUCAAAGCCACAAGCAUCACAACACAUCAUAUACCCGCCAUGUACAAUGUCCUCACAUGCAACACAACAGCUUGAACCCCAUCUUUUAUAAAUAUAUAGGGGAUGUAAAUGGCCAUCAUGGAUAAACGGCUCACAGAGAGAACCACAAUGUACAUCUACUCUCCAAUCACCAUUAAAUGUGUAAUUGAAACCAUCAAAUAAUACUCUACACUCUCUACAUGCGGUUACAACUUCGUUAGUAACUUCCAACGAGUGUGCUACGCGAGAGAAGGCAAUUUUUUUCUUCCUAGAGAGAUUCACACAUUUAUAAUGAAGAAAAAAUCUACAUUCCUCACAACCAUAGAUGGAUUCAAAUGCAAGUGGAUACAUACAUGCUUCACAUUGUAGCCACUUAUCAUAAAGGAUCUUGUUCUUCUUGUAGAAUUUUAAAGGAUGUUUUUCAUGACUAAAAUGAAUUAUCAAGUCAUCACCCACCAUUUGGAAUGGUUCGGCAUCAUGAUUUGGGAUACCUUCCAAGUCUACACGAUCCCAUAAGUCACUCCUUGACGCACAUUUACAAUGAGUUGCAUAUUUUGGACAGACAGAGCAAGCAUAAGCUCCAUGGUACUGAUUUAAACUUUUGCGACAAACUCCACAUUUCGAGUAUCCAGCACCAAGAUGAGGAGUGAAAGAAAUGCGAUGCUCGUGGCGAUUGAUGCUGAUAAUACGAGGUAAGUCGAUACACUCUCCAUGGGUGAGAAAAGCACACUGAAGACAUACAUAAGGCCCCCCUUUUCCAUCUUCCCCACAAACAUCACAAGUAAAUGACAUGUUUUUCGAAAGAAGAGUAAGUGGGUGCACGUGGGUCCUUGUAUGUUCAAUUACAAGGGGUGGUGGGUUUCUAGUACACACAAGGCAUAUGCUGAAGUUGCAAGUGGGACAAUGAUAAAGCAUAUUUUCUGAUUGUUUUUCACACGAAAAACAAAUCUUUUCGGCAUCACCCAUAAGAUUUUCAGGUGCAAAAAGUUUUAUAGGAUGAUUAGAGUGACAAGGAUGAUUUACCUCUUUUGAAAGAAUGACGCAGUCCAAAUGGAAGUAGAGAUUGCAUUCGUGACAUAAAUAUGAUGGUCCUCCAAAAGUUUCCUUACAUACCUCACAAGGGAAUUUUUCUUUUCCUUUCUUCAAUAAAACAAGUGGAUGGUCAUGACAUAGCGGAUGUUCGAUAGCAGAUGGUGGUGGUUUCAUCCCACAAGUCAGAUUCACUUUGAAUUCGCAUGUGGAACAACUAUAAAAUGGAGUGCCUAUACUUUCUCCACACAAUUCACAUACACCAACUCCCAAUUUCUUUGUGAGUAGGAGAAGAUGUUGGGGGUGAGAAGGGUGCAGGUUGAUUUGCAAUGGGGCUUCAGCGCACUUCUUAUGGAAGAACCAAGCGGAACAAUAAUUAGGAUCAUUGCAAUAGUAGCCACCAUAAAUGGUUCCUUUUGUUUUGCAUCCCUGGCAAUAACUGAUAACAAACCGAGGUGAAGGGAAAAGAGGAUGAUCGUGAAAGGAGGUUUUAUACAUUGUUGUUGAUGUUAUUGUUGUAUCCAUGCGUUGAUUGGUGUAUGUGAGUGAGUUUAAGAGGUUUGUUUGAUUGGAUACAAAAUUGGAACGAGAAGACGGUAUUAUAUAUGCCUUUGUAAACUAAUAACAAUAUACGAGUUAUUUGCAAAAUAACCUUUUAUCUUUUCAAAGAAACAAAGAAUCGAGUAUUUUCAUCGAAACACGAUUUGUUACAUUGAUGAACGAAUAAAGGUUUUGAUUCUUUGUUUUUUUUUGAAAAUAAAAUUUACUCUCUUUUUUGUUUUCUUUUUCAAAUAUAGGUAAUGUCCAUUUCGCAAAUAAAUCUUGAACAAUUAUUUUUGUUAUUACUUUAUAGAGGGAUAUAGAAUAAGUCGUAUUGUGUUUCCCAUCAAACAAAGCAAAUGCAUAUGUGGGGAGUUAAGUCAUAUGCAAAUGCUUAUUCCCGGAAGAAAUCUGAAAAUAUGUUUUUUUCUUUCUUUCUCAAACAAACAAAACAAAACAAAACAAAACAAAACAAAGCAAAUGCUUUCUUCCAACAACAACAAAACAAAAUGCUUUUCUCUCUUUUUGAGUUUAACCCUUGAACAAUGUGCUUACUUUGCAGAGAGGAAAAUGAGAAAGUACAGAAAACGUUUGUGAAUAAAAAAAGUAGUAACAAUUAAGGAAAGAAUAUAUAUUUGAAAUGAUAUUCUAGUUAUUGUACACAAUACAUUUUGCUGUAGAGGAAUGUGUAUUUCUUUGACCAGGAAUCCUACUAUAUAAAAGGAACUAAUUUUGUGGCUUCUAAGAGUGUCCACUUCACCUAAAAUAUUCAGGACCAAUACAUGUCAUUUAACAUAUUCUUCAGCCCAAAAGUAAACUAUUGCAACAUAUAUCCGAGUCCAAUUAAUUUUGUGGGUUGGUCUUCCAGAAACUCACGUGGCUAGAAAGUAAACUCAAGCCCUGAGGAAGUAUGAAAAAUUAAGGUUAACGAAUAAUAAUUAUAAAAGUCUCUUCAUAUAUUAAAAUUUAAGCAUACAGCACGUGUUUUGGUUGCUCAGUAUUAUAUGCUUCAUUUUACUUUAGACUUGAUGUUUGUUUCGAUCGACAUACACUGGACAUUACUCAUCCAAUAAGAUUUUCUCUAAUUGCUUAUAACAUAUUGCGGCCCAAACUAUUUUUUCACAUCUCGCGUCACAAACUCGGAUAUAAUAAUUGAUUUAUUAAUGCUUUCACAUGAUAUCUGCAAAUGGUGAUGUGGGGUAGUCCACAGACCACAGCUUCAUGCUCAAUACUUGCGAUCCACAUGCACGUAAUGUGGAUUGAAGAACAUGUUUCAUUUCUAAUAGGCUGAACAAAUGUGAUGUGACUCAAAAUUCCUCUUUUAUUUUAAUCCCAAACUCUAAAAAAGGUUAUUUACUUUCAUAAUCCUAAUCAGACUUUUUAAUACUUAGCUUAAACCACCUAUACCAAUCAAAUGAACGGAGAAACCAUUUUAUUUUACAAACAUGAGCUUCACAUAACCACGCCAGUAAUAGGUCGCAUGCAUUAAUUACUCAACCCUCUAACCCGACGAUCAUAGAAACAACUCACUAUAAGUCGUUUAUUUACUCAUCCGUUAACAAAGUUCCCAUUCGUAAUAAAUAUAGGCAAAUAAAAACUUCAACAUUUUAACAUUAAAAUGUAACAACGUGUAGCAACUGCCCUGGAAAACAAAAAAAUGCUUGAACAUUAUUCAAAACAGAACAGUAGACGUUCUGACUUACGUUUACUUGAAAUAUAUGGGUUAUAUAAUCUCGCAACCACAAAGGUCAAAUAGAUUAACAAAAAAAAACACACUGCAGGUGCGUAUGAAGAAGGAAGUAACAGAUAGGAAUGGUUAAUCCAUCCCCACCACACACUCCCCUCACCCAGUUUCUUCAUUUUGAUCACAACAUUUACCUUCCUGUAAUUGAGUUCAUCAACAAUACAAAACCCAUAGAUACGGAUUGUUUUUCAAUCUUGGUUUCAUUUAAGACUUCUCCCAUUUACUCUAAAUUAUUGGAACUAUCUUUACCGGUUACAUUUCUUGGUAGAGGUUUAGAUUCUUAAGAAAAAAACUUUGGUCCAAUCUUACUCUACAUAAAUCAUUUUGCAAAUUUAAAAAACUUGGCAAAAAAGUUAUGGAAAAAUCAAAUACAAAAUUUAGUAUCAUCAUUCAAAUUUACAAUGGUCUGUAAACACAGAUAUACUGGCUAAUGAUUCUGCAUUUAUGAUUUGUGUUUACGUAUACAUACAUUAAAAUCAUAUUGAUGACUUCUCAAUAAUACCCCUUUAAUUUUAAAUUUUUUAGAAUUUAUACACGCUCAAUAUAAAAAAUUUAAAGGCAAACAACAGGGCCGACUAAAAAUACAACUAAAUCUAAUAAUGAAACUUAUACUAGAGUCUAACAGAAUAUAGUAAAAAAAUGUCUUCAACCAAAUAUUAUUACAGCAAUAAUAAAUUAUUUUUUUAUAACACAAGGCCCAUUUCAAAUCACAAAAAGAAGAAAAGAACAAAACGCAAAAGCUAUACCACUAACAAGAUUUCAAACUCCCAACUAGGUCUGCGCAUUUCGGGUAUCGGUUUGGUUCGGUUCGGGUAUUUCGGGUUUCGGAUAGUUUGGAUAGGGGCUAGAUGAUCCAUUUAGUACUUGAUCUAUUUUCGAUUCGAUUCGGUUCGGUUCAGGUAGUUUCGGGUUCGGUUCGGUUCGGAUAGUAAAUGCAGGAACCGGAAAAUAUCCGGAAAAAGUUCGGUUCUCAUUUGGAUCCGGUUCGGGCUCGGAUAGUUUGGGUAGUUCGGAUAAUUUGGAAAAAAUAUCGGUUAUUUAAGGUAAAAUAUCAAAUAAUUAGGAUGAUUUAGAUAAAGAUUUUGGAUAUCUUGGAUUGCUUUGGAUAUUUCGGAUAAAACUAUCCGGAUAGUUUCAGAUACUUUCGGGUAGUUUGGAUACUUUAUAAUAAUUUAGUUAUACUCAACUAUUUUCAGAUACUUUAAUAGAAUUUUAAAUUAAAAAAUAUAUAUUUAGUGAUGUUAUAUGUAUAUAUAAUGAAUAUUUUUAUAUAUUCGGGUACCCGUUCAGUUCUCGGUUUGGUUAUUUCGGAUAUAAAAAUAUAGGAACCGUUCGGGUAUUUGAAGAUAUUGAUCCGGUUUCGGUUUCGGGUAUUUCGGUUCGGUUCUUUGGUUCCGGUUAUUUUGCCCAGGCCUACUCCCAACUAUACAUUAUCCAUACCACCCCCACAAUUAAUACAACCUUAUACAUCAAUAUACACGUAGUCGGAACAAAGAACAACCAGAUCAAACAUACACACAAUAACUAACUAAUAAAUCCGCGCGAAGCGCGGACAACCCCCUAGUCCUUUUAAUGAAAAAGAAAAAAACAUCAAUAUCUUCUGUAUACAACUUAAUCCUCAUGAUCAGUCGUUAAGUUUGUAACAAACCGUAACUCGUGAAAGCCCUUUUGCCUGCACACGCUUCUGAACUUGAUAAUAUUAAAGGCAUCAUCAAGGUUUCGUGGUGUAGUUGGUUAUCACGUCAGUCUAACACACUGAAGGUCUCCGGUUCGAACCCGGGCGAAGCCAUUAUUUCGAAUUUUUUUUAUCUGUCCAGUUUUUGUAGAAUUCGUUUUUUUUUCCUCUAUUUGUUGUUUAAGAAUGUUAAUGAUCUUUUGACUGGAUGAUGAUGAUUUGUGGAUGUACAGGAACUUCUUUCGACCUUGACAAAAUCUAAUGUCAAUCCAUGUCCAACAAUGAUUAAAGUUUGCUUCUGAGCUCUCUGUUCAUAACCAACGGUUGAACGAAGACGCUACAAAUGACAGGAGUAAGAAUCAUAGGCCACACAGCCUACUGUCCUCAAAAGAUGUCACAAAUAGCGAAUUUAAACUUCAUUAGCAGAUCUCACAAUCUCAACGCACUAAAGAUACAAAGACACGACAUUAGAUUCCAAACAUACCAAUUCGCAGUACUUUACAAAACAUGAGAUUGCAAAACACAAGAGAAAGGACAUUCUACAAAGAAACUCUAAUUCAGACAGACAUUCCAGACAGUUCAGGAGCUCGUGAACUUAGUCACCGCCUUGGUCCCUUCGGAAACAGCGUGUUUCGCCAGCUCUCCAGGCAAGACGAGUCUCACCGCAGUCUGAAUCUCCCUGGAAGUAAUCGUCGGCUUCUUGUUGUACCUCGCGAGCUUGGAAGACUCGCCGGCAAGCUUCUCGAAGAUGUCGUUGAUGAAGCUGUUCAUGAUCCCCAUGGCUUUGCUCGAGAUCCCGAUGUCGGGGUGCACCUGCUUCAGCACCUUGAAGAUGUAGAUCUUGUAGGUCUCGACGCUCUUCUUNNNNNNNNNNNNNNNNNNNCUUCAGCACCUUGAAGGUGUAGAUCUUGGAGGUCUCGGCGCUCUUCUUGGACCGCUUCUUCUUCUUGUCUCCGGCGACGGCGGAGGGAUCCUUCGGGAGCUUCUUCCCGGCCUUUGGCUUCUUCUCCGCCGGUGCUUUCUCGGCAGGCUUCUUCUCCGCGGGCUUCUUCUCUGCUGCCUUGGGCGCCAUUGAUUUUUUCUAGAGGUACGAAACUGAGAUCGAAGUAGUAGUAGUAA
rnacentral:lncRNA from 1 species